GCGUCAUAUUUUCUGUUAUACAUAUACAUGUCAUCAAAGACAAUUAACUUUGUUUGUCCAUUAAGAAGAAUGGAAACACGUGCUUUGGGCUUAAUAAGAAAAAGGGUCAAGCACACCUACUAAUUCAUUAAGCAACUUGCUUUAUUUUACUAUGCAAAUAGUGAACAAGUCACAAAUCACCAAAUGACAAUGUAUAAUCUACUAUAAAUUAUACUUUAUUCAUCACACCAAUGAACAGGAAAAUCGAGUUCAAUGGACCAUGAUUCUCUUUCUAGGCGAUUCCCCAUCAUCGGUUACUAACUCAUCACCUUUCGGCGGAUAUUUUCGCCCAUCUUGCUGCAACUUUUUUCUUUCACAAGUGGUUGUACUGUAAUAUUUAGAGAUUAUCCCCGCACAUUUGUAGUUUCCACGAUCAUAUACUCGUUCGUGUAAAUAAAUCAUAAACUCGAGAAGACCAUAACUUCAGUGGGUAUCAUGAACUUUUUUGUCAUGAAAGUGAAGCAAAAUUGGUAAAGAGCUGAUUGGAAAGAAAAUUUAAUAAAAUCCAGAAAGACCAAGACUUACGGAGAUGCAAAUUGGAUUUAUCGCUUCACUUUUCAAAUCUCUCCUCUUCCGUUCCCAUGCGAAUGUCUCUUUUACAUUUCUAGUAGAUUUUCCACGCAUUACGUGGGUGCCGUUUUUUUCUUUUUUUGUGUGAUUGACAAUUGGCACUGAUUAUUGUUUCUCUUGCUCAAAUUAACAAACUAUAAUUUUAGUCCAACUUUUGUCAUUUUUAAUCACAUUGUGAUUAGUCAUUCAUUAAUCUCUAUUGUACUUGUCUGUUGGAAUUGUGUCUAGAUUUCCAUUUAUCUUUUCAGAAUAUAAGUUUAAUAAAUGGAAAAAGAGCAAAAAGAAAAACUAAAUACGAAAAACAGCAAAAAACUGAUAAAGAAAAAAAAAUGCAGGAAUGGGGCGAUAAUACUCUUCGUGACUCGCUGGGAGUUCCACUUCACAUUUUUUUUUUCUUUUAUGAAGAUGCAAUCUAAAUUUAUUAAUAAGCAAGAUAUGAUUUUCCUAGAUUUCCCAAAUUAUAGCAUGUGAUUUAUGAAAGGAAACGUGCAAAAAGGGAAUUAAUAAUAAUGCACUCCAAAAGCCUAGAUGUGCAUGAUAAUGCUUGUCCAUGAAAAUUCUAAGUUUUGUAAUAUAAUUGUCCUGAUACGGAUAUAAUGAAUUCUAUCCUAAUAUGUAAUGAAAAAUCAUAAAAUAGCGGUCCAAAUUUUGGCUUAAACAAUUAUGCGUGCAGACGUAUCACCUCAUUAAAACAACUAAGCCACAUUAAGAUCAACAAAUCACCAUGAAUUAUGCAGUCAAGCUGCAACUUUAACCUGGCCAGCAAGUAUAUGUCAUCAACUUUCCCCAAUUUUGUUAUUAAACUUACUGCAUCAGUUCAAGGGAAAAAGAGAGCAAGUAGAUAGAUGUCUUUUACCUAUUCCAAGAAGACUUCCUGGAGCUGACCAGGCGAACGGGAUAAGAUCUACAACAGCAAUCCAGCAAGCACGAGCGCUAGGUUUGGCAGUUCACUGUGUACGCGUGCGUAUUCAGCUACGGCAAUGCGUGGUCGCUGCUUGCAACGACGAACGAUGGUAUUGAUUGAAAGACGACUAGAGAUGGUGGUGACUAGCGACAAUCGAUAUGCAUGCAAGAAAUGAAUUGAAUGAAAGUUGUAAUUUUUCGAAUAUAAUAUCCUGACACGAAUAUGAUGAAAUUCCAUCCUAAUAUGUAAUGAAAAAUCCUAAGUCUGUCCAAAUCAGCAAAUAUGAACACACUUAAAAAUGUGAAAAUGACUUUCCCUAAAUAUGUAAAUGUAUGAUAUGCAAUUUCCUAAAUGUGCAACACCUAAUAUUAUUAAACACCUCCCCUGAUAUACAAUCUAGAAAGCAACGAAUGUAUAUAACAUGCCGUGGAUGACUUUUAUGAAAUUUGACACAUGUAAAUUCAUGAAAUUACACGUGAAGACGUGAUCGAGAGUGACCUAGCCAUAUGCAAUUUCAUAAACACGGAUGGCAAAAAUAUUCAACAUAUCACCAUGACGCAACUUUAAUCGGGACAGCAAGUAUUUGACAUCAACUUUUCCUAAAAUUUUGUUAUUAAACUUGCAAUCAGGAUUAUAGACAGGCAUGAAGUCAGGUUAAGAACGAAAAUAUUGUUGCUGCUGCCACCUCUUCUUUUGCUUCAAAUAUAUAGAAAGAUUUCAGAAAUGACUGGUGGCUGCUCCCGUGUAAUAAAGGCCUACCGGAUACUUUAGCAGUGAGGUUCUGGAUGAAUCAGUUUGAGGGGAAAAGAGAUUUACCUAUUCCGAGUAGACUUUCUGGAGCUGACCGGUGAACAAGAUUAGAUCAACAACAGCAAUCCAGCAAGGACGAGCGCCAGGUUUGGACGAGCAGGAAGAGAAAACUGCUGAGCAGGGGGGACGAGCGCAAGGUUCGACAAUUCACGGUGUAUGCGUGUGAACUCUGCUACGGCAAUGGGUGGCCACCGCUUGCAACGAUAGAAGAUAAUAUCGACGGAGCUACGACUAGGACAGGUUUGUAGGGGACUGUCAAGAAGAAAAAUCAAAGUUGGCCUCCAAAUCUUAGUCAACUUGCCCACUAAAGAAGGAAGAGAAACUAGCCGUGAAUCUUAAGUUGAGGUUCCAAGCCGUCACUUCAAGAAAACAAGUUGACAAGACGACUUGCCUUACCCAAACGUUUCCUUCUAGUAGAGAACAAAGUUGGCCUACUUGUUCAGAGCGAGCACGCAAUUUAUAUGAAAGCCAAACCCUUCCUCUAUUAUUACUAAAAGCGAAAUAGCGUUAUGCCUCGUUGAAAAUGCAAUGUGUACAUGCUAAUUAUUGUUAUUCAGGAGAAGUCACAAUCAUGCACUAUCGGAAGCUUGUAACCAAAUGAUCCGUGACUUGAAUUUAAACUAUAUAAAUGAAUUUGAAGCUGGAUGUCUAUAUCCAAAGGCUCGAAAUUAUGUUAAACUCCAUCGUCACAUGGUAAUCGUGGCAGAGGAUCCUGCUACUAGCGAUCUUGUGCAAACAUAUGCCUCCCCAGCAGCUCCUUGAGCAUCGGGAGCCAAAACCGCGUCAAAGGAUCACCGCUAAGUGGAUGACUAGAGCAACAGAUACGACCAUGAAGGUCAAAGUUGCAGAGAGGAGCAGCAGGGCAGAGAAGACGAUCUGGUUCCUAGAGGGCAGAACAAUCCAACUGGCUCAAGUGAUUCAAGAUCAACACAAUACUGGGACAGAUUCAAUCGAGUUGAUAAGAUGCUGAAUUUAAAUUGCCUUCGUACUAUUUUGGUAAAAUAGAAAUGCUGGUAGUAAGCGCAAAGGCAGUCAGAGGCUAUUGCGAUGCUCCCGAGCGGGAUGAGUGGGUUUAAUAGCUUAUUGAACGGGAACGUGUGAUCCCUUUCCUUUGGUGUGAGCUCUUUGAAAUCCUAACUGCACAUAACAUUGAGAAAUAUACUCGUAACUAGCCUAUUGGAACCGGUUAGGAGCUAACAGGAGAACACGUUACUUCAUAUAAGCUAGAGAAUUCAAAGAUAUGAUUACACGUAGUAGUAUUCUCCACUAUGCGUCCAUGCAUGCUUGUUUGAUCGAGAUUGACUCUAAAGUGUAAUAUACUCGUCGAAUGAAUCUAAAGAAAUCAAAUCAUGAAAUCAAUAUAAUGAAAACAACAUGACACAUCAAAAUGAUACUAAAGGACGAGUAAAAAUAAAGUACGGAAAGUAAAUCCGAAAUGAGACGGACAAAGUAUGCAUUGCUUUAUUAAGUUUUGGGACAUCAACCAGUGAGCUAAUUUUCAAAAUCAAGUGAAAGUCUAAUUUUGGCAAAGGAGAAUUGCCUACGGUUUCAAUAACGAUAUUAUAGACGAGAACGUAAACGAACUAAAGUACUACUAACGUAAAAGCAAGAUUUUUUUGUCGUCGUUGUCGUUGUGGUCAUUUUUUUUUAAUUUAUUAUAAUUUUUUUAAUUGUUUUCUUCUCGUUCUCGGUCCCUCUCCACCAACUUCAUGUACGGCCACCAGACGCACGACCACGGCUUUCCUGAGUAACACAGAGCAUGGACGGGAAAAUAGGAACGCAAGAGAGAGAUUCACACGAUCACCACUAGAAAUCGAAUCCAAGCAAUUUUAUAUCUACGGUGUCCACCGCAAAUCGCCAAACGAACAUGCGAAACGCAGAACAAAUGAAACGUAGGUUACGUGUCUAACAAAUAUGCCUAUUAGCUAUAAAAAAAAAAACAAAAAUAUCAUGUAAACUAUGUCAAUUUGCCUUAAGAUUAGACAAUUUUGGAAGAACUAUUACACAACCCUGUCUCAGCGACAUUUCAUUGAACAGUUUACGUGCAUCGACUGAGGAUUUAAAGGAGGCAUCGCUGCACUCGGAUUUGAGACCAAAGUCGUACAAAAUCAGUUCAGGACGUUUUCAAUCAACGAAUGGGCUGAUGGAUUGAGGCCAUGGAUUUGUGGACUGGACUGGACUGAAUAGGGCCGAGGCUUUAUUAUUUUAUUCUCCUCCUCCUCCUCCUUCUGUCUUCUUCUUCUUUUGUUAUUUGUUAAUUUGUUUAUUAAUUUUUUGUUCUUUUUACUAUUAUUUAUCUAUUUUCAAAAAUGCAAUACUUGAUCUUUUGGAGAAAAUUCAUGUGUCAAUAGAGACAAAUACAAAAAACCAGUAAAGCUAACUGUAAUCCACAUGUGAGAUUACCGAUCAUUCACUCCAAUUCAUACUAAGCUGCUAUGUCUUUUGUUUAUUUAUUUAUUUAUCAAGACAUGCAUUAAAUUACUUUGUAGGUUUUGGAAUAGUGACUUAGGGAAUAUGAGUAGUUUUAGCGGAAUUUGAGAUCAUUUUUAUUGCCAGCAUAUAAAAAGUGGUUAUUUUUAAAAUAUCAUAGCUAAGUGAAUGUUAUUUGUAGGCAUUGGCAUGAGAAGAGAGGAGCCUUACUUAUGACCAAGAGCUUCGGUUUUAGUGUUUAUGAUUUGACCGUCACAUUUAAAUUUGACAAUGCUAUUGUUCAUCUUUAAAUAAUGCUAAUUACUACUAUUCCUUCUCUCUCUUUUUUUGUAAACUUAACAAGAUUGAUGGGUACUAGAUAUUCUACCCCAAAAAUAAUGGGAAGUGGGUUGAUGGGUGAGCAAGGCUGAAUUAUGUGUGUAACAUCCCUAAUCAUUCUUUUAUUAUGGUAUUUUAUAUUUCUGAUUUUUUUUCUCUAACUUUAAUUGUGUGCUUAGGAAAAGAUGUCCGAAAAGAUGUCGGACAUUCACACGGAGACGAUUUCGGUUUUCUUGGAUCUUUUAUAAUAAAGCCAGACCCACCAGAAAAUAUUGCGUGGGUGAGAGUCGCCAAAUCAGCAACAGGACGCUCCACUCAAAUCUCGCCAUGUGUAUAGCAGGUCCCACCAAAAAGACAUUUUGAAAUUCCCUCUCUCCUCUCCCUUGCUCUAUUUCCUUUUAAUCCCAGGCUUCCCUCUAUUCCUCGAACGAACUGCGCCGCCGCCUCCACCUCCGCCUCCGCCCGUCGCGUUCCGGAGCCCAUCGGCAACUCUGAUUCGCCGUCUGGGCCCGGUGAGCUCGAGUUUGAACCUUCCGUGCAUGCGCUUUGCUCCCAUUACAGCGAAGGUGUCUUUCUCUUCAUUCCCGAUCACGUCGCCGCCUCUGCCUCUGCCUCCGCCAUCGUCUCUAGAAGCUCCACCGGUGGCUCCAGUUCAUCGUCUACAUCCGACGAGCCCAGGUUAGGGUUUUUCCCUCUUUCGCGAAGAUAUCCUCGAGUGUUACUUUUGUGGGGAACCAGUGGAAUUGGUGGUUCUUUGGAAGAAAUUCGUUGUCUGGGAGAUUCUCUCUUUCCUGGCUAGACGUCAAGGUUAUAGAAGAUGCAUCGACUUGAUAAAUUCGUUAUUCCUAGUUUAGUGGAUUUUUUGUUUUUCUGUCAGUUUUUUGGCACUCUCGAAUUUCCAUAUUUUAACUUGUAUUGCAUGUGAGUAUGAGUCUUUGAGUUAAUUCUGCUGUAAGACUAUUGUGACAUCCUGAAUUUCGACCAUGUCCCGAAUAUAUGAAAUGGGCAUUUCCCCGGCGCGCCUAUGGUCCUUUUUCUUUGAGCUGAUCACUUACGAGUUAACCAAUCUAUUAGGUGAAGCCAUUAAGGGAUAUAACCGGGGUAAAAUCCCUAAAAACUACCUGAUAGGUCGGAUCGGACUAAAAUUGCGUUCAAUCGAUUUUAAUCACGAAAUUGAAUUCGGUUUCGGAAUUCAGACGUUUGAGCAUAUCACAAUUCAUUUAUAGGAUGUCGUCUUGUCUUUCGGAGAAAUUCCAACAAGUUCGGGAUUUUUACGGAAAAUCGUUUCGGAUGUUGCAAAAAUUAACGGAAAUUCGGAUGGGCAUUAUUAGAGGAACUUUGGGUCACCAAAUUUAGGUAAAUGGUGAGGAGAUGGUGCAAAUUCGUAGGGGUGAUGGACUACUGCAGUUCGGUCCUCAAAUUGACUUGAUUUGGUGUGGAAUUGUGGAGAAAUUGGCCCCUUGAGUGACCCAUUAGAAAGGUUGGCUGAAAAUGGGCAUAGUUAUCUACAACAAAAUGAUUUAAUUUGGGUGAAAUUGGAGCAAAUUCUCCCUUGGUUAGGCUGAAGACUUUUAUGGUUUGUUAAUCAUGAAUGAGAUAUUUUGUUUUGACUUGAUCCCCUCUCAUUUGGCUUCUCUAGCAAGUCUCGCCGACUUCAUCUCCACGGCAACUCUCUCUCUCUCAUUCUUAUCCCUUCCAUUUCUACUUUCCUUUAAUUCCUUCUUUUUCCUUGGGAGUAAAAUGAAAACAGCUUCAUCGUCCCUUCUCUCUCUCUCUGCCGCUGCAAUCCACUAACCCUUGUCGCUCCAUCAUUACAAUCGCCUCAUCCACCAUCACCCUUGCUCCAUCGUUAACCCCACAAAUCCUAGCGGCUAGCCAAUGACUACUUCGCCGAAGCUGCUCUCUUCUCCACGCGUCCUAUCCACCGAUCUUCAACUCCUUGGACGUCAGCAAGCUGCCCGUGUUGCCUCUCGCCUUCAAUCGCGUGGAGCCCAGCCCAUCAGCAGCUCCGCAAGCCCACGUCUCCCAGCAACUCAAUCAACCCAAACAACUCUUAUGCUGUCCGUCUCCACGAUCUCUCCACCCAGCUGCCCUAGCGUUGUUGGUCUUCUUCAACUGAAGUCUUUGUUGACUCAUUGCCGCGACACCACCCACGAAUCAGCCACCAUUGAAGCUCAUGGAUCUAGCUGCCAGCGAAGCCGAAACCCAGCUCCGUUUCUGCUUCGAUCAUGCCGCGCCAAAUGAAGCCAGCGAAGCCGGCAACAGUUCAGCCCAUCUGUUUCUCCUCCACGUGUCUUGGCCCAAUGAAACGUUUCUUCAGCCUAGCGUCUUCAAUCUUGGGCUUGUGAUUUUCAGCCCACAGUUGGUUAGGAUUAGCUCAGCCCAUAUGAGUUUUAGACAGGCCCAGCAGCUCCUUCAGGCUUUCUUGGUCAACCCGUGAAAUGCAGCAGCCCAUCUUCACGUGUCAGGCCCAUUUGAAGCCCAAGAAGUUUCAGUAACUCAGCCCGCGAAGCUAGUUGGCCCAAGUUCAGCCCAAGCCCAGCGUUUGUUGUGGGCUUGCAAGGCCUUUGGGCCCGGCCCGAGUGAUCAUCGACGUCGCCGAAAAUUCAGAUUUCGACUGCCGUGGCACCGUCGCGUUGCCAUCGUGGUGUUCCGGUCUUCGCUUUGCCAAGUGAGUAAUCUCAGUAAUCAUUUCUUAGUAGACUAAUUAUGCUUAAGGGUUGAUUAGAUUUAAUUAAGUGUAAUUAGGUGGUUAGAUCAAGAUGGAUUAGUGAUUAUUAGUUAAUUGCAUUGCAUAUUAGUUAGGUGGUUAGUGUACUUAGCUAGAAAAAUGCCUCUACUAUUUAAUGAAUGCAUCUCAGGAUUUUUCCCGACCCUUAUCGGGCUUCAAUUAGGCAUUACAGGCAUAAAUUGGAUUUUUAGUAUUUAUUUAUUAAUUUUUGAAAUUAAUUAUUUAAUUAUUUAUUUUUCGGGAAUUAGACAAGGAUAGAUGACAACCGAAUUUUUGUGCUGAUUGUUGUGGUGCAGUCCGUUUAUUCAUUUGAGCUCUACGUUGUGCUGAAUUGAAUUAAUUGUGCAAUUGAGGAAUUAUUCAUAAAUUGAUUGAAAUUGAGUGAAAUUGAAUGAUUGAUCGGUAGAUAGCUGAGUAUGGUUAUUUAGCAUUUAUAAUGCUUUGAUGAGUUGUAAAUCGGAAGGAAUCAGGAGAUUGAACUAAGAAUACUCUUGGCUGAGACCGAUCAGGUAUGAAGUAUAGACAUACGUGGUUUGGUGAUAAGGAAAUCACUGGUGAAAACAACGCUUUAGAAAAUGCACGAGUACUGUCUAUUACCGGCAUUAGUAUAGACAUAUGUGGUUUGGUGAUAAGGAAAUCACUAGUGAAAAUGGCGUCUUAAAGAACGCACGAGUGUUGUGUACUACAUGCAUCAUUAUGGACAUACGUGGUUUGGUGAUUAAGAAUAUCACUGGUGAAAAUGACGCCUUAAAGAAUGCAUGAGUGUUGUCCAGUACAUACGUCACCUUGGCGAAAACGACGCCCGGGAGCAUUACUGUAGCUCUGUGAUUGAGAGUGCAAAUGGGAGGUUUUAUAUUGAGAAGUGAUUUGACCUGGAAAUGAUCCGACUGACAUGUAAUCGACUAGGUCGAUUAAUCAAUGAUUUGAUCCGUUGUCGUGAAUUGAUUGAUUGAGUGGAAGUGACCUUGAAUGGUUCGAUUGACAUGUAAUCGACUAGGUCGAUUGAUUGAGAUAUCGAUUUGUGAUGUGAUUGCUAGGGUGCCUAUUGAAUUGUGCUAAUAUGCAGGUGGAAUCUGAGGCCAAGGUAAGUCCUUUGACUCGUGUGUGCAUAGGCAGCCCGGUUAGCGUAUUGGUUUCCUAAUCAAGUCUUAGUGGGGCAGAAUUUGCUGAGACGUAGUCUCAUCUCGGUUGUGGGACAACAUUUCAAGCCCUUAGAUGAGCCUGAGGAGGAGGAACUAGAAGAGGACAAUGAGCCAGUAAAAAAUGAAGAGCUUGAGGGAAAUGAGCUUAGGGAAGAAGAGUCAGAAGAGGAUCAAAAUGAUCCCAAGUAUGACCUGGAUGAGGAUUGAGAUCCCAUCCUCUUUUGUGAACCUUGUGUUGUGUAUAUAGAGUAUGACUAAAAUGUUAUGAAUAGACUUUGAGUUAUGCCAUGUAUAAAGGUUUGGUUGUGGAUUUCAAUGUGAAAAAUAUGGCAUUGUUUUUCUAUCCCAUUGUGUUAUUGUUUUGGGAUUUAUAAUUGCUUCCGCAUGUGCUUAAUAAACGAAAGGGUCAGCGAUACUUAGUCCUGGGAUAUCGCAUUAUAAAAUCGACCAAGUAGAAGGAUGUGUACGUGCCCGAGGAUCGGGGUGUGACAUCCCCUUUUUGUGGUAUCAGAGCGAAGUUCAAGAUUGGAGUGAUAAUGAACGAUGAGUCUUAGGAUAGUAGUAAGAAAGGCCUUUAAAUUCAUGCCGGUGCAUGUCUGUGUUAACUGAAUGUUAGAAUUGUUUGUUGUGUGUGGAUUGCUCACCUUCUAAUCUGGUGUGGAUUUGUAGGACAGGUUUCAGUGUAAAGACUGAACCAUGAGCGAGUAGGAGUUGAGAACUCCUAGUAAGAGGACAAUAUCCUCUGUGACUCGAGAUAAAGCACCAACAAAGGUCAAUACCCGAGGUGGUUGUGGCAGAGUGUCGGCUCUGGAUAGCUCGAGUGUAAGAGUACCACCACAGGUUGGUACUAGUGUAGUAGCACCAAGCGAUCCUAGGUUCGACAAGAUCGUUCAGGCACUAGUGUCCUUGGAAUUGGUUGAGCCAGCAAACUCAAGACCGAGCCCUUGUUGUUGUCGUUGUCAGGGAUUUCUUAGGAUAAUUAAUUAUCUCAGGGAUUUUGUUCCAAACAUUGCAAAACUACUGAUUCCACUCCAGUCAAUGUUGAAGAAGCAUCCCCUACCUUAGGGAAAAACUCAUACUAAAGCAGUCGCUAAGCUUAAGGAGAUUAUGCAAAAUCUCCCACCAUUGCAAAUAUCAUCAACAAAAAAAAAAAAAAAAAAGAAUUCUCCAAACUGACGCUAGUGAUGACUACUGGGCAGCCAUCCUGCUUGAAGAAAUUGAUAGUAAGAGAUUCCUUUGUGCUCACAAAAGUGGAAUGUUUUCCCCAGCUGAAAUAUAUUACCAUUCCACUUUCAAAGAAAUCCUAGCAGUAAAAAAUGGAAAAAAAAAGUUUGAAUUUCAUCUCAUCCGCCAUCACUUCCUGGUAGAAUUAGACAUGUCAUCUUUCCCUCCAAUGACCAAGUUUAAACAGAAGCAGAUCCCAAAUUCUCAACUGUUUCGAUGGGAUGGAUGGUUUUCAAAAUACUCUUUUGAAACCAAACAUAUUCCUGGAAAGAAGAAUGUGCUUACUGACUUCCUGUCAAGGCCAAAAGCACCAGCCGAUAUCAACAUGUAUAUCAAGAGGCCCACUUUUCAUAUACUCAAUCAUGGCGUGAAAUAUAAGAUUGGGAAGAUCAAAGAUUUGCUAAGUUGGAAAUAUCCCUAGGAAAUUAUUCAACAAAUCCAGAAUGACAGUCUCGCUGAGAACUUGGAAAACCUUAUAUGGCAAUGCCACAUAGAUCUGUUCAAAUUUAAUGAAGGUUCAAUUCUUUAUCUUUUUUGAUUAAAUUUGGAUUAUCCAUUCAUACGUCCUCUUAUUUGGAAGGAAGAUGAUUUCCCUGAUCAACUCAAGACGUUAUUAUGAUACUUAACCAAUAAGUACUUGAUAGCUAUUGAAAUUCCAACCAGAAGAUUCAUUGUCAACCUCACUAGGAUAUUCUUACUUAGGAGAAACAUUGAAAGAGAAAGUGAUCAAAAUCUUUUAGACUUUCUCGAUUGGUUUUAUCCUCCUCCUCAUUGGAAAUAUCUCUUGGAGAAAGAACUAAGAACCACGACACCAAAUCCUGAAGUCCAUACCAUCCUGUUUUUUCGACAUCCAUGGCAUUUUUUUUCAGAAAUAAUGGCAACAUCAUUAAUGUCCCUCACGAAAUAGGAACAACAUCCUACAAACCUCACUUAGAUAGCAGAGAAGCUCAGAUUCACAAAUCUUAUCCAUAAUCUAUUAGAUCUUGUGAACACCGGAGAAUCUUGUGCCAAGAGAACAAAACCAUUCCUGAAGAUGCAUGGAAUUAUAAUGUACCAACUGCAUGAGAUCAUUAUGACCUAGCACCAGAAGCUAAAUAAGCCCUCAGGCAAUGCAGACAAGCUACAUCUCCUCAAGAUCAUGAAAUGACAGGAGCAGAUGAUAUUGUCCAAUCCACUCAAGACCUUUAUGCGCGCUUUGGAGGUCCUCUGUCCCAAGAUCCCUAUGAGCAAGGACCUUUGUCCUUAUCUCAAAACAUAGAUACAUCUUUCUAUGCACAGCCGUCCAAUUGGCCUCAGCCAAGCAUUCCUGUCGACACUGCAAAAAAUGACAACACAAACUGGGCCGAAGAAGAAGCAUCCCACUGGGCUUAUGAAGAAGCUUCCGCAUCCACAUCUCGCCAGCUCAACCAGAUUUUAUCACCAGAAGACCUUGAAGCACUUAAGCAUAAGUAUGACGAACAUUGCCUACCAACAGUAUACAACUCAGAUGACUCCGACUAUGACUAUAAUGCUCGUGAAGGACAAGAUCGUUGAACAAAUCCGAUGUCCAUACAUGUUCACUGUAGCAAAUUAUUGUUCACUUUUACUGUAGCACUAGGAUAGGGAAAGUACUGUUCACAAUACAGUCACUGUUCAUAGUGUGUGAAUAAUUCCCUCCCGGAAGUUUCCGGUGCCUCUGUUUGUAUCUGGACCCGUGAGCUUGGUCCUUGUGUGUAUAUUUGUGACCUCUUAUUGUCUAUAUAAGGCAAGGAGGGUGUAAUGUGUUGGGCAAAGUUCCUUGAAGUAAAGUGAGUAUUUUGUGAAAACCUCUCUAUGGCUUUCUAAACUCUUCUUCUCCAGCCUAGUAGGAUCCUCUAAGAAAUGCAACUUGGGUAAGUUAGAAACGUUUCUAUCCUGUCAUCUCUGAGUGUCUCUAGGCUCUGAACUAAAGAGUUGAAUGGUUUUCUACUAAAAGGCUGUCCCUGAAGGGCUUCAACGGGAGUUGUUUACCCACUGUGGGAAGGUAUACUUGCAGGAAAUUUACUCUCAUUCCUUGGUUCUAAGUCACAACUCAGAUGAGGAUUGAGAUCCCAUCCUCUUUUGUGAACCUUGUGUUGUGUAUAUAGAGUAUGACUAGAAUGUUAUGAAUAGUCUUGUGAAUAGACUUUGAAUUAUGCCAUGUAUAAAGGUUUGGUUGUGGAUUUCAAUGUGAAAAUAUGGCCUUACUUUGAGUUAUAACUACUUCUGCAUGUGCUUAAUAAACGAAAUGGUCGGCGAUACUUAGUCUUGGAAUAUCGCAUUAUAAAAUAGACCAAGUAGAAGGAUGUGUGCGUGCCUGAGGAUCGGGGCGUGACAAAUAUGCUUUUUCAUCCCACUUGCUUCAGCGCAUUCCCCUUUGAGAUAUAUAAUGUAACGUUGAUGCGUUUGAAUCGAUUAUGGAAAUUCAAAACAGAGAAUUGACAGAGGAGGAUGCUGGCUUUAUUGGAGUCAAAUUCAGGGUCUGUUGCACGUGCAUCUGAAAUGGGAACCUCUUAAAUGAGUUUGAAAGGGAACUAAAGUCAGUGUAGACAACUGAAUGUCCAAUGUUGAAUAAUGCUAAACAGAUACUGGCAGCAUGAGCUCAAUUACAUAACUCUUGGGUAUUUAGGAUUUUGAAGCUAGAAGUUACCCAAGUAACAAUCUCAUUCCGAGAAAAAUAAGUAUUGCUUGGUGAGCAUUACAUUUUUAAUUUAAAAAUUUCUUAUAUAUAGGAAUUUUGGCUACACCGAGUACGAGUUCUGUAAUCGACCAUGAACAUUUUUGCCCUCAAUGAAGAUUGUUACUAAUGCCUGCUAUUCGAGCUGGCUUAUUAACCCUCUGGAUUGGAAUUGGGUCUGCGAAAUAGAAAUUCUUGCUUGAAUUAGCAGGGCCCUUAGCAACUUUUUAACCUUCUAGAUUGGAUUUGGGUCUGAGAAAUAGAAGUGUUUGCUUGUUCUAGCUGGGGCUUAUACUUUUACUCAGUCGGCCUACUAAAUAGACCACAUAAUAGCUGGGGCCUUAGCAACCCUUAGGACUGAAAUUCUUACUGACCUUGCUUGUGUCAGAGUUUGUAUCUGCUGACUUGACACAUACGGUACAAAGCCGUUUGCGAGAGAUGCAUUUUGAUUAAGAGGAGUUCUAGAGAUAUUGUGCGGGUUCUCCUUUGUUGUAACUUUUUGUUGGGUGGCAAGUUGGAUAGACUGCUAUAAACAUGAGUCAAAAAUGAAAACUCAAUCGUGAGAUAAAGUCCUUAAAGAAUCAGUAAGAUGUACGCUAAGAUGAUCUUGCAAAGUGUUAAACAUCAAUCAUGCGCUACCGCAUCCUUCAACCGUAAAUGGGCUGUUUCCACCUUAGUGGGCGUGCAGUCAGUAUGUGUUCAACUUGAUCAUUGUGAAUUUUGUGUAAUUCGUAUGAAAGGAUUUCGAGUCUGCUCUUUUAAAAAAGGAAUCUCAGAGUUUAUCUUUGAUUAAAUCCUGAAUGGAAAGGAUUCAGCAAGUCGUGGUGCUGUCUUCAAUUGAUAGGUAUUAUUUCUAAUGGAAAUUCUAUCUAUAUCACUUUCAGUGUAUUGCUUAUUAACUUUUAGAAUAUUUAGUAAGAGGAUUCCUAGAGAGAUUGCAACGGUGUUUGUAUUUUCAUUUUAACAAUCUGAUUCCGAGAAAAAAGAUGUAUUGCUUGGUAAGCAUUAUUUCUUUAGUUGAAAGAUGUCUUAUUCGUACUUGUAUUUUUCAUUUGUAUUUUCAUCUUAACAAUCUGAUUAUGAUAUUUAAAAGAAAAAAAAGUGUUAUCUUGCAGCUAUGAUGUCUUUAUCCAGAGUGAACGAGAGUACUUGCGAUGUUCCUUAUUCUAUUACAAAGGUUCCGUCCUUCAAGAUGACACGAGAAACAUUAAGUAUUUGCUUGAGCAUUUGAAAGAUGAACUCAAGAACAUUGAUGAAAAGGUGCAGGGAUUGAGUCAUAAGGUGCGCCAUUUAAAUCUCUUGCCAGUUAUUCUUUUUGUUUGUCUGUUUUUAUUAUUUUAAUUGGACUCAUUGUUCAGAAAAAAGUAAAUGGUUGGAACUUAUACUUUUGCUAGGCUUGAAUCAAACAUCUUGUGCUGGCUUUCGUGGACACAAUCGCAUUAUCUAAGUUAGUAUAUGCCUUUUCUCAUCUCUACUCCAUUCUAGUUUAAUGGGUAUUACGAAGUGCAGGUAAUUUGUUAAACUAGCUGACCAAAGGAAGCUCGUCAUUGCGGGAAGAGCAGGUGCUGCAGACUGAAGAGUAGAUGCCAGGAAAGGAUAAUGGCAUAGGAAACAAUCUGUCCUCCAAAAGUCCUACGAACAAGCAUGGAUUGCGCAUUAUGAAGAGCGAGAUUAUGUAACAUAUAGUUGCCAAAACAUUCACUCUGAAUUCUCUAAUAUGUAUCCUUACUGCGCCGUCAGGAGAAAAUCAGGAUAUUUAACUGAGUAUGGUUUCAUGAUGAUUUCUCCAUCACCUGUAUCGGGUUCGAUGUAUAUGAUUUGCUGGUCUCCACAAUGCGUCUAUUAAUGACCAUUUCCUCCGGCAUGAACUUCUCCAAGUGAAAACAUGAUGUCCAGUCCACACUGCAUUUAAUCAGGAGGAGAAAGAUGCAUAAAUUUGACUGCUUCGAAGCGUUUUUGAAGGAACUGAAGGGGAGCGGCUAUUGCUUUGUGACUCCCCACAUUGCCGAAAUGACGAUCCAUGGUUUCAACUAGUAAAUGUAUGAACUCCAAGACCAGAAUUGCAAAGCAACUACCUUUCAUAAACAAGAACCAGAGCGGAAGUAUCAAAUUGAUGAAUGGAGUACGCUUGUGUUACUGUACGACAAACAAUGAGCGUCAAAAUUCAAAUUUAUACAUCUCUGUUUGAUCAAAUCUUUCUAAAGCGAGCUCAAAACCUCUUCAAGGAUAAUGUGGAUGACACCCUCUUCUAUCGGCUCAUGCAUCUAAAUUUUCGUGUAGAACUUUGGGAAGUAAUUGAUGAGGAUUCCUCCUAUCGAAGAAUUAUUCGUUGCUUCGGUCAAUUGGUAUAUGUUCCUCCCAUCCAAGAAGUAUGAGGGUUCCUCCCUACUAUUUAUGCUAGGACCACAUAUUAUCCAUGCUUUCGGAAUCGUUCAAUUCNNNNNNNNNNNNNNNNNNNNNNNNNNNNNNNNNNNNNNNNNNNNNNNNNNNNNNNNNNNNNNNNNNNNNNNNNNNNNNNNNNNNNNNNNNNNNNNNNNNNNNNNNNNNNNNNNNNNNNNNNNNNNNNNNNNNNNNNNNNNNNNNNNNNNNNNNNNNNNNNNNNNNNNNNNNNNNNNNNNNNNNNNNNNNNNNNNNNNNNNNNNNNNNNNNNNNNNNNNNNNNNNNNNNNNNNNNNNNNNNNNNNNNNNNNNNNNNNNNNNNNNNNNNNNNNNNNNNNNNNNNNNNNNNNNNNNNNNNNNNNNNNNNNNNNNNNNNNNNNNNNNNNNNNNNNNNNNNNNNNNNNNNNNNNNNNNNNNNNNNNNNNNNNNNNNNNNNNNNNNNNNNNNNNNNNNNNNNNNNNNNNNNNNNNNNNNNNNNNNNNNNNNNNNNNNNNNNNNNNNNNNNNNNNNNNNNNNNNNNNNNNNNNNNNNNNNNNNNNNNNNNNNNNNNNNNNNNNNNNNNNNNNNNNNNNNNNNNNNNNNNNNNNNNNNNNNNNNNNNNNNNNNNNNNNNNNNNNNNNNNNNNNNNNNNNNNNNNNNNNNNNNNNNNNNNNNNNNNNNNNNNNNNNNNNNNNNNNNNNNNNNNNNNNNNNNNNNNNNNNNNNNNNNNNNNNNNNNNNNNNNNNNNNNNNNNNNNNNNNNNNNNNNNNNNNNNNNNNNNNNNNNNNNNNNNNNNNNNNNNNNNNNNNNNNNNNNNNNNNNNNNNNNNNNNNNNNNNNNNNNNNNNNNNNNNNNNNNNNNNNNNNNNNNNNNNNNNNNNNNNNNNNNNNNNNNNNNNNNNNNNNNNNNNNNNNNNNNNNNNNNNNNNNNNNNNNNNNNNNNNNNNNNNNNNNNNNNNNNNNNNNNNNNNNNNNNNNNNNNNNNNNNNNNNNNNNNNNNNNNNNNNNNNNNNNNNNNNNNNNNNNNNNNNNNNNNNNNNNNNNNNNNNNNNNNNNNNNNNNNNNNNNNNNNNNNNNNNNNNNNNNNNNNNNNNNNNNNNNNNNNNNNNNNNNNNNNNNNNNNNNNNNNNNNNNNNNNNNNNNNNNNNNNNNNNNNNNNNNNNNNNNNNNNNNNNNNNNNNNNNNNNNNNNNNNNNNNNNNNNNNNNNNNNNNNNNNNNNNNNNNNNNNNNNNNNNNNNNNNNNNNNNNNNNNNNNNNNNNNNNNNNNNNNNNNNNNNNNNNNNNNNNNNNNNNNNNNNNNNNNNNNNNNNNNNNNNNNNNNNNNNNNNNNNNNNNNNNNNNNNNNNNNNNNNNNNNNNNNNNNNNNNNNNNNNNNNNNNNNNNNNNNNNNNNNNNNNNNNNNNNNNNNNNNNNNNNNNNNNNNNNNNNNNNNNNNNNNNNNNNNNNNNNNNNNNNNNNNNNNNNNNNNNNNNNNNNNNNNNNNNNNNNNNNNNNNNNNNNNNNNNNNNNNNNNNNNNNNNNNNNNNNNNNNNNNNNNNNNNNNNNNNNNNNNNNNNNNNNNNNNNNNNNNNNNNNNNNNNNNNNNNNNNNNNNNNNNNNNNNNNNNNNNNNNNNNNNNNNNNNNNNNNNNNNNNNNNNNNNNNNNNNNNNNNNNNNNNNNNNNNNNNNNNNNNNNNNNNNNNNNNNNNNNNNNNNNNNNNNNNNNNNNNNNNNNNNNNNNNNNNNNNNNNNNNNNNNNNNNNNNNNNNNNNNNNNNNNNNNNNNNNNNNNNNNNNNNNNNNNNNNNNNNNNNNNNNNNNNNNNNNNNNNNNNNNNNNNNNNNNNNNNNNNNNNNNNNNNNNNNNNNNNNNNNNNNNNNNNNNNNNNNNNNNNNNNNNNNNNNNNNNNNNNNNNNNNNNNNNNNNNNNNNNNNNNNNNNNNNNNNNNNNNNNNNNNNNNNNNNNNNNNNNNNNNNNNNNNNNNNNNNNNNNNNNNNNNNNNNNNNNNNNNNNNNNNNNNNNNNNNNNNNNNNNNNNNNNNNNNNNNNNNNNNNNNNNNNNNNNNNNNNNNNNNNNNNNNNNNNNNNNNNNNNNNNNNNNNNNNNNNNNNNNNNNNNNNNNNNNNNNNNNNNNNNNNNNNNNNNNNNNNNNNNNNNNNNNNNNNNNNNNNNNNNNNNNNNNNNNNNNNNNNNNNNNNNNNNNNNNNNNNNNNNNNNNNNNNNNNNNNNNNNNNNNNNNNNNNNNNNNNNNNNNNNNNNNNNNNNNNNNNNNNNNNNNNNNNNNNNNNNNNNNNNNNNNNNNNNNNNNNNNNNNNNNNNNNNNNNNNNNNNNNNNNNNNNNNNNNNNNNNNNNNNNNNNNNNNNNNNNNNNNNNNNNNNNNNNNNNNNNNNNNNNNNNNNNNNNNNNNNNNNNNNNNNNNNNNNNNNNNNNNNNNNNNNNNNNNNNNNNNNNNNNNNNNNNNNNNNNNNNNNNNNNNNNNNNNNNNNNNNNNNNNNNNNNNNNNNNNNNNNNNNNNNNNNNNNNNNNNNNNNNNNNNNNNNNNNNNNNNNNNNNNNNNNNNNNNNNNNNNNNNNNNNNNNNNNNNNNNNNNNNNNNNNNNNNNNNNNNNNNNNNNNNNNNNNNNNNNNNNNNNNNNNNNNNNNNNNNNNNNNNNNNNNNNNNNNNNNNNNNNNNNNNNNNNNNNNNNNNNNNNNNNNNNNNNNNNNNNNNNNNNNNNNNNNNNNNNNNNNNNNNNNNNNNNNNNNNNNNNNNNNNNNNNNNNNNNNNNNNNNNNNNNNNNNNNNNNUGAUGCCGAUACUAAAAAGGAAGGGAGGGAACCCACUUUCUAGCAAGCUACCUUAGACUAUCCUGCAUUUUAUUCAGUAUUUUUUUAAUUAAAAAUAUCGUUAUUCUGAUUACUAAUGCAUUCAACAUCCAACAGAAGUACAAGUAAAUUCAUAAUAAUAAGGUACGCUCUCAAUCGAAUUGUUACACAAUCCUAAGACAAUAACAUGAAAGUAAGAUAUAAUAUUAAUAUGCUUCCUUCUAUCAUUCACAUAUUUAAAGAAAGAAAAGGAUAAAUUCUUUAGUGCCUACAUAAAGGAAACAAUUUCCAACACGACAUGAUAAGACAACAUGACUCAAACAUGAUAGAGGAAUUUUAAAAGUUAAAAUUUCAUCUCGAAGAUGCUAUCCAGGUGGCUGUGCCGCCUUUCAAUGUAAAGUGACCCAAUUUAACCCAUUUGAAUUGAAUGGGUUGAGCGUGUCAUGCUCUGGCCAAGCUUUUGUAAUAGUUAGUGAAGGGUUCAUGUUUGGGUUAGCCUAGUUAUUAGUAUACCCUGAAGUUCACACGACAGAAAGACAACUCAUGCAUAUGAAUUGUCACCCUUGUACAUAUAUAUACUUAUGUAAAUAUUGUACAAGGCACAUGGUAUAAGGUAUAGGAUGGGCACGCGAUAAAAGACCUCAAACUUUAGAAUUUAGUAUGUAUUCAUGGUUUUGAAAUUUUGGGACCUAAAAGCUCCUCCGACCAUUAAUAACUCUCUGCCAAGCCGAUUAUGCAGGUUCGCAGAUUUUCUUUGAUACCUCUAGAUAUGAUUAGUUAGUUACUUGCAACUACCGAUAUUAGUGGUGUUGUAGUCACCGAUAAGUAGAAUUUUGGUUACAUGACUUGCGUAACCAACUAUUUAUAAUUUUUUUUACGUAUAUCAAUUGAUAUGUCACUGUAGGAAAUAAAGCAUUACAUAAGUCCGCCGAUGUUAAAAUGGAUUUUCAGCUUAAAAAAGGGGCAGCGAAAAAAUCUAAAAAGCAAACUGAGAGUUCUGUUUUAGAAAUAAUUUCACCACUGGAUUUCAGCAACUGGAACGAAGAGGAAAAUUUUGAUAUGCGGUGAGGAAGCCUGGAUUAUCUUUUGUCUUUCGACUAGGCUUGCAUGGAAUAUAGGUUCCCUCGAUUGACAGCACAUUGUUUUUUAGCCCCUACUUUGUUUGUGUUGGAGAUAUAAUACUUUGUUCAGAUAUUCUCUCGUCGUUGUCAUCGUCCUAUCCUUCCAUACUUUCUUAUCUAUAAAGGCUAUCCCAAAGAAUUUUUGGGCAAACUGAUGCAUGUUGUGAAUGUUACAAUGCGAUGACACAAAAUAAAUUCGAUGAGUAAAUUAGUUGAAGAGACUAAUUUGUGGAAAUUCGUAAUUCUUCCUCUCAUCCUUACAUGUAAAUAAGCUUUCUUAUCGUACAAAACAUGAGAAAGUAGGAUUUUUGUGUGUGUGUGUGUGUGUGUGUGUAGGUUCUAUUUGAGAAUUUCUUGCUUCAAGUAAUACUUGAUGUGUACGUUGAAAGUAUUGCUCACUCCUGAAUGAUUCGGUGAAAAUAAUAAAAAAUAUGUAUUGAAAAGCAAGGUAAAAGCCCCAUACUUUUUCUUUACUUCCGUGACUUUCAUGAGUCCCCCGUCAUACAUCAACACAAUUUCAAUCAUGCCGUCAUUAGUAUCGGACACUCUUCAACUCGUCGAAUAACAAUUGGCAUGAGAUGAACAUAAGAAUAUUAAUAAAUCUGGAGCGGAAUAAUCAAUUAGUCCUACAUAAAAAUGAUUUUGCAUGCACAAUAAACAAUAGCAAGAGUGAUCAGACAAACAAAAUGAUGUCAUACCCACGUGGCAGCAACCAAAAAUGAACAAACAAGACAAGAACUGGGACAAUUUGCAUUCCUACUAAAUUAGUGAACCUUUUUUGUGAUUUUUUUUUCACUGAAUAACUCUUAUGAUCAAGUUAACUCAUAAAUAUGGGAGACCCUAAUCCCUGGUGAUGGUGACUUAAUGUUAUGGGCCGAUAUUCCACAAAUGCGGAUCAUGAGAUCGAAGCCAUUUGUGGUGGUAGUGCGUGUAUCUUGUUACAUGUGAUUGGCUAUAAACCUUUGGCACCUUUCUGAGUUCAGUAGUGAUGGGUUCAUCUACUUCCAAACUGUUGCGAUAGGGCGAGCGAUCAAACAAAAUAUAGACGGAAGAAGAAAAUAAAUCGGACACCAGAUUUACGUGGUUCAGUCGUAAAGACCUAUGUCCAUGAGGAGAGCAGUAGCAAAUUUCACUAUAGAUCAAGCGAUAUAAGGAGAUUACACACUCAAGUCACUCAAACACUCUCUCGGUAUUUCCCAAGCCCCAAUUACACCAAAUAACACACACGUUGUUUAGCCCCCAAAAUUCCUCAAGAAAUAAUCUCUCAAUCUCACGAAGGAAUUACACGCAAAUCUUACCAUAAGAUUUAAUUGGCUUCAACACUAAACUUUCUUGGAUGUAAUUCACGACAAAAAAAAUCCCUCCCAAGCACUCGACAAUGAGGCGGCGCUUCAAGACCAAUUCUUCACGAUCAACAGCGGAACACCAAGCACUCACGCAGCGCUUCAAGACAAUUUGUGAUCCACCUCUAUCGCCCACGGCCUCAAGUCUAUAUAUAAGUAAAAUCCUUAUUCUUUUGCCAACUUCUCAUAGGAUUUUGUUUCCUAACCAAAACAUAUAUUGUAUAUUUUAAACAAAAUCCAAGUCCUAGUUAAAGUUGGACUUUCCUAUUUUAGUAGCUAGACUCUCCAACGCAGAUUCAAAUUUGGGAAGUUGAUCUUCGGACCUUCUUUGCUCGAUUUCGAACAUUCGCAACUUAUCCAAUUCGGAACAUUCAUAAUUUUGCAUUGGGCUUAAACUCGAGACAUAUUUUAACACAAACAGUGGGUCUCGAGUGGUGCAGAGUGAUGACCUUGGAAUAAGAAUAUCUCAUAGAAGGUGCAAAAUCCUUAAAGUAAGCGACGAGGAUUGAUCCUCCCUCCCCUUUCCCCUCCUGCACGGGAAAACUAUUAUGUGAGACUGCUUCAAAUGUUGUCAAGAGAAGGAUUGGGCACUUGAAUGGAAAUGGAAGAAAGAUGAACUUAAUUCUUUGACCAGCCCAUCAGUUUGUAAAUGGUUUCUGAUCCGCAGGGUUCAUUUAGAAAUUAGAUGUUGAUUUCGCAUAUUCAGAACCUCGGUUUUCAAUCCAUACUUCCAUCUGUACAGUAGUUUUUAUUAGAAGAUAAAAAGCUUCUUAUUUUGAAAAAUGACCUGAACAUAUUAAAAGGAUAUUAUCAGGUAUUUAUACAAAAUUUCAUUAUAGAUUUUUCUUUGGCUAGGCAAAGCCUACAUUAUAUUUACUAAAAGCAUUUCUGUACUUAGAGUUGAAAGUAUAAAAUUUUUGUCGAUCACGAAAACAUUUUCACAAUUAAUUCUCCUAAACAGUACCGAAGGACAAAAAUGGGGAAAAUAUUUUCGCACGGCUAAUUUCUCGUGAAACAGUCCCUUGGUUGCCUCUGUAGUAUGUAAGUUAAAAAUGAGGAAACGGUGCUCAACAUCAACAACUCCGCCUAAAAACUUGGUUGCCUCCGUAGUAUGUAAAUUAAAAAUGAGGAAACGGUGCUCAACAUCAACAACUCCACCUAAAAACUGGUGAAUCAACGUAAAAACUUAAAGGUAAAAAUAUUUAUGGGUAUGAAACUAGAACCCUUAUAAGGCAGACUGCAAGUGGAAAAUUUUCUUUUCUGAAGCAUAACCGGAUUAUUAUGCGCGUCUAUGUAACGAGUGUUGGGGUUUCAUGAAUCAUGUAUAUGUAAAAUUAACAAAAAGAACACAGCAGAAACAAAAAUAUAUUUUAUACAUGAUUCUCCUAAGGCGUUGUUCAUGCGUUUUAAUAAAAAAUCUGAAUAUAAAUAGGGAGUUAAAUGAAUUACCUCUCGAAGCGCAUUUUGAAACGAAUCAGUUCAAAUGUUUUACAGAUCGAGUCCCACAAGCAUCGGACCUCUAGUUCAGACACACUAACAACGAACGUCGAACGGAAGAGAGAACUUUUGGAUAUUCACCACGAAGAUCGUGCUAGCAAUCUCGUGAAAAUGAUCCGCCGUAUCCUCGAUGUAUUAUAGUCACGGCCCGAAUGAGAAAACGCUCUACUUUCUCGCGUCUCUCGAAGAACACAAGAACACGCACAUCUCUCUUUAUUUUCAGCAACCCAUUUUCUCUCUAAAACACAAAACGCAUGCCCACCUUUCUUUGUUUUUCAACCCCUGUUUUUGUCUCAAAAACAAACCUUAAAAAAUGAAGAUAUAAACUGAUCAGUAACCGUUGUUGAUCGUCCACGCUCAUGCACGAACGAUCGUGCACAUGCAUGAAGCUUUAUAUAUAUUAUUUUAUUAUUGAUUAUUAAAAGGUAUUAAUUAAUUAAUUAAUUAAACAAACAAAUAAUUAAUUAAUCAAUCCAUUUUAAAAAAUAAAAAGAACAUAAUCUUUAUAUGUACAAAUGGAAUACAUUAACAUGUAUCCACUCGGGUAUGCGUGUGCAUCAUAUGCAAAUAGGCUCGUGACUAUAAUACAAAUUAAAUUAAAUUAAAUCUCAUUGAAUUUAAUUUCAAAUUGACACAAUUCGAUUACAGUAAUUGCAAACACAUUUGCAAUAUUAUUUCUCUCUUGUUCCACGUUAUCCAAAUUGUUUAUGGUGUGUGACAUCCCUAGGUUCAUCACUAAGCUGGUAGUAAGACUUGUACUAACUCAUUAGUACUCCCAAAAGAAUUAAUUGUCCCGAUUAAUCUUUUAGGUCUUAUAAGCCAUGAUUGACAUAUAGCAAUAUGUCAUGGCUACCCAGAUAGUGUGAAUACUUUAAGAACAUAAUAAACCCGUCAGCUUUGAUUACAGUGUAAUUCAAUCCCUCUGUCUUACUAUGCCCCAAUCAAACAAAAACCAUGGAAUAUUUGUCAAGUCACUAAUUCGAUCAUAUGCACAAAUCUAAUUAACAUGCAUUUUAUUUGAGACAUAAACAAUUUAUUCUCAGUUACAACCCCGGCCGAGGAUUUCAAUACAGUGUCAUAAUUAGAUUGCAUAGGACAUCAUUAUUAUACAUUGCAUGUAACAAGGAGACAUAUUCCAUAUUGCGCACACGUGCAACUUCGUAUAUGAAAGAACUAUGACCAUUGAGUAUAAAGACGGAUCAACGACCCGGCAUUAUGUGUACCCGUGAACCAUAGUUGUUCAAUACACAAAUUAACACUGUGCCUCAGGUCUAAGGAUUAUUUACACAAGACCAAAGCAUAAACAAUUAGACAUUGACCACGCUAAAAGCUUCUAUGUCGCUAAUCGUUCCAUAUGCGUAACGUUCAGUGAACUUAUCUAAUACAAACACCUGUGUUCUAACUUAGGCAUCAUAAUACCCAAUGACAUGUGACUCAUCAUUCCCUUAAGUAUUCAAUAUUUAAUGGCGAAGUUAAGAACACACUGGUCUCAACAGGAUUAUUACUAUCCACUCAAUAAUCUAUCAGCCAUAAACGAUUUAAAGAUUCAGUCUAACUAUGAACCCGUCACAUAUAUUCUUGACGUUUCAAGAAUAGGUCUAGUUGCAACUGAUCUUAUGGAAUCAUUCAUCAAUACAAAGUAAUUGGACAAAUGAAUGAAUACGUCAUUGCCAUUAAUUAAAUAAUAAUAAUGAAAGUACAAUUGAAAUCCCUAAUAUGUAACUAUUACAUAGUAGCUUUAGGGCAUACAUCCAACAACGAGUAUGUCUUGAAUCUCAACUCUCAAUGCCGCCUAGGAAAAGCAUGUUUCCACGGCGGUCUUACAAAAUUCCAUGAGAAAAUAUUUGCCUUAACCAUUCAUAACGAAUCAUAGAAAAAGUGAAUAGAUCCUAUAGAGGUUCCCAUAAAAGUUCCAUACUCGCUAUGAAUUACUCAGUUUAAGCCAUAACCGUAGCUUAUUUGACAAAUCAGUUGCUACUACAUCACAGGAUGCGAAUUUAAAUAAAGCUGGAAGUGCUACAGUUAAUACAGGCCAGAUCAAGGCCACAUAACCUAGUUUGCUUUUAAUUGGAAUUAAAGAAUUUUGAAUCCAGAUUGAUGUGUCCAAAGUUGGGUCCCAGAACAAUUUAAUCAAAUUAAUCGACACAUGCUGCAUUCAGAGAUUGUGCGCACUCAACCAAUUUCUACUUCAUUUCAGGAUGUUUGCCCUCCACAGUUAGUGUAGAUGAUGAACGCAAUAACCCCAGAGAUACGCUUAGGACAUCCAAACUCUUAUAAUCCUGGAAAUUCCCAUGGAAAGCUGCCACCUGAGAAACCACCAAUAGCUUGUCUGCGCUUCUAGAUAUUAGAUGCUCAUCGUGACUAACCUAAAUGAGCGCCUCAUCCAAAUCCUACAAUUGGGUAUAGUGGAAAAGGCAGAAUCAUAUCUAUUUCUAGACAAGAAACUAACGAUUUACAAAGAUGACACUUAAGUAGUCACUACUCAUUAAAGAAAAACUAAGAGUGAACAUUUAUAAACAAGAAAAAGGUCCACAUUCAUUAUGUGCAAAGCCCAACACUACCUAGAAGCACAAACAUAGGAACUACUUGGUAUCAUAGAGUACUCUAAUACAAAAACACUGAUCAGGCUAGUAGAACCAUUCUAUUCCCAACAUUUUGCAAGUUGGAAAAAUUAGAUUGGUCUCUAUUCCAUUAUAAGUUAGAUGUACAAUGACAAAGGCUCCUUAUAGCUGUGAUCACUUAUUGGUUUUAUUGUAUUUUCAAUGUAAAGACUAGAUUCUGAUAAGUUCAAAUAGUGCAAGAACAAUACCAAGCUAACUGAAAAAGAAAAAUGAGUAAACUUACCAAAUGAUUGGAUGGCUUGUCAAGCAAAACUAUGUGAGGUUUCUUGAAAGUUAUCUUGGCAGAUGCAACGCUGCUUAUCUGACCACCUAUUUACAUGGUCAAAGCACCAUGUUAUGUGUGCAAUAACAUCCAAAAAGCCUUGGAGCAAUUACACAGUGAACCACAAUUGAGAUUACAUAUUAACUGUGACAUCCUAGAAUUUCAAUUUGCUUUCAAUUAAAUAAAUCGGGCAUUUCAUCGACGCACCUAUAGUGCUAUUCUCAGAGCUAAUCACUCGUGAGAUAAGUAAACUAUAUAGGGAAGUUAUUAAGGGAUUUUAAGGCAAAUAGACAUGAGAAUUCGACUAGAAAUCGGCUACUCGACCGUGCUCAUCUACCGAGAUCGUUACGGCAUAGUUAAAAAUCGAUUAGAGAUCAGAGAUAGAUUGGUUCGACUUCAACUGAGAUGUGUGAUUAAACGUGAGUGAUCCCACUAAAUUGCAAAAUUCUCAUCGACCGACACUAGACUGAUUUUUCUGUCGUUUUGGUACUUUGUGUCAGUAUUUCCUCGAGAUUUUCAUGACAACCAAGAGUCGCCAAUGAGUCGAGUGGGUUCAUUGUGGCUCGAAAAAAAUUGACCACGAGUCAUUUGCACUAAAUAUUUUUAAAGCUACCCGGUAACUUAGGUCACGUUAAAAAUGCGCUAGAGUGAAAUUAACCGUGAAUUUGAAUCUGAUUUCAGAAAUUGAAAUUUUUGCCAUGUCACGGGUCAAUUUAAGAAUGUCGACUCAGUCUCAGAAGAUUUUUCUGCAAACCGAGACUUUUUGAGAAAAAGUCAUCAUAGGGCCGUUUUUGUUCAUAAAAAGUUAGGGACCGUUUUUUAUCGCGCAAUUGGGAAGCAAGUGGGAUCAAUUGAUGAGGAAAAAUACUAAUUUGAUCAUUGAGGUGCUAAUUGAAUUUAUGAGGGCCAAAUUGGAUUGAAUCAAGAGAGAUUUAGAGUCCAAUUGGAGGGAAAUCCUUGCAAUUUCGUAUGCCCCCCAUGGGCAUGACUUAUUGUCACGCCCCGAACCUUGAGCGCGCGAACAUCCCACUUAGGUCAAUAAAAAUAUGCAACAUCCUAGGACGCGUCGCUGAUCCAUUUAUUUUAUUACGCAUGCGGAAGCGAAACAAAUCCCUUGACAACAUUUAACUUGGGAUAUAAAAGCAGGCAAACAAUCACAACCAAACAAGCUUUCUUGUAAACACAUAUGUUUAUAUACAACACUGAAUUGUCUAUUAAAUAGACCGGCUCAACAAAAAGGGAACGAUCCUAUGACCAACUAGUCAGACAUGUUUGUCGAUUCUUCAGUCUCCACCUCCACAAAUGUCCAUGGCUUCAAGUCCUCCACGACCGCCAUCAAAUGACCUGAAAAUGUUGAGCCCACGAUGAGGUGAGACAAUGUCUCAACGAGUUCUACUCCCUAAAACUCGAUUAGGAAGAAAAUAUGCCUCAGGGCGCUCUAGCCACACAAAUCAAACAGAGGACUUACCUCGCCUCAAUCCCUUCCUGCAAGUUUGUACAGUUUAUAAUUCAACCAGUCAAUUCCUCAAUCCAAUAACUCAGUCCCAAUGAUUCGGUUCAAUCAUACUAUCUAUCUUUCCAUUCCAAUCCAUACUAUCUAUCAACCAUUACUAUAUAUCAUUCAAUACCGUCUAUCAAUCCAUUCGUCAAUAUGACAUAUGCUCUCCAAAGCUGUAAUAUAUAGACGGUAGCUCACCAAAGCUGUAUAGAUAGAUAGUAGCUCGACAAAGAUAUAUAGAUAGAUAGUAGCUCACCAAAGCUAUGGAUAGAUGGUAGCUCACCAAAGCUGUAGUAUAUAUGUAUAUUAUAAUUGCUCACCCAAGCUGAUACAUAUAUAAACAAUUGCUCACCAAAGCUGAUCAUUCAAUAAUAAACAAUAGAACUAGAUAUUCAAUCCAAUAACAUCCAACGAUUCAAACUGGUCCUACAAACCAAUUACGGUGCCAAUAGCCGACACCGGGAAUUUUUGAGUUAAAUACCAAAACUUCUCCAAUUCACUCAAUUCCACACUUUUGGAAUAAUUAUCCACAAUCAUCAUUUUCACUGAAUUUCUCAAUUUAACAUACAAUUAGCAAAAACUAAUCGCACUGCUGUGAUUAGUGCGAAAUUCUAACGACUGACCAUCCCGGCAUAAUUUUCGAAAAUAUCAAAUAAUUAAAUUUAAUUCCGAAAAUUAAAUAAUUAAAUAAUUAAAUUAUAUUAAUAUAAUUUAAUAAAAUAAUAUUUAUAAUUUCGAAAUAAUUCAUUAAUUAUAAUUAAUUAAUUAUGGCUUAAACAAGAUUACACUAAUUUAAACAUACAAUUAGCCCUAAUUAAUCAACCACUAAACUAAUCAUACAUCUAAUUUAAUUAACAUUUAAAUAAUCUAAUCUAACCACCUAAACUUACUUAGAUUAAUCUAAGCACCCCUUAAGCAUAAUUAACUUACUAAGCAAUGAUUAGAGGUUAAACUCACCGGUUUUGCAUUUCGAUGAGUCCACAACGACCACGACGCCAAGGCGGGUGAUAAACCUCAAAGCUACGACACCAAUGGAGGUCGGGAAGACACCUAAAACGGGCCUUGAAGCUCCCACAGCUUGCUGGUCUUCAGCUACUGAUCUUAAACUGAGAAGGUUGGAACCGGCAGCGGUUUGGUGGGGAAACGGCAACUCCGGCGACUGUCCGGUGGCUUGAGGGCGAUGCACAAUGAAGGCGACGCACCGGGGUCUUAACAACAGCGAUCUAAGGCAAUCCUGGGGCUGGAACAACAACCACAAUCUCGGACUCCCUUUGCAACUUUGAAAAACUGGUCUGCCGGAGGAGAGACAAAGCUGAACAAACUUGGCCGGAGCUCCGGUGAGGGGUUGGCUAGCAACCGGUAGCACUCGGGGGUCGAGGGGGAUCUGCUAAUGGUUGGUGUGGGUGGAGGAAGGGUCGGAAUGGGAGAAAACACAAAGAAAAUGUGAAACAAACGAAAUCGGGCAAGCUGCCAGGCGGACUGACGGACUGGCGACCGGUUUCUUCUCGUCGGCAUACUAGAUGGACGGCGGCUCAGUUCGAGGUGAAGCCAGACUCUUUGGAAUGAUCUGGAUGUCCUAGUCAUGGCAAUAGGUGGGUUAUUCACUGAUUCAUCCAGGAAGUCGACUUUUCAUUGGGAUCUUUGGCGAAAGGUCGGAUGGAGCAGAAACUAGAACGAGGAGAAAACAGGGGAGGAAAACGGUCGACAAUGGCCUUUCGGGCGUGCGACGGUGGAGGGGCUGGUGAGCUCAGUUUCCUCUGGUUCUCUUGAGCUUUUCCUAAGCCUCAACCAUGGAGAAAGCCAUGUUUCAAGGAGGAAGAAGGCUGCUAAAGAGGGGGGGACCCCAAUUGGCUUCUCUAGCCUUCCAACACUUGAGAGCUUGGCCCCACCACUUGGGCUGUCAUCCUAAGCCAUUCUCUCUCAAAUCUUCCUCAAGAAGCCUCUCUUCAUGGCUGAAAUGUUGCUCCUCUAAUGGCAUAUGAAGUUUGUGCAUUUGUCCCUCAUUUCCAUUCAUUCCUCUUCAAUUCCUUCAAUUCUUACUCAGUUGAGCUCAAAUCAAAGCUUCUAAAUUCACCCAAGGUGUCCUCACUUAACUCCAUAUUUUUCCUUGUCUAUUGAACCAACUUGUAUCCUAAAAUUGCGAUCAAAAGCAGGCCUACCAAUUUCCUGAUCCAAAAUAACCAUACUUUGAUUUUUUGUCGAAAAUCUCGGUUUGCAGAAAAUUCUUCUGAGGAUGAGUCGAUGUUCUUAAAAUGAUUUGUGACAUAAAAGAACUUUCAAUUUCUGAAAUCGAGUUCAAUUUCCCGGUUAAUUUCAAUUAGGCACGAUUUUAGCGCGUCCUAAUCUACAAGGUAGCUUUUAGGAAUUUUUGGUGCAUUUGACUUGUGGUUGAUUAUUUUCAAGCCACUAUGUACAUCUUCGACACAUUGACAACUCUCAGUUGUCGUGGAUAUCUCGAGAUUUCAAAUACGGACACGGGGUACAUAAAAAGACAUAACAAUCAAUCUAGAUCAGGUGGAAUCAACCACACACUGAUCACAUAUCUCAAUUGAAUCGACCUAUCUCUGAUCUCUAUUUGAUUUUGACAGUGCUGUAUUGACCCUUGUAGAUUAGCACGAUUGAGCAGUCAGUUUAUGGUUGAAUUCUCAAGUCAAUUGCGUUUAUAUUCCUUAACGGCUUUACCUGAUAGAUUAGUUAACUCAUAAAUGGUCAACUUAGAGAAAAAAGCUAUAGGCGCGUCGAUAAAAUACCCAACUCAUUCAAUUGAAAACAGAAUUGGAAAAUUAGAAUGUCACACUUAUGGACCAUCUAAAAAGGUUUCUAGAAGGAUUUUGUGUUGGAAAUUUCUAUGCAAGCUAGCUGAGAAAUGGUGGAGACCACAAGGGGAAAAGAGGAUGAGGUUGGAAGCCAUUGGUGGCCCCCCUUGCCAAGACUGGUCCCCUCCUCUCUCCUUCCUCUCUCUCUCGUCGCAGUUUCUCCUCCUCCAUCCUCUCUUGCCAUUCGACGCCCUAGCAAGUCGAAGACCAGCGAAGCCAGCUUGCCGUUGAAGCCUCACCAUCGCAUGCCAUGGCCGAAGUCACCACCACUACACGAUGUCGCCUCACCUUGCUCGCACAAUGCCGAUGCCCAGCUAUCUCCGUCCACUUUUGUCCGUGUGUCCAGCAAGCCUUUCAGCCAGCUCAAGCCGCCGUGAACCUUGCCAGAUGCCCGCCGAGCCCCGCCCUUGCCUUGUCGUGCAGCCUCUAGAUCAGCCUUCAACUGACCUCAAUCAACAGCCGGAAAAGUGGGUUUCUGGCAAGAGGUUUGGCCCAUUUUGAGGUGGUUCCGAGUCUCGAAAGUUAGGCCCGCUUUGGAGAAAAUCGAGCUCUGUUGCGUCCCCGACGUUUUGAACUACUUGGACUACUUAACAAGUGAGUUUCACUUACUAAUCCUCACUUAGUAGGUUAAUUAUGCUUAGGGGCUGAUUAGUAAGAUGGAUUAGGUGGUUAGAUUAGAUUAGAUUCGUGAAUUUAGUUAAUUACCGAUGCAUGUUAGGUGGUUAGCUUUAUGUAAUUAGUGAGUAGAUAGACUCUAUUAUUUAUUUAACAAGUAUCGGAAUUUUUCCAGACCUCUUCCAGCAUAUAAUUAGGCUUUAAGGGCCUAAGUAUGCGUUUUUGGUAUUUAUUGGCAUUAUUUUAUUAUUUUUCGUAAUUAAUUAAUUAUUUAUUUUUCAGAAAUUAAACCAGGAUAGCUGGUGACCGGAAUUUUGUACUGAUUGCAGUGGUGCUUUCUAUUUAUUUAAUUGAAUACUAGAUUGUGAAAUUUGAGUGCGAGUAGUGAUUAUGAAUCAUUAUUCCAAAAAUGGACAACUUGGGUAAUCGAUUAAGAAAUUGUCGUGUGAGACUGUUAACUAAAUCAAGAGAACUACUAGAGUAUGGUUAUGCCGAGUGGGGCCGUGAUUCUUGUCACGCCCCAAACCUCGAGCGUGUGAACAUCCUACUCUAGUCGAUAAAAUUAUGUGACUUCCCAAGACACGUCGCUGACUCAUUCAUUUUUAUUAUGCAUGCGGAAGCGAAACAAAUCCCCUGACAACAUUUAACUUGGGAUAGAAAAGUAGGCAAUGAAUCACAACCAAACAAGCUUUCUUAUAAACACAUAGAUUUAUAUACAACACUGAAUUGUCUACAAAAUAGACAGGCUCAACAAAAAAAGAACUAUCCUAUGACCAACUAGUUAGACACGUUCGCUGAUUCUUCGGUCUCCACCUCCACAAAUGUCCAUGGCUUCGAGUCCUCCAUGACCGCCAUCUAAGGACCUGAAAAUAUUAUCCCACAACGGGGUGAGACAAUGUUUCUGCGAGUCCUACCCUCUAAGACCCGAUUAUGAAGAAAAUAUGCCUCAAGGCACUCUAGCCACACAAAUAGGAUAGAUGACUUACCUCACCUCAGUCCUUUUCAGCACGUCAAUAUAAUUCAAUUUUCAAUCACAUAAUUGAGCCAACAAUUCAAUUCAAUCAUACUAUCUAUCUUUCCAUUUCAAUCCGUACUAUCUGUCAACUAUUACUAUCUAUCAUUCAAUACUGUCUAUCAAACCAGUCGUUAAUACGACACAUGCUCUCCAAAGCUGUAAUAUAUAGACGGUAACUCGCUCAAGCUAUAGAUAGAUAGCUCACCAAAGUUGUAGCUGUAAUAUAUAUAAUAGCUCGCCAAAGCUGUAGCUAUAAUAUAUAUAUAAUAGCUCACCAAAGCUGUAGCUGAUAUAAUAUAUAAUUAAAUAUUUAUUCGCCAAAAUUGCAUAAUCAAUAAUAAACCAGAGAACUAGAUAAACAAUUCAUUUAGAUCCAUGAUACAAACUGGUCAUACAAACCAAUUACAGUGCCAAAAGCCGACACCGGGUAUUUUCAAAUUACAUAUCAAAACUUCUCAAAUUUCAUUCAAUUCCACACUUUGGAAUAAUUAACCAUAAUCAUCAUUUCCACUCAAUUUCUCAAUUUAACAUACAAUUAGCACAAACCAACCGCACUGCUGUGAUCAGCGCGAAAUUCUAACGACCGGCCAUCCCGACAAAAUUUUCGAAAUUAUUAAAUAAUUAAAUUUAAUUCCGAAAAUUAAAUAAUUAAAUAUUAUAUUAAAAUAAUAUAAUUUAAUAAAAUAAUAUUUAUAAAAUUCGAAAUAAUUAAUUAAUUAAAAAUAAUUAAUUAGGGCUUAAACUAUAUUACACUAAUUUAAACAUACAAUUAGCCCUAAUUAAACAUCCACUAAACUAAUCAAACAACUAAUCUAAUUUACAAUAAAAUAAUCUAAUUUAACCACCUAAACUUAAUUAGACUAAUAUAAACACCCCUUAAGUAUCAUUAACUUACUAAACGAGGACUAGAGGAUAAAAUCACCCAAUUAACGAGCUGAACGGCUCAAAGCGAUGGGGACGACGCGAGGGUCGAUAGUCUCCAAGGCGAGCCUAGCUUCCGAGGUCAGGAAGCCGAUCAAAACGGGCCAAAACUUCGCUAUGAAACCCAUUUUUCCAGCUGUUGAUUGGGGCCGAGAAAGGGUAGAUCCGGGGAUGGUUGGGGCCGGGAAUGGGCGGAGGAGCUGCAACGGUGCCGUGCGACCAACGACGGAGUCUCGCGGUGGCCGGAGGUGGGUUGGACAACUUUGGCUGAGCUUCCCCAGAUCUGGAAUUGCUACUAGAAUAGAGGAGCCGGCAAGAUGGAGAAGAAAAUGGAGCAGCGGUGAGGUGACGGCGAGAAGCGGUGGUGACUCCGGCUGCGAUGUGUGGCGGUGAGGCCUCAACGGCGAGCUGGCUUCGCUGGUCUUAAGCUUGCAGGGGCGUUGAACAACAAGGGGAUGGAGGAGAGAGGCUUCGACGAGAGAGGGAGAAGGAAACGGAGGCAUGCGAAGCAGCGGCGAGUAGCAACGGCCUUCGGUUGGGAUGAACAGCGAUGGACGGUGCUGCUGGUUGCUGCUUCACGGCUUCUUCGGUUGGCUGGGUUCUUUGCACGACCAAAAGAGAUGGGGGAGAGAGGAGCAACAACGGGAGAGAAGGAGAAAGCGGGGAGGAACCGGUUCUCUCUCUCUCUCUCUCUCUCUCUCUGGCCCCACAAACAUGGCCCACCAUGACCUCACAUGAGGUCAUCUUCCACUCACACCAAGCUUCCACAACUAUCUUCAAUGGGUCAAAUUUCUUUUUCCGACGUGGUAUGAAAUCUUGUAUCAAUUUCAUUCAAUUCUCUUCUAAUUGAACCAAAUUGAAGUCUAUAAAAUUAAUCCAAUGUCACUACACUUCAAUUCGCAUCUUCACUAGUCCAUAGAACCAACUUAAGUCUCAAAAGCACGACUAAAGGCGGGCCUACUAAUUUCUCGAGCCAAAUUAGCCAUUCUUUGAUUAAUUUGUUGAAAAACUCUGAUUGCAUGAAAAAUCUUUCGAAAAUGAGUCAAUGAUCCUAAAAUGGUUUGUGACACACAAGGACUUCCAAUUUAUGAAUUCGCUUUCAAUUUCACGAUUAAUUUCACUCUGACACGAUAUUAGCGCGUCCUGAUCUAUCGGGUAGCUUUUAGAAAUUUUCAUGCAUUUAACCUGUGAUUGAUCAACUCAAGCCACAAUGUACAUCUUUGACACAUUGGCGACUCUCGGUUGUCAAGGUAAUCUCAAGGUUUCAAAUACAAACACAGGGUACCCAAUCGACAGAAAAGCUGGAUCGACAAGGAUUGUGCGACCUAGUGGAAUCACCCACCCUUGAUCACAUGCCUUUAUCGAGUCGACCUAUCUCCAGUCUCUAAUCGAUUUUUAAUUGUGUCGUAAUGACCCUUAUAGAUUAGCUCGGUCGAAAGGUCGCUUCCUGGUCAAAUUCUCGAGUAUGAUGCAUUAGAAUCUCUUAAUGGCUUCACCUAAUAGACUAGUUUUCACAUGAGUGGCUGACUCAAGGAAAAUAAUUAUAUGCAUGCCAACGAAAUGCCCGUCUCAAUUAUUGAAAAUAGAAUUGGAAAAUCGGGAUGUCAUAAUUCCAUUAAGUCUAAAUUUGCCGAGUGGGACCGUAAUUAUCACUAAGUCUAAAAUUUACCGAGUGGGGCCGUGAUUACCACUAAGUCUAAAUAUGCUGAGUGGGUCUGUGAUACCACUAAGUUUAAAUAUGUUGAGUGGAGCCGUGAUACCACUAAGUCUAAAUUGCCGAGUGGGGCCGUGAUUUCACUAAGUCUAAAAUUGCCAGUGGAGCCAUGAUGACCACUUAACCCAAAUUACGCAUGUAGGGCCGUGAUCAAGAUUCAAGAAUGAAUAGUUGGAAUGAUUGUGUGAUGGUUUCAAUGACAUGUAAUUGACUAAGUCGAUUGAUCGUAGAGUCGAUCCGAUUGGUUGAAUUGAUUGGGUGUUAAGAUUGUCAAUAAUUACGAAUUGAACUGAUUUCCAGGAAGGAAUUGAGACCAAGGUAAGUUUUCUGAUGCCCGUGUGUGCUUAGGCAGCCCUUAAAGCAUAUUUUACUCAUAAUCAAGUCUUAGGAAGUAGAACUCGCUGAGACAUUGUCUCACUGAUUAUUGUAUAACCAUUUUUAGGUCCGUAAGUAAUGGUUAUGGAGGACCGAAGCCCGGAGUUUAGGAGGUGAAGCCUGAAGACCCGGCAAACUUGUCAAACUAGUUAGUCAUAGGAUAAUUCUCUUUUGUUAAAAGCCGAUCCCUUUUUGUAGGCUUCAGUGUAUAAACCUGUGUGUUUAUAAAAAUGUAUUUUAUGAAAAAUUGGCCCUACUUUCAUAUCCCAUUGUGUUAUUGUCUGGGGAUUUAUAUUUACUUCUGCAUGCAUAUAUUAAAUCGAAUGGGUCGGCAAUGCAUCUUGAGAAAUUGCUAUUAAUCAACCAAGGAGGGAUGGGCACGUGCUUGGAGGAUCAAAGCAUGACAUUAACUAACCCCCAAUAGAGCUUCACAAUGUCACACAAAAAUUGCUUAAAAUUUUUAUUUACAUGUACAACAGUAGCAAAGAGGGAGAAGAUGAUCCAUACAAGGUAUACAUUGAUUGAAGUGCAGGAUUUCCAGUUAGACCAGGGAACCUAAGUGAGCUCAGGAAGAAUGCCACAUAACAAGGUAAUUUCAAAUACAAUGACAUAGUGUAUGACGAAUUUAAAGAACUGACAAGAUUUGCUCCAAAGGUCACUACUGAGAAUGCAAACCUAGAGGCAAGCAGGAUAUUGUUACAAUCUCAACCAAAUAAGCAUGAGUAUAUUGGCUAAAACUUUCUAGCAAGUUGUAGGUAAUAGUUCCUAACUCAACAUAGAUCAAGACCCAAGCAGAAGGUGGUUUAUGAAUAUCAGUCCUAUCAUGAAUUUGUGUUGCAUUGAAAGCUUAAAGCCAUAAACACCCCCAAAUAGACUGCUUAAUACUAAGAAGGAUCAUUGUUGUGACCAAAUUUUCGAGUGUUGUGGCAUCCUAAAAUUUCAUAAAAAUCCCUAAAUAUGCCAUGAGCUAAGGAUAGGCGAUAGAAGUACUGCUAUUGUAUUCUGUAGCCUCCUAGUCCAUGAGUUGCGAUGAGAUGUAUGGCCAAGUCUUUAAUGGAUGAAUUUUGGGAAAGGAAGUUUUAUCUUUUGCCAUGUGUGUAUGAUAAAUUGGAACUUAUGGAAUUAUAAUUUCAAGUGUAUAGUUAUCUUAAUUUGUAAUUUAGUACUUCAAUUUAAUAGGGAUUUAAGUAGUUUUUAAAAGGGUUGAUCUUAGGUUAAUUAAGCUUGGGUCUUAGCCCAAGAGGGAUGGGCCUAGAUGGACCAAGAUGGCCGGCCCAUAAGCCCAUGAGGGCUGUUGACCGUAAGAAGGGGAGGGGAAGAGACCGGUUGCAUGCCCUCCCCCACUUGUCCUUUGAAGUGUGACAAGUGUCCCCCAUGCAUUGCCAAUGAUUGCUCAUCAUUGAGGGGAAGAAAAUUUGGAGAAAUGAUGGCCGGUUUAAGCGAGAAUGAGGGGGAGAGAGAGAGGGGUUCGUCUGAAGAGAGAAAGAGAGGAGAGGAGAGAAGAAAGGAAGAAAGGGAGAAGAGAAGAGGAAAGGAGGAGAGCUGUUUGUCGACCGUCCGCCGUGCGUCCAUCGUUCGUCGCCAUGUGCUCGUUGCUAUCUCGGUCUAGAGGCAAGUUGGGAUUCUUAAUCUGCUCUUGCAUGUUGUGUCUAGCAUGUGUGCUUGAAUGGUGAUAGAUUUCGGAUGUUUAGGGGUGUUAAAAGUCGAAGUUCUAAGAGGGAUGUUUGAUACCAGAAAACUGUUCUUGAGAAAAUAGUUUGACCUUGAAUGUUCUAUUGGCUUGCAUGUGUUGUUUGAGUUGGAUUUUGACCGUGAAUUCUAAAUGAAAGUUGUUAAGUACAUCUUGAAAUAUAACAUACUCAAAUUUUAGACAAAAAAAAACAAGUAUAAGUAGGUGAAAUCUUCCUUUUUCGGAGAGACUAGAUCUGGAAUUCGUUGUGCCGACCUUCAGUGGUUUCGUGGUCUGUAAAGUAAACUUCUUGUAAAAUAUCAUCUUUAUCUAUUAACAAAAGUUGUAAAGGACAUCUUGAGGUUUAACAUAUAAAAAAUUUAGAGAAAACCAACAAGAUGAGGUAGGUGAAAUUGUGGUUUUUCGGAGGGUGUUGAAUCUGGAAAUUUCGGUACUAGGAACAGAAGUUUUAACCACCUAUAUUUAAUUAUCUAGGAUGAAUCUGACUUUGAUUCCUUCAUGAAAAAUCUACUUUAGGGUCUUGACUACUGCAUAGUCUAAUUUUUUAAUUUUUGAAGGUCAUUAGAGUAUUUAAUCGGAAAUAUUUCAAAAACCGUGUAAUCUGACGCGUUCGGACUUAGUCAGUUUCAAUGCGUGGGACAUAUCAUUUUGUAUAAAAUUCUUUCGGCAAAGUUUUCUUCAUGAAGUAUAUUUAUUUAUGUUUUCCCUGCAACAUAUUCAAAUUUCAUAAUUUUUGAAGUUCAUUUGCCUAUUUAACUGAAAAUAUUUUGAAAACUGUGCAAGUUAAGUGGUUAUGAUAAUGGUGCUGUGAUGUUCGAUUUAUACCACAUGAUAUGAGGGUCUUUUGGUGCAGUGUCCUUCAUGAAAUAUUUUCCAUUAUGUCUUGACUAUCCCAUGUUCAAAUUUCAUAAUUUUUAAAGGUCAUUUGGGUAUUUAAUGGAAUUAUUUUCUAAAACUAUGCAAGUUGGAUAGAGCGAAUUUCAAAUGCUGUAAUUUAUGAUUAAUCUAUUUUGGAUGAGUCCCAUAAAUUAUAUUGAUUGAGAUGAUUGAAUCCUGCUGUGCUUGAGAUGAUAUAUGGCAUUGCUUAUAAAAUCAAAUGUUGAAUUUGACCUUAUUGCCAUUACAUUAUGUGCCACGUUGAUUGUGAGAUAAAAUUUGGUGAAUAUGAAUUAUGAUGAAUGAGGAGAUUGUUGGUGGAGAGUCGACAAUGCCCUGAGAGUUUCAAGAUGCCCGAGAUGGGGGGUGCCGGAUGCCCGGUUGUAUUGAGAUACAUGCCCGGAUGUCCUUGGGAGUUUCGAGAUGCCCGGAAUGGUUGGGUGCCGGAAGCCUCGGAGGUUUGUGCUCGGGGAAUUCCUUGGGAUGCUAGUUGGGAUAUGAGAUGCCCGAAAUGUGGGGAUGCCGGAUGCCCGGUGCUGUGUGUUGGAGGUUUCUCGCGAUGCUAGGUUGGGGUGCGAGUGAUAGAACGCGGGAUGCAAUUACUGAUCCCGAGAAAGAAAGAUGUGGUGAUCAAAUUGAAAGAUAAAAAGUGGAAAUAGAAUCAUGCACAUAUGGUAUGAUGACAUAUGCAUGGCUGUAUGAUAUGAUGAUGAUGAGUGCAUGGUUGUAUGUGCACCUAUGGCAUGAUGGUACAUGUAUGACAUGAUGAUGAUGAGUGCAUGGUUGUAUGUGCACCUAUGGCAUGAUGGUACAUGUAUGGCAUGAUGAUGAUUAAUGCAUGGUUGUAUGUGCACCUAUGGCAUGAUGGUACAUGUAUGACAUGAUGAUGAUGAGUGCAUGGUUGUAUGUGCACCUAUGGCAUGAUGGUAUGUGUACAUGAGGCAUGGUAUAUGUAUGACAUGAUGGUGAUGAGUACCUGAGGAUGUAUGUACAUAUGGUAUGAUGACAUAUGCAUGGCUUCAAGGUAAGUUAUGCUUGGAUGCAUGAAUGAUAUGUACUAUGCUAUGAUUGUUAUGAUUGUAUUGUGUGAUGCUUUGAGUAGUUUAUUGGAUCUUUUACCUGCUGAGUGGCUGUACUCACCCCUUCGGGGACCAACAUUUCAGAUUAGGAAGAUGCCACUCCCUCCAAUCACGUGGGGUACCUUCGAUGGCCUCCCAUCUGACGUGGAGGUAGAGUGUUCGGAGAUUGAUUGCAUUACCAUCCCUAGUCUGACGUUUGUGCAAGUUCGCGUGCUGGUCAUGUACGAUGUGGGCCUGGCUGGGGGCCCAGUCAUUCAUGAGUUUUUGUCGGUCCAUGUCCACCGAGAUGGAGUGUUUAGGGGAAUGUUGCCGCCACCACCGCCCGACGCGCCAGGAUGGACGUGAUGGCCGUGUGAGGAGUAGAGAGCUGACGUUUCUUUUUUAGGGUAGCCGACGCUGGUAGAUGGAGGAUGACACGUGAUUGAAUAUAGGGGUCGAGAUAUCUUUUGGGUUGUGGCCAAGUGUAGUUAAAAAUCUUGGCUUUUCUUUUUGGUUGUACCAACCCGAAAAAUCCAUCAUGAAAAUAUGUAAAUAAAAGUGGCUCGGCUUUAUCUUUUCAUGUGGUGCGUAGUAGGUGUGCAUUGCAUUAUGGUUAUUGGAGGGAGAGAUUGUGAGAUUCAAUUAUGCUUCCGCUAAUAAGUUGCGCUGGGACUGUUUAAAAAAAAAUGCCUAUGAACUACGAUGCUUCUACUAAAAGAUGUAACUAGUGUUCAUUAGGUGGAGCGAUAAGUACCUGUGGUGUCCUUAGGUAUUUCGGGGUGCCAUAGGUGUACCACCAAAAAUUAGGCUAAUGGAUUACUAAGCUUCACUUAGUUCGGGCUCUCCCAAGCCCAUACCAAUUCACGACUUAGAUUUAAAUAUUUCGCGUGCAAAAGUGAGUUGCCACUAAUUGGUUUACGGUAGAUCGAUUAGACACCUAAGUAAAAUAACAGGAGAACUAUUUUACUUUUAUGAACUAGAGACAUUGGGUACGAAGACUUGGUUUUACUAGACUUUCUUAGUGCCCUUUCAGUACCUUUCUCUUUUUAUUUCGAAAAAAUAUUUUGCAGGCAGCUCGAAUUAAUUUUAAUUCACUCCCCUAACAUGGAGGUGAUUAUACAGGUGUGCAAACCACUAAUUUAACAUCCAAGAAAAACAAUGAAUAAAUUGCAAGACUUACCUAAUGGCAACGAAAGCAUCUGCGUUGUUAGAUCAGAAUUCGCAUCAACAAUUCUAGAUAUAAUUUCUAAUUAACAUGUAAUCACUCAAUUUUUGUUUUCACUUUUUUUUUAAUGAGGAUAUAAUCCAUAUACAAUGCAAUGAUUCUAAUUUAACAUAAAAUGAUAUGACAUGGCAACAUGACCUAAACUACAUGACAGGAAGUAAAAUGUAGUCUAUCCUAAAGCAUGAAAUUGAUUUAUCCUAAGACAAUUUUUAUUUUAUUUUCCAUGAAUUUCGAAAUUAAAAUAAAUGCAAUAAUUAAAUGUGCAAUUCAAAUUAGCUAAAUGACUUAAUUCUAAUGACAGGAAAUUUCUAAUUAAAUGGACUUAGCAACAAUCACUAGAUGACGGGCAUUUCAUGAACCUAAUUCUAUAUGACGUGCACCUGAUUUUUUUUUUUUAAUUUUCUUGGCAAGCAUGCAAUCCAUCCUAAUAUGCAAUGACGUACAAGGAAUGCCCUAAUUCUAUUUUCUUUUUCUUUUUCUUUUAUGAAAUUCAUAAUUAAAAAUUGUCAAAUAUUUAAACGUGCAAUUCAAAAAUUAAAAAAAAAAACUGACGUCCCAAAUGAAUGCAUUUUUUUAUUUAAAAAAAAUCGAAAUAAAAUCCCUAUUCUAGAUAACCCUAAAACAAGAAAUAUUCUAAAACAAACCUAAUCCUAACUGAAUUUUUUUUGGAUUUUUCCUUUUACAAAAAUAAAAUUGACUCAACUAACACAACAGCAAAUCAGACAAGAUAAGAUUGAUAUCCAUAAACCUGCGAACCAUAUUUCGGGCAUGGGAUCGAGUUGGCCAAUUUUUAAAUAAAUCGCUAAUCGAAUCUCGAGAGUGAGAUCGGAUUGUCGAUUUUGCAAGAGAUUGUGAGUCGGAUUUCGAGCGUGAGAAUUGGACUAUCAAUCCCUAAUUUGAAGGGCUAUUUCGUGUCAACCUCUCAAUCAUACAUCAAUGAACAAAUUUACGUAAAAAUAAAAAAAGCAAAAUAAAUAAAAUACUAAUAAACAAUAAAAAUUACAAUAAAGUAAAUAAAAAAACUACAUAAUUUGAUUUUCUCUGUUUUUUUUCCUUUUUUUUCCUUCCACGCACGGCUUGGAAGCUCGUGGUGAUGGGUCAUUGGUUUGGAGCUCUGGCAAGGGACAGAUGUUGGUGGGCAGACCCGCGGCGAGUAGAUCACUGGAUCUACAGUAGAGACUGGUGGAGACGGCUCGGUGGAAGGCUGUUGUGGACAUCGCUCAGAGAGGGGGUCCUGAUGCGGCGUGUAGGGUGGCGACAGCGUGGUGGCUUUGUGGGCUACUUGUGGAGCGGUUGCUGUGGUGCGAGCACGGUGAGUGCAGGAGGUCGGCGAGGAGGCACAAUGGCCAACAGAGGCAACAACAGAUGCGACUACAGGCGAGCAAGUGAAGGCGUCGGAGAUGGAGGACUGCUCGUGAGUCCUGGCAUCGGCAAUGGAGCUCGAGCAGAGCAAUGAACAGUGAUGGAUUCGCGGAGAAAAACCGAGCAUAUCACGGCUGGCAGCGAGACAGCGGCAACUUCAUUAAUUGCUGGUACCGCGGCGAUGUUGAUGCAGUGACUAGCAUGAUAGUGCGAUGCUGAGGCUUUACGGGUGUUGCGGAUAGCGACUAGUAGGGGGUGGACAAUGGCGGUGAAGGCACAUCGAGGCAGGGGCACGACGAAGCGACGUUAGCUGUUGGCUCGCAGAUAGCAAUGAGCACUAGCGGAAGCUGUGAAGAAGAAGAACAAUAGUUCUUAUUUUCCCUUUGCUUUUCCGUCACUUCCCUCUCUAUCUAUUCUCUCUCACACUGGCUUUUUCCCCUUUUCCCCUUGUUCACGUCACUUCUCUCUUGCUGCACGUUGCUGUCUUCUCUGUUGUCAGCAGAAGAAACUACAGCAGAUGCCUCUUUCUUUUUCCUUUCGUCAGCAAAAGCAAAACCUUCCUCACUCCCACAAAACCCUUAAAAACGAAGGGAAGCUUUUCUCUUUUUAGGUUGAAUUUUUUACCGAGCGAUCAAGAAAAAAAGCCCUCAAACCCUACGCAUUCAACAUAAUUAUAGGCCACAAAUUAGGGUUUUAAUUUUCCCAAAUCGAUAUCCACGAAGAUUCUUUUUCCAAACACAAUAUUCAUUUUGCCGAAUGCAAUUUUUGCUUUUCCAUGUGCCCUAUUCAAAAAAAUUCAUUAUAUCUCGAAAAAUUUCAAAUUCCUAUUUUUCACGAGAUAAUCUUCGAUUAUUAAAAAAAAAAAGGGCUUUGACCAAUUUGCUCAUUUCGUGGGCUUAGUCCAGUCUGUUAAUUUAAAGCUCAAAACCACUAAUUCGAAUCCAUCCGCCACCAGUCCAAUAAAUAAAUAUAAAAAAGUGCAAAUGCACCGAAAUCUAUAUACUAUGCAAUUAAUUAUUUUUUCAGGAAUGAAAUUAACCCAUAAUUUUUUAAUGCAAUAAAUGAAUAAUCGGGUUGCCAAAAUUUAUGUGUCAACAGCUGCCUCUCUUUAAAGGUGAGCUCGUAGAGAUUGCCUUGAAAGACAAAUUGAGACCUAAAUUUUGGCCAUGCACAUGCACUAAAUGGUUUAUUUUGUCGGAAAAUGAAUCCCAUUUUAUAUGAUGCAUGGAAAUGUUAAUGCAAAUGCAUGAUGCGAAAGGAAAGAACGUACCUAUAGUUACUUACCAAUCAGUGCGGCAGAGUAUCUUGAGGUAUACAAUAAAUCCCCAUUUACUCCAUAAGUACCUAGUUUUCACUUAGGUUCCUUGAAGAAUCUAAUAGGUAAUAAAUUGAGACAUCAAGAUUGAGAAGAACAUUCGCAUCCAAAGUGAAAUGUUGUGGCACCCCUCAACGGCCUCCGAUCCGUUAGGGUCGCCACAGUUCGCUUACCUUUCACUUUCCCUAUUAACAUGUCACUUUGAUACCAUUUCAAUUGCAGCGGGUCUAUACAACCAUGGGGGUUUAAAUUAUUUUUUUGAUAGGUCCCUUGCGCAAUUCAUAUACGGAAGCACAUCCAACAAACUCUCUUCCCUAUAUUCAGAAAACGAUGCACACCUACUAAACAUCUUAUAUAAGUUAGAGCCGUACACUUUAUUUACAUAAAGCAGAUGGACAUCUUUAGUCGGUACAUCGAAAUGCCAUAGUUUCCUAUACAUGCCUAUACUUCAAAAGAUGACCGACAUCCCCUCCAACAGUCGUACACUUAAAGUCCAUCGAUCACUGUCGGCGUCUAAAGGCUUCUUCCUUUGCUAUCCUUCUCCUCACGAUCAUAUCCAAUCACUCGAUCCGUCUACUAGUAGCAGUGGCAGCAGAGCCAUCUUAUCUAGUCCGAAAUGUUGGUCUUCGAAGGGGUGAGUACAACCACUCAGCAGGUAAAGGACCAAUAAACCACUCAAUACAUCAUACCAAGCAAUCAUCACAAUCAUAGCAUCACAUGUCAUACAAGCAUCCAUGCACAACAUACCAUGGCAUCAUGCACAUGUCAUCAUACCUCAUGUACCAUCNNNNNNNNNNNNNNNNNNNNNNNNNNNNNNNNNNNNNNNNNNNNNNNNNNNNNNNNNNNNNNNNNNNNNNNNNNNNNNNNNNNNNNNNNNNNNNNNNNNNGAUGCAUGUUCUUAUACAUCUCAUUUUCAAUUUCACAUUCACAAUUAUGGCUCAAUUUCAACAUGGCAUGUGAUGUGAUGGCAACCAAGAUCAUAUUCAUCAUUGAAUUCAUACAUGCAUCUCAAAUCAUUAUCGUACAUGCAGCAAAACACCAUCAUCCAUAACAAUACCAUUCAUGGAGUCCACACAAUUUAGAAUAGUCUAUUUAUCAUGCCUUCUUGAAGUUUAUGGAAUUCCAGCUUGUACCAUUUUAGAAAAUAUUUAGAUUAAUUAUCCAUAUGAUUCUCAAAAAUCAUGAAAUCAAGACAUGUGAUAGACAAGUCAAUAAGAUAAUAAUUUCAUGAAAACACAUGCCCAAUAAAGUUCCACACAAGAAGAUAUAAUCCACAUAAAUACAGCAUGAAAUUUCGGAUAGAAACAGAUUGCGCAGUUUUUGAAAUAUUUCGAUUAAAAAACCCGAAUGACCUCCAAAAAUUAUGAAAUUUUACCAGGUUGUAAUCAAGAAACCAAAGUAGAUUUUUCAUGAAGACAUCUAGGACAGAUUCGUCCUAGAUAAUUUUAUAUAGAUGUACGAAGCUCCUGGUUCUCGCACCGAAACGUCCAGUAUAGCUAUCUCCGAAAUAUCGACUUUUCACCUACUCAUUAUUCUUCGUUUUCUAUGAAAUUUGGAUAUGUUUUGCUUCAAGAGAUACCCUACAACUUUCAUUCAGGGAUCUAAGCCAAAUUUCGAAAUAAUAGUCACCAUAUAGGUCCAUGAAGUCUCGGGUGUCCAGUACCGUGUUUCCAGAUUUACCGUCUUCAAGAGUAAGUCGAUUCACUAGGGUACACUUGCUAAUUUUACUUCAAAUUUGAGUAUGUUAGUAUUUGAGAUGUUCUCUACAAGUUUUAUGAAGAAGUCGAAGAGAAAUUCUCGGUAAAAAGCAACAUGCAACCCACAAAACUACCAAAAGGUCAGCAAAGCAGUUCCAGAUCUAGUGUCUUCGUAGGAUGAGGGUUUGACCCCUUAAAUCUCCACGAUUUUGUCCCAAAUUUUAUUAUGUUUUAGUUUAAGAUGUUUUCUACAACUUUCAUGAAGGAAUCAAAGUCAAAAUCCAACUCUAAACAUGCAUGCAAGCUCUCACAAUAUUCUGGUUCAGGCGGUUCAUACGAAAACAGCAUGCAAACUCAAGAACAAGUCACAUUCUAGCUUCGGUUUUGCCUAUCCUAUGAUCCGAAACCUACCACCAACAAAUCACACAUGCAAGGCACACAUGCAAGAGUGGAAAUCAGUCCCAACUUGCCUCCUAAAUCAAGAGAACGACGGCACACGGGCAGCAAACAGGCGGCGACGGGCGGACAGCUCCUUCUCUCGGCUUCCCCUUCUCUCUCGCCACUCCCUCUCUCUCGCAACCUCCUCUCUCUCCCUUUGGCCGAAUUCUCCACCAGCCACUCUCUCUCUCUCCCUCUUUGGUUGUAUAUAUAUUUGCAUGCACCCCCUCUUUGCAUGGGGGACACUUGUCCCUAAGAAGGAGACAAGUGUCUCCUUUGCCGAAGACACUUGGAGGAAGCCAUGCGGCUCCUCCUUCCCCCUCCAUGCGCCGACAGCCCAAUGGGCUCUAUGGGCCGGGCCUCUUGGCCCACUUUAGGCCCAUCUCACUUGGGCCUUAAGUCCAAACUUAAAUGGCCUAAGUUUAUUAUUAUUAUUAUUAUUAUUAUUAUUAUUAUUAUUAUUAUUAUUAUUAUUAUUAUUACAUCUUAAUCCUCAUUUAAAUAAAUACCUAAUUGCAUAAUAAAAUGGCCAAAGGACUUUGUGACAUUAAUCCAUAAAAUCAAAUCUAUAAUAGUCAAGAACAAAGUGUUCUUUAUCAAUUUGUCCUAUAGCACCAACCUUGAUCAUCCAUUAACAUUUUCUACUUAAAUAAAUACCUAACUUGCAAAAAUAAUAAGGCCAUUAAACUUGUAGUCACAAAUCCAUAAAUUCCAAUUUAUAAAACACAUGGCCAAUGAUAGGAUUUUCUUUCCUAUCAAAUAAUUAUCCAUUCAAAGCUUGGCCAUAAAUCUUAUUGCAAAUUAUGGAUUAAAUGGCUAUAAAAUAACUUAAUGGUACUUCCAUCAUAUAUUCAUAGACUUUAAUGUAACUAGAGGUUGUUAUGAAUUUUGGGAUGCCACAAAUGUUCAAUGAAAAGAAUUGAGAUAUUCAGAUCCAGACUGAGAUGUCAAGAUUUUUAAACUCGAAAUACCUAGAUCCAAACUAAGGUACAACGAGAAGGAUCGAAAAAUAUUCACAUCCAAAGUGAAAUGUUCAAUGAAAAGAAUUAAGACAUCCAAAUCCAAACGAAGAUGUCAAGAGUUUUGAAAUUCAAAAUACCUAGAUCCAGACUAAGGUAUAACGAGAAAGGUCAAAAAAACAUUCACAUCCAAAGUGAAAUGUUUAGAUGAAAAUAAUUAAGACAUCCAGAUCCAGACUAAGAUGUCGAAAUUUUUGAACUCGAAAUACCUAGAUCCAGACUAAGGUAUAACGAGAAAGAUUGAAAGACAUUCACAUCUACAGUGAAAUAUUUAAAUGAAAAUAAUCAAGACAUCCAGAUCCAUACUGAGAUGUCAAGAGUUUGGGACUUGAAAUACCUAGAUCCAGACUAAGGUAUAACGAGGAAGAUCGAAGAAAAUUCACAUCUAGAGUGAAAUGUUCAACGAAAAUAAUCAAGACAUCUGGGUCCAAACUGAGAUGUCAUGAUUUUGGAAGCUCGAAAUACCUAGAUCCAGACUAAGGUAUAACGAUGAAGAUCGAAGAACAUUCACAUCCAGAGUGAAAUGUUCAACAAAAAUAAUCAAGACAUCCGAGUCCAGACUGAGAUGUCAUGAUUUUGGGAGCUCGAAAUACCUAGAUCCAGACUAAGGUAUAAUGAGGAAGAUUGAAGAACAUUCACAUCCAGAGUGAAAUGUUCAACAAAAAGAAUUGAGACAUCCAGAUCCAGAUUGAGAUAUCUAAAUUUUGGAAUGCAGCUUGUAUGGAAAUACUAGUGCAAAUGGUAAAGGAACCUACCUGCAAUAUCUUACAUACAAGGAGGAUAGAGUGAUUCAAAGUAGUUAGCGUUACACGUCCAGGACUCGUACCUUUCUACAGUCAUCUAGCAUUGCAACAUAGACUAUCUAACCAAGACCCAAACUUUUCUUCAGUCGCCUUAAUCAAAUUGAAUUUGAGUAAAAUCUUUGGGAGACAACUCGAUUGAGUCGAGUGUAGGUGCACUUGAAGGGGAAUACCCGUGCAAUGACAAAAGGUAUGGAUAGAGAUAUACUCACCUGGUAACAUCUCUGAUCCUCAGGGAUAUGUCUCCUGCAAAACAUGGUCGUAGGAGAGGCAACACGCAGUUGUAAUCACAAACAUUCAUUAAUUCAAUGGAGAUUCACGUGUGACAACUUUUAUUAAUCUUGCAUCACCUAAUUUCCAUUGGAAAAUAUUUCAAAAGAAUAAUUCCAAUCUGAACACAUGAGUAUCAUGAUGUGUCAAGCGAGAGAUCUUCAAUCUGAAAGGACUUUUCACUCAUCCUCAUUAAAAGGGCUAUUUCAUCCUAACCUUUGAUGCAGGAUUUCGACAAUUGCUCUAUCUCACCAUUGUCAUGCCAAACAAGGGUCUGAGAAAUCUCGCAAGUGGUAUGACCUUACCAAUCUGGGAGGUCUUUAAUUGGGACCAUAAUGCGGGCUUGGUCAAUGGUUUAAUAAAGGAGACUCUUUGAGUCGAGACUAUUGAAAAAUGACAUUUCGCAAUUGUCUUGGGAUUUACAAGUCAAGAAACAUACGAAAUGAGGUAGAAAUUAUCUUAUUCGCACUUCUUCAAGCGAUGCUUUCGAACAUAUGAACUUUUACAUUAAUUCGAGUGCCCUAAUCUAAAGAGACUUUGCAAGGGACGUAACGUAGGCUUGGUUCAUGGGUUGAGAAACGAAAGGAUCAUUAGGCUCAAAAAGUGUUUAGGGGGUCAAAGUUGGUGAUCAUCUUGACAUUUCCACCAAUUUUCUUCCCUAAUGUCAAAGAUUUUCUUCACAUCAAAACUCCAUUGAUUGUAACAUCUCAGCAUUUGAGUUUUUUAGUACUGCCUUGUUGGGGAUAUGACUCACUUCAUCAAGUGUUUGACUUUUCUCUUUGGGUAUUGGCCUUGCUUUUACCAGGCACAUUGCUUUUUCUUGCCCUUCAUUUUUGCACUCACUUUAUUUGGACUCACACAACCUUCAUGUUUCAUCAGCAUUAUAAACCAUGCUUCUUAAAUGGUUUGUUUUUUUUUUUUGCCUUGCGUUGCCCCAAUGUGGGGGAUGAUCACCAACUAGGUUUAAUGUGAAAUGAAUUCCUAGGCUCAAAUGGGCUAUGCAAUAGAUUGAAGUGUAUAUGAUAGAGAAAGAGCUGUUCUUCGUCAUCCUAAGGCACAUCAAUUAUUCUACAAGUUACACUGCGAAAACAAUACUCGAAGGUUGAUGUAAGUGUAAGUAAGGAAAUUGCUAUCAUUUACUUCAAAUCUUGUCCCAGUAUGGGAUGAUCCUUGAUAUAGAUAAUUUAAAAAGCUCUUCAUGUGUGUGGGCUCAAAGGGCUAAACAAUGGGUAUACCUAUAGUGUUUCGGGUAGAGGAAAAAACUAUCUCUCAUCACUUUGGUUGAUGUACCCUUUGUGAGAUCACCCUUUUCCUCAUGGGCAUGGAAUUUUUCCACAACACUCACCAGGGAUUAGUAUAUGAAACAAUGUAUGGAAUCAAGCUUACCUUUCGUCAUUCCAAAGUAUCCCAUUUAACACAUUCAAUUUAUCUCACACAAUUCAUCAAGGAAAACAUGCAAGAUUUGUAGCAAAUUUGGACCAUUGAAUUUGCAACUCAUUGAGGCAAUUUAUUCAUCACAGAAAUGCUUGCAAUUCAAAACAUGACAUAGCAAAUUCUAUCAUGGGUAAUAUUUUUUAACAACGUUAGAAUUAACUGGGGUGGAAAACUCACAACUAUCCACUUCUGCCAAGAUCAAGGCACCUACAGGAAGUACCUUCUUCACCACAUAUGGACCACUGUAAUUAAGAGCAAACUUGCCCCUAGGAUUUUUCAUUUUGUUCCUAGCUAUGCUGCACCUCAAUGGUAUCUUUGAUUGAGUAUUUGGGACCAUCAUUGUCAACACUUGUUGCAUUGGAUUUGACCAUUUCCACACCUUUACAUGCUAUAUGAUCGUCCCUGAAAUAGAAAGUAGAAGGAUAAAAAGACAAAAAGGGUAAAACAUAUUUUAUUUUUUGAAUUUUUUUUGAAAGAUUUUUGAAAAGCAUUUGGAAAAGCAUUUUUUAAAACAUUUUGACACGAGAAAGCAUGAUGAAGCCUAAGCCUCAUAAUUCUCCUUGGAUUUUUUUUUUUCGUUUAUCGGUUGGAUAUCAUCAUCGGGCUGGUUUGGUGUACCUCAUCAUGCUCUCAAAAUAAAACUUGUAAUUUAAUUGAAAUACAUCAAUCAAUUACAUUUAUUAAAUAGAAAAUGCGAACUCAAGUCCUAAAAAGAAAGCGAAAAAAGAAGAAAUCGAAAACAAUUCCUAGACAGCGAUAAAAAUUCCCAGAAAGAGAUAAAAAUUCUUGCACAAGGGAAUGUGCAAAAGUAAUAAGUUACUCUUGCGAACCAGAGCCCGUUUCUUGCAGAGGUCCUUCAUCAAUGGCAUUCACUCUAUCUUCAUGCUCAAGUAGAGGAUUCUUUUUUACAUUCGGUUGAGCAGUAUUGAAGGCAAACGCCUUAGUGUCCAAUAAGUUUUGGAUCUUAUGCUUCAAAGUCAUGCAUUCAUCAGUCAAAUCUCCUACUUCCCCCAUAUGGUAUUAGCAUUUCUUGGAGGGGUCGUAGUUAGAAAAUUUUUCAGCAUUGGAUCGCUUUGGCUCAUAGGAUAGCAACCCUUUCUUUUAUGGGACUUUUAAGACCUGGGACAGAGGGCCAGGAAGGGGAGUGAAUUGCCUCUUAACAAAUUACCAAGGGCGGUCAGACGAACUCCGCCUUGUUGAUUCUUAGGAACAUGAACAACUAGAGGCUUACUAGAUUGUGCAUAUGUAACAUUGACUUUCGUGCUCGGUUCUUUGUCUUUCUUCAUGGUGAACCUUUUGCCUUGAUAGGUCGGCUUGUUGAACCAUCCAUCUCUUAGCCCAAUCUCGAUUUGCUCACCCACUAGGAUAAGUUGGUUGAAGCUCUCAACGUACGUGCUGGUCAUUUGGGUACGGAACUCAGACGGGAAAGUCUUGACGAACAACUUCAUUAGUUCCUUGUUUGUAGGCUCAGACUAGGUUUUGCCAUUUCACAGCAUACUCUUUGAACGACUCGCUUUUCUUCUUCUCCAUCCGCUCAAGAUCCUCUCGAGAAGGUGCAAUGUCCAUAUUGAGCUUAUAUUGCUUGAGGAACGCGUCAGCCACUUCAUUUCAAGUGUCGAGAAGGUUUACAUUCUUCAUUAUAUACCAGUUCAGCGUAGGCCCAGUCAAACUUGCAUGGAAUGAUUGAAUCAUGAGUGGCUCAUUCUUGACGUAUUGGGCCAUGUGUACGUGAUACAUUUGCAAAUGAGCUUUUGGGCAAGAAGUACCAUCGUAUUUCUCAAACUCCGGCAUUUUGAACUUCUUUGGCAUCUUGACCUUCUCAUAAACUGACAAGUCGAAUGAGAAUGAGUUCUAUGAUCCUUGCAAUUGCUUCACUUUCUCCUCGAUUUUUGCAAAGCGUUCAUCUUGCUCCAUCUUAGGGACAUCAUCAAGCUUGGCAUUUUCGGCGGUAAUCAACGGUGGGUCAUCCUCCAGCUCAGGCAUGUCGUCAUCACCCAUUUGAGCCUUGUUUGCUUGAUUCGAGAUAGCUAUCUCGAGGAGAGAGGAUGCAGGAGUCAAAUUUGCUCAAAGGGAUUGGAUUUGAGUUGUCAUAAGUUGUAUAGAGGUGAGCAAUUGUUUGAGUUGGGCUUCCACAGCGGACAUAUGAUCACGCAUAUCAGUUUGGUCAGCCAUCUUAGCCCUUGAUCGUGUAAUAAUAGGUGAACGUGAGGGAUCCAUUAUGACCUAAAUUGAGGAAAUUAACAAAAUAAGCAUCUCAUAUAAAACAUGUCAGUCCAUGACGAAAGUCUAACGCUUUUAUUCAUGAAAUUGUUUGACAUUGACAAUGUAAAAAACUUUGAAAUAUCCUAAACAAAUUAACUAAUCAAGUAAAUGACUCAACUUCCUAAACAUUAAGCUAAAGUAAAAAAAUUAAAUAGAUUCAAGCCAAUUUAUUUGGCCCGAUCUAUAAACAAAUAGGAAGCCAACACUCGACGUAGUUGCCUCUUCUCCUUAGCGUCCUUCUUGGCUUGCUUCUCAUGUUCUUCGAUCUUCCUCUUGUGAUGAUUAAGCUCCACUUGUUGAGUGGGCUUUUCAGUCACAUCUGGCACUUUUGGGAGAAGCUCAGUCGGGAUCUUGUGCUGACGGAUAUAUCGAGAUGUGGCAUGGUAAGUCUUUUCCUUCACCUCAAGCUUAUCUUCAAGCAAGGUCAACUUUUGUUCACGACAUGCAAGCCAAGCUUGUUCAAUAAAGAGAAGCUCAUUUUUGUGAUCACCAUCCUUGGCAGUGGAUUGGACUUGGAACAAACCCGACUUGAGGGAAGGCAGUAGAUCCUGCACAACUCGAUAUUGGUGAGCCACUCGAAGUGGGUAAUAGGAAGUAGCACCAGUGAUCCCCAAUAGCGGGAUUGACUCAUCAUUGCCGUGAGAGAGACGUGCUUUGGAGACUUGGAACCAUUUAGCAUGCCAUAGGAAAAUCUUGGUAUUUGGAUUUUUCAACAAUUUGACCCAUUUUGAGUAAGAAAGAUUUAGAGUUCGAUCCUGAUGAUUUUUGAAAACCUCAAUGGGAUGAUGGGAAUCAGUAACAUUAAUAAUUUUUCAUACGAAUAUUGAUCUUACUCAUGUGAGAAAAGAACCAGACUUGUAAAAGCUUGAUUGGUGCAUGAAAGGUUUUAUCUUGAUCUUCCUUAAAUCGGGUGAGCAACAAGAAUGUUUUGGCUAGAAUAGUGUUGACAAAACUAAUUCUAGCACACACUUGUUUGACCACCCAUGUAACAGAAGGAUUAAUGGUGCCUUUACGAAGAGGAAAAACAAUCAAUCCGAAAAAGGCUAGAAGGAAGAUCUUGCUUUUUAAAAGAGUAUUUGCAUCAACAAAACUUUGAUCUAGGAAGGAAAAAGGACAUGCAUGACAAUUAUCUGUCAACACUCUUUUUAUCAAAUUUUUAUCCAUCCUAAGAAAGUCAGACAAAAUUGAUUUAGGUUCUAAUCCAAGAGGUGGGUUUAUCAAUUCCAAUUCCAAAGGUUUUCCUAUGGCAAUGCUGUAUUAUUCCAAAGUUGGUGUCAACUCAUGCUUACCAAAUAUGAACAUUGAUGUUUUGGGGCACUAGAAAUGAGCAAGUGGUUGCAUGACGCCGCUUUGGACAUCGAUGUCAAGAAGGGGAACUAGGCGACCAAAUCUACUUUCCACAUAGCGUUGGCUAUUGUGACCUAGACGAUCCCAUAAUGAUUUGAGUUCAACCUUUGGUGCAGGCACGAAUCAAAUGUCGAAUCUUCCCAUUGUUUAUAGAUCAGGACUCGACCAACCUAGUGUCAUGGACCAACCAAAGACAUAAUAAAGUAAGUAAAUUGCAAGAGUAAAUGAUAGAAAACUUACUUUACUAGACAAUUAAAGCAAACACAUAGACAAGUGCAUGAAAUGUGAAGUUCAAUUUCUAACUAAGAAGGCUAAGCAAGGUGGAGCUAAAAGGGCGGGAUGACUAGUCGCAGCCUCGCGUACUAAGUCAAGUCCUUCUAACUACGGCUUAGUAAAAAAUGAUACUCCAAUGCAACGCAGCCUCACGAGCAAAGGUAAACAUUCUUGACACCAAGAAAAAACUUUCGGAAUUGAGUUUGGCAACCUCUACUACGCGGCCUCACGGUCGAAGUCGUAUCCAACUCAAUACCAUCCUAAGUGUCCUAAUGCAGCCUAGGUAUGGCAGCAAGUUAUUUGUGCAAGAGUGUAGUGUAAAUGCAAAGCAUGCACAACAGUUUAUAGCAAGCAACACUUCAUAUGUGCAUGUAAACUAUACAUUCCUACACCUCCCUACAAAACAAGGGUUAGCAAACACUUCUCCUUAUACCUCCCAAUAUGUAAAAACAUUUAACACCUUAAAUGUUAAGGACGUACCUGGGAUCCUCGCUGCCAAACGGAAAUAUUUUUGCAAAUAGAAGAGAAAAAUGGCCUAAAUCCACUAAGAGUAUUAACUAUCUCUAGUGGAGUCGCCAAGCUGUUGCGACUAAAUUUUCGAGCGUACCUCGUAAAAUUAGACUAAUGGAUUACUAGGCCUCACUUAGUUCGGGCUCUCUCAAGCCCAUAUCAAUUCGCGACUUAGAUUCAACUAUUUCGCACGCAAAAGGGAGUCAACAUUAAUCGGUUUACGGUAGGUCGAUUAAACACCUAAGUAAAAUAACGGGAGAACUAUUUUACUUCUACUAACUAGAGACUUUAGGUAUGGGGACUUGGUUACACUAAACUUUCCUAGUGCCCUUUCGGCACAUUUCUUUUUUUAUUUCGAAAAAAAUGUUUUGCAGGCAGUUUGAAUUAAUUUUAAUUCACUUCCCUAACAUGGAGGUGAUCAUGCGGGUGUGCAAACCACUAAUUUAACAUCCAAGAAAAGCAAUGAAUAAAUCGCAAGACUUACCUCAUGGUAACAACAUCAUCUAUGUUGUUAGAUCAGAAUUCACAUUAACAAUCCUAAAUAUGAUUUCUAAUUAACACGCAAUCACUCAAUUUUUGUUUUCACUUUUUUUUUUAAUGAAGAUAUAAUCCGUAUGCAAUGCAAUGCUUCUAAUCUAACAUGAAAUAAUAUGACAUGACAACAUGACCUAAACUACAUGACAGGAGUAAAAUGUAGUCUAUCCUAAAGCAUGAAAUUUAUUUAUCCUAAGACAAUUUUUUUAUUUUCCAUGAAUUUCGAAAUUAAAAUAAAUGCAAUAAUUAAAUGUGCAAUCCAAAUUAGCUAAAUGACCUAAUUCUAAUGACGGGCAAUUUCUAAUUAAAUGGACUUAGCAACAAUCACUAGAUGACGAGCAUUUCAUGAACCUAAUUCUAUAUGACGUGCACAUGAUUUUUUUAAAUUUUCUUAGCAAGCAUGCAAUCCAUCCUAAUAUGCAAUGACAUGCAAAGAAUGUCCUAAUUCUAAUUUUUCCUUUUUCUUUUAUGAAAUUUGCAGUUAAAGAUUGCCAAAUAAUUAAAUGUGCAAUUCAAAAAAAAAAAUAACAUCCUAAAUGAAUGCAUUUUUAUUUUUAAAAAAUUUGAAAUAAAAUCCAUAUUCUAGAUAACCCUAAAACAAUAAAUUUUCUAAAACAAAUCUAAUCCUAAUUGAAAUAUUUUUUGGAUUUUUCCUUUUACAAAAAUAAAAUUGACUCAACUAACACAACAGCAAAUCAGACAAGAUAAGAUUGAUAUCCAUAAAUCAGCGAACCAUAUCUCACACAUGAGAUAUGGUUGGCAAAUUUUUAAAUAAAUUGCGAAUCGAAUCUCAGGUGUGAGAUCGGAUUGUCGAUUUUGCAAGAGAUUGUGAGUUGGAUUUCAGGCACAAGAAUCGGACUGUCAAUCCCUAAUUUGAAGGGAUAUUUCAUGUCAGGCUCUCAAUCAUACAUCAAGGAACAACUCUACUAAAAGAAUAAAAGCAAAAUAAAUAAAAUAUUAAUAAAAAAUAAAAAAUAAAAACGUAAAUAAAAACUACCUAAUUUGAUUUUCUCUUUUUUUCCCCUUUUUUUUUUCCUUCCACGCACGGCUUGGCAGCUCGUGGUGGUGGGUCAUUGAUUCGGAGCUCCGGCAGGGGCAAGAUGUUGGCGGGUAGACCGACAGCAAGCAGACCACCGGAUAUGCAACAACGACUAGUGGAGAUGGCUCGGCGGAAGGCUACUGUGGGCAUCACUCAAAGAGGGGGUCCUGAUGCGAUGUGUAGGGCAGCAAUGGCGCGACAGCUUCAUGGGCAGCUUGCGGAGCGGUUGCUGUGGUGCAAGUGCGGUGAGUGCAAGAGGUCGACGAGGAGGCACAGUGGCCGGCAGAGGCAACAAUAGACGCGGCUACAGGCGAGCAAGUGAAGGCGUUGAAGAUGGAGGACCGCUCUUAAGUCCUGGCAUCGACAAUGGAGCUCGAGUGGACCAGCAAGCAGUGAUGGAUUCAUAGAGAAAAACCAAGUAGAUCACGGCUGGCAGCGAGAUGGUGGCAACUUCACAGAUUGCUAAUACCGCAGCGGUGCUGAUGCAAUGACCAGCGCAAUGGUGCAACGCGGAGGCUUCAUGGGCGUUGCGGACGGUGACCAGCGGGGCGUGGACAGCAACGACGAAGGCAUGUUGAGGCAAGGGCACGGCAAAAUGACGGCGGCUACCGGCUCACGGAUAGCAAGGAGCACUGGCGGAAGCUGCGAAGAAGAAGAGCAAUAGUUCUUAUUUUCCCUCUGCUUUUUCGUCACUUCCCUCUCUGUCUAUUCUCUCUCACGCUGGCUUUUUCCCCUUUUCCCCCCUAUGCACGUCGCUUCUCUCUUACUACACGUUGCUAUCUUCUCUGCUGUCAACAGAAGAAAGUGCAGCAGAUGCCUCUUUCUUUUUCCUUUCUUUAGCAAAAGAAAAACCUUCCUUACUCCUACAAAACCCUUUAAAAUGAAGGGAAACCUUUCUCUUUUUGAGUUGAAUUUUUACCAAGUGAUCGAGAGAAAAAGCCCCCGAACCCUACGCAUUCAACAUAUUUGUAGGCCACGAAUUAGGGUUUUAAUUUUCCCAAAUCGAUAUCCACAAAGAUUCUUUUUCCAAACGCAAUAUUUGUUUUGAUGAACGCAAUAUUUGCUUUUCCACGUGCCCUAUUCAAAAAAAUUCAUCAUAUCCCGAAAAAUUUCAAAUUUCUAUUUUUCUCGAGAUAAUCUUUGAUUAUUAAAAAAAAGGGCUUGUGCCAAUUUGCUCGUUUCGUGGGCUUAGUCCGGCCUGUCAAUUUAAAGCUCAGAACCACUAAUUCGAACGCAUCAGCCACUGGUCCAAUAAAUAAAUGUAAAAAAAAUGCAAAUGCACCUAAAUCUAUAUGCUAUGCAAUUAAUUAUUUUUUCAAGGAUAAAAUUAAACCCUAAUUUUUUAAUGCAAUAAAUGACUAAUCAGGUCGGCAAAAUUUAGGUGUCAACAAUCAUCACAACAAAAAGAAGGUUCUCGAUUCUAAAGAAAAAUAUAAUAAAAGAAAAAAAAAUUGCAUCCCCUUUCUUCGCAGUCAUAUCACAACUUCCACAUGACUAAUCCUGUUUUUAGAUUUUGAGAGAGAUUAUUCUUAUUUAGAUUAUAAUUGUUAGAAGAAAAUUUAGAACAAAUCAAUGCACCAUAUAAAUAUAAAUACUUCUUCCUUUCUAGUAAAUUGUAAAAAAAUUACACAUAACAUUGACAACAUUAGCCUUACCUCAAAAGUUUUUGAAAGUGAUCAUUCCAAGAGAUUUGGCCAAUGCAGAUGACAAUGGCAUCUGCAAAACGAUCAAAGUGGAUGAGCUAGGGCACGGGAAAAAGAUGUUGGGAAUAAAGCAUACAACAGAAGCUGAAAAUGCAGAGGAAUAUGAUUGUGGAAUGCCAUUGAUUUUCGUGAUUCUUUUGUAUUUGAAUAAAGAAGGAUGAACUAUAACUAAUACAACGUUCUCACAAAAUAGAUUGUCUUACAAAAUAAUUUACCGUGCUACAACAUUCUUUUGCAAAUGAUUAAAUCAUUUUAGUGUGCAAGGGAAAGCUGAUUUCGGUGGCAAUAGAGUAUCAAACUUCCAGGGGCACAACAAAUGAACCUAUUGCUAUAACAAAAUGUGCAAAGAAUCAUAAAUUACAUUAGGACUGCAAUCCCAACUCAGUUCUUAAGCUAUUGCAAAUGAUACUGCAUGCUUGAUGUCAAAAGUUAAGGCUCAUCGUUCCACGAGCCCUUAUCAAGUUGACAAAUGAGGACUGGUGUAACUAUGAGUCCAUCCUGUAUAUCAACAGCAAUUGUCUCUUCAUCAUUAUUCGCUUUCUCUGUAGCUAAGCCUCAUUUUUUGUUUUGUUAGGUAAUGUGAACCUAGUGAACCACUCUUAGUUGAUGGCAAUAACUAGAUUCACCUAAUCCAACAAAAACCGUAGUACAUUCCUAUAGUCCCGGAAAUUCCCAUGGAGAGGCGCCGCCUUGCCUUGUGAAACGACCCAGACCUCAUCCAAGCUUCUGACUAUUGAUGCUCACCAUGAAUAACCUACAAAUCAAGGUGAAAAGAGGGCCAUUAGCUGUGAAAUUAUCCAUCGUUGGUCAAAUUGAAGUACUUUAACAAGAAAAUCAAUCUCGCCAUCAUAAUUACUCCUUGGAACAAGAUUAGACCUUGAAUGAGCGCCUCAGCUACAUCCAAAUCCUAUAGUUGUGGAUAGGCAAGAAAAUAGAAACACUAAUCAUUAGACAAGAAAAUAACAAUUUGCAAAGAUAAUUCUUUAGUCACUGGUCAUUAAAGCAAAAUUUAAAGACCGGAUUUACAAACAAAAGGGGUCCACAUAAAAUGGAGAAAUGUGAGUAGAACUUACUAGAUGAUUGGAUGGCUCGUCAAGCAAAACUAUGCGAGGUUGCUUGAAAGUUAUCUUGGCAAAUGCAACUCUGCUUUUCUAACCACCUAUUUAUAUGGUCAAAGCACCCUGUUAUAUGUGCAAUAACAUCCAAAAAGCCUGGGAGAAAGUACACAGUGAACUACAAUUUGGAUUACAAAUUAUCUAACCUCUGGUAGAGCUUCACAAUGUCAUAAGAACAUUGCUUCAACAAAAAAAUUUAUACAUGCUACACUAGCACAAAGAAAGGAGACAUACCGGGCAAGACACAAAUUGGUUGAAUUGUAAGAUUUCCGGUUGCACCAAAGGAACCCAUGUUAGCUCAAACAUUUUGUUUUGAAACUCCCUAUGGGAAGAAUGCCACAUGAGAAGGUAUUUUUAGAUCAAAUGGCAUAAUGUAUGAUGUGUUAGGAAAAUCCCUUAUGAUGUUUUGAAGAUGACAAAAUAAAUCAAAAGCUACUAACGUGUUUAAUGGUUAAGUAAUAUACUAUGCAAAUGAUUGAACAUGUAAAGGAUAUUGGCAAUGUCUAAAGACUGCCAGACUUUAGUGUCAAAGUCUGUUCUAUAUUAGAAGUCUGCUCACUCUGACAAAUUCCAAACUGAACGUGAAUGAAGAACCAGAAGACAGACUCUAUGCUGAAAUAGAACUUAUUCAAACUAUGUUCAGACCUUAAAGCUAAAUCUAUUCAAAAACAGAAUAUGUUCAAACUUAGAUUGUAAAGUCUAUUGCACUCAGACUCAGAUUGUAAAGUCUAUUGCUCUCAAACUUUACAUCCGGAACGAGACAGAACAUAACAUAAGCCCGAACAUAUAACGGCUAGUGAUCUGGUUUGGAUUCUACAUUAAGAUUGAUUUGAUUGACUCAAUUUAAUUGAUUGACAAUUGGAUCUUGAAGAUAAUAAUUUUCUAUACAAAUAAGCUUUACUUAUGGAAAUCAAGAUUCUGUUUGUAUGGGCGAUCAGAAUCAAUUUGGGAUUUUACUUCUAUCACUCAAUGGCUACCAAAUCUUCUAGAUAUAGAUCUGUCCAACGGGUAGAUUGGAAGACGAUCCUCAAGAUAUUGUCCAAUGGCUAGUUUGGAAGUGAAGGGGUAUUUAAGGAGAUCAAGGACUGAUGAGCAAGUAAGAGAUGGAGCAUGGAAUUUAUAAUUCCAAAGUUUGAGCCAACUUCGAUCAUACACUUGUCUUUAGUGAGCUUAAACAUUUGUGAUGGUGAGAGAAAUAUCAAAAGAGUGACUUAGUGAGAUAGUGUGAUCUACUACUAAGUAUUUGCAUUCAAAGUUGUAAUCUCUUAUUGAUUGCAUAGUGGAAUCCAGCCAGGAGGCUGUUAGCAUGGGAAGUGUACGUAGGUUUGAUCUAAGCCAAACCAUUAUAAAUUUCGUGUGCAGCAUUCUCUUUCCUUAACUCCUUUACUUUAUUUGAUGCGAUAUACUUAGGUGUUUUGAAAUAGAUGUUAAAGUCUAAUUCCUUCUGCAAAGUCUGUGGUCCACCAGACUCAGGUUAAAAGUAAAGUUUUUCAUUGCAUUUUGCAAAAUCUAUUUUCACAUCUAUUUACCCUCCUCUAGGUGUUUAUACUAGCACUUUCAAUUAGUAUCAGAGCUAAGUGCUUGGUUUAUAAAAGUGUUUUUAGUUUUGAGCUAAAGAUCUUAUAUGGUUAGUAUCUUAGCACCAGGGCCACCAUAUUUUGAUGGAAAAUAAUACAUUGUGUGGAAGAAAAAAAUGAAGGCAUUCCUAAGAUCCAGAGAUCCCUUGCAAUGGGAUGUUGUGGAAAAAUGAAUCAAUCCUACUGCUGCGUCUACAUCAAACAAAAAUGGCAAAGACAAAGACACCAAACCCCUUGCUCCUAUGUCUCAAACGGAGAUAUCUAAAAGAGAAGCGUUUGAUGCAAAAGUCAUUUAUUCUUUAUAUUGUGCUUUGUCUCCUACUGAAUAUAACAGAAUCUCUUCAUGUGAAACAACAAAAGAAGUUUGGGAUAGACUUCUUGUUACAUAUGAAGGGACUGAUCGUGUAAAAAAGAAAAAAGUAAACUUCCUGCUUGGCAAAUAUGAAUCCUUCAAGAUGAAGCAAGGAAAGUCGAUUGGAGAUAUGUUCAGCCGUUUUAUAGAAAUUGUAAAUGGUUUAUCAUAUCAAAAUCGGCCAAUUUCUUCCCCAAUGAAGGUCAACAAACUCUUGCGAGGUCUCUAAAAAGAUUGGAGCCAUGUAAAGACCUCAAUUCGAGAGACUCAGAGGAUUAUGCCACUCUCUGUUGAUGAAUUGAUCGGCACUCUUCAAUCCUAUGAAGUGAAACAAAUCAAUGAUGAAGAUCCCGAAGAUAAAAAGUCCAUCGCUUUAAAAUCUAACGCUGAUUCUGAUAAUACAGACUCAGAAAAUGACUUGGAUGACGAAGAGCUCGCUUUUAUGAUCAAGAAAUUCAAAAACCUGAGUAGAAAAUGGAGGAAAUUCGGUGGAAGAAAACAAUACAAGCAGAAUGUACAGAAAAGAACCAUGAUAGAAGAUGAUGAGCAAGGAAAUAUAUGUUUGAUGGCACAUUCAGAAUCUGAGUCUGACUCACACACAGACUCAAAAUCAAAGUCUGACUCGGACACAGACUCAUAAUCCGAUGAGGAAAUCGAGGUAAGCCAUUCAAAAAUUCCUAUCAAAGUUUCAAAUUAUAUAAAUGAGCUUUGCUUAAAUCUCAAAUCUUCACUUAAAAUGAUCUCCGAACUAAAAAAAAAAAAAAAAGGAAAAUUCAUGGCUUAGGCAACAUGAUCUUUCUCGAAAAGAAAAGUUUGAAAGUUUGCAAAAAGAUUUUCUACAAAUAAAAGAAAGUUGAGAUUUACUUGUCAAAGAAAAUGAUUCUUUGAAGAAAGGAAUUUUCAAAUUUUUCGACAAUAUUUUCAAAUAGUUCAAAAACAUUAGAGCAUAUCCUUUCUAUACAAGUACCUUACUAUAAUAAGUCAGGACUUAGUUUCAAUAAGGAAAGUGAUUCUCUAAUAGAUUUUCCUAAAGUCAAUGAUAGACUUAGACAAAGACCUCCUAGACUUGCAUACAAGAAGCAUUUUGAAAGGAUUUUUACAAAACCUAUUAGUCGAAAUGCCCUCAAGUGUUCAAAUUGUGGAGACUUGGAACACUUUAAGAAAGAACCUCAUAAAGUCUGGAGACCUAUUAAGAAAGAAUGGAUAAAAGUAGCAUGCUCUACUAACUCUCAUGGACCCAAGAAAAAAUGGGUACCAAAGAAAAGAUGAGCUGUUUUUUGCAGGAAAUAAAGGAAGAGAAGAAAGAAAAUUUGGUGAGGAAUACAUUUCUUUUUUCAAUUUGAUUUGGAUUUUAUAUUAAUCAUAUUAUUUGAUUUGUUUUAUUGAAGAAAGAAUCGUGUGAUUUAUUUUUGUGAUUUGUGAGUUGAGAUUUGAUAUAAUACGUGUGAUUAUUUUUUUGAUAUCCUGCUUAGAGACAAUGNNNNNNNNNNNNNNNNNNNNNNNNNNNNNNNNNNNNNNNNNNNNNNNNNNNNNNNNNNNNNNNNNNNNNNNNNNNNNNNNNNNNNNNNNNNNNNNNNNNNNNNNNNNNNNNNNNNNNNNNNNNNNNNNNNNNNNNNNNNNNNNNNNNNNNNNNNNNNNNNNNNNNNNNNNNNNNNNNNNNNNNNNNNNNNNNNNNNNNNNNNNNNNNNNNNNNNNNNNNNNNNNNNNNNNNNNNNNNNNNNNNNNNNNNNNNNNNNNNNNNNNNNNNNNNNNNNNNNNNNNNNNNNNNNNNNNNNNNNNNNNNNNNNNNNNNNNNNNNNNNNNNNNNNNNNNNNNNNNNNNNNNNNNNNNNNNNNNNNNNNNNNNNNNNNNNNNNNNNNNNNNNNNNNNNNNNNNNNNNNNNNNNNNNNNNNNNNNNNNNNNNNNNNNNNNNNNNNNNNNNNNNNNNNNNNNNNNNNNNNNNNNNNNNNNNNNNNNNNNNNNNNNNNNNNNNNNNNNNNNNNNNNNNNNNNNNNNNNNNNNNNNNNNNNNNNNNNNNNNNNNNNNNNNNNNNNNNNNNNNNNNNNNNNNNNNNNNNNNNNNNNNNNNNNNNNNNNNNNNNNNNNNNNNNNNNNNNNNNNNNNNNNNNNNNNNNNNNNNNNNNNNNNNNNNNNNNNNNNNNNNNNNNNNNNNNNNNNNNNNNNNNNNNNNNNNNNNNNNNNNNNNNNNNNNNNNNNNNNNNNNNNNNNNNNNNNNNNNNNNNNNNNNNNNNNNNNNNNNNNNNNNNNNNNNNNNNNNNNNNNNNNNNNNNNNNNNNNNNNNNNNNNNNNNNNNNNNNNNNNNNNNNNNNNNNNNNNNNNNNNNNNNNNNNNNNNNNNNNNNNNNNNNNNNNNNNNNNNNNNNNNNNNNNNNNNNNNNNNNNNNNNNNNNNNNNNNNNNNNNNNNNNNNNNNNNNNNNNNNNNNNNNNNNNNNNNNNNNNNNNNNNNNNNNNNNNNNNNNNNNNNNNNNNNNNNNNNNNNNNNNNNNNNNNNNNNNNNNNNNNNNNNNNNNNNNNNNNNNNNNNNNNNNNNNNNNNNNNNNNNNNNNNNNNNNNNNNNNNNNNNNNNNNNNNNNNNNNNNNNNNNNNNNNNNNNNNNNNNNNNNNNNNNNNNNNNNNNNNNNNNNNNNNNNNNNNNNNNNNNNNNNNNNNNNNNNNNNNNNNNNNNNNNNNNNNNNNNNNNNNNNNNNNNNNNNNNNNNNNNNNNNNNNNNNNNNNNNNNNNNNNNNNNNNNNNNNNNNNNNNNNNNNNNNNNNNNNNNNNNNNNNNNNNNNNNNNNNNNNNNNNNNNNNNNNNNNNNNNNNNNNNNNNNNNNNNNNNNNNNNNNNNNNNNNNNNNNNNNNNNNNNNNNNNNNNNNNNNNNNNNNNNNNNNNNNNNNNNNNNNNNNNNNNNNNNNNNNNNNNNNNNNNNNNNNNNNNNNNNNNNNNNNNNNNNNNNNNNNNNNNNNNNNNNNNNNNNNNNNNNNNNNNNNNNNNNNNNNNNNNNNNNNNNNNNNNNNNNNNNNNNNNNNNNNNNNNNNNNNNNNNNNNNNNNNNNNNNNNNNNNNNNNNNNNNNNNNNNNNNNNNNNNNNNNNNNNNNNNNNNNNNNNNNNNNNNNNNNNNNNNNNNNNNNNNNNNNNNNNNNNNNNNNNNNNNNNNNNNNNNNNNNNNNNNNNNNNNNNNNNNNNNNNNNNNNNNNNNNNNNNNNNNNNNNNNNNNNNNNNNNNNNNNNNNNNNNNNNNNNNNNNNNNNNNNNNNNNNNNNNNNNNNNNNNNNNNNNNNNNNNNNNNNNNNNNNNNNNNNNNNNNNNNNNNNNNNNNNNNNNNNNNNNNNNNNNNNNNNNNNNNNNNNNNNNNNNNNNNNNNNNNNNNNNNNNNNNNNNNNNNNNNNNNNNNNNNNNNNNNNNNNNNNNNNNNNNNNNNNNNNNNNNNNNNNNNNNNNNNNNNNNNNNNNNNNNNNNNNNNNNNNNNNNNNNNNNNNNNNNNNNNNNNNNNNNNNNNNNNNNNNNNNNNNNNNNNNNNNNNNNNNNNNNNNNNNNNNNNNNNNNNNNNNNNNNNNNNNNNNNNNNNNNNNNNNNNNNNNNNNNNNNNNNNNNNNNNNNNNNNNNNNNNNNNNNNNNNNNNNNNNNNNNNNNNNNNNNNNNNNNNNNNNNNNNNNNNNNNNNNNNNNNNNNNNNNNNNNNNNNNNNNNNNNNNNNNNNNNNNNNNNNNNNNNNNNNNNNNNNNNNNNNNNNNNNNNNNNNNNNNNNNNNNNNNNNNNNNNNNNNNNNNNNNNNNNNNNNNNNNNNNNNNNNNNNNNNNNNNNNNNNNNNNNNNNNNNNNNNNNNNNNNNNNNNNNNNNNNNNNNNNNNNNNNNNNNNNNNNNNNNNNNNNNNNNNNNNNNNNNNNNNNNNNNNNNNNNNNNNNNNNNNNNNNNNNNNNNNNNNNNNNNNNNNNNNNNNNNNNNNNNNNNNNNNNNNNNNNNNNNNNNNNNNNNNNNNNNNNNNNNNNNNNNNNNNNNNNNNNNNNNNNNNNNNNNNNNNNNNNNNNNNNNNNNNNNNNNNNNNNNNNNNNNNNNNNNNNNNNNNNNNNNNNNNNNNNNNNNNNNNNNNNNNNNNNNNNNNNNNNNNNNNNNNNNNNNNNNNNNNNNNNNNNNNNNNNNNNNNNNNNNNNNNNNNNNNNNNNNNNNNNNNNNNNNNNNNNNNNNNNNNNNNNNNNNNNNNNNNNNNNNNNNNNNNNNNNNNNNNNNNNNNNNNNNNNNNNNNNNNNNNNNNNNNNNNNNNNNNNNNNNNNNNNNNNNNNNNNNNNNNNNNNNNNNNNNNNNNNNNNNNNNNNNNNNNNNNNNNNNNNNNNNNNNNNNNNNNNNNNNNNNNNNNNNNNNNNNNNNNNNNNNNNNNNNNNNNNNNNNNNNNNNNNNNNNNNNNNNNNNNNNNNNNNNNNNNNNNNNNNNNNNNNNNNNNNNNNNNNNNNNNNNNNNNNNNNNNNNNNNNNNNNNNNNNNNNNNNNNNNNNNNNNNNNNNNNNNNNNNNNNNNNNNNNNNNNNNNNNNNNNNNNNNNNNNNNNNNNNNNNNNNNNNNNNNNNNNNNNNNNNNNNNNNNNNNNNNNNNNNNNNNNNNNNNNNNNNNNNNNNNNNNNNNNNNNNNNNNNNNNNNNNNNNNNNNNNNNNNNNNNNNNNNNNNNNNNNNNNNNNNNNNNNNNNNNNNNNNNNNNNNNNNNNNNNNNNNNNNNNNNNNNNNNNNNNNNNNNNNNNNNNNNNNNNNNNNNNNNNNNNNNNNNNNNNNNNNNNNNNNNNNNNNNNNNNNNNNNNNNNNNNNNNNNNNNNNNNNNNNNNNNNNNNNNNNNNNNNNNNNNNNNNNNNNNNNNNNNNNNNNNNNNNNNNNNNNNNNNNNNNNNNNNNNNNNNNNNNNNNNNNNNNNNNNNNNNNNNNNNNNNNNNNNNNNNNNNNNNNNNNNNNNNNNNNNNNNNNNNNNNNNNNNNNNNNNNNNNNNNNNNNNNNNNNNNNNNNNNNNNNNNNNNNNNNNNNNNNNNNNNNNNNNNNNNNNNNNNNNNNNNNNNNNNNNNNNNNNNNNNNNNNNNNNNNNNNNNNNNNNNNNNNNNNNNNNNNNNNNNNNNNNNNNNNNNNNNNNNNNNNNNNNNNNNNNNNNNNNNNNNNNNNNNNNNNNNNNNNNNNNNNNNNNNNNNNNNNNNNNNNNNNNNNNNNNNNNNNNNNNNNNNNNNNNNNNNNNNNNNNNNNNNNNNNNNNNNNNNNNNNNNNNNNNNNNNNNNNNNNNNNNNNNNNNNNNNNNNNNNNNNNNNNNNNNNNNNNNNNNNNNNNNNNNNNNNNNNNNNNNNNNNNNNNNNNNNNNNNNNNNNNNNNNNNNNNNNNNNNNNNNNNNNNNNNNNNNNNNNNNNNNNNNNNNNNNNNNNNNNNNNNNNNNNNNNNNNNNNNNNNNNNNNNNNNNNNNNNNNNNNNNNNNNNNNNNNNNNNNNNNNNNNNNNNNNNNNNNNNNNNNNNNNNNNNNNNNNNNNNNNNNNNNNNNNNNNNNNNNNNNNNNNNNNNNNNNNNNNNNNNNNNNNNNNNNNNNNNNNNNNNNNNNNNNNNNNNNNNNNNNNNNNNNNNNNNNNNNNNNNNNNNNNNNNNNNNNNNNNNNNNNNNNNNNNNNNNNNNNNNNNNNNNNNNNNNNNNNNNNNNNNNNNNNNNNNNNNNNNNNNNNNNNNNNNNNNNNNNNNNNNNNNNNNNNNNNNNNNNNNNNNNNNNNNNNNNNNNNNNNNNNNNNNNNNNNNNNNNNNNNNNNNNNNNNNNNNNNNNNNNNNNNNNNNNNNNNNNNNNNNNNNNNNNNNNNNNNNNNNNNNNNNNNNNNNNNNNNNNNNNNNNNNNNNNNNNNNNNNNNNNNNNNNNNNNNNNNNNNNNNNNNNNNNNNNNNNNNNNNNNNNNNNNNNNNNNNNNNNNNNNNNNNNNNNNNNNNNNNNNNNNNNNNNNNNNNNNNNNNNNNNNNNNNNNNNNNNNNNNNNNNNNNNNNNNNNNNNNNNNNNNNNNNNNNNNNNNNNNNNNNNNNNNNNNNNNNNNNNNNNNNNNNNNNNNNNNNNNNNNNNNNNNNNNNNNNNNNNNNNNNNNNNNNNNNNNNNNNNNNAAAUAACAUGUUAUGAUGAGUUAGAAAGAAUAUUGUUUAUUACGGAGAUUUUCUAUUUUGCUCUAAUGUCAAGGAAUGAUCCAAAUUGAUGGAUACCAAAAAGGAAAUGAGUUGAUUGUGGGAAAUUCAAUAAGGCAAUAAUGAUUGUGAAUCUACGCAAAUUUUGGUGCAAUAAGAAAAGAAUCUCAAGCGAAAAUUGGUAAUGAGUUUUUUUUUUUUUUGGUAUAUUGCAAUCAUAUACCUUGGGUAAGAGAAUAUUUUUUUAUCUUGCCUUGUAAAUCUCUACAUACAUUUAUCAUGAUUUUAGAUGAUUGCCUAUGUAUUAUAUAUGAUUUAUAUUGCAAAUAUCUUUUGUUAUAAACAUAAGGCAUUGCAUUUUUUUUUUAAUUUGCUUGGUUUGGCACGUGAUAAAAAUAUCUACUUUCUUUUUGUGAAAUGCAUCAAUAAUAUAUAUAUCUGAGAUUUAUGCUCAAGGAAAUCCCUUUGAUCUCGAAAGAUAUUAUUGCAUAUUUAUGGAUAUUCUUGUUGUAUUCUUACAAUAUAUCUUAUAUCUAGCAAGUUUGAUCCGCAAAUCGGAGGAAGGUAUUAUGUGAUAUUUUUGCAAGGAUUGUUAUCCAUUAUACAAGAAUUUGCAAGUGACAAAAGAAUCUUCCAUAUGAAUUUUGGAAAGCUCAAUCUGAAAAUUAUGGAGAUUCUAUACUAUCUUCUGGAGGCUAAAAAAUUCCCUUCCUUGGGCAAAUUUUUUGCAAAUUGUUGAGGAAAUCCCUUAUGUGUUGUACAGAAGGUAGAGUAAUUCAGAAUCUUAAUAAUUGAUAAUUUUAUAUAUGCUAUUCAAUUUAUUUAUUUGAAGAAAUGCCAUUAUAUAUUAUGCGAAUAUUAUUACAGCUUAUUUGUGCAAAAAGUUCGUUAAAUUUAUGCAGGUUGAAUUCGAGAAGAGCUUGAUUGAAGAAAAUAAAUUCUGGCCUCGAAUUUUAAAAUGCAAAUGAUCGUUGUGGAUAUUGUUUUUUCUUUUUUUUUCGUACCCAAGGAGCCUCCGUGCGCCGCUUCGUAGCAGAGUAAACCCUGGAGGAGCAGGAGAGUCACCACCACCCUUUCUACCCCGGGCAAGUCGUGGGUUCCUUUCCUAUAAGGCAAACAACACAGGGAUUCGAACUCCAGACCUCUCCCGAAAGGAACUGAAGCUCAACCACUACGCCGCCACCACAGGUGGUAUCGUUGUGGAUAUUGUUGCUACAAAGGAAAUAAUGGAAAAAUCUUCUCAUCAACGUGCACAAGCCACAAUUACUGUUAUUAUUGUCAUGAUAACAGGGGGAGAAAGCAAAUCCAAGAUGAAGGAAAAGAAUCGUAAUCACCUCAAAAAUGUAACAAAUUGAGGGGGAGCUUUGAUCAAUUUUGGAAAAAUCCUUUUGAAUUGAUCAUGAUCUUAAUUAUUAUGGAAAAAAGGAAAAGGUAAAUUUGUCGGAAUUUAAGUUCUACAAAAUCCGGUUAGUACAUCUUUUAUUACCUUUUUGUCAUUAACAAAUCUCUUAUCAAUAUUAUCAUUUUAUUAUGACAAAAAGGGUAAGUGAAUUUUAUAAUGCAUCCGUGAUUUUUAGUGGAUAUUUGCUGAUAUAUAUGAUCGAAGUGAGCUAUAUCGCAUAUCUUUAAUAUUCAAUUACUUUAUAAAAGCUGAUUUUUUGGGAAAUUAUGUUUUAUGCGAGAUAUAUUUGUUAUCGUUUUAUAUUCUCUACAUGAUACUAUUUCUAUUAUUAUCGCUUUUUUAUUAUGACAAAAAGGGGAAGAGAAUAUAAAUAUGCAUACGUGUUGAUUGAUUGAUAUUGAGCUACGAUUAUUUUUCUAUAUAUUAUUAUGCUCAAUCUAUUUGCUGUCUUUUGAUUCAAAUCACAUUUCUUAAAAAUCUAAAAUUUGAUGAUUGAUUUAUCAUUAUUUUAAAAAGUGUGAUUACACAUCUGCAUAUUCAAAGAUUAUUUUGUCAUCAUCAAAAAGGGGGAGAUUGUUAGGAAAAUCCCUUAUGAUGUUUUGAAGAUGACAAAAUAAAUCAAAAGAUACUAAUGUGUUUAAUGUUUAAGUAAUAGACUAUGCAGAUGAUAAAACAUGUAAAGGAUAUUGUUAAUGUCUGAAGACUGCCAGACUUUAGUGUCAAAGUCUGUUCUACAUUAGAAGUCUGUUUAUUCUGACCAAUUCCAGACUGAACGUGAAUGAAGAACUAGAAGACAGACUCUAUGCUGAAAUUGAACUUAUUCAGACUAUAUUCAAGCCUUAAAGCUAAAUCUGUUCAGAAUAAGAAUAUGUUCAGACUCAUAUUGUAAAGUUUAUUGCUCUCAAACUUUACAUCCGGAAUGAGACAGAACGUAACACAAGUCCCAAACAUAUAACGACUAGUGAUCUGGUUUGGAUUCUACAUCAAGAUUGAUUUGAUUGACUCAAUCUAAUUGAUUGACGAUUGGAUUUUGAAGACAAUAACUUUCUAUACGAAUAAGCUUUACUUAUAGAAACCAAGAUUAUGUUUGUAUGGGCGAUUAAAAUCAAUUUGAGAUUCUACUUCUAUCACUCAACGGCUACCAAAUCUUCUAAAUACAGAUAUGUUCAAUGGGUAGAUUGGAAGACGAUCCUCAAGAUAUUGUCCAAUGGCUAGUUUGGAAGUGGAGGAGUAUUUAAGGAGAUCAAGGACCGAUAAGCAAGUAAGAGAUGGAGCGUAGAAUUUAUAAUUCCAAAGUCUGAGCCAACUUCGAUCAUACACUUGUCUUUGGUGAGCUUAAACGUUUGUGAUCGUGAGAGAAAUACCAAAAGAGUGACUUAGUGAGAUGGUGUGAUCUACUACUAAGUAUUUACAUUCAAAGUUGUAAUCUUUUGUUGAUUGCAUAGUGGAAUCCAGCUAGGAGGCUGUUAGCAUGGGGAGUGGACGUAGGCUUGAUCUAAGCCGAACUACUAUAAAUUUCAUGUACAACAUUCUCUUUCCUUAACUCAUUUACUUUAUUUGCUACGAUAUACUUAUGUGUUUUGAAAUAGCUGUUAAAUUCCGAUUCCUUUUGCAAAGUCUGUAGUCAACCAAACUCAAGUUAAAAGUAAAGUUUUUUACUGCAUUUUGCAAAAUUUGUUUUCAUACUUAUUCACCCCCUCUAGGUGUUCAUAUUAGCACUUUCAUGUUGAAAUCAUAUUCCACAGUUGAGUAAAUGGAAAUGCCAACCCAAAGGUCAUUGCUGAUAAUGCAAACCCAGAGGUAGGCAGCCUAUCAUUACAAUUUCAACCAAACAAGCAUAAGUAUAUUUGCUAAAAAUUUCUAGCAAGCUGUGAGCAACAGUUCCUAAACCACCAGAGUUCAAGACCCAACCAGAAAGCGAUUUAUGGAAUAUCAAUGUUGUCAUGUGAAAGCUUGGAGCAAUGAGCUGCCUCAAAAUUUUAUCCCAAAUCGAUUGCUCAAUGCUAUGAAGAAUCAUCAUCAACAAAAAAAAGGUUCCUGAUUCUAAAGAAAACCAUAAAAAGAAAAAAACCACACCCCCUUUCUUCACAAUCACGUCACAGCUUCCACAAAACUACAUAUCCUUUUAGAUUUUCAAAAAUAUUUAUCCUUAUUUAGAUCGUCUUCACUAGAAGGAAAAUUCAGAACAUAGCAAUGCAACAAAUAUAUUUAAUUGCUUCUUUGUUUUUUGAUAAAUUGUCAAAAAGAGAAAAAAUGAAACAAGACAUUGACCUUAAUAGCAUUAGCCCUACCUUAGCAGCGUUCGCGCGUGAUCCUUCCAAGAGAUUUUGCCAAUGCAAGAUCACAAUGGUAUCUACAAAACAACCAAAGUGAAUGAGCUUAAGGGCCAAGGAAAAAAGGUGUUGGGAAGAGUACAAAUGAUAGACGCUGAAAAUGCAGAGGACUAUGAUUGUGGAAUGCUACAAUUCUUCAUGAUGGUGCGAUUUCAUUCACAAUUGGUUUAGGCAUCAAGCAGAAAAUGAGGAUAUGUCAUCAAUAUAGCAAGAGGCAGCACUGCGAGCGUUUCGCCCUACAGUUUAUCGUCCAACGAAACAGAGCCAAUCCAACCUAACGAGAUCCCCCACCCAAACAUCAGUUCGUAUUGAGCAUUGAAUUGAGAAAGUAGAAUGGAAAAGAAUGCCUUCCAAACCAAAAAUAACUUACCCGAACCCUAAGAAAACUGAUUGUUGUGUAGAUGCACGAAUCAAUUCAUCAGAUCCGCUCAUCAAUGUAGAUCUCAGGGAUCUCUUGGAUGAGGGGCCAAUAGUCACUAGUGAGUUUUGCAUAUUGCUUUUUUAGAAUCUUGCAUGAAUAUAUGAGCAAUUGUUGGAGGGAGGGAGGGAAGCCAUCCUCUGGCAAGUACCUCAACUUGGGGCAAUCUCCAAUCAAUAACCAUUGGAGAGAGGAGAGACGGUUGCGGAGACCACUCAAUAGUCUUUCCGUAUUUCUCAAAUCAUAUAUGCGAAGACCGAUUAGAGAGGAAGGAAAGAGACUCCAGGCAUCCUCAUCCUUCGAAGGAAACCACUCCUUCUCUCCCUCCCCUCCCCUGUCAAAAUCAACGCUCAGUCUCUCGAGAGAUGUGAGCAGGUGCAAGCCCCACUCUCUCACGGGCUGCUUUAGAUUCACAAGCCCCUGAAUUCUAAGGACUCGCAAUUUGGGAGGCAGACCUCCUUUGGGGAAGCAUUUGAUAUUUUCGCAAUAACAAAUUAUCAACUCCUGGAGGGAAGUAAGAUGAUGCCACUGAUUGGGUAACGACUUUAUCAUCGAACAUGCCUAAAGUGUGAGACUCUGCAGGGUGAUGGGAAGGGGUGGGAAGUCCUCUAUCUCUAAUGCUAAACACCUCCAUAUUACCAAUUUAGUGAGAUUGUUACAGUUGGCAAUGUUACAAUUGGCAAUAGACUUUAUCUUAGAACAAUUACUAAGGUUAAGACUCGAGAGGGUGAUGGGAAGGGGAGGGAAGUCCUCUAUCUCCAAUGCUGGACAAUUACAAAUAUGCAAUUGAGUAAGAUGGGAGAGCGUGUGAAGGCAUUGUGGUAAGCUUCCCAUAUUUUCACAGCCUUCAAUUCUCAUUCUUUCAAGUGAUUCUAUGGUAAUCCCUUCCAAUGACUCCACUCCCUUACAGUAGUUUAUAGAAAGUGCCUUCACAGGAGCAACUUUACCAUUGGCAAAUGAAAACGAUAUCGGAGAGUUAUAGCCACUUACCUCAAGAGAUUCAAGUUGAGAAAUCGAAUUAUUGCUAUUGGAGUCAUCUUGAAGAAUGUUUAGUUCCAUGAUUUUUGGACAAUUUGUAAUCACCAAACGUCUAAGUGUGUGCAUCUUGCUUGGAAGCUUUUCUAAACUUGUGCAAUCCACCAAUUCCAUCCUUUUAAGAUUAUAGGAUAGCUCUAUCUCUCCUCCUCCUACCACAAAGGAUACAAAUUGAGGACACUUUUUAAUGACUAAUUCCCGGAGGCAAGUGAGAUUUCGUGUUUCAUCUCCAUCUUGCCACAAGAAUGUUAGCUUGUCACACUGUCCUAUAUGAAGCUUCUUUAGGUUGCCCAUGUAGCUCAUAAAUCCAUGAUCAAAGCUAACAAGCUCUAUAAUACUCUUAAUUUUGAGAAUGGUCAAAGAAGUCAGGUUGACCAAUGUCCUUAAAAUCUCCUUACUACAAUCCUUAAGGUAUAACUCAUUGAGAGAUGGAAGACAUAACUCACUGAUUGAGUUAUUCAAUUGUUGGCAUGAAUGAAUUUCAAGCUUUAUAAGAUGAUUAAGUUGACAAGGCAAUGUCCCGACUAACAAAGGACAACUCCGGACAACAAGAUGCUGAAGACAAGAGAAUGUGACUUCUUCUUUUGGGCCCCCCACAUAAGGAGACCAGUCCUUCCAUGCCAACAUCUCUUUGAAUUGCAAAGUAAUUAAGGACAAAAAAGGCCUAUCACCUCCGUAAAAAUUAGAACCUAUUAUUCUUACUGCAUUUAGACCUUUAAGAGAUAAUUCUCUCAACAAAGGUAGUUGUCCAAGUGAAGGCAACGAUGUGACAUAAGGACAAUCCCACAAGCACAAAGACACCAUCCGAGAAUAUGAUGAACCAUCUAACCAUGACGGGAAUAUUGUGCCACCAUAAUUCAAAAUAGUGAGACUUUCAAUAUCAAUAUGAGGUCGCAAAGACUCAAGCACCCCUGAUUUGUGCUUAUCAUUCCGAAGCAUUCCAAAAUCUUUAUCCCAAUGCAAGAAUAAUUUUCUUAGGCCUUGCUUUCCUAAUAAAUUAGCAUCAACAGCAUCUCUAACAUCUUCCACCUUUUGUAAAUUUGAUAUGAAUAAUUCUCCUUGAAGAUGCGACAAGUUGUUUAAUUCCUUCAACUGUAGCCCCUUCUCUGUUCCUACCACAAAUUUGGACAAGAUAGUAAGAUUCUUCAAAUUACUGAUACCCAAUGGCAUCUUUUUUAGACUUCCCCGUAUCUCUAAUAUCAAGAUACUACAAGCUGACCAACUUUGCGAUAUCUUCAGGCAACUUUGAAAGCCUAUGACAACCUCUUAAGAUCAAAGCUUGUAAUUUGCACAAGCUGCCAAUUGGCUCAGGUAGCCUUUUGAUAUAAGUGUCUGAGAAAUUGAGAUAUCGAAGAUGUUUUAAUUCACCAACACAAUUCGGUACCUCUUUGAUGUCACAAUGACAUAAUGAGAACGCCCUCAAAUACUUCAAGUUUGUCAGCAAGUCGUUCAACACCUUGUUGGAAAUAAAGAAUUUAUUUGAUCUUCUACUAGAUCCAACACACACUAGAAUUAAACUUCUUAAUACCUUCAGUCCAUGAUAUGCUCUUAAGCAUUUUGAUGUAACAAACUGUGAUGAGAUGAAUGAUGCAUAACGAGUUCUCUUCAUAGAUGCAUCAUCUUCAUUAACUACCGGUUGAGACUCCCCAAAGCUAGAGCAUAUCCCACCCUCAAUUGACUUUGCUAGAUCAUUCAACAGAUCAUGCAUUGAAAACUUAGAUGUGUGGACACUUGAUUGUUGAAGAAAUGAUCUAGAUACUAACUCAUCAAAGUAAUUCCGUCCUAAUCUCAAUUUAUUCUCCUUUAUUUUAUGUCCAUCUAAAAAUCCCUCUGCUAUCCAUAAGAGUACUAGCUCAUCCCUCUCAAUUUCAUAAUCCUUAGGAAAUACUGCACAAUAAGAAAAACAUCUCUUCAAAUAGGAAGGAAGAUGGACGUAGCUCAAAUUCAAGAUACAAAGAACCUCAUUCUCUGCCGUCGAGAGACCCCCUGUUAAUUUAUUUAAGGUAUCUUUCCAUUCAUCAGGAUUUCUUUUAUUACGUAGGGCACCGCCCAACAUCUUUGCUGCCAAGGGUAAACCUUUGCAUCUUUCAGCUAUCUUCUUGCCUAUUGUUUCAAAUUCUAGGUGGCUCUCAAAGUUUGGUUUUUGAAGAGCAUGAAAGGCUAAUAAGCUUAUACAAUUAUCAAGGGAUAAUUCCUUCAAAGGGUACGGCGACCCUCUUGUUAUGAAAGCAACAUCAAGGUUGCGAGUUGUGAUGAUGAUCCUACUUCCCCUAGCCCCCGCUUCAAAUGGCCUUAAGAGGUCAGUCCAUCUUUGGUAGUUGUCAUUCCAUAUAUCGUCUAAAACCACAAGAAACUUCUGCCCGAAUAGACUGUCCCUCAAACUAACUUGAAGCCCGUUAAAAUCUUCAUUCUCCUAAGACUUGUCGGUGAUCGAGUGGAAAAUAUUCUUUGUUAUGUUGAAAACAUCAAAAACAUCGGAGACACAAACCCAUGCUUUCCUCUCGAAACAUCCAUUCACUUCGGCAUUAUUAUACAGCCGCUUAGCCAAAGCUGUCUUUCCAAUACCACCCAUACCAACUAUGGGGACUAUUCUCAGUGUGGCAUCAGAAUUUUCAACCUCAUUGAACAAUAGUUUGAGCAUCCGUGCUUCUUCCUUCUCCCUUCCGAAAAACCGAGGCUCUGGUAGAGAAGUGGUCGGAUCCCUUUUGCUGGUGUAGUUAGAUCUAUCUAUAACAUUCUCACUCAAGUUUAGAUGAGCCUUCCUAGUGACAAUCACUUCCAACUUGCCAUUGAUAUCUUGUACCUUUGUUUCAGACAGGUGCAAGCGUCGUUGGCCAAAGACAGGGAACUUCCAUUUCCCCAAACCUCUGCUUGUGCUAGAUUCUGCCUUUGACUCAACUUGAGCGACUUUGAUUGCAAACUCAUCAAGCAAGUCUUCCAUGUCAUAGGCCAAGUCCCUAACAUUGUCCAACCACAGCUUCACUUGACGGUUACCAUUGAGUUGCUUGUCCUCUGCAUCAGCCAUCACUGCCUUAAUUGUGAGUAACAUCUCCUUCCACUCCUUAGGCAAAGUUUUGCUGAUUCCUUCUCGUUGUGCAUAAUUCAAUGUGGAAGAAGUCAACUUGUCGAACAGGACCUGAUGGAACGAAGCCAAAAAGGAACCCAAAACGAUCCCUCCAAUGUCCAUAGGUGAAUCAGUCACUGUAAAGAACAACAAAGGUGUUAUGGUGAAGCAAAGUGACAAUGAGCUAAUGGAGAGAGAAAACUGUGAAAUCUAGGAAGACCAAGACGAUGACCUAGCAAAAAGAUUAAAAAAAGAUCAAGACUUUUAAAGGAUGCACAUCAAAGGUUAGACAAAUCAAAAUAAAAUACUAUUUGUCCACAAGUGCUUGUUACAUCAAUUGCUCUCCUUGUUUUGGAUCAAGACUUUUGGCUGUUGGACCUUUACUUUUGGCCAUCCAAAAUAGUCUUAGUAUGAUCAACUUAGAAUGCAUGCAUAUUUUCGUCAUAUGUGUUAUCACUCGCGAGUGUUUUGUUGGCUUUUUUGGCGUUUGUCUAUUCGUAGUAAUGUUAUGAUUUUGAUGUCUUUAUUUUCUACUUUAUUGGUAAAUGUGCGAUCAAUGAAAUCUUUUACAUGGCAGUUACUGUGCUAAAUAUUCGCAGCAAGACAGGCGACAAUGAUUUGUUGAAGGAUGUUGAGGUAGUGGUUGAUAAUCGGGAAUCGCCAUGAUAGGAAAAUCGUGGUCCUUUGAACACAAUAAGUUCAUUAGUGUGAUGAGUAGAGUGUAACAUCCAAUAGAUUAUAUAUUGUUAGUUGAUCAUGUUGGACCCGUUUACUAUUCCAGAGUAAGAGAAAGCAACUUGUUUAAUGGAUUAGUUGAUGUGCUUAUCCCAUUUUUCUUGUUUAGCAAUGAAUGAAGCUGACCAAAUUAAAAGGACUGUCAAAUAAGCAUAUUUGUGCAACUUAGUAAAAUAAAUGCUUUUGAAAGAUAAAACAUUAAGGAUCCACCCAAUAACGACAUCUUAUUUUCUGUUAUACAUAUACAUAUAAUCAAAGACGGUUAACUUUGUCUGUCUAAUAAGGAGAACGGAAACACGUGCUGUCACGCCCCAAUCCUCGAACGCGCGCACAUCCUUCUACUUGGUCGAUUUUAGAAUGCGAUAUCCCAGGACUAUGUAUCGCCGACCCUUUCUUUUUAUUAAGCACAUGCGGAAGCAGUUAUAAAUCCCCAGACAAUAAAACAAUGGGAUAGGAAAGUAGGCCAUAUUUUUCAUAUUGAAAUUCAUAACCACACUUUCAUUAACAACACAACUCAUAGUAUAUUUACAAUACUAUUUACAGCAUAAAAGUCUCACACCUAUCUAUACCAAGACAGGGUUCACAAAAGGGAUGGGAUCUCAAUCCACAUCCGGGUUAUAUUUAAGAUCCCUCUCUGGAUCAUCUUCUUCCUCAAAAGUCUUUCUCCUCUUCAGGUUCCUCUUCCUUAGAUUCUCCUCAGGGUCCUGAAAUGGUUAUUCAAUAACCAAUGAGACCACGUCUCAGCGAGUCCUACCCCCUACGACUCGAUUAGUAAACUAAUAUACCAUACGGUUGCCUAAGCACAACACGAGUCAGAGGACUUACUUUAGCCUCAGUUCCAACCUGCAAUUCAAUGUUAAACAUAGAUAUUCAAACAAUUCAUGACAUCCGAUCAAGCAUUGAUCAAUCGACUAAGUCGAUUACAUGUCAGCCAGACCCUUUCUAGGUCAUUCCCACUCAUACCACGCUUUCUCAGUGGUGUACUCAUUCACCAAAUCACAUGUUUCUCGGGCGUCGUUUUCGCCAAUGACAUACCGAUCACCGACACCGUGCGUUCUUUAAGGCGCCGUUUUCACCAGUGAUAACCUUGAUCACCGAACCACGUGUCCUUUCAAGGGCGCCGUUUUCGCCAAGGUGACAUCGGCUAUAGACAACAUCGUGCGUUCUUUAAGGCGCCGUUUUCACCAGUGAUAUUCCCAUAAUCACCGAACCACGUUUGUCUAUAAGUCAUUUACGUGCGUUCUUUAAGGCGCCGUUUUCACCAGUGAUACUUCCAAUCACCGAACCACGUAUGUCCAAUAAUAUCGUACCUGAUUGGUCUCACCAUUCUCCCUACUAUAUAGCCCAUCAACGUACUGGCGCUAUAUACCCAUGCUUGGCCAUUACCAAUCAAAUAUUCAAUAAUAAACAAUUUAGGACAAUUCCUAAAAUUCCACAAUAAAUUCAAUUCCACACAACGUAGAGCUCAAAUAAAUAAACGGUCUGCACCACGACAAUCGGCACGAAAUUCCGGUCACCGGCCAUCCCGGUUGAAUUUCCGGAAAAAUAAUUAAUUAAAUAAAUAAAUUUCGAAAAUAAAUAAAUAAACAUAAAAAAUCCAAUUUAGGCCUAUAUUGCCUUAUUGGAGCCCGAAACGGGUUGGGAAAAAUCCCGAGAUACAUUCAAUAAAUAACCAAACAUUUCUACUUGCUAAUAGCUAGGUCUAACCACCUAACAUGCAUCCUCAAGUCACUAAUUUAAUUGUUCUAACCUAAUCUAACCACCUAAGUGCAUGUAAUUAAAUCUAACCAACCCUAAGGCAUAAUUAGCAAACUAAUAAAGCAUUAGUGAGUAAAACUCACUUGACAAAAGCGGAGACCGAAUCACCGCAACGGCGACGCGACGGCGGCCGAAAUAGAACUUUCGACGACACCGGCGGACUUGGACCGGGCCUUAAGCUUGGCCCAACAAAUCUCAGCCCAAUUGAGAUUUGUUCUUGCACUGGAAUGGGCUGGACCUGCUGAAUUUCUGGACUGAACUAACUUGGUCUUCUAAUUGGUGGGCUGGACUUCAAUUGGUUGCUGGAAACUGGGCCUCAAAAAGGAUGGGCUUCAAUUCUAAUUGAUGAUGGGCUGAGCUGAAUGGGCCUGCUGCAGUUGAAAACUCACGGCUGGGUUCUGCACUUGCUAAAAUUGGGCCGUGAAAUUGCUGAAAAAAAGAAUGGGCUGAGAACGCUGGAUUGGGGGUUGCUUCGAUGGCCUGAGGCCUCUGGAAAUAACGAUCGACGCCACUGAAGUCUUCAAGCGGCUGGACUCCACGACGUUGAAAGUUGGUGUCGCUCAGCUGAAGACACGCGGGUUGAUGAAGAACUGUGAAGAUGGCCGACCAACCUCAGUGGAGAAGGGGCAUCCGCUGGCAGCUUCGGUCAACAAACGGUGGAGCUCGCUGGACUGAAACUCUGCUGGACCGAAUUCAAGUAAAUCCACGGGCGUGAAGGCAGGAGGUGGUCAACAACGGAGCUGCUGGUUGACUGCACACACGGAAGACUCGAGGAACAGCUGAGUGUUGGCCGCAUGGUGGAAGUUGCUGGGGGACAAGAGCUAGUGGCUUCGGUGGAGUUUGAUUCGGUAGGGGGGAUGAGACGCGUACAGAUGGAAGCUGAAAAUGGAUUGUCGGUGGAGAAAGGUAGGGACUGGCGGAGAAGUAAACGGCAGCGAGAGAGAAGCGGAGUUGCAGGGUCGAAAAGAAGAAAAUGAAGACAGAAGUAGGCGGCAGGGACUGAUCGAGGAAGGAGGAAGCGAAGUGGAUGGCUCCCACGAUCGGAAGGGAGGAGGAGAGAUAAAUGGGGGGCCCUUUGGCUUGAUAUUUUACAAAAUAUCUCCCACAAAUCCUUCUAGGCCAUGCAUAUAUACUUGGUCUUCAAUGAUCCACCAUGACACCCUCUUCUAGAAGACUAAGUGGUCCAAAUGUUGCGGCUAGGUGGGGGUACACGAAUUUGAGGGAGAUGGUUUCAAUUGCACAACCAUUCUCUCUUGAUUCACUUUCACUUGGCCUCCACAAUUCAAUUGAUAAUUCAUUGAUCGUCCUAGCAUUUUUCCUCAUUCAAGAAUCCACCAAAAAUCCAAAUUGAUACCAAUGUUGCACACCCCCAUCUCAAGAUUCGAUUUUAACUAAGUGCGAACUAAAUUUCAAUUCCAAUCUCCCCAAAUUGAGGUCCAAUUUUGAUGUAGAAAAAUCCCAAGAAAUUUUCUAUAAAUCUCCGACACACACAGGCUCAACCCGAAAGUCAAAUUUCCCAUUAAUUUAGCCAAUCUGAACUUCGGCCAAAUUUCCGCGACGUCCGAACCCAAUUUUCGUAAAAAUCUCGGGACCUCCGAAAAAUCCUCUGAGACUGAGUUGACGUUCCUAAAAUAGCUUGUGACAUCACUGAACUUUCGAUUUCUGAAAUCUGACUCAAAUCGACGGUUAAUUUCACUCCGGCGUGCUUUUAGUGUGACCUAGACUACCGGGUAGUUUUCAGAACUUUUUAGGGCAAUUGACUCGUGGUCGAUUUUCUUCGAGCCACAAUGAACCCACUCGACACAUUGGCGACUCUCAAUUGUCGUGAAAAUCUCGAGGGCUCGACUACCAACACAGGGUACCAAAACGACAGAAAAUCAAAUUAGUGCCGGUCGACGAGAAUUUUCCAAUUUAGUGGAGUCACCCACGAUCAGCCACACAUCUCAGUGGAACCGACCUAUCUCUGAUCUCAAUUCGAUCUUUAACUGUGUAGUAAUGACCUCUAAAGAUGAACACGGUCGAGAAGCCGAUUCCUGGUCGAAUUCUCAUGUCUAUUGCCUUAAUAUUCUUUAAUGGCAUACCCAGCUAGUCUAGUUAUCUCGAGAGUGAUAAGCUCUGAGAACAACCCUAUAGACACGUCAAUGAAAUGCCCGAUUAAUUUAAUAGAAAACAAUACUGAAAAUUCUGGAUGUCACACGUGCUGUGGACCAAACAAGAAAACGGGUCAAGCAAACCGAUUAACUCAUUAAGCAACUAGCUUUAUUUUACUCUGCAAGUAGCGAACAAGUCAGAAAUCACCAACUGACAAUGUAUAAUCUACUGAAAAUUACACUCUAUCCAUCACGCCAAUGAGCACGAAAAUCAAGUUCAAAGGCCCAUGAUUCUCACAUCAAAUGAUUCCCAAUCAUCGACUACUAACUCAUCAUCUUUCAGCAGAUAUUGCCACAUAUCUUGAUGCAAAUUUUUUAACAAGUGCUUCUUCUAUAAUAUUUAGAGAUUAUUCCUAGACAUUUGUAGUUUCCACGAUCAUAUACUUGUUCAUGUAAAUAAAUCAUAAACUCGGGAAGACCAAGACUUCACUGGGUGCCAUGAACUUUUUUGUCAUGAAAGUAAAGAAAAAUUGAUAAAGAGCUGAUGGGAAAGAAAAUUUAAUAAAAUCUAGAAAGACCAAGACUUAUGGAGACACAAAUUGGAUUUGUUGCUUCACUUAUCAAAUCCCUCCUCUUCCGUUCCCAUGCUGAUGUCUUUUUUAUAGUACUAGUAGAAUUUCCACACGUUACAUGGGUGCUAAUUUUUUCUUUUUUUGUGUGUGAAUGAGAUAUUAUUUGACAAUUAGCACUGAUUAUUGUUCUCUUUGCUCAAAAUUAACAAAAGUAUAAUUUUAGUCCAACUUUUGUCAUUUUUAAUCAUAUUGUAAUUAAUCAUUCAUUAAUCUCUAUUGUACUUGUCUAUUAGAAUUAUUUCUAGAUUUCCAUUUAUCUCUUAAAAUAUAAUUUUGAUAAAUGGAAAAAGAGCAAAAAGAAAAACAGCAAAAAACCGAUAAAGAAAAAAAAAUGCAGGAGGGGCGAUAAUACUCUUCGUGACUUGCGGAGAUUUCCGCUUCACAUUUUUUUUUUUUUUUUUAGUGAAGAUGCAAUCUAAAUUUAUUAAUACGCAAGAUAUGAUUUUUCUAGAUUUUCCAAAUUAUAGCAUGUGAUUUAUGAAAGGAAACUUGCAAAUAAUAGAAUUAAUAAUUAUGCACUCCAAAAAGCCUAGAUGUGCAUGAUAAUGCUUGUUCACGAAAAUUCUAAGUUUUCUAAUAUAACUGUCCUUAUACGGAUAUAAUGUAAUUCUACCCUAAUAUGUAAUGAAAAAUCAUAAAAUAGAGGUCCAUGUUUUGGCUCAAACAAUUAUGCGUGCAGAUGUAUCACCUCAUUAAAACAACUAGGCCAAAUUAAGAUCAACAAAUCACCAUGAAUUAUGAAAUCAAGCUGCAAUUUUAAUCUGGCCAGCAAGUAUAUGACAUCAACUUUCCCCAAUUUAGUUAAUAAACUUUCUGCAUCAGUUUAAGGGAAAAGGAGAGUGAGUAGAUAGAUGUCUUUUACCUAUUCCGAGUAGACUUCCUGGAGCUGACCAGGCUAAUGGGACUAUAUCAACAACAGCAAUCCAGCAAGCACAAGCGCUAGGUUCGGCAGUUCACUGCGUAUGCGCGUGUAUUCAGCGAGCAAUGCGCAGUCGCUGCUUGCAACGACGAACGACAAUAUCGAUGGAGCGGCAACUAGGGAUGGUGGUGAUUGGCGACGAUCGAUAUGCAUGCAAGAAGUGAAUUGAAGGAGACUCGAGUCUGUGGGCGUGAGUUCGAUGAUGACGGUGGUGGUUGAAGAAAAAGGGAGGCGGUGUGGCUUUAAGGAAACGAGCAGGAGAACCAAGAUGGAUUCUGCCGAGUGUGUUCUUUUUCUCUUCGAGGUUCUCAUUUUAUAUUUUCUUUCCUUUUUUUUUUAUUUUUUUUUUAAUUUGGGGAAUAAAUUCGAAAGAACCUAAUCCUAUUAGUCUCUGGUAUCUGCUUUUGAAAUGCUUUAGUUCCAAUAAACUUCUUUUUUGGGAGGAAAACCUAUUCCAGUUUUUCAAAAAUAUAUGAAAACCACUUUUGGGAAAAAGUUACGUAUCAACAAGUUUUAUCAAUCAACUGGUAAUUUUUAAGCUAUUUAUACUUAUUUUGGUAAAUUGAGGUUUCUUAAUUAGGAAGUGUGGAAUGGUGGGAUGAACCUUCCUAUGUGUGGCUGUAACGGCCUGCUUAUUGCCCGCAUUUCACCUCCCUUUGUAGAGGAAUGGCACGCAGGUUCAGACACAAGGAUUUGUAUCUGACUAAUGGUCCUUUUCAGAUUUUCCAUGAUGUUCCUCUUUCGGAUUGAAUUGAGCCAAUUCCUCUUGUUGUUCUCUAUCAAAGUAGUUAAAGGGUGCGUUUGUUUUAGAAAAAACUCAAGAUUUAAAAUAUAUUUUCUGAAAAAUGGUUAGCUAUAUCGUUUAAAAAAAUUAACAAACAAAAAAUAUUUUCAUUGUCUAUAUCAAUUUAUACCUAAGUAUUUCAGUGAAUGAUGUUAAAAGGUGAUCCAUUCAUAUUUGUGAACAAUAAAUCAAUCAUUUUUGGAAAAUGUUUUUCAAAUCUUGAGUGUUUAGGGAAACAAACACAUCCUAAGUAUUUAAAGUUUUUGUGUUAUUGCAUUAUAGAAGGCAAAGAGUAUAAAUCAAAUCAAUUCGGCUUAAAGAGUCGUGGAGAGAUUUUACAAGGCUCGAAACAAAUUUCAUGAUUCAAUAGAGUCUAUGGUUUUUGUUACUCAUGCUUGCCAUGACUUCAGUUUACCCAAGGAUGAGAGUAAUCAUGGAGGCUAUACACAUGCUAAAACAAUUAUUGGAUCAUGUUCACCAAUAGUGACCAAAGAUCGGUCCCAUAUAUGCUACAACAAAAUGAUGGAACGGGGAGGGGCCUGCGUUAGCCUUUUUUGUCACCAUAUCCGAUCAAACAAAGCAUUAAGGACUUGACCGUCCGAGGGUCCCCACCCCAAAGGCACUAACUUGUAUUUCAUCCGCCAUUUAUUAAAGGCUGAAAAUGAAAAAGUUGAUCAUUUUUCAUUAAAAAAGAUGAGCAUUUAAGACUCAUAUGGUAUUACUAGAUGUUAUCAUAAAAUUAGUUCAUACUAUUUCGAAUACUUUUAUCACUCAUGUUUUAGAUAUUAUAGGUUCUAAGGAUUAACAAAAGACGAGAAUCUAAAUAUGCAAAAGUGGAACAUGUGAUGCUUGUGAACAUGGAAUGACUCGAGGGGUUCAACCAACUAGAGAGAGAGAGACGGGGAGAGAGAGAGAGCCAUCAUAGCAUGUCUUGCAUGAUCAUGCAUUCUUAAAGCAAAAUUCGUUUUUCUUUUUGAGUGGGGAGACCAAACCAAUUCGUAUGGAAAAAUUUCUAUACAGCGGAUUUGGAUUAUCUACAAUUUUAGAAUUUUGAGAGCGAUUCAACCUACUUAUUUUGAGUGAGCACACAAAUUAGUAUUAUGCCUUUCUUAUAAUGUUACUUGAAGCAAAUUAGUAUCAUGCAUUGGUGUAUAGGCUUAUCAUAAUGAUUUCGGAGAAUUCACGAUCAUGCACUGUCAGAAACCCGUACACAAACAAUUUGAGACUUGAAUUUAGACCAUAUAAUGAAUUUGAAGCUGGACAUCUACAUCCGGAGGCUCGAAAUUAUGUCAAACUUCAUCAUGACAUGAUACUCGUCGCAAGGACUCUGCAACUAGCCAUCUCGUGCCAAUAUAUGCCUCCCUGACAACUCCUCGUGCAUCAUGGGGCCACAAUUGCAUCAAAGGAUCCCCACUUUGUCGAUGUUGAUAUUGCUAGUAUAAACACCUAGAGGGGGGGUGAAUAGGCGCACAAACAAUUUUUCUCAAAUACGGAAGCAACAGAUUGAAAUACGAUCGAUGUAGAGAGAGUAAGGAAGAGAAAAUCAAACACAGGAUUUAUAGUGGUUCGGCUUAUUCCAAGCCUACGUCCACUCUUCCGCACUGACAGCCCACCGGCUGGAUUUCACUAUGAUCAAAAGAGAAGUUAUAGCACAGCUUUGCCUUGAUUCCACAGUGUAGAUGUUCUAUCACACCUCCUCAAGGUCUCUCACAAAUAUAGACUCUCUUUUGUAUACAGUAUUCGCUCAAGAGAUUUAUCUAAACAAAUAGGAGCUUCAGACUUUGGAAUUUUUCUAUCGCGCACUCUCUCUUAAACAACUAAGAACGUCUUCCUUAUAUACUCCUUUAUGCCAUCAUACCCGUUGGCACUUUCCAAAGGAAUUCCUCCAAUCUACCCGUUGGACGGAAUCAAUUAGGAGAUCGUUCGAGCUAUAAAGGACGUGUGAUAGCCCAUCAAUCAUGUUCGCCCAUACAAUCANNNNNNNNNNNNNNNNNNNNNNNNNNNNNNNNNNNNNNNNNNNNNNNNNNNNNNNNNNNNNNNNNNNNNNNNNNNNNNNNNNNNNNNNNNNNNNNNNNNNNNNNNNNNNNNNNNNNNNNNNNNNNNNNNNNNNNNNNNNNNNNNNNNNNNNNNNNNNNNNNNNNNNNNNNNNNNNNNNNNNNNNNNNNNNNNNNNNNNNNNNNNNNNNNNNNNNNNNNNNNNNNNNNNNNNNNNNNNNNNNNNNNNNNNNNNNNNNNNNNNNNNNNNNNNNNNNNNNNNNNNNNNNNNNNNNNNNNNNNNNNNNNNNNNNNNNNNNNNNNNNNNNNNNNNNNNNNNNNNNNNNNNNNNNNNNNNNNNNNNNNNNNNNNNNNNNNNNNNNNNNNNNNNNNNNNNNNNNNNNNNNNNNNNNNNNNNNNNNNNNNNNNNNNNNNNNNNNNNNNNNNNNNNNNNNNNNNNNNNNNNNNNNNNNNNNNNNNNNNNNNNNNNNNNNNNNNNNNNNNNNNNNNNNNNNNNNNNNNNNNNNNNNNNNNNNNNNNNNNNNNNNNNNNNNNNNNNNNNNNNNNNNNNNNNNNNNNNNNNNNNNNNNNNNNNNNNNNNNNNNNNNNNNNNNNNNNNNNNNNNNNNNNNNNNNNNNNNNNNNNNNNNNNNNNNNNNNNNNNNNNNNNNNNNNNNNNNNNNNNNNNNNNNNNNNNNNNNNNNNNNNNNNNNNNNNNNNNNNNNNNNNNNNNNNNNNNNNNNNNNNNNNNNNNNNNNNNNNNNNNNNNNNNNNNNNNNNNNNNNNNNNNNNNNNNNNNNNNNNNNNNNNNNNNNNNNNNNNNNNNNNNNNNNNNNNNNNNNNNNNNNNNNNNNNNNNNNNNNNNNNNNNNNNNNNNNNNNNNNNNNNNNNNNNNNNNNNNNNNNNNNNNNNNNNNNNNNNNNNNNNNNNNNNNNNNNNNNNNNNNNNNNNNNNNNNNNNNNNNNNNNNNNNNNNNNNUGCUCCAUUAUCAGUCUGAGUACUUGCUUCUGCUCGUUCUGAUGGAGUAAAAGCAGACGAUGGUGGAUCAGCAUAUCUCGCAGGUUGGGCGAUGAAGCUUCAUGACCUUCCUCUGGAAAUUGAGAUACAUAAACAUCUUCUGGGUCUGCAGGCGAGCGACUGACUCCUUCACUUUCAUCUGGAAAUGAAGAUGUCACUCUUUUCUCCUGAACUCCCCCUGUUUUCAUGCCUACAGGUGGAGAAGAGAUUUCCUCAGGUUCUCCUUCUCUUCUUUCUUCUUCAGGUCUUUCUUGCUCUGCUUCUUGCUCUGUUUCUCUUUCUUCUUCUUCCUUCUCCUCUGCUUCUUUCGUCUUUUGUUCCGAUUCUUUCUGUGGAACAGGACGACUUAAGUUCUUCAAAGCCAUUGCAGAGAUGGUGAUGUCAUCGUCAUCAUCUUCAUCCUCAACGAGGAGAGCUCUUCUUUUCUUUGAUGGAGCAGUCAUGGGCUCCUUCCCUUUUCUCUUAGCAGCAGAAGAGAGUUGAUGAGACUUGGCAGGAGUCUUCUCUUUGAAUUUCUCCAAUUCCUUGCUCAGUUCCUUCAGACGCAUUUUGGUCACCAUUUUCAGUCCUACCACCAUAUGAUCGCAUGAUCGAACACAAAAGAUUUGCGGAGGCUAAAUAUUCAGAUGUCUGAAUAACUUCGUAACAAGGCUUGGGUAAGGGAGUUGACCUCUGUCCUUCAUCACUGCUCUAUACAUGUGAAACAUGACAGUAUGAGGGAGAGAAAACUUUUUUCCACAGAUGAUGGCAUACAUCAACUUUGCCUCAGAGCUUGAAACAUCAGUUUUGGAAGUUGAUUUCGGCCGAAGGCAAUUAAUCACAGUCUUGUGAAGCAAGAUGUUGAAUGCAUUCAUCCUUGAGUAGGUGAUCUUCUCUUCUGUUCUCCUGUCCUUCACCAAUUCAAGUGUGGCCCGAGCAAUGGAAACUUUAAUCGGUUGAUAUCUGCCUCUCUCAACUUCUAACACAUCUGCCAGCAUAUCCAUAUCCACAACAUAGUCUUGUUCUUUGACACUGAAGGAAAAUCUAUUCGCAUCUAAAAAGCUAAGGUUUGAAUAGAAGUAAGCAGUCAAUUCAGCAUAAGCCUCAGUUGAGUCAGAACAGAACUUUUCAAGUUGAAGAUAACUGAAUUUUUCCCUCAAGUUCACUUUCACAGCAUCCAGAAAAUCAAAGUCCACACUCCUUUUGUUCCUUUGAUCUGAACAAAUCUCCCCUUUUUCCUUGAAUAUCAGCCGCAAUACCCAUUUUCGGUUGAAAUAGACUGAACAGAUUGUCAUCAUUAUUCCCAUCUACAGGAUUUGGCCCCCAGUCACGAGGAUCACUUGGGAUAUUCGCAAGGGUUUCCUCAGCCACCCCUUUACGAGCGAUUCCCAAACUUUCCAUUCUUUGCACCCCUUUACGAGCGAUUCCCAAACUUUCCAUUCUUUGCAGAAAGAUAUAUUCGUUCCUAUAUCCUUUUUCUUUAACAAAACUAUCAACAUAGUUCAAAGGAGUACGAAUUCCUUUUAAAGCACGAUAUAGCUUGUAGAUAAAAGCAGGCUUUUGAACUCUUACGGGGUCUGCUUCCUCGAUGAUUUCUUCCUGAUGAACAACGCCUUGAGGACUAGAUGAUGGAGAAUGACGCUGCUGAGAAUGUUGUGGGCUCGGUUGCUGAUCUGGAGAAACUUCAUCUUCAGUAAGAUCGAAGUGCGUAGGCCCCUCACUCAUUCUCUGUGGUCCCCUGCUUGCGAUUCUUGACGACUUUCGUGAAGAAGACAUCUUUAACAGUGUUUGGAAGUUUCCUAGCUUGACUUUCCCAGAAAAGAUGAUAACUUUUCGAAGAUUUAGAGAAGUAGACAAACGGGAAUGGAAGAUCGAUGCUUUCUAGGGUUUUUGAGAGAGAGAGUAAAUAGAAAAGUGAAGAGUAAUCGAUAGUGCUCGUUCGGUUAAAAAGAAGAGUAAACGAAUCGUCACAAAGGAAAUAAAAAUAUGCCUUUUCAAAAUAACUGAUUUUAUCCGUAAAAAUAGCUAUUUCAAAAAUAACUUCCCUUUUGAAAAUAAAUCGAUGUAAUAUUUACGGCAACAAUUUAAACACAGACUGAUGAUCGUACCUUUUCAAGAUAAGAUUGGAUAGAGAAAGACUUACAGUCUGAAGGUCGAGACAAGACUAUUGAUAAAGUCUUGUAAGCCUGAGUCUGAAAGUCUUUAGACUUUGAUAUCCUCAUACCUCAAAAUAUUGAGUCUGGUCCGUAUGGACUCAAAUUGAUUUUUCUCCAAAGGCUUCGUGAGUAUAUCAACCAGCUGAUUCUUUGAGUCAACAAAUUGAAUUGAAACAUCUCCAUUUUGAACAUGAUCUCUAAUAAAGUGAUGUCGAAUUUCUAUAUGCUUCGCUCUUGAGUGGAGAAUUGGAUUUUUGGUGAGGUUGAUAGCGCUGGUGUUGUCGCAAUUAAUCUCUGUGCAUGAGUCUUCGAUUUCAAAAUCUCUUAGCUGUUGUUUUAUCCAUAGAAUUUGUGAACAGCAGCUUCCAAGAGCUACAUACUCUGCUUCUGUUGUUGAAAGAGACACAGUACUUUGUUUCCUUGAAAACCAAGACACUGUUCUGCUUCCAAGCAACUGGCAAGUUCCUGAAGUGCUCUUUCUAUUAACUCUGCAACCGGCUAGAUCUGCGUCUGAAUAUCCCAGAAGUUUAAAGUCUCCCUUCUUAGGAUACCAAAGACCGAUGCUUGAUGAUGAAGCAACGUAUUUUAUGAUGCGUUUUGCAGCACUGAGAUGGGAUUCUCUAGGAUCUGAUUGAAACCUAGCACAGAUGCAAACACUCAACAAAAUAUCAGGUCUAGAGGCAGUAAGAUAAAGAAGUGAUCCAAUAAUGCUCCUGUACAGGUUUUGAUCAACUUUCUUCCCUUCUUCAUCUUUGUCUAUCUUUAAAGAACUUGACAUUGGUAUGUCAGUCUUUUUGCAAUUCUCCAGUCCAAACCUUUUGACAAGAUCAUUAACAUAUUUUUCUUGAAAAAUGAAAGUUCCUUCCUUCAAUUGUUUUAUUUGAAGACCAAGAAAGAAUGUUAAUUCUCCCAUCAUACUCAUUUCAAACUCAUCCUGCAUAGACUUUGAAAAUUUCUUGCACAGACUUUCAUUGGAGGAUCCAAAAAUAAUAUCAUCCACAUAUAUUUGAACAAGUAAGAAACUUUUAUUUUCCUUCUUGAUAAAUAAAGUCGUAUCUACUUUACCUUUGACAAAACCAUUUUGUAAUAGGAAAUUACUUAACCUGUCGUACCAAGCCCGAGGUGCUUGCUUUAAACCAUACAAAGCCUUUUUCAGUCUGAAGACUGAGUCUGGCUUCUUUGGGUCUUCAAACCUUGGCGGUUGUUCCACAUAAACUUUUAGGAAGGCGCUUUUGACGUCCAUUUGGAAUAACCUGAAAUUCUUAUAACAAGCAAACGCAAGUAAUAGUCGAAUAGCUUCUAACCUAGCCACUGGAGCGUAAGUCUCAUCAUAGUCUAUUCCUUCUUCUUGCGUAUAUCCCUUGGCCACGAGUCUUGCUUUAUUUCGUACGACUUUCCCUUUCUCGUUCAUCUUGUUUCUGAACACCCAUUUAGCUCCAAUAACAGUUUUACCUUUUGGAUGGGAUGUUAAUUCCCAGACAUCAUUUAUGCUGAACUGUCUGAGCUCUUCUUGCAUAGCUUCAAUCCAGCUUUCAUCAGAUAAAGCUUCUUCUAUGCUCUUUGGUUCAAUUUCAGAAACAAGUGCCACAGCACUAGACUCUUCUCGCCUUUUGGAUCUGGUGCGAAUUCCUUCAUUCAUUUCGCCGAUUAUUAGAUCUUUGGGAUGACUGGACUUAUGCUUCCAGUUACUUGUUGAUUUGUCUGGUUGAUGAUCUCUUUCUUUAUUUGGAUCUUCACUAACAACCUGAUGCUGGUUUUCAAGAGUCUGAGAUGCUUCUUGAGUUGUAGACUUUGGAGGGUCUGGAGUAGGUUCAGAUUCUUCUUGAUGAGUCUGACUUGAUUCAUCUUGCAUUGAGUCUUGAAAUUUGACAUUCAUUGACUCCUCUACAGACUGGCUCUUCUUGUUAUAGACUCUGUAAGCUUUGCUUGAUAUAGAAUAUCCAAGGAAGAUACCUUCAUCUGAUCUUUCUUCAAACUUACCAACUCGAUCUUUUGCAUUUUUCAAUAUAAAACAUUUGCAACCAAAUACAUGAAAGUAUGAAACAAUAGGCUUCUUUUCUUUGAAUAACUCAUAAGGGGUUUUCUAAAGAAUAAAUCUUAAGAAAACUCUAUUGAUGAUAUAGCAAGCUGUUGAAACAGCUUCUGCCCAAAAUCGAGAAGAAAUUCUACUUUCAAUUAAAAGAGUUCUAGCCAUUUCUUGAAGAGAUCUGUUCUUUCUUUCCACAACUCCAUUUUGCUGAGGAGUAUACGGAGAGGAAAACAUAUGCUUACAGCCAGAUUCAUCAUAGAAUUUUGUAAAAUCUUGAUUUUCAAAUUCACCUCCAUGAUCUGUUCUUAUACUAGAGAUAACACAACCUUUUUCAUUUUGAACCUUUUUAGCAAAUUUUUCAAAAUACGAAAAGGUUUCGGACUUACUUGAAAGGAAAUAUACCCAAGUAAAACGGGAGUAAUCAUCAACAAUUACUAAGCAAUACUUCUUACCCCCAAUACUCAGAGUUCUGGUUGGUCCGAAGAGAUCCAUAUGCAGCAACUGUAGAACAUGAUUAGUAGAGACAUGAUUUAUUGGCUUAAAAUAAUUUUUUACCUGCUUUCCCAGAAUACAUGGAGUGCAUGAAUCAGUCUUUUGGUAUGGCAAUUUUGGUAGACCUCGAACAAGCUGCUUUGAUGAGAUUUUGGCUAAUUGCUUCAUAUUGACAUGUCCAAGCUUUUUGUGCCAUAAGCUUGCUUCGUCUUGAAUUGAGAUCAGACAUUGCAAUUCAUUUGGUUUCACAUCCAGAAGAUAGAUGUUUCCAUGUCUUCGACCCAGAAAAGAUUGAGUAGAGUCUUUACUGAUUCCGGAACAUGUUCCUUCUUGAAAGGAGAUCUUGAAACCAGUAUCACAUAAUUGACUAAUGCUGAGAAGAUUGUAAUUGAGUCCUUCAACUAAGGAAACAUUACUUAUUGAGAGAGUUCCAAUUUUCACGGUUCCAAAUCCCACAAUACUUCCUUUGCUGUUUCCUCCAAAUGAAACUUUUCCACCAUUUACUUGAGCAAGCUUUAUAAAGCAAUUUGAGUCUCCUGUCAUGUGUCUUGAGCAUCCGCUGUCAAGAUACCACUUUACCUGUUUCUUGAUGGAGACCUGCAUUUAACAAAGAGUCUCAAGCUUUCUUUGGUACCCAAAUUUUCUUGGGUCCUUUGGUGUUAGUAAGAUAAACAGUAUUAGCCCAUACUUUCUUAAUAGGUUUCCAUACCAUAGGACACUCUUUUUCAAAGUGAUCCGGACUGUUGCACUUAGAACAUCUGAGAGCAUUUCUACCUACAGGUUUUACAAAGACUUUCUUGAAGUGAUUUUUGUAAACCUCACUCGAAAGCCUUUUCUUAAUUCUUUCUUCUACUUUAGGAAAAUCAAUCAAGGGAAUUGUUUCUUCUGUCAUACCUAGACCAGACUUAUUGAAGUAAGGUCUUUGUGCUGAAAGAAUUUUCUCAAGUUUUUCAGACCCUAUAGAAAAUUUCUUUGAUAUAUUUGAUAAAUCUGUUUUUAAAAAAGCAUUUUCUUUUAAAAGAUUUUCUUCAUUUUCUUUAAGAUUGGAAACAGACAAGUCUAGACUUUUAACUUUUUCUGCUAAAACAUUUUCCUUUUGUUUUAGAGCUGAGUUUUCCUUUUUUAGUUUGGAAAUACUUUUGAGAGAAGUCUUAAGACUAAAGCAUAGUUCCUCAAUAUAUUUAGAAACUUUGACAGGAAUUUUAAAAUUACUUGCCUCAAAUUCACUGUCUGAGUCUGAUCCUGAGUCUGAUCCAGAGUCUGAGUCUGAUUGUGCCAUCAGACAUAGAUUGGCAUAUUCAUUAUCACUUUCUUCACACUCAGUAUCACUCCAGGUUUCAGCUUUGAGAGCUUUUCGAAAUUUUUCAGCUUUUCCUUUCUUUUUCUUCAAAAGAGGACAGUUGGGUCUGAUGUGUCCCUUUUUCUUGCAUUCAAAGCAGACUACAUCUUUGUUUGGCUCCUCAUCAUCAACAGACUUGGUCUGCUGUCUUUGAAAGCCUUGUUUCUUUGAGUUGAACCUUCUUCCUUUUCUGUUUAGUUUUCUGAAUCUUCUUAUCAUGAGAGCAAGCUCCUCAUCGUCCAUAUCAUCUUCAGAAUCUGUAUCAUCAGAAUCAUCAUUUGAUUUUAAUGCAAUGGAUUUCUUACCUUUUGGAUCUUCAUUUUCAUUGAUCCUUUCCACUUUAUAGGACUGAAGAGUUCCAAUCAGCUCGUCAACAUAUAGUGGCAUAAUUCUCUGCGUCUCUCUUAUCGAAGUCUUUAUGUGAUUCCAAUCCUUGGAGAGUCCACGCAGUAGCUUGUUUACCUUCAUGGGAUCAGAAGUUGGUUGACCUUGAUUUUCAAGACCAUUCACAAUAUCUGUAAAACGACUAAACAUGUCAGAUAUUGAUUCUCCUGGUUUCAUUCUGAAGGCUUCAUAUUGACCGAGAAGAAUGUUGAUUCUUGUUUCCUUCACUCGAUCUGUUCCUUCAUAGGUGAUAUGCAAUCUGUCCCAAACUUCUUUUGCUGUACCACAAGAAGAUAUUCUAUUAUACUCAGUUGGUGAUAAAGCACAAUAUAAGGAGUAAAUUGCUUUUGCAUCGAGUGUUUGUCUCUUGGUUAUUUCUUCCUGAGACAUUCCGUUGGUUUCUUCAGUUUCUUUUCCUCUUCAGAGACUGAUGCAGUGGUAAGAGUAAUUCAUUUUUCUACAACGUCCCAUUCCAGAGGAUCCUUUGAUCGUAGGAAAGCUUUCAUCUUGUUCUUCCAGAUGUUGUAAUCCUUUCCAUCAAAGUAGGGUGGUCUGGUAUUGCUUUGCCCUUCCAUCAGCCCUGGUGCUAGCAUACUAGCCAUGGAUCUUUUACUAUGAAGUAAAACACUUCAAAUAAAGUAAGUACACAGGCUCUGAUACCAAUUGAUAUUGCUAGUAUAAACACCUAGAGGGGGGGUGAAUAGGCGCACAAACAAUUUUUCCCAAAUACGGAAGCAAUUCUUAACAAAUUGAAAUACGAUCAAGGUAGAGAGAGAGAAAUUUGAACACAGGAUUUAUAGUGGUUCGGCUUAUUCCAAGCCUACGUCCACUCUUCCGCACUGACAGCCCAACGGCUGGAUUUCACUAUGAUCAAAAGAGAAGUUACAGCACAGCUUUGCCUUGAUUCCACAGUGUAGAUGUUCUACCACACCUUCUCAAGGUUUCUCACAAAUAUAGACUCUCUUUUGUAUACAAGUAUUCGCUCAAAGGAAUUAUCUAAACAAAUAGGAGCUUCAGACUUUGGAAUUCUUCUAUCGCGCACACCUCGAACAACUAAGAACGACUUCCUUAUAUACUCCUUUAUGCCAUCAUACCCGUUGGCACUUACCAAAGGAAUUCCUCCAAUCUACCCGUUGGACGGAAUCAAUUAGGAAGAUUGUUCGAGCUAUUAAAGGAACGUGUUGAUAGCCCAUCAAUCCUGUUCACCCAUACAAUCAGGAUCUCGGUUUCCAUAAGUAGAACCUUCCAAUAAUAUUUAGACAAUCAUCGAAUCUUCAGUCAUUGAAUCAAACUUGAUCAAUCAAAGGAUUCUGAUACGUCUUCUCCAGCCACGAGAUCUUCUCCAGAUGAUAAGGUUAAAUCCUGAACAAAACAUCCAGUUCUGGAUAACCUUUCUUCAACGGAUUAGAGACUGUCAAUGAGGAUAGACUUUGAGUCUUGAGUCUGGCUGUCCGGAAGUCUUCAGACUUUAACUAACAGAGUCUGCAGACCUUCAGACUAGACUGAUGGAAACGUUUUGUCAACUUCAAAACACUUCAUGAGGAUUUCUCCAACAGAAGGAAGCCAAGAAGGAACUCAAAAAGAGCUCUCCAAUGGCCAUGGGUGAAUCAGUCACUAAAGAGAAAAACAAGGGUUGAGCGAUAAUGAACUAAUAGAAAGAGGAAACUACAAACUAUAGGAGGACCAAGACUUUAAAAAAUGCACAUAGAGGUUAGAGAAAUCGAUAUAAAAUACUUUUUGUCCACAAGUGCUUAUUUUGCAAUAUUUAGAGAAUAUGCCCAAAGAUUUUGCUAAAUGGCAUGUGCCUUUUUUUUUGGGGGGGGGGGGGGGAAGGUGAAGCAAAAUUAGAUAAUUUCAACGCAUUAUGUGAAGCAAAAGUGAAGCACUUUAAUGAAAAUUCAUGAUGGUGGGAGAGAAAUUUUAAUAAAUUCCAAAUAGACCAAGACUUUACGAAAAAAUAAAAGUGAUAAUGGGAGAAAAACUUUAAUCAUUUCUAGAAAGACCAAGACUUUGCGAAAAAAAGUGAUAACGGGGAAAAACUUUAAUCAACCACUUUGCAGGGAAAAAAAAAAGUGACAAUGGAAGAAAAAUCAUUUCCAAGAAGACCAAGACUUUACAGGAUGCAAAUUGACUUUGUUCCUCCAUUUUUCACAUCUUUCGUUCAUCACAAUGCGAAUGUCUUUUUUUCCAUUACUAGUGAAAUUUCCAUGUGUUACUUGUGAAAUUAACAAUACUAUAAUUUUUGUUGUACUACUUUCAUGUUUACUCAUAUUGGGGUUUUUCAUUAUAUUAAUCUCUAUUGUAUUUGUCCAUUAGAAUUUUAUCUAGGGUUUCCUUUAUGUUUACAAGUUCAAGUAUGAUAAAAGCAAAAAGGCAAAAAGAAAAGCGAACAAGAAAAAAAAAAACAAAAAACUGAAAAUGAAAAACAAAAUCAAGAAACUUUACCAAAAAAAAAAAAACAAAAUCAAGAAUGGGGCGACAUAAAGAGCGCCACCCAUCCAACAGCCAAUGGCAUGCCACUGUCAUCAACAGCUCCGUAGCAGUUAGUGCUACUAGCCGAACUAACCAUCACAACCAAUUACCUUAAAUUACCUAAUGACCUAACUAACUUAAUCUAUAGAUAUAUUCAUAAUGGAAAGAACGAAUUCCGGGAUUUACAAUUUCCCACAUGCACCGUGAAAAGUUGGGUUCAAUGUGGAGCUCGCAUAAUUCAAUAGUGGAUGUGAGUUGGACUCACCUGCUCUAGGUUCAUUCAAAAAAUUUCCUCCAUCCCAUGUCUAAGACUUUAACAAGAGUUGCUACCAUACCGAUAGAGUCUUGCCUUUUUUUUAAAAAAGAAAAAUAAAAAUAAAAGAGAAAGGGACUUAGGAUCUGUUCGUUUCGCAGAAAAUGGGCUAUUUCUAGAAAAUAUUUUUCCAAAAGUCAUUUUCCAGGAAAAUAACAAUAUUUUCUGGUGUUCAGCUAAAACCUGAAAAUGUUUCGGAAAAUAUUUUCCGGUGUUCAGUAAGGAAAAUAUUUUUUAAGACUUCACCACUUGAAGAAUUUCAUACUUGGUUGAAUACUCAAUCCAUCAAAUAUGAACUUACCUUUAAAUCCAAGCAAAUUUACUUCAUAUCUUUGUUCCUUUGUUAUCGCCAAAUGCUCAUCUACUCUAAAAAAUGUUUGUAUGGAUUUUAAAAAGAAGCAAAAGAGAAAAGAAACACAGCCCUCAUGAGAAUCUUCCAGUUGAAUGUCAUGUUUUCCCCUGUGUCUUUUGUGUUCUAAUAAACAAAAGAAAAAAGAAGCAAAGCAUGUAGAGUCCUUUACUUGAACAAUGUAUAACUGCAGGGUAGAAUAAAUAAAGAAAAUGAUAAGCAAGAGUGCAGAGUGCGAGCUUAAGAUCGACGAGCUUGAGGUUUGUCUGACAACACCCGAUGACUAGCCAAGAAAGAAGAAGAUGGGAAACAAAGAAAAGAAAAAGAAAAGAAUAGAAAAGAAAAAGGAAAUUAAAAAUAACUCGAAUUAAAAAAGAAAAAUAAAAAAUAAGAAAUAAUUCAAACAAAAAAAGAAAAGAAGAAAAAGAAAGGGGAGGAGAAAGUGAAGAUUUGUAGAGGUGAGAGAUAAGAGAGAUCAAGUGAGAAAAUUUUUUUUCAUUUUUCAAAAGUGAAAAAUAUUUUCCCCAAUGAAUUCAUUUUCCGUAAAACGAACGCCAAAAAAUUAGGAAAACAUUUUUUCAUAAAUUAUUUUCCGUGAAACGUACGGAGCCUUAGGUUCAAGAGACCAAUUAUCAUUUAUUACGCCCAUGAGGCUGCAUCUUUGAAGCCCAACAGACUAACUUCCUUCAGCUUAGUUAAAACUGUUGUGGUUGGCUUAUAAGAGAAAAGAGGAAUAGUUAAGAGGGAGAAACAAGAAUCAAGAAAACUGGAAAAGAGAAGUGAACCGCACGCUAGAGAGAGAAAGGGUUCGGUUCAAGUUUAUCAGGGAUAUUGUAACGCGUUGGAUUAAUGUGGGAUAUUGUAACCCGUUGGAUUAAUGUGGUAUGUGAAGCGCUUGAGAAGAAUUCAAAGACUUAAUUGACCCAAUUGAAGAAAAUUUUCUAGGCUAAGCUGUAAUUUCAAUUCCAUUCUGGUUUUAGGUUACCAGGCUGAUUCUAGAGGUUGUUGAGCUAUGAAAUCAUGUUGUAAUGAAACUUUGGUGUGCCAUGAAACUAUGGGAUUUUAUGGAAGUCAACUUGAGAUUACAGUAUGGUCGGGAUGAAAUUUUGAAGUUUACUGCACAGUGUUGGAACCAGAUUCGAAUUAUUGUGUUUGGCACUACUUUUCGCAUAUUCAUAGACCUCUUUUGGGUCAAGGGCGAUUUCUCCCUUAAGCAUUCGAACUCUUUUAUUACAGCAAGGCAUAUAACUCCAUAUUUUGUAAUUCAAACUCUAGAAUCUUGAUUCUACUACGUCACGUUGAUGAUAAUCUUUUUAACAGGUAGUAGUGCGACAGGGUUACAUAGUUUCAUUCGAAAACUUCUUUUUGCUUUACCAUGAAAGGUUUUGGUCCAUUGCAUUUCUUCCUUGGCGUUGAGGUUCAGUCCAGAGGCACGGGAAUUUUGCUGUCUCAAACACAUUACACUGGGAAUCAGUUCAUGCAGUGCCCUCAAACAUCUCACUUACAAGCGAUUAAGCUCGUUCUUAUAUAUUUUAAUGGAACCAUUGAUCAUGGUCUUUUAUUGAAGCCAUCUUAACAUUAACUCAUGCUGUUUGGGUCGGUUGUCCCGAUACUCAUCACUUAGCAUCUGGAUACUUAGCUUUUAUCGGGUACAAUAUUACAUUGCGGGAUCUGAAUAUUAGAGUUUUCGCCUCUGCAGUCGCAGAAACUUAUUGGAGUUGAGAGAUGUCACAUGAUCUUCAUGCAUUUUUACCUAAACCGGCUGUAAGUCAUCUGUGAUAAUGUUAGAGCCACUUAUUUAGCUGCUAAUCUGGCUUUCCAUGCUCACACCAAGCACAUUGAGAUUCAGGACAAAAUUGCAUGUGGCGCAAUUAUUUCAAUAAGUAUUCCAAUUGCUAAUUAGUUAGCUGACACUUUUACAAAUUAUCUUCUGAUUGGUUUAAUCUUUUGAAGGACAAUCUCGUUGUGGUGGCACUGGAUCAAAUUUAGGGUUAUUAUAAGAGUAUCUUUAAUAUAUGUUUUGUUAUUUAUUUUUUCAAUUUACAAGUUUUGUUAUGUAAUUUUACUGGUCAGUGGUUUUCAAUUUCUGAUAUGUAAUCUUUGCAGUGUUCAUGUCUACUAUGCAAAAGAUCUUAUUGUAACUACCUGUACUGUAUAUAAAAUGACAAGCACGUCUCUAUUUAUUUAUUUUUUUAAAUUUGACAGGCUGAAUUGCACCAAUUUCACAUUUUGCAACUUCCGAUGAAAUGACAAGAUCUUCAUUUAUAAAGAUUAGCUAGUGACAUGGAGUAAUUCUAGGGAAUCAUUUCACAUAAUAAUUUCUUCUAAUUCUAGUGAUAUUGUAAGCGCAUGUCCUAUUCCUGAGUCCUAGGGAAUUAUUUCACGUAAUAAUUUCUUCUAAUUCUAGUGAUAUUGUAAGAGCAUGUCCAAUUCCUGAAUCCCAGGGAAUCAUUUCAUGUAAUAAUUUCUUCUAAUUCUAGUGAUAUUGUAAGCGGAUGUCCUAUUCCUAAAUCCUAGGGAAUCAUUUCACGUAAUAAUUUCUUCUAAUUCUAGUGAUAUUGUAAGCGCAUGUCCUAUUCUUGAAUAUUUUGAUAGUUUCUAACUCAUCAAACUAAGCUUAGAUUCAAGUGACACUAAUUUUGCUCGUAAAGAGAGAGAGAGGGCCUGUUCAAGGGCCUCUUGCCAACAUCUUAGCACUUCUCUUAGCUAAAUUAAACUUAGAUUCAAGUGACUCCGAUCUUGCCCAUUAAUAGAGAGAGGGGGCCUGUUUAAAAGCCUCUUUAGGUCUCCUAACAGAGUUACAAGAUUCUUUCUUUUUAAAUAGUUAGCUGAACUUACUUAAACUUAGGGUUUGUUUAUUUGAAGAAAAGUUAUUUUUCGAGAAAUCGCUUUUUGACUUUCCAAUAUAUAGAUGAUAGAAAAUUAAUCAAUUUAUAAAAAAUGUUGAAAAGCAACAAUUUUAAAUUGGGGAAAAACCACAUCCCCUUCUAACAAGAAGAAAAUCACUUUUAAAAAAAAAAAUUAUUAAACAAAUCAAAACUUCAUGAAAUAUAUUUUAUCUUAUCAUGAAAUUUUCAAUAUAAAUAUUUUAAUUUUAAUUAUUAGGAGGAAUCUCACUUUUCGCCAAAAGUAUCAAAAAGAGUCAAAUCAAAUUAAUUUUGAAUUAGCUAUAUCAGUAUGAUGUUAUAACAAUAUGAUGUUCAUGUGGUCGCAUUGAAUUCGAAGUCACCUAGAAACCCCACCUAAAAGCCAAACUAAUCAAAAAUCUGCCGUUCGAUUAACGAAGGAAACCGAGUCUGAUUACCCUCACAACUGAAGUCCAUCCAAGAAUAUUCUCACAAGAGGAUGUCAAUUCAGUCAAUUCAACAAACGAAAACCCACAAAACUGGGACACCACAAAAUAAAAUAGAGAACAUUUUGAUCGGUAAGUCAGGUUGUGGCCUUGGCUAGGACUCCUUCGAGAACAUUUAAUUCGUAUGUUCCGGCAGUAUGAAGAGAGAAACUCUCGUACUUAAGAAGUCUGGUUGUGAGCUUGGUGUUUUUUUUUUUUUUUUUUGGGCAUCUUAGUACAAAGGAGUAUCUUUCUAAGCAGCUGAACAGCUUCAAUUUGCUCCGAUACUUAUCAGGAUUAACAUAACAAUCUGUUUGCGCUUGACUAUACAGCUGUGACAUCUGGUUUUUCUGCUUUACCAUGGCUCGUUAAACCUCUAUACGGGUUUAUCGGGUACAUUGUCUCUUUUUCUCAUCUUGUUUUCACGGACCGCGGCCGUUUCUCUUAAGAAUUGCACCUAUUUUUUUUCAUUUCUAGGGAAUUAUUCACGAACUAGAUGGUUGCUGCAGUGACCACCUUUGCUAAUAGCAAGUAUAGUGCUCAACUUGACCAGUCGAGUAUAAGCUGGUUCCAGCAAAUCCAAGCGCAACUUCUAUGAAGCGGUGAUCAGCACAACGUGUUGAGAGCAACGGUCGGGCAUGCAUUGAACAAAUCGACGAAAGUAAGUCGACAAAUAUACUGAUGAAUGUCUCGGCUCAAGCACGCACUGCACAAUUCCGAUAUGAAGAUACAGAAAAGCACCUCAACCUCAAAUAUGCAUAUCAAUACAGUUCAGUUAUGUGAACGAGAUCCUCACAAAGCAAUUAGUGUAUUUUGCCCAAGCAGUGGUUUGUACGUAGAGCAACUGGAAACAGAGCAUAUGUGAUUUGAUUGAAUGAAGGAUGAUUACCUGUGACGAUUAAUGAUCGGACCUUAGUAAGGUGAUCACAGAAGCAGCUUUGUGAACUGGAAUCGUCGUGAGAGACGGUGGUGACCGCGGUCUGAGCACUUCAGCAAUGGUGACGGAGAACAGGGGCGAACAGAGCUUCCGACGGCGACCGUGGAAAUGGGAACGGUGACGACCGGUUGUGGUUGGCGGUGGCCAACAGUGUCCGGAGGGCAAUAGAGAAUAAAUUUCGAUGAAGAGGUCUCUGGAAAUUCAGAAAAAGACAGAGAAUCAAUGUUAUUGACUGAAUUGAAAAACGAAAUCCAGAGAAUGAGAGACAACUUACCUUCAAAAUUGUUGCAGUACCAGAAUGAUGAAGAGCUCGAAGUGAAGAAUCAGAUUCCGAUCGGGUUUCAGUCACGGCUAUUCUCCUCCAUCGGAGAACGAAAAUGAUAGAAACUGAAGGAGGAGGUAGUGACAAAAACGAACGAUAAUGAAGUCGUCGAGGGAGGCGUUUGGCCACGAUUAGCACCAGUUUAAGUGAGAUGGAGAAGCUUCAAGCGAAUGCAGUAAAUUCAAGACGAAUCGAGACCGGAACCGCAGAGCUAUCAGCGCGACUCAGAAAGUUUUUCACCGUGGAAGGAACUGGAAGAGUUACGUCUGAAGGCCGGAGAAGCCGAUGCGAGGCGGUGGAGAUGGCGGAAUACUAGAAUCGGCCAUUGUGAAACUCGAAUGGCGGAGAUGGAGCUUCGGGCGAGAGAGGGAGAAUCGAUCCCGUUACCCCUUUCCUCCUCCGCGUGACCUCGACUUUCUCCAGAUUUGCUUUCUUCUUCUCUCUCUGGUCUCCACUGGAGCGUCCUCGGUUGAAGCUCUAGAGCGCCAGAGAGAUAAAACGCAAAUCCUCUGCAAGCGCCGGAGAGAGAGAGAGAGAGAGGGAGAAAGGAAGGGAAAGAAGAAAGACCAAAGAAAUGACGGGGCUUGGUUCCUUUUGUGGGCCUUUUGGGCUGAUGGGCCUUUUGGGCUCAGCUCAGACUCCUGACUCUAGGCCUGUUCGAAGUGUGGACUGAAGCUUCAUGGGUUUGGUGAGCGGGCUUUUGGUUUUUUACAUAUUCGAUGAGUUUUGGGCUGAAUUGGGUUGCGCCAAUUGGACUAGAUUGAUGAACCGCAUCUGGCGCGCUUGAGUUUGGCCAUUUUAUUUUCUCUCUUCUUUUUAUUUAUACUAAUUUAUUUCUUUUUUGUUCUUCUACUAAAUAUAUAUGCUUUUUAAUUUUCUAUACAAAUGCAUGCUUGAUUUAUUGGGCUAAAUUCAAGCGUCAACAAAGGAAAAUGACAACUUUUUUCCGAUAUUUGGCUAAAACUUGAAAAUGGACUGGAAAUUAUCUUCCAUCAUUGAGAAAGGAAAAAUUAGGACAUGCCCUAGUAGUGUAAUAUAAGGGAUAUACAUGUUAUAUAAUCAAAUUUUAAAUACAAUUUUAUGGAAUUCAAUUUUCAUAACAUGCUAUAAGAGAUGAAGGAAGGGAGUGAUCGGCGUAAACAAGCAGAGAAUAAUAAAAUAAUGAAGAGAUAAAAUCUCACGCUUGCACAUUUUAUAAGAGUAGACAUAUUUUCCAUCCAUGGAAGAUGAUUAUCCGACAAGAUAUUCAACUCAAAUAUCUCCAAGAAAUUUUAUCAAACACCCGAUGGGCCAAUUAUAGCAACCGCUACAAGUACAUGUAGCUAGUCGAUUCUAGCCAUCUCCAUACAAUCAAUCUUAUAGAAUAAAUCGAAACGCCCCUAACAUCACAAAAUCAAAAUCCAGAAUCCGAGCUCGCCCAUCAGUGCAAGCGCAAUCUGUGGUAAGAAUUUUCUCAUCUCAUUAUGCAACAAAGAUCAAUUUUGGCAGACGCAACUCCGCUUAUCUGACCACCUAUUUACAUGGUCAAAGCAUCAUGUUAUAUGUGCAAUAACAUCCAAAAAGCCUUGGAGCAAGUACACAAUGAACCAUAAUUGUGAUUACAUAUUAACUAACCUCCAAUAGAGCUUCACGUUUGUCACACGAAAAUUGCUUCAAAUUUUUUUUACAUGUGCAACAGUAGCAAAGGGGGAGGAGAUGAUCCAGACAAGGUACAUAUUGAUUGAAGUGCAGGAUUUCCAGUUAGACCAAAGGAACCAAAGUGAGCUCUGGAAGGAUGCCACAUAAGAAAGUAAUUUCAGAUACAAUGACAUGAUGUAUGAUCAAUUUAAAGAACCGACAAGAUUUGCCCCAGAGGUCACUACUGACAAUGCACCCCCAAAGGUAGGCAGGAUAUCAUUACUAUCUCAACCAAAUAAGCAUGAAUAUAUAGGCUAAAUAUUACUAGCAAGCUGUAGGUAAUAGUUCCUAACUCAACAGAGAUCAACACCAAAAACAGAAGGUGGUUUAUGAAUAUCAAUCCUAUCAUGAAUUUGUGUUGCAUUGAAAGCUUAGAGCCAUGAGCGCCCCAAAUAGACUCCUUCAUACUACAAAGGAUCAUCAUCAACAAAAGAAAGGUUCUCGAUUUUAAAGAAAACAAUAAUAAAAAAAGAAAAAAUUGCAUCCCCUUUCUUCACAAUCAUAUCACAACUUCCACAUAACUAAUCCUGUUUUUUGGAUUUUGAGGGAGAUUAUUCUUAUUUAGAUAAUAAUCGCUAGAAGAAAAUUUAGAAUAGAUCAAUGCACCAAAUAAAUUUAAAUGCUUCUUCCUUUCUUGUAAAUUGUAAAAAAUGACACAUAACAUUGACAAUAUUAGCCCUACCUCAAUAGUUUUCGUAAGUGAUCCUUCCAAGAGAUUUUGCCAAUACAGAUGACAAUGGCAUCUGCAAAACAAUCAAACUGGAUGAGAUAGGGCAUGAGAAAAAAGAUUUUGGAAAGAGAGCAUACAACAAAUGCUGAAAAUGCAGAGGAAUAUGAUUGUGGAACGCCAUUGAUUCUUCGUGAUUCUCAUGUAUUUGAAUGGAAGGAAGAGCUAUAAUCUUUGACCAAGCUACACAAGGCCUACAUUAUAGUUAGUAAAAUCAAUUCUAUACUUAGUGUUGAAUACAAAGUUUUGUUGACCAUGAUAAUAUUUUCAUAAUUAAUUCUCCGAAACAGUGCCAAAGAGUGAAAAUGGGGAAAAUAUAUUAAUACAGGUUUCUCACAAAAUAGAUUUCUUAGAAAAUAAUUUACUGUGCUAAAAUAUUCUUUUGCAAAUGAUUAAAUCAUUUUGGUGUGCAUGGGAAAGCUGACUUUGGCAGCAAUAGAGUAUCAAAUUUCUAGGGGCACAACAAAUGAACCUAUUGCUAAAACAAAAUGUGGAAAGAAUCAUAAAUUAUACUAGGAUUGCAAUCCCAACUCAGUUCUUAAGCUAUUGUAAAUGAUACUGCAUGCUCAAUGUCAAAAACUUAAGACUCAUCAUUCCAUGAGCCCUUAUCAAGUAUAAAUGACAAAUGAGGGCUGGUGAAACUGUGAGUCUAUCCUGUACAUCAGCAGCAAUCCUCUCUUCAUCCUUUUUCGCUUUUUUUAUGUAGCUAAGCCUCAUUUUAUGUUUUGCGAGGAAAUGUGAACCUAGUGAACCACUCUUAGUUGAUGGUAAUAACUAGAUUCACCUGAUUCAACAAAAAUUGGAGCACAUUCCUAGUCCUGGGAAUUCCCAUGGAGAGGUGCCACCUUGCCUUGUGAAACCACCCAGACAUCUUCCAAGCUUUUAGCUAUUAGAUGCUCAUCAUGACUAACCUGCAAAUCAAGGUGAAAUGAGGGCCCUUGGCUAUGAAAUGAUCCAUCGUUGGUCAAAUUGAAGUAUUUUGACAAGAAAAUCAAUCUCACCAUCAGAAUUACUCCUUGGAACAAGACCAGACCUUGAAUGAGUGCCUCUAUUACAUCCAAAUCCUACCGUUGUGGAUAGGCAAAAAAACAGAAACACUAAUCAUUAGACAAGAAAAUAACAAUUUACAAAGAUAAUUCCUUAGUCAUUGGUCAUUAAAGCAAAACUUAAAGACCGAAUUUAUAAACAAAAGGUGUCCACAUAUUUGUAUGUAAAGCCCAAUACUGCCUAUAGGCACAGAGAUCAGUACCAUUUGGUGUUGUAGGUUACUCUAUUCCGAAUAUUUUCCACAUUGGAACAAUUAGAUUGGUUUCUGUUCCAUUAUUUGCUAGAUGUAUGAUGACCAGGGUACCAGCAUCUAUGACCACUACUUGGUUCUACUUUAUUUUUAAUGCAAAUACCAGAUUUCAACAAGUUCAAUUAGUGCAAAAACCAUAACAAGCUAACUGGAAAAGUAAUCAAAGUCAUAAAAUGGAGGAAUAUGAGUAGAACUUACUAGAUGAUUGCAUGGUUUGUAAAGCGAAACUAUGCAAAGUUGCUUGACAGUUAUCUUGGCAAAUGCAACUCUACUUUUCUAAACAAAUAUGUAUAUGGUCCAAGCACCAUGUUAUAGGUUCAAUAACAUCCAAAAAGCCUGGGAGAAAGUACACAGUGAACUACAAUUCAGAUUACAAAUUAUCUAACCUCUAACAGAGCUUCACAAUGUCAUAAGAACAAUGCUUCAACAAAAAAUUUAUACAUGCUACACUAACACAGAGAGAGGAGAUAUACCAAGCAAGAAACACAUUGGUUGAAGUGCAACACUUCCAGUUAAAGCAAAAGAACCCAUGUGACUUGAACAUUUUGUUCCGGAACUCCCUAUAGGAAGAAUGCCACAUGAGAAGGUUAUUUUAAGAUAAAAUGGCAUAAUUUAUGAUGAAAUCGUAUUCCGCAGUCGAGCAAAUGGAAAUGCCAACCCAGAGGUCACUGCAUUACAAUCUCAACCAAACAAGCAUAAGUAUAUUGGCUAAAAAUUAUUAGCAAGUAGUCAGCGAUAGUUCCAAAACCACAAGAGUUCAAAACCCAACUAGCAAUCAAUUUAUGGAAUAUCAAUGCUGUCACGUGAAAGCUUGGAGCCAUGAGCUACCUCAGAAUUUUAUCCCAGAUUGACUGCUUAAUACUAUGAAGAAUCAUCGUCAACAAGAAAAAGGUUCCCAAUUCUAAAGAAAACCAUAAAAAGAAAAAACCGCAUCCCCUUUCUUCACAAUCACAUCACAGCUUCCACAAAACUAAUCAUCCUUUUAGAUUUUGAAAAAGAUUUGUUCUUAUUUAGAUCAUAUUCACCAAAAGGAAAAUUCAGAACAUAGCAGUGCAACAAAUAUAUUUAAUUGCUUCUUCCUUUUUUGAUAAAUUGCCAAAAAAAAAAAAAAUGAAACAAGACAUUGACACUAAUAGCAUUAGCCCUACCUUAGCAGCGUUCGCACGUGAUCCUUCCAAGAGAUUCUGCCAAUGCAAGAUCACAAUGGUAUCUGCAAAACAACCAAAGUGAAUGAGCUUAAGGGCCCGAGAAAAAAGAUGUUGGGAAGAGAACAGACAAUAGACGCUGAAAAUGCAGAGGAAUAUGAUUGUGGAAUGCUACGAUUCUUUGUGAUGGUGCGAUUUCAUUCACAAUUGAUUUGGGCAUCAAGCAGAAAUGAGGAUAUGUCAUCAACAUAGCAAGAGGCAGCACUGCGAGCAUUUCAUCCUACAGUUCAUCGUCCAACGAAACAGAGGCAAUCCAACCCAACGAGAUCCCCCACCCAAACAUCAGUUCGUAUUGAGCAUCGAAUUGAGAAAGUAGAAUGGAAAAGGAUGCCUUCAAAACCAAACAUAACUUACCCGAACCCUAAGAAAACUGACUGUAGUGUAGAUGCACGGAUCAAUUCAUCGAAUUCACUCAUCAAUCCAGAUCUCAGGGAUCUCUUCGAUGAGGGGCUAAUAGUCGCCAGUGAGUUUUGCACAUCACUCUUUCAGAAUCUCGCAUCUAGAUAUACCCAAUAGUUGGAGGGAGGGAGGGAAGCCAUCCUCUGGCAAGUACCUCAACUUGGGGCAACCUCUAAUAAAAAACCAUUGGAGAGAGGAGAGAUGGUUGCGGAGACCGCUCGAUAGUCUUUCCAUGUUUCUCAAAUCAUAUAUCCAAAGACAGGUUAGAGAGGAAGGAAAGAGACUCCAGGCAUCCUCAUCCUCCGAAGGAAACCACUCCUUCUCUCCCUCCCCUCCCAUGUUAAACUCAACGUCCAGACUCUCGAGAGAUGUGAGCAGGUGUAGGCCCCACUCUCUCACUGGCUGCUUUAGAUCCACGAGCCCCCAAAUUUUAAGGUCUCGCAAUUUGGGAGGCAAACCUCCCUUGGUGAAGCAUUUGAUAUUUUGGCAAUAGAAAAUUUCUAGCUCUUGGAGGGAUGUAAGAUGAUGCCACUGGUUUAGCAGGGACUUUAUCAUCGGACAAUCCCGAAGUGAAAGACUCUGCAGGGUGAUGGGAAGGGGUGGGAAGUCCUCUAUCUCCAAUACCGGACACUCCCAUAUUUUCAAUUCAGUGAGAUUGUUACACUUGGCAAUGUUACAGUUGGCAAUAGACUUUAUCUUAGAACAAUGUCUAAGAUCAAGACUUGAGAGGGUGAUGGGAAGGGGAGGAAAGUCCUCUAUCUCCAAUGUUGGACAAUUAUAAAUAUGCAAUCGAGUGAGAUGGGAGAGCGUGUGAAGGCACUGUGGUAAGUUUCCCAUAUUUUGACAAUCGUUAAUUGUCAUUGUUUCAAGCGAUUCUACGGCAAUCCCUUCCAACGACUCCACUCCCUUGCAGUCGUAUAUAUCAAGUGCCUUUAGAGGAGCAAGUCUACCCUUGGCCAAUGAAAAGGAUAUCGGAGAAUCAUAGCGACGUAUCUUAAGAGAUUCAAGUUGAGAAAUCGAAUUAUUGCUACUCGGGUCACCUUGACGAAUGUUUAAAGCCAUGAUUUUGGACAAUUUUUAAUCACCAAAUGUCUGAGUGCAUGCAUCUUGCUUGGAAGCUUUUCUAAACUUGUGCAAUCCACCAAUUCCAUCCUUUCAAGAUUACAGGGUAGCUCUAUCUCUCCGCCUCUUGCCACAAAAGAUGUGAAUCGAGCACAGCUUUUAAUGGUUAAUUCCUGGAGGCAAGUGAGAUUUUGCAUUUCAUUUCCAUCUUGCCACAAGCAUGUUAGCUUGUCACACAGUCCUAUAUGAAGCUUCCUUAGCUUGCCCAAGCAACUCAUAAACCGAUGAUCAAAGGAAACAAGCUUUAUGAGUUUGUUAAUUUUGAGAACUGUCAAAGAAGUUAGCUUGAACAAGCUCUUUAAGAUCGCCUUACUACAACCUCAAGGUAUAACUCAUUGAGAGAUGGAAGACAUAACUCACUGGUUGAGUUAUUCAAUUGUUGGCAUGAAUGAAUUUCAAGCUUUAUAAGACGAUCAAGUUGACAAGGCAAUGUCUCGACCAACGAAGGACAGCUUCGGACAACAAGAUGCUCAAGACAGGAGAAUGAGACUUCUUCUUUUAGGCCCCCUGCAUAAGGAGACCAAUCCUUCCAUGCCAACAUCUCUUCGAACUGCAAAGUAAUUAAGGAUGAAAAGGCCUAUCACCUCCGUAAAAAUUAGAGCCUAUUAUUCUUACUGCAUUUAGACCUUUAAGAGAUAAUUCUCAUCAGGUUUUUCAUGGAUUGAUCAAAACCUGUGUUUUUGGUCACAUUUGUCCUUGAUCUCUUGUGAAGUUUAUGUGUAUUGCCAAGAAUUAUGUUCUUGAGAUCUUUGCUGCUAUGUACCUCUAGUAUUUGCUAGAGAAGAACAAUUUUGUUGAUAAUGAAGAAUUUCAGGUGGACUCCAGUCCCAUGGUUUUUGAUCUCCUCACAUCGAGGAGGUUUUCCACGUAAAAAAUCGUCUUGUGUUCGCGUGCUUGGUAUUUAUUUUACUCUAUUAUAUCGAUUCCUAUUAGGUUUACACAAGAGGAGAGAUUAUUUUAUUUCACUGUGUUGAUUCGAUAUUGUUCGAAUUAUUACUGUUCUCCCAUCAGAGUGGUAUCAGAGCAUCAGGUUAUUGCUUGAUUUUUCUGCCUUAUGUUAAACAAUGGAAACGAAUACGAGUAGAAUGGUUACACUGAAUGGUUCAAAUUAUCAUAUUUGGAAAGGGACAAUGGAAGAUCUUUUAUAUGUGAAAGAAUUUUAUUUGCCCGUAUUUGCCGAGGAGAAACUGGAGAAUAAAACUGAUGUUGAAUGGUCUAUAUAUUUCAUCGUCAAGUGUGUGGUUAUAUCAGGUAGUGGGUAGAUGAUAAUGUUUUGAACCAUAUUAUUGAGGAAACACAUGCACACAGUUUAUGGGAUAAGCUCAAAUAGUUAUAUGCUCGAAAAACUGGGAAUAAUAAGUUAUUUUUGAUAAAACAGAUGAUGGCUCUGAGAUAUCAUGAUGGUAGUCGUUUGACUGAUCAUUUAAAUUCUUUUCAAGGAAUUAUAAAUCAGUUGGCUGCAAUGGGAAUCAAGUUUGAUGAUGAGAUACAAGCACUAUAGUUGCUUGGUACUUUGCCAGACUCUUGGGAAACAUUCCAAACAUCUUUGUCUAAUUCUGCCCCUAAUGGUACAAUUACCAUGGAUUUGGCCAAGAGUAGUAUUUUGAAUGAAGAGAUGAGAAGGAAGACACAAGGAUCGUUCUCUUCACAUUCUGAUGCCUUGGUUGUUGAGAAAAGGGGAAGAAGUGAGUCUUGAGGUCCGAGAAAUAGAGAUAAAAGUCGAGACAAAAGCAGAGGUAAGUAUAAUAAAUUUGCUAAUGUUGAGUGACAUUAUUGUCAUCAGAAAGGACAUAUUCAGAGGUUUUGUCGCCAGUUAAAAAGGGAAAAACAAAAGGAGAAAGGUAAAGAGAAGAAAAGUGAUAAUGAGAGUGAUGACAAUCAUGUCGCUGCAUUUAAAGAAGACUUUCUCACUAUUUUUGAUGGUGAUGUGAUAAAUUUUGUAUCUCAUGAGAUCAGUUGGGUAAUUGAUAGUGGUGCAUCCAUUCAUGCUACGUCUCGUAGAGAUUUCUUUAUAUCAUACAGGUCAGGUGACUUCGGAUUUAUGAAGAUGGGAAACAAUGGACUAGCCCAAGCUGUAGGUAUCGCUGAUGUGUGCCUAGAAACCAGCAAUGGCACAAUGUUAGUAUUGAAUAAUGUUAAACAUAUACCUGAUAUCCGCUUGAAUUUGAUUUCUACAAGCAAGUUGGAUGAUGAGGGGUAUUGCAGCACCUUCAGUAAUGGUCAAUGGAAGCUCACCAAAGGUUCUCUUGUUGUGGCUAGAUGUGGAAAAAUAUUAUUCGUUAUACAUUAUGCAAGCAAAGUUGUCUACGGACAAAAUUAAUGUAGUAGAUAGCGAAGAUGCAGCUGAAUUAUGGCAUAAGAGGCUCAGUCACAUCAGUGAGAAGGGUUUGUCAAUAUUGGCUAAGAAGAAGCUCCUUUCAGGAUUGAAAAGUUCAGCGCUAAAGAAGUGUGCUCACUGUUUAGCAGGAAAACAAAAUAGAGUUGCAUUUAAAAGCUCCCCUCCUUCAAGAAAGUCUGUUUUAUUGGAUUUAGUGCAUUCUGAUGUUUGCAGUCCUAUGAAAACAAAAUCACUUGGUGGCUCUCUUUAUUUUGUUACCUUCAUAGAUGAUUUUUCAAGGAAAAUUUGGAUUUAUACCUUGAAAACUAAAGAUCAAGUGUGAGAUGCUUUUAAGCAAUUUCAAGCUUCAGUUGAGAGACAGACUGGAAAGAAAUUGAAAUGCAUCAGAACUGAUAACGGGGGAGAGCAUAUUGGACCUUUUGAUGAAUAUUGCAGACAAUAAGGUAUUCGACAUCAAAAGACACCUCUCAAGACACCUCAGUUAAAUGGCUUAGCUAAGAGAAUGAACAGAACAUUGGUUGAAAGGGUAAGAUGCUUACUUUCACAGUCAAAGCUACAUGGAUCCUUUUGGAGUGAGGCUUUAAGUACAGUUGUGCAUGUAUUAAAUCUUACUCCAUGCGUUCCUUUAGAGUUUGAUGUUCCUAACAAAGUUUGGACAUGCAAAUAUGUUUCUUAUGAUUAUUUGCAUGUCUUUGGGUGCAAAUCAUUUGUGCAUGUUCCUAAAGAUGAGAGGUCUAAACUUGAUGUGAAAACACGACAGUGCAUAUUUAUUGGUUAUGGACAGGAUAUGCUUAGCUACAAAUUUUAUGAUCUGGUUGAAAAGAAAAUUGUAAGAAGCAGAGAUGUUGUGUUUAUGGAAGAUCAAACAAUAGAGGAUAUUGAGAAAGUAGAGAUGAUUUCAGCACCACAGGUUAGUGAUAAUUUGGUUGAUUUGGAUCCAGUUCCUCUUACAAAUAUUCCUACACAGGUUGAUGAAGAGCAGCAGGAAAUCAAUGUUUCAAAUAACGCACAUGUUCCUGAACAUGUUGAAACAUAUAAUAAUAUUCCCGAACUAGAGGCUCAAUUAGAUGUUCCACUGGAUGUUCCAGUCCGGAGAUCCGUUAGAGACCGACAACCUUCCACCAGGUAUUCUGAAGAUGAGUAUGUAUUAUAGAUUGAUGCAGGUGAACCAGAGUGUUAUGCAGAAGCAAUAGAAGAUGAGUACAAAAGCAAUUGGUUUGAUGCUAUACGAGAUGAGAUGCAGUCACUUUAUGAUAAUCAUACUUUUGAGUUAGUGAAGUUACCUAAAGGUAAAAGAGCUUUGAAGAACAAGUGGGUAUAUAGUUUAAGCAAGAUGAACAUACUUUACAACCACGGUACAAAGCUAGAUUGGUUGUUAAGGGAUUCAGUCAAAGAAAGGGUAUUGAUUUUGAUGAUAUAUUUUCUCCGGUAGUGAAAAUGUCUUCUAUCCGUGUGGUACUAGGCUUGCUAGCUAGCCUAGAUUUAGAAAUUGAGCAAAUGGAUGUUAAAACGGCAUUCCUACAUGGUGACUUGGAGGAAGAGAUAUACAUGGAACAACCCGAGGGUUUCAAAGUGAAAGGGAAAGAAGAUUAUGUGUGCAAAUUGAAGAAAAGUCUUUAUGGCCUAAAAUAAGCACCGAGGUAGUGGUAUAAGAAAUUUGCGUCAGUUAUGACAGAACAGGCUAUAAGAAGACUUCCUCAGAUAACUGUGUGUUUGUCCAAAAUAUUUUUGAUGAUGACUUUAUUAUUCUCUUACUUUAUGUUGAUGAUAUGCUGAUUGUUGGCAGUAAUGCUUCAAGAAUUGAGUUAUUAAAGAAACAGUUGAACAAGUCUUUUGCCAUGAAAGACUUGGGCUCGGCGAAACAGAUUCUUGGCAUUAGAAUUACCCGAGACAGAGAUGCUAAGAAGUUAUUUUUGUCACAAGAGAAAUAUAUCGAGAAAAUCCUUCAGAAAUUUUACAUGGACAAGGCUAAAGUGGUAAGUACUCCUCUUGUUGCCCACUUUAAGUUAAAUAUGAUGCAAAGUCCUACGACUGAUAAAGAAAAGAAAGAUAUGGAAAGUGUUCCAUAUGCCUCAGCUGUAGGAAGCUUAAUGUACGCGAUGGUAUGUACACGCCCAGACUUGGCGCACGCAGUUAGCGUUGUUAGUCGCUAUUUGUCAAAUCCAGGCAAAGAGCACUGGAAUACAGUGAAGUGGAUUAUGAGGUAUCUUCGGGGAACUUCAAAUUUGAAACUCAGUUUUGGGACCGGGAAACUUGAGUUAGUUGGAUACACAGAUUACAACUUGGCAGGAGAUAUUGAUACUCGUAAAUCUACUUCUGGUUAUUUGAUUUCUUUUGCGGGUGGAGCUGUGUCAUGGAAGUCAAGAUUGCAGAAGUGUGUUGUCUUUCUACAACCGAAACUGAAUUUAUUGCAGUGACUGAAGCUAGUAAAGAGAUGCUAUGGAUGAAGAAGUUCUUAGAAGAACUUGGGUUCAAGCAAAAGAGGUAUGUGUUAUUUUGUGAUAAUCAAAGCGCAAUUCAUCUUGCUAAGAAUUCAUCUUUUCAUUCUAGAUCGAAACAUAUUGAUGUUAAAUAUCAUUGGAUAAGGGAUGUUCUAGAUGAAAAAUUGUUGGAACUUGAGAAAAUUCAUAUUGAUCAUAAUGGCUCCGAUGUGAUGACGAAGACUCUACCAAGAGAGAAACUUGAACAUUACCAAUUGAUAGCAGGGAUGGUGAAUCCCUCCACAUUGUCGUGAGGGGGAGAUUUGUUAGCUGGGUUCACUCCUAUGUGGAGGAGGCCCAAUGAGUUACAAGCCUAAAAAGGGCUUAAGUCCAUAUGAUAAGUUAUAUGAGGAAAUAGGGUUUCUCAUUAUCUAUAUAAAGAGGUAGUCGCAAAAAAGGAAACAGUAACAAGAGAAAAAGAGAAAGCAGAAAAUCUGGAGUUUGGGACAAUAUCUGAUUUACAUCAAACUGGUGUUAGAAGUCGAUUCGUGAUCCGAUUGAGCUGAAAUUUUGUCAGCAUGUUCGUGGCACAAUUUUAUUAAAUUUGAACAGUUUGAUUUUCGUCUGAAACUCCAUACAUCAGGUUUUUCGUGGAUUGAUCAAAACUUGCGUUUUUGGUCAGAUUUAUCCUUGAUCUCUUGUGAAGUUUAUGUGUAUUGUCAAGAAUUAUGUUCUUGAGGUUUUUGCUACUAUGUACCUCUAGUUUUUGCUAGAGAAGAACAAUUUUGUUGAUAGUGAAGAAUUUCGGGUGGACUCCGGUCCCGUGGUUUUUGAUCUCCUCACAUUGAGGAGGUUUUCUACGUAAAAAAUCGUCUUGUGUUCGCGUGCUUGGUAUUUAUUUUUCUCUACUAUAUCGAUUCCUAUUAGGUUUACACAAGAUGGGAGAUUAUUUUAUUCCGCUGUGUUCAUUCGAUAUUGUUCGAAUUAUUACCGUUCUCCCAUCAACAUUAUCACAAAUGACUUCAACAGGUUUAGGUAAAAAUAUAUGAAGAUCACCGAAAUCUGCCGAAUCCAAUUUUCUGCGACUCCAUCGGCGAAACUCUUGUAGUCAAAUUUCGCAAGUGGGUUGCUCUUUUAGCAUGCCAUAAUAAUGUCGAACCCAAGAAAAGUUACACAUCGAAAUGUUGAGCGACGGACGAGUAUCGAGACAACCAGCCCAAUCAGCACGAGGGAAACAUCGCAAUGGAGCUAUCAGUACGGCUUCAAAAAGAGUCCAUAAUCGGUGGUUCCAUAUAAAAAUCUAAUAAUGCACUUUACCGCUUGUAACUAAGGUAUACGAGGGCAAUGCAUGAACUGAUUCACAAUACUAACGGCAUACGAAAUGUGUGGUCUAGUGAUAGAUAAUAACUAUAAAACCCCCAAUCGUGCUUCUAUGUUCAUCAGUGAUUUAUUUUCCUGUAAGUUUUAAUUUGAAUAUUUCUUUAUUAAUGUUAUGGUUUUCUUCCUUUAAUUUUUUUUACCUCUUUAUAGAGAUCUUGAAUAGUCAACCCGCGCCUCUAUUAUUCUUUGUCAUUGUCAAAAUUUCUUGCAAAUCGUACAAUUUUUUUUCUGAAUUUUGAGGCAAUCUCUUAAUCUGUGUAAGUACUUCUUUCUUUCUGAACUUCUGCUUGCUAUUUUUAUUCUACCGUUAUUACAUUUAUACUCGGAGAAACCUAAUCCACAUGUAAAAUUAUCUUUAUGAUUUCAUUCUUGAAUUUCUUCAUCUUCCACUAAUUCAUCCGCGUAUUCUUCCUCUGUUUCUUAUGACAAUGACACAGUUUCUAGAAUUUCCAAUUGAUUUAUGUUCCUUUGAAUUUGCAAUUUGACUCAUAACAGACUACUGCUUUGUUUCUUUUAUUUAUGAAUUUCUUUCCAUACUUUUCUCUAUUAUUCUUAUCUGAUAUGAGCCAUUGAGAUGAAUGAUAUGAGCAAGCCACCCUUCGGUGAAAAGUACAAGUUACUGUAAAGCAAAUUGAGCAUCCACCAGGCACUUAUAAAUGGUACUAUAAGCACUUUUUUUUUUCAAAUUCAGUACAUGACAUACAUGCAAGAUCAAAGAGAAGUUAUAUCACUUCAACAAAACUUUAUAUGUAUCCGAAAUACUUAUUCAAUUAAUAAUAUCAAAGCAAACAUCAAUGAGUUAGUUUAUUGAACAAUCUAAUGCUUAAUAUCGAACUAUGGCCACGUUUAACACUCCGUGAUGAGACCUAGCAAGAUUCCCUUUUGACGUAGGUCUCCACUUUAUAUAAGCUAGCGUCUCGAUCAAAAUAGGACAUAUUGAGAACUGUAUACAUACUCAUAACCAUUUAAUGGGUUCAAAUUAUAGCUGCAAGAGCAUAAACUCCAACCAGUCACGUAACUAUUUCACCAUUCAUAAACUAGUUCACUAAUCAAUAUAUUUAUAGCACAAUUCUUUCCAUCAGGCAGAAUGCAUUUCACAUUGCCCUUCUCAAACCAUAUCACAAAUAAUUAAUUUUCAAACUAUUUCAAGAGAUACUUUGCUAUGCUAUUUCAGUAACAAAAGCAUAUUCAAUGUUAGAUCAUGUUUUAUACGAAAAAAUAUACUCUAAACACCACUUUUUUGUUCCCUUUUAAAUGAAUAGCAUACCAUGCAUUACCUUUUUCAUUGCUAAUGGCAUAAGUACUUUUUGUUAUUUUCAGGACAUGAGUUCACAAAUCAUACAAUAAAUAAGCACCGCUCCCCUGAAUAUGCGAAACCAAACAAUGAAAGCUACCUUACAAACAGAAAAAUCAAGUGAGAAAUGGAGAUUGAAAACAAGUACUAACUACCUCAACUAAAACUAGACUAAUCUAAGCUUAUUUGGCAACAAAACUACUUCAAUGUGUUAACAGAAAGCUCACCUAAAGUAGAACUCACGUGCAAUUUUCAUAAAAAUGAGCUCUAAAGAAUUUUCUCACAAGUGGGUCCAAAGUCAUUAGAAAUUUAACUCGACCUUCGACCCAGAAGAGGUCCAGAAAAGGGUGAAAACUGGUGUCAAACACAGUAGUUCAUAUAUGGUUCCAACAGUGCACAAUGAACUUCAAAAUUUCAUCCUGACCAAAUCGUAAUCCCAAAUUUACCUCCAUAAAAUCCCAUAUUUCCAUGACACAUUAAGUUCCAUUGCAACCUAAUUUUAUAGCUCAACAACUUCUAGAAUCAACUCGCCAACCUAAAUCCCAAAUCGAGUUAAAAUUAUAGCUUAUCCAAAUAAAUUUUCUUUGAUUAAAUAAAUUAAGUCCUUGAAUUUUUAUCGAGCGGUUCACAAUGACGCUUAAGAUGACCUAAACCCUCUCUCUCUCUCGCCUGCAUGCGCGGGGUUUACUUCUCUUUUCCAGUUUUCUGGAUUCUUCUUUCUCUUUCAUAACUAUUCUACUUUGGCCUCGUUUGGUUCAGCAUUCCCAAGGGGCUUUCAGCCCCGAAAGCCCAUUGGGAAAAAAACUAGGUGUUUGGUUCAGCAUUUGGAAGUGUCCUUGGCCAAAUGCUGGCCUUUGAAAUGCUGAAAGCCCAAAACAGGUCAUUUCGGCAUUUCGGAAAUGGAAGUCCACCUCUACUAUUCAUCUGUUGACUUCUUCUUCUUCUUUUUUUUUUUAAACCGAUCAUCUUCCCCACACCCCAACUGUCGUUGAUCGGUAAUAGAGUUUCAUCAGAUUUUAUUUUUAUUUUUUAAAAAAAUAAUAUAAACCCUUUGCAAAUGUUGGGUUCAUCUUUUUUUUUUCUAUUAUUUUUAUCUUUUGACAAUCAAUAGCCCAACUUUUUAUCAAUACACUAGAAUGAUCAUUAAUUAACGAAUAUGAUUAAUACUACAAUAAUUAAAAAAAUUUAUUCUAAGUUGAAAACAAACCUAAAAGAACUCUAGGCCAAAAGUUGAGCUUUGUAUCUAAUCUAUAAUCAAAUUCUUUUAAUAUAAUUUUUAAAUAAAUUUACUAAUAUAUAUAUUUUACAUUACUCUCAACAUGAAAAUGUAAAAGGUUAUAUAGUCAUUGUUUCUUUUUUGCAAUUUUAAAAAUAUUAAAACUAAAAAACUUAAUCUGGUCAUACUAAAGGGUUUUUCAAAUAUAUGUUUACCAAACAGUCUUGCAUUUUCCUAAAGCACUUUUCAGUUAUAGUUUACCAAACAGUCUUGCAUUUCGAAAAACCUCUUUACCUCAAAGGUAUUUGCAUUCUCCCAAGGGCAUUUUCCCAAAGCCGAAUUAAACGAGCCCUUUCUCUUGUUAAGCUAGCUCCAACAUUUAUAAGUAAGCUGAAGGAUCCGUUGGGCUUCUAAGAUGGAGCUUUAUGAGAUAAAAUGAGAAUUGGCCCAAUUGGGUCUCUUGGGCCUAAACCCAUUUUUUUUCAUGGUGGCGGCCUGUAAAGUCUUAGACACAGGAUGAGGGGAAAAUAAUAUAUGAACCCUGAGCACUUGAGCUCAGCUCAAAUCGACCAUCGAAUGGUGUGGGCUCCUUGUGAAAGCUAACUUUUCACAGUCCACCUGAAAAAUUAUGAACCUAAAAUUCAUUAUUUACAACGCAAAUUUCCCUAUAUAUAGAGUUAGGUUAGAAUUGGGUAAUUAAAUGUGAGAUGAUUAGUCUAGCUACUAGCGCUAGCAGCGACAGUGUUGGAAUAAGCUAAGUAGCACUGACACUGACAUGUGACACACGACACGACAUAACACGCCGACACGUCGUUUCUAAAAAACAGAGAAUUUUGACACGUUCGGACACGUUGUAUAUUAAAAUCUAUUUUUAUAUAUACAUAAUAAAUUAUCAUUUUUAUGAUUAUUUCAAUCAAAUUAAUUUGAAUCAAAUUCAUAGAAAAAUAAAUAAUUAAAAAAGCCUAGAAUAAAUAUACACUAAAAACAUUAAUCCACCAUUUAUUAAUAUAAUUCAUUGUUUCAAUUUGAUAAAUUCAACGCUAUUUCAAUAAUUCAUAAAAUUUGGAGAAAAAAUAAGCGAUCUGUUGUAAAAUAUUGCGUUGCGAAUAUAUAAUAGAAAAGAGAUUGAAAAGAGAAAGCAAGUGAACACUAGAGAUAGUAGAGAAAGCAAGAUGAUAGAGCUUUAUUUCUAGUAUCUCACUGUCGUGUUUCUAUGUGAUUGUGUAUUGUACAUUAAAACUAAACUCCUAUUUAUAGGAGAACAAGAAUGUACUUAUCAUUAAUAUCAAUGUAUUGAAUGAUACAUGUACAGGAUAAGGGAGACGAACGUUCGUUGUAUAGGGAGAUGUACUUAGAACAUUUUAUACAAAUGUACCAUAAUAAGUACAUUGGAUAAAAUGAAUAUAAUGAAUAUCCAUUCAUGUAUUCUAUCCAUUAAUGUAUUUCAUAACACUCCCUCUUGAAUAUUCAUCAUAUUCAUUACGAAUGUGCAUCGAAUGAUACUGCCUCAUUAAAAACCUUAAGUCGGAAAAAUCCAGUGGGAUGAAAACCGGACAAAAGGGAAAAAGAAUGCAGAGCACACAUGUUAUGAUCUCUCCCUUUUAUGGAUGCAUUAAUUGCCUCGUUAAAAACUUUAAGCCGGAAAAACCCUAUGGGAAAAAAACCGGACAUAAAGAAAAAAAAGAGUGCAAUGUAUAUAUAGCCACUCCUGGGACUAAUCAUUAUUGCAUCUUGUGAACUAGCCGCAUAUCAAUGCUACAAUACAUAGUUCAUAAUAUCUCCCCCUCAAUAGAGCCAUAUAGCCACUUCUGGGGCUAAUUAAUCUUACAUCUUAUGAACUCACCACAUACCAAUGCCAUAUACUAAUUUCUCAAAACUUGAUGUUGGCAAUGAUUUGGUAAAAAGAUCUAUAAGAUUAUUUAUGGAUCGAAUCUGUUUAACAUCAAUUUGUCGACUUUCUUGGAGUUCAUGAGUAUAGAAAAAUUUCGGCGAGAUAUGCUUGGUCCUAUCACCUUUGAUAUAUCCUCCCCUGACUUGUGCAACACAAGCAACAUUAUCUUCAUAAAUUAUAGUGGGAGAAUUUGUAACCAGUAUUAAGCAACAAUAAUUAUGAAUGUGUGUUAUAACGGAUCUUAACCAAACACACUCUCUUCCAGCUUCAUAUAAAGCAAUAAUCUCAGAGUGGUUAGAAGAUGUAGCUACUAGUGAUUGCUUCGUAGAACGCCAAAAAAUAGCGGUACCGUUAUAACAAAAUAAAUACCCGGUUUGAGAGCGAGCCUUAUGUGGAUCAGAUCUAUAUCAAGCAUCAUCAUAUCCAACUAAACCAGAGUUAGUGGAAUCAUUGGAAUAAUAUAAUCGCAAAUCUAUGGUUCCUCGGAGAUAACGGAAAAUAUGUUUAACUCCAUUCCAAUGUCUCCGAGUUAGCUCAGAACUAAAACGUGACAAUAAAUUUACCGCAAAAGCGAUAUCUGGUCUCAUACAUUGUGCCAAGUACAUCAAAGCCCCAAUUGCAUUGAAAUAUGGUAUUUCAGGACCAAGUAUCUCUUCAUCAGAUUCUCUAGGACGAAAUGGGUCCUUUUGGGGAUCUAGAGACAUUACAACCAUAGGGGUGCUCAAUGGGUGAGCUUUGUCCAUAUUGAAACGUUUAAGCAAUCUUUCAACAUAUGCUGAUUGAUGGACGAUUAUUCCAUUUGCUUUAUGCUCAAGCUCUAGACCAAGACAAAGUUUGGUUUUACCCAAAUCUUUAACUUCAAACUUGUAGCACCCCUCGACGGCCCCCGAUCCAUUAGGGUCGCCACAGUUCGCUUACCUUUCUCUUUCCCUAUUAACAUGUCACUUUGAUACCAUUUCAAUUGCAGCGGGUCCAUACAACUUGGGGGUUUACAUCUUUUAGAUCUGUCCCUUGCGCAAUUUAUAUAUGGAAGCACAUCCAAAUACUCCCUUCCCUAUAUUCAGAAAACGAUGCACAUCUACUAAACAUCUUAUAUAAGUUAAAGCCGAACACAUUUAUUUACAUAGAGCAGAUGGACAUCUUUAGUCGAUACAUCAAAAUGUCGUAGUCUUCUAUACUCGGCUACACUUCAAAGGAUGACCGACAUCUUCUCCAACAGUCGAAUACUUAAAGUCCAAAGAUUAGUGUCGACGUCCAAAAGUUCCUCCCUUUGCUAUCAUAACCAACCACUUGAUUCAUCUACUAGUAGCAGUGGCAGCAGAGGUAUCUUAUCUAGUCUGAAAUGUUAUUCCCCAAAAGGGGUGAGUACAACCACUCAACAGGUAAAGGACCAAUAAACCACUCAAUACAUCAUGCCAUGCAAUCAUCACAAUCAUAGCAUCACAUGUCAUACAAGCAUCCAUGCACAACAUACCAUGGCAUCAUGCACAUGUUAUCAUACCUCAUGUACCAUCAUCAUCAUAUAGACAUCACCAUCAUAUCAUACACUUACCAUCAUCAUGUUACAUAUGGCAUCAUCCUUACCAUGCAUCCAUGCGUAUAACAUCAUCAUCAUAUCACCAUAUCACAUGUAGCAUCAUCCUUACCAUACAUCCAUGCAUGUAACAUCAUCAUCAUAUCAUCAUAUCACAUGUACCAUCAUCAUUACCAUGCAUCCAUGCACAUCUCAUCAUAUCAUGCAUAUAUCAUCAUGCAUAAUUCAAUUUCAAUUUCAUUUGGGACCGUCACAUUUCUCUUUUUCCGGGACAAAUGUUUGCAUCCCACAUUCAUCACUCGCAUCCAACCAGACAUCGCGAGUAACCUCCGGGCAUGUAUCCAAGAUACAACCGGGCAUCCGACCCCCCACAUUCCGGGCAUCUCGCAUCCCAACUAGCAUCGCGAGGCAUCCCCCUAGGCACAAACCUCCAGGGCUUCCGGCAUUUACACUCCCUAGCCGGGCAUCUCGCACCCCAACUGGCAUCACGAGGCAUCCCCCUGGGCACAAACCUCCAGGGCUUCCGGCACUCCCACUUUCCGGGCAUCUCAAAACUCCUGAGGACAUCCGGCCUUGUAUCUCAAUACAAUCCGGGCCAUCCGGCACCCCUCAUCCCAGGCAUCCUGACACUCCCAGGGCAUUAUCAUUCGCCACAGACAGUUUCCUCAUUUAUCAUUAUUUAUGUUCACCAAUUUAGGUCUCAACUCAGCAUGGCACAUGACGCAAUGGCAAACAAGAUCACUUUCAUCCUUUGAUUCAUACAUGCAUCUCCAAUCAUUUCAUGCAUGCAGCAAGGCGCCAUCAUCCAUAACAAUACAAUUCCUGCAGUCCAUGCAAUUUAAAAUGGUCCAUAUUUCCUGCCUUUCACAAAAUUCCAGCAUAUACUAUUUUAGAAAAUAUUUAAAUUAAAUAUCCAUAUGCUUCUCAAAAAUCAUGAAAUCAAGGCAUGUGAUAGGCAAGACAAUAUGAUAGUAAUUUCAUGAAAAGCACAUGUCCAAUAGAAUUCCACACAAAAAGAUACAAUUCACACAAAACAGCAUGCAGUUUCGGAUAGAAACAGAAUGCACAGUUUCCAAAAUAAUUCGAUUAAAAUACCCGAACGACCUCCGAAAAUUAUGAAAUUUUACCAGGUUAUAGUAAAGACACUAAAGUAGAUAUUUCAUGAAGACUUAUAAGCCAUAUUCGUUUUAGAUAAUUUUCUAUAGUCGUACGAAGCUUCUGGAUCUAGCACCGAAAUGUCCAGUGUAGUCAUCUCCGAAAUACCGAGUUUUCACCCCAUUAUUCUUCUUUGUUUCCUCUUAAAUUUGGAUAUGUUUUACUUCAAGAGGUCCCCUACAACUUUCAUUAAGAGAUCUAAGUCAAAUUUCCAGAGUAUAGUCAUCAUAUGCGUCCUUGAAGUCUCGGGUGUCCUGUACCGCGUCUCCAGAUUUACCAUCUUCAAGCGUAAGUCGAUUCACUAGGCUACACUUGCUCAUUUUACUUAAAAUUUGAGUAUGUUAGUCUUUAGGAUGUUCGCUACAAGUUUCAUGAAGAAGUCGAAGAGAGAUUCUCAGUAAAAAUCGACAUGCAACCACAAAUCCACCGAAAGGUCAGUGAAAUCGUUCCAGAUCUAGUGUCUUCGUAGGAUGAGGGUUUGACCCCUUAAAUCUCCAUAAUUUUGUCUCAAAUUUUAGUAUGUUAUAUUUUAAGAUGUUGGCUACAACUUUUAUGAAGGAAUAAAAGUCAAAAUCGAACUCAAAACAUGCAUGCAAGCUCUCACAAGAUUCUGGGUCAGGCGGAUCUCACGAAAUCAGCAAGCAAAAUCAAGAGAAAAUCACAUUCUAGCUUCGGUUUUGCCUUCCCUAUGAUCCGAAACCUACCCCAAACAAAUCACACAUACAAGGCACACAUGCAAGGGUGGAAAUCAGUCCCAACUUGCCUCAAAGACCAAGCAGACAGCGACACACGAACGGCACACCGGCGACGGACGGACGGCGUGCGGGCGGCGACGGGCGAGCUCCUCCUCCUCUUCGGCCUCCCUCUCUCUCGCAACUCUCUUGGACGACAGCCCCCCACCAUCAGCCACUCCCCCUCUCUCUUCCUUUUUCCCUCUCUCUUCCUUUUUGGUUGGAUAUAUAUUGCAUGCAUUCUUAUUUUGCAUGGGGGACACUUGUCCCUAAGAAGGAGACAAGUGUCUCUUUUGUUGAAGACACUUGGAGGAAGCCAUGCGGCUCCUCCUUCCCCCUCCAUGCGCCGACAGUCCAAUGGGCUCUAUGGGCCGGGCCUCUUGGCCCACUUUAGGCCAACACACUUGGGCCUAAAGUCCAAGCUUUAAUGGGCCAAAAUUUUCUUAAAUAAGUCAAUUUUACUUUCAAUAAUUUACCUUAAAUCCCCACUUAUAUAAAUACUAAAUUACGAUUUCAUAUGGCCAUAAGUCUUGAAAUCAUAAUUCCAUAAAUUCCAAUUUAUAAAACACAUGGCUAAUGAUAGGAAUUUCUUUCCUCUCCCAUAAUUAUCCAUUAAAAGCUUGGCCAUAAAUCUUAUUGCAAUUUAUGGACUAAAUGGCUACAAUACAUCUUGAUGGUACUCCCAUCACCUAUUCAUAGACCUUAAUGUAACUAGAGGUCAUUAUGAAUUUUGGGAUGCCACAAAACUCCCUUUUCAAAUAUUCAGCAGUUUCAGCUAACUCUUCUGGAGUUCCAAUUAAAUUUAUAUCGUCGACAUAAACUGCUAUAAUAGCAAAUCCGGUUUCUGAUUUCUUAAUAAACACACAUAGGCAGAUAGGAUCAUUCUUGUACCUUUCCUUAAUUAGGUACUCACUUAGGCGUUGAUACCACAUGCGACUGGAUUGCUUUAACCAGUACAAGGAUCUUUACAAUUUUAUUGAGAAUAAAUUACGGGGAGUGCAUGCUUCAGGCAUUUUGAAUCCCUCAAGAAUUUUCAUAUAAAUAUUAGAGUCUAAUGAGCCAUAUAGAUAUGCCGUCACAACGUCCAUAAGACGCAUUUUUAAUCUUUCAAAGAUUGCUAGGCUAAUGAGAAAAUGAAAUGUAAUCAUAUCCAUCACAGGUGAAUAUGUCUCAUUAUAAUCAAUCCUAGGUCUUUGAGAGAAUCCUUGGGCAACGAGUCGGGCUUUAUACCUGACAACCUCGUUUUUCUCAUUUCAUUUUCGGAUAAAUACCCAUUUAUAUCCAACGGGCUUUACAUUAUCGGGGAUACGAGUUACAGGUCCAAAAACCUCUCGUUUAGUUAGGGAAGCUAAUUCAGCUUUAAUUGCUUCCUCCCACUUAGGCCAAUCUUGCCUUUGACGACAUUCAAUAAUAGAUUGUGGUUCACAAUCAUCAUCCAUAAUUUUAUGAGCAACUGAGAAUGCAAAAGCAUCAUCAAUGAUGAUUUCAUUUCGAUCCCAAAUUUCAUUAUAAUAUAUAAUGGAAUUCUCGGUAUUCCCGAGGCUAGUGCUCCUUUCAUGGGUUUGUGCCUCUUCAGGGGCAAUAAGCUCUUUGAGAGCAAGCACAACGCCAGGCUCUUCUAGAGCGGAUUCCUGAUUCUUUCCCCUUCGUUUUCGAGGAGCAGUAUCUUUUGAUCCUAUCGGUCUACCAUGCUUCAAGUGCGGGGGAUUUUGAUCCAUUUUAGCCUGUUCUUCGGGAACAACUAUCCUAGCCGGAGCAUUUGCAGCUAGAAUAUGAGACUUCGUUAUCUUAGUAGCAUCAUUAAAUGCAUCAGGAAGUCUAUUGGACAUAGCUUGUAAAUGGAUUAUGCGCUGCACCACGUUUUCACAUUCGGGGGUCCUUAGGUCUAAUUGAGAUAAAUUCUUCUCAUUCCAGGAGAAAACCUUAACUGGUUUUUGUUUUGCAGUCAUGAAAAUUCUAGGUAUCCCAAUUGAUGGAAACCUAGUCUCAUCGAAAUGACAAUCUGCAAACCUGGUAGUAAAAAGAUCACCAGUAGUUGGUUCCAAGAACCUAAUGAUAGACGGUGAAUUAAACCCAACAUAAAUGCCCAAAUGGCGUUGGGGACCCAUUUUCAUCCUUUUUGGCGGUGCUACAAGCACCUGUACUGCACAACCAAAGGUGCGUAGAUGUGAAAUAUCUGGUUUAUAACCAAUAACCAUUUGAAGGAGAGAUUGUAAAAUACUCGCAGUGGGGCAUAAUUUUAUUAGAGCUGCCGCAUGCAAAACUGCAUGACCCCAUGCUGUAUCGUUGAGAUUCGUUCUCAAUAAUAGAGUGCGGGCAAUGAUUUGGAUACAUUUAAUCAAGGAUUCUGCCAAUCCAUUUUGAGUAUGAACAUAUGCAACCGGGUGCUCAACCUCGAUUCCAAGUGAAGCAUAAUAUGUAUCAAAACUCUUUGAUGUAAAUUCACCAGCAUUAUCCAUCCUUAUGCUCUUAAUUGGAUAAUCAGGGAAUUGUGCUCGGAGUUUUAUAAUCUGCGCAAGUAAACGUGCAAAUGCGACAUUGCGCGUAGAUAAUAGGCAAACAUGGGACUAUCUAUAGGAUGCGUCCACUAAUACCAUAAAAUAUCGAAAUGGUUCACUUGGUGGUUGUAUUGGUCCACAAAUAUUACCCUGAAUUAUUUGCAAGAAUAAAGGAGAUUCAAAAUUAACCUUUGUUAUAGAAGGUUUGAUAAUGAGCUUUCCUUGUGAGCAAGCCUCACAAUUAUAAUCUUUGGACAACAAUANNNNNNNNNNNNNNNNNNNNNNNNNNNNNNNNNNNNNNNNNNNNNNNNNNNNNNNNNNNNNNNNNNNNNNNNNNNNNNNNNNNNNNNNNNNNNNNNNNNNNNNNNNNNNNNNNNAUCUCCAGGAUGUGGUAGCGUAGGUUUCAACAGCUUUAAUCAUGGCACAAUACAAACCCAUAGAAGAAGCUUCUAGCUUCUCAUGAAUGGUCUUCAGGCCCAUCUUAUAAGAAGAAAUGUCAAUAUAUUCCUUAUCUUGCUCAUAAAUAGUCUCAAUAUAGUACCCAUUACGGCGUACAUCUUUGAAACUGAGCAGAUUCCUUUUUGAUCGAAUGCUUAGAAACACAUUCUCAAUAUGCAGGAUUGUGCCAUUUGGCAAAAUAAUUGCAGCAUUCCCAAAACCAUCAAUAAUCGGAACAGGACCUGAUAUUGUAUGAAUUUGUGCCUUACGCAAUGUCAUACUCGAGAAAAAGUGUCUACUACAAAAUAUAGUAUGUGUUGUUGCACUAUCAAGCAAACAAACAUCUUCCUUUUUCUCGGUAUUUUCCAUUUGCAUUAUAUUGACAACUUCAGGUGUCAAGUAUCAUAAAAGUUGCAUAUUAGUUAUAUAGUCGAAUAAAAUUUCAAAAAAAAAAUAUUAUAUAAGGUUCAUAAGUAUUUCAUAAAGAACAAUAAAAAAAAAAGUAAUACAUUUAAAGCGAAACAACAUAAAAUUCAAAGUUCAAAUUAUCAUCCACCAAUCUGAUUCAUCAAAAUAAUCAAAGGUCCUCAAAGAAAUCAGAGACAUCCAAUGAUGCAUUUGCUACUUCAGGAGCAAGAGGAGUUCCACCAACGGAGAUAUUGUUGGCCUCAACAGUGGUUAUGGUAGUAGGAUUGAUUUCAAUGGCAUGAGAUUCACCACGCUUGCCCGUAUUCUUUAAAGAUGCCUGGUAUAGGUCAACAAAAUGUUUUGGCGUACGACAGGUACGUGACCAGUGCUCAGUCAUGCCACAGCGAUGACAAAUACUUUCAUUAAUCAUCUUCUUUUGCUUCUUUUCUUUGCCAUGAUUCAGGCCAAAGUUUGAUUUCCUUGGACGGUUAAAUUUCUUGCCAUCCCUUCUAGGAUUAUGUUCUUGCUUGCGCUUAUAGCCCUUAAAAUGGCCAGUAUUUUUCUCAAAGUUAGCAUGUGCUUCAGGCAAUACUUUUGAGCCAGCAGGUUUAAGAUCAUGAUUUUUGAGCAGUAAUUCAUUGGUUUGCUCAGCAGUAAGAAGCACAUAAAUUAAUUCUGAAUAUGUGGCAAAUUGACGUUGCCGGUAUUGUUGUUGCAAUACAAUAUUCGAAGCAUGAAAGGUGGAAAAAGUUUUCUCAAGCAAUUCUGCAUCAGUGAGUUUGAUACCGCAUAACUCAAGCCGAGAAACGAUAUCAAAUAAAGCAGAAUUAUAGUCAGACACUAAUUUAAAAUCUUGCAGUAUGAGAUUUUGCCAAUCAUAUUGUGCUUAAGGGAGGAUAACAGUUUUGGUAUGAUCAUACCUAUCCUUCAACCUCCUCCAUAAGAUAUGCGGGUCUCGAACGGAUAAAUAUUGAGUCUGCAGGCUCUCAUGCAAAUGACGGCGAAUAAAAAUCAGCGCAUUUGCUUUAUCCUUUUCAUUUGAGGUUCCAUUCUCUGUAAUUGUAUUAGCGAGACCUUGCCCUUGGAGGUGCAUUUCCAUGUCAAGGCACCAAGAUAGAUAAUUCUUUCCACUCACUUCCAGGAUGUGGAAUUUGGGCUUUUCAAUAUUUUCCAUAAUCCUUGCAAAAAUAAAUCCUUAAAUUAAUUGAAAGGAUUUCCAAAUAUCCACCGCUACUUCAGGAGCAGAAGGAUACUUUUAGAUUUAAAAUUUGGCUUCGGGCCAAGAAAAAUAAAAAUGAAGAAUUGAUAGAAGAAGAUGAAGUAUAAGUUUAUCAAUAAAAAGAAUACACACCUUGCAAAAAUUACUUACUUAGUCGGUAGAUCUUCGUGCUGAUAACAUGUUGUAAAAUAUUGCGUUGCGAAUAUAUAAUAGAGAAGAGAUUGAAAAAAGAAAUCAAGUGAACACUAGAGAUAGUAGAGAAAGCAAGAUAAGAGAGCUUUAUUUCUUGUAUCCCAUUAUCGUGUUUCUGUGUGAUUGUGUAUUGUACAUCAAAACUAAACUCCUAUUUAUAGGAGAACAAGAAUGUACUUAUCAUUAAUAUCAAUGUAUCGAAUGAUACAUGUACAGGAUAAGAGAGACGAACGUUUAUUGUAUAGGGAGAUGUACUUAGAACAUUUGAUACAAAUGUACCAUAAUAAGUACAUUGGAUAAGAUGAAUAUAAUGAAUAUUCAUUCAUGUAUUCUAUCCAUUCAUGUAUUUCAUAACACGAUCCAUAUUUCAGACUCACAUCUUAGAUAUGUUGGAAAAUGAGAAAAAAAACUUAAUGAGUGAAUUGCGUAUCACGGGAAGUGGGAAUCAAAAGAAAAGAGAAGACUAGAUUUUUCUUCUUUCUCCAUUUAUUAUUUUUAUUAUUGUGUUUCAUUUUUUCACAUAUAUAUAUUUUGACGUCUCAUUUAUUGAAUUUUUAAAAUUGACUUCGAUAUUGGAAUCACGUGUCGAAAACUCUUAUGUCAGAAUUUCGACUCGAGUGUCGGAGAGUGUCGAGAAAGUUGACUAGGUGUCAGAUUUUUUGACACGUUUUGACCGAGUGUCGGAGAGUGUCCGAGAGUGUCGGACACAUGUCGAAGUGUCCGACACAAUAAGAAGGCUCUUGGAGAGUGUCGGUGCUUCAUAGGAAAUAAGUUGUCCUGGCGGUGGUGUUGAUGACCACAGUGUGGCAAUGGCCGUGGGAUUAGUGGCGCUCUCUCGGUCGCCCCAUUCCUAUUUUUUUUUUUUUUUAAGUUUCUGCUGUUUUGUCUUCUUCGUUUCUCUUUAUGCCAUUUUUAUUUUAUCAAAUUUUAACUUGUAAACAUAAAUGGAAACCUAGACAUAAUUUUAAUAGACACGCGCAAUAGAGAGUAAUGAACGAAAAACCCCAACAUGAUUAAACAUGAAAAGAGUUGAAUGAAAAUAGUAUUGUUAAUUAUAUAUAAUACGUGAAAAUUCUGCUAGUAUUGGAAAAAGAGUCACAUAGAAAUGGUAGGGGAGGGAUGUGAAAAGUAAAGCAGCAAAGCCAAUUUGCGUCAUGCAAUCUCUUGACCUUUGUGGAAUUGAUUAAAGUUUCUUUUCCAUUGGUAGUUUUUCUUUAAGUGCUUCACUUUUGCUUCACAUGUUAGGCGUAGAAAUUUCCAGACAAGAUAGCACAGGAUAUCCAAUAAAGUCUUUGGGGGAUAUUCUCCGAAUAUUACAAAACAAACAGUUGUGCACAAAAAGUAUUUUAUUUUGUUUGCUUUAACCUCUAAUGGGCAUCUUUGAAAGUCUUGGUCUUUGUUUAAUCUAUGGUCUUUUGGUGUGGCACGUAUAUUAUAUGUGUGUGAUGUAACUUUGUAUAUAUUAUAUGGUAUUAAUUGGUGAGUUUUAAUUCAUUCAGUAUUGCAAAGCAAGUUGCUCAAUGGAUUAGUCGGUCGGGGAAAAUUAUUCAAAAUUCCUAAAUUUAUUGUACUUUUUACCAAUUCAAUCAUAAAUCUUUUAAUUAAGUCAAUUUUUUUGGUCAAAAUUGUGUCAAUUGAAUCUUUAAUCUUUUCAUAUUUUGUUAAUUAAAUCCAUCUUCCCAAUUUUAUUUGAAAAUCACUGAUAUUGACACCAGCUGUCCUAUGUGGCAAAACAAUUAGCGUUGACGUAGACAAUUUUAAUAUUAUUUUAAACAUUUUUGGGAAAAUUUCGAAUAAGAGCCUGAAAUAUCUUUAUUUUCUCAAAUAAGAGUCUGAAGUGAACUUUGUUUCAAACAAAGACUUGAAGUGCUAUCGUUUUCUCAAAUAAGGGCCUAAAAUGGAUAUGUUUAUUUCAAAUAAGAGCUUCACUAUUUAGUUAAUUAAGGGCAUUUUCAUCAUCUAUAUUUUUUUGAAUAUUUUCCUUAUUUUCUUUGUUUUUUCCUCUCUUUUUUUUUUUCCUUUUUCUAGCUUUUCUUUCUUCUCUGUUGGUGGCUGGCCAAACACUAGCAAUGCCCGAAGAGAGCUAGAUGAGGGCCACCCUCACCGGUCAUAGGCAAGGGCAACCAUCGGCAAGGUUAGCCCUCUCUAGUGACCAAUGAGGGAUGGCCUUGCCUAGGCGAGGCAACCCUUGCCUUGGGUAAGGUUGACGAGGGUCAUCAAGCCCUCACCAGCCCUUACCAGCCAUCGGCAAGGGCCACCUAACCCUCGCUAACCCUCGCUAGCGGUCGCACGACCCUUGCCUAACAAUAUAAAAAGAAAAGAGAAAAAGAAAAAAGAAGAGAAUAAAAAAAAUUUAAAAUUAAAUUGUAUUUAGAUGAAGUGAUGCAAGCCAAGGGUAGGUUUUCUCAAACAGUAGGACUGGGAGAGUGACUCGCACACGGGAAACAGGACGAACAGAAAUUUCAGCACUGCGCAAGCUCAGGAGAAUAGUCGUAUCUUUGUCGAUAUAAAUCGGUUUGACCUGAUUCCAAUGCCAAAUGAACAAAGACUUCUGGAUCUACAAUUUCUAUGUUUUGGGUGUUCUGAAAUAAGCACUGUAUGAUGGUCGAAUUUGGGUUGGAAGUGGGUAAAAAUAACGCAUGGAACAGGAAAAGAUAGAAACUUCGUUCGUUGCUCUUCUAAGCCUCCAAGGAAAUUGAGAGGGCACCGAUUCUUCUAGAUCAAUGACUGCAACUCUUCCAAGAUGCAGAUUUUGAAAAGCUCCGACUCUUCAAGGACGGAGUGAAAACUCUUCUAGGUUUUCAAGGGUAUGAACUCUGCAAGAUUCACGAUACUUACUUGAAAGCAAAGUUUUCAUUCAUCAAAAGUCAUACAUCUUGUACAAGGAAUUAGAUGGCUUAUAUCGUCAAAGAAAUAAAGACAGAGCAUUGAAACUUGAAAGCAUUAAAGAACUCUGAAACUAGAAAAAUAGUAAAAAGCAUAGAAACUAGAAACUAGUAAAAGCAUAACAUCUUCAUGGCUCCCAAGGUGUCUUCUUUCAAGCUUCCGGGAUGAACUCAAGAUAUCAAUACGGCUUCUCGGUUGAAUCGACAACUUCAUCAAACUUCAUCGACAAUCGACAACUUCAUUGAUAAGAGGUUUUGUCGAGCUUGAAUGCAGGCCGAUCUUCUUGGUCGAGAGAGCUGGUCUUCAAUGCGGGCUACAUCAUGAAGGCGCCCUUUAACCGGUCGAAAUACAAAGCCGGCUAGCGAUUGACAUGGUCAAACCCUUAUUUGAAACAAUCAUGGCUAUUUCAGGCCCAUAUUUGAAAUAAUUAUGAUCACUUCAAGUCUUUAUUUGACACAAAGUCUACUUCAGACUCUUAUUUGAAAAAAAAAUAUUAGCACUUUAGGCUAUUUUUUGGAAUUUUCCCUUUUUUAUUCAUUUUUUUCUUUUUUCUUUUUUCUUUUCUUAUAUUUUCCUUCUUUAUUUUUUUAUUUUCUUCUCUUUUACCUUUUUUUUUUCUUUUUUUCCCUUUUUCCCUCAGCCUUUACUUUUUUUUUUCCUUUUUUAUUGUUCCCUUUUUCCCUUCGCCGACCAUCGCCUCAUCAAUGGUCAAUGAAAGGAAAAAAGAAAAAGGAAAUGAAAUAAAAAAAAGAAAAGAAGAGAAAAGGAAAGAAAAUAAAAAGACUUUCGAAAAAUAUUAAUAUAUUAAUUACCCACAUCAAAACCCAUCGUGUCAUGUAGGAUAACCGAUAUCCACAUAAGCGAUUUCCGACCAAAAUUAACUAGAUAGACUCAAUUGACAAAAUGUGAAGAUUUGUAGAACUAAAUUGAUAUUACUUUAAUGUUUAUUUUUCCUUAAGCAAUUAUUUCUAUUUUCCUUAUCCAACACACAACGUUAACCGCCCAUGAUGACUGGUAGAUGUAUAACAAAAACUAAGCUGCCAUUGCUUGGCGUAUCUUUCAAAAUGUUUAUCUGAAGAUUCAGUCAGUGCAAGCAGCACAAAGAUGCUCAUUUGCCAGUCCCAAUUAUGAUGGUUAGCUUCAUUCAUCGCUAAAAUAUUUGCUAAUUUCUGGCAAGAACUUACGUGUUCGUCCACAUUAAAGGACUAAUCGAGCACCUUCUUAUUUAUCUAUAAUAUACUCAAGGUAAUUGUUUUCUUAAACAUUUGGGAAUUUUUAGGGCUGUAACGGCCACGAAAAAGCCCUCGUUGAUUGCAUGUUCAACGAUAUGUAGAAAUCAUUAGGAUACUAGAAAUUUACAGAUGCAUUCAAAGCCAAAAGGCAAACAAAACACAGGUAAGGAAAGAAAAAGAUGCGUGGACCUGGUCAUAUAUAUUGUCCUCUAUUCUGGAUGCCCAAAAGAAUAAGGUCCUCUGUAUCAAACCAGCGAAAAAUCUUGAUAUGAAGAAAAAGGCUAACAAUUCACGAAAUAAGCACUUGUGGAGAGAAAAUAUUUUACUUUAAUUUGUCUAACCUCUUAUGUACAUCCUUGAGAGUCUUGGUCUCUGUUUAAUCUUUUUGGUUGGUGAAAGUUUUGGUCAUCUUGAACUCUAUAGUUUUCUCUCUCCAUAGGCUCAUUAUCACCUAGCUUCACCAUAUCCCUUGUCGUUUUCCAGAGUGACCAAUUAAACAUAUAGAGAGAUCGUUCAGGGUUCUUUCAUGGCUUCCUUCUUAUGCUAAUUUAUAGUAUUGUUAACUUUAAGCAAGACAUAUAAUACGUCAAAGUGCUAUUUGUACUGGAAAAAGAGACACUCACAUAGGGAUGAAAGAGGAGGGAUGUGAAAAGUGAAGCAAUAAUGCCAAUUUGCGUCCUCCAAAUUCUUUAUCUUCUUGGAAUUGAUUAAAAUUUCUUUCUGAUCAACACUUUCUGAUCUUCUUGCGUACAUGAUAUCCAAUCAAAGUCUAGGUCUUCCUGAUGAAAAGUAUCUUAAUAGAGCAUAUUAUCACGACAAGCUGUUUGAGUUAGACUGAAGAGAGGACCUUGAUGCACAUUAUGUCCUUGAGUUUAGAUAAAUCAAUUGUUGUCCUUUUUCUCUUUAUCAGGACUUUUGGCUGUCGUUUGUAAGAGAUGGCCCUUUCUUUUGGCAUAAAAACAGAGGAUAAAAGGUGAUUUUUCUUCAUAUGACGAAGGUGCAUGCAUAUCUACAUCUAGAAUUUAUAACUUCUAAGUGUGCUGUUAUUUAUUAUUAUUAUUAUUAUUAUUAUUAUUAUUAUUAUUAUUAUUAUUAUUAUUAUUAUUAUUAUUAUUAUUAUUAUUAUUAUUAUUAUUAGUUAUAGGCUUUUACAUGCCAGCUAUAGAGCUAAAAAAAAUUGCAGAAAGAUCGCGGCAAUGAUCCUCUGCAGGGUGCUAAAGAAGUUGAUAAUCAUGAAUUACUUGUUAAGGUCCUUUGAACAGACAAAGUUAGCCCAAAGCAACUUGCUUAAUGAAUUAGUUGGUGAUUUAUGACUUGUUCACUAUUUCAGGACUAAAAUAAAGCAACUUGCUUGAUAUAUUAGCUGCCUGUCAUUAAUUUAGGACUAAAAUAAAGCAAUUUGCUUGAGGGAUUAGCUGGUGUGCCAGACCCUUUUUGUUUAGCCCAAAACACGUGUUUCCGUUCUCCUCAUCGAACAAACAAAGUUAGCUGUUUUUUAUAAUUUGCAGACUUAUAAUAAAGAGUAAGAUGCCAUUGUUGUGUGGAUCUUAAUAUUUUAUCUUUCAAAAAUAUUUGUUUUAGUCCGUGCAAGUUGCACAAAAAUGCUUAUUGUAGUCUACGCCAGUUGCACAAAAUGCUUAUUUGCUGGUCCUUUAAACAAUGGUCUGCUUUAUUCACAGGAAAAUCAUGUGAAGGAUCACGAUUGUCUUAUCAAGCGGUUCCCUAUCGUCAACUACUGGCUUAUCACCCUUCAGCCGAUCAUUGCUGCUCAUCUUGCUGCAAAUUUUCAGUGCGUAACUGCCACGUAAAGACCUAUAUUGAUCGCCUAUCCACCAAGAGCGCAUAAAACAAAGACAUUAAAACAUACGGUCAUUGAGAAUGUAUGGAUGAAAAAAAUAAAAAUAAAAAAGAAGCCAAUGAGACACUUGUAAUAAAUGUUUAACGAUAAUCCGCAUGCACUCUAAGUUGGUCAUGUGAAGAAAAAUCACAUUUUCUCCUCUGUUUUGGAUCAAGACUUUUGGCUUGUGUUUGAAAUAGGGGAUCUUUUCUUGUGGCCAUGCAAAACAGAAAAUAAGAGGUGAUUGUAUUCCAUAUGACCAACUUAUAGUGCACGUGUAUUUUCUCCAAAAUCUGUUGAUUACUAUUGGCUUUCUGGCUCUUUAAGCAGUCAUAUAUCGUCAGUAUCCUUGUUCCAAUAUCUUUAUUUCAUGCUUUAUUGGUGAAUAUGCUAUCAAUGCAAGCUUUCACAUGAUAGUUACAAUAUAAAGAAUUCAUCUACGUUUGAGAAAAUAAUACACUCAAAUAACUUGAUUAUGUUAUGGAAAAAUAAGAAGUUCCUCGAUUCCUCAAAUAGGCGUGAACAUACAAAGUUACCUUUUCCUUAUUCAACGGACAAAGGUAACAAAUGUUAAUCUGAAGUAUGUAAGCCCAAUUCACAUUCACUGUUGAAUGAUGUGAGCUCCACAUGGAACCCAAUUUUUCACGAUGCAUGUGAGAAACUGAUAACCGUAGAAUUAAUCCUUUACAUAAGAAAUCGCCUCUAGAUCAAUCUAGGUUAGUUACUAGGUAAUCAGAGGCAAUUGCCUGUGAUGGUUGCUCCGCUUAGAAGCGCCAGCAGGGACAGUGGUGGCGGCAUUGGAUGAGUUGCCCGGGCGGUGGUGCUAACACAACGGUGCGGCCGUGACAAUGGGAUUGAUGGCACGCUCUCUCGCACCCAUUCUUGCAUUUUCUUUUUUGGUUUUUCAGGUUUUUCAGGUUUUUCUUUUAUUAAACUUUAGUUUGGAAAGAUAAACGAAAAUGUAGGCAUAACUAUAAAGACAGGUACAAUAGACAUUAAGGAAUGGAAAACCACAGAGUGACUAAAAAUGAAAAAAGUUCGACAAUAAUUGUAGUAUGGUAAAGUUUAAGCAAGAGAACAACGAUCAAUACUAACUGUCAAAUAAUAUUUCAUUCAAACAAAAAAAAAAAUCACUUAGAAUCCAUGUGAUGAUUGGAAAUUCUACUGGUAAUGGAAAAAAAAAAAAAAAAAAGACAUUCGCAUAGGGAUGGAAGAAGAGAGAUGUGGAAAGCCAAGCAACAAAUCCAAUUGGCAUCCUGCAAAGUCUUGGACUUUCUGGGUUUCAUUAAAGUUUCCUUCCCACAUAGGGAUUGAACACGAUUUUCCAGUUCAUUAAUGUCAUGCUUAAAGAGUUAUUUUCAGUAGAUUAUACAUAUUCGUUGGUGUAGACCUGAGCAGGUCUUUAAAAGGCUCUCGCCAAGCCCAUGCGGCGGAUCCCCCCAAGAAAAUUCCCAAGCGGGGGUGUGAAAUAUUGGGGGUCUAUCAGAGUCAACUGGAGACCUUAAACCCAGUAAUGAUAACCAGCCGGGAGCCUUGAACCAACUUGGUUGUUGCUCCCGGGCCUGAUCCUAGCUCUGCCGCGCUGGCCUCUCAACGACUAGCAGUCCGGUAUCCUAGCAUGACAUUAAUGAAUUGGAAAAUCGUGUUCAAUCCCUAUGUGGCUUUUUUAACUUGUUUACUGUUUUCAGAGCAAAAUAAACCAAGUUGCUUUAUGGAUUAGUUAGUGUGCCUGACUUUAGAUGUUUAGGUGCAAAGAACGUGCUUAUGUUUUCCUUAUUGAUCAGACAAAAUUAGCUAUCUUUGAUGACUUAUGUGUAACAAAAAGUCUUGGUCUUCACUUAAGAUAUCCUGGGAUAAUCUCUAAACAUGAGGAGACAAGCACCUAUGGACGAAAAGAAAUUUAUUUUUAUUCCUCUAACUAUUGGUGUGCACCCUUCAAAGUCUUGGUCUUUGUUUAAUGUUUUUGGUAGGUGAAAGUUUUGGCCUUCCUAGACUUUAUAAUUUUCUCUCUCAACUAGCUCAUUAUCACUUUGCUUCACCAUAACCCAUGCUCGUUCCCUUGCUCAACAGUGUUCUCCUCCAACUCGUCUGAACCUAGCUCUCGUGCUUUCUGGAUUGCUGUUGUUGAUCUAAUCCAGUUCACCAAUCUGCUCCAGGAAGUCCACUUGGAAUAGGUAAGAGAUAUCCAUCUACUUGCUUUCUUUUCCCCUCAAACUGAUGCAGCAAGUUUAACAACAAAAUCGAGGGAUUUUGAUGUCAAAUACUUGCUGGCCAGAUUAAAGUUGCCGCUUGAUUGUUGAUAUGGCUUAGUUGUUUUAAUAAGGUGAUGCCUCUACACGCAUACUUGUUUGAGCCCAAACUUGGACCUCUAUUUUAUGAUUUUUCAUUACAUAUUAGAAUAGAAUUGCAUUAUAUUAGUAUCAGGACAAUUAUAUUAGAAAACUCGGAAUUUUCAUGGACAAGCAUUAUCAUGCACAUCUAGGCCAUUUAGAGUGCAUUAUUAUUAAUUAUCAUAUUUGCAUGUUUCCUCUCAUAAAUCAAAUGUUAUAAAUUGGAAAAUCUAGGAAAAUCAUAUCUUGCAUAUUUUUAAUUUUAGAUUGAAUCUUUGUUUAAAAGAAUUAAAAUAAAAAUUUGAAGUGAAACUCCGCAAGUCACGAAGAGUAUUAUCGCCUCAUUCCUGCAAUUUUUUUUAUUAGUUAUUUAUUUUUGCUCUUUUUUCUUAAACUUAAAUUUGAAAACAUAGAUAAGAAUCAGCAUAGAAAAGUUAAGCAGAUAUAAUCAGGUAUGUUCAAAAUUUAUCUUUAUUUUAUUAUUAUUAUUAUUAUUAUUAUUAUUAUUAUUAUUAUUAUUAUUAUUAUUAUUAUUAUCAUUAUUAUUAUUAUUAUUAUUAUUAUAUGUUGAUAGAUAAGAAUCAGCAUAGAAAAGUUAAUUUUUCUACAAAACACUACGAAUGUAAUCAAGUUAGUAAGUAGUCAUAGAUUAAAGUUGAAUUUCUUGUAGAAAGUUACUAAUCUUACGAAGAAUCAUUAGUCACAUAUGUACUUAUAUGUUACAUAAUUCCUUCUGAAAUCCUAGUGGAGCAAGGAAGGGUUAAGAAAGAAAUGGAAUGACAUAUAAUUAAAUUGAUACCCAUAGAAAUGUUAGACAUGCAACUAACGUGGAAGGGAAGUAAUUAGAUCCAAUAGCUAAUCAAGGUCAAGUAUCAUGCCAAAUGUUUUGCAUAAUCUUUAGUCACAUGUUGAACAAGAGAAGCUCAUGAUAAUACUCAUAAAUUUGGACUUAAUUUCAAAUGGUCGUCAUUAUAUCUACUUUUAAAAGCUUAGUUUUGACGAUAGUGAGACUAAAUUUUAUAUGAUAUUAGAGUAGGAGAUCCUGACUUCAAUUUUUUUCAAUUCCUUAUUUGCUUCUCCAUUAUAUAUUUGCAUGCUUUAGUUUAUGAUUAAGUCCAGCUUAUAUGAAAGGGCAAGUGUGGAAAGCUUUUGUUUUCCGGUCGCCUUCAGGAAAGGGAAAAGUAAGGAAAAGGGGAAAAGGGGGAAGAAAACACACCAAAUCGAUGGACAAUGAUAUGUUUCACCAUCUCUAGCGGAUUUCAAGCUCUUCGCUUGCAUAAAUGUCAACAAAAUACCUGAAAGUUUGUCUGGAUAGAGUUUUACAUUUUAUUUAAUCUAGUCUUGUCUCCGACACAUUUUUACAUAUUUUUGACUUGAAACAUAUGAAUCUUUUAUAAUACGUAAGUAUUGAUAAGUAAUUUACAUAAAAUUUAGCUGAUUCGAGCCAUCGUGAUUACCUUUUUUCGUUCUAUUUUGUAACGUCUCAUUGAUGAAACCACACACAUCAACGAUAGAAAGUUAAGAAGAAUGGAACUUAAUGGAUGGGCCACGUCAUCACAAAACUCAAUUCCCUCCCACUUCCCAUUCCAUUAAUUGUCCAUAUAAAUUUACAAUAAAGUUGGAAAAAAAUUAAUCAUCUAAUUUAAUCUAAUAUAAUUUUUCUACAAAAAUAUUAUCACCAUCAACUUGCCUUACUUAUUAAAUUGGAUGUACUCUUUUGCACAUCCGGGGGAUUUUGUAAAAGCUGAAGUUAGGAGUUGGGACCACAAUUCAGCCGGGACGUGAGUGACAUAUACUAACAAUAAAAAGUUGAACAAGUAAAAUCAUACGGAUGCAUCUUCACAAAAGAACCUUAAAGCGCCUCUCUUUUUUCUUUUUCUUUCUUCAAAUUUCAAACACAAAGUGCCCUAGCCAAAUUAUAUAAAAAAAUUGCACCAUUAAGAAGGUUAGUUAGGCAUCCACAUCAGAUGAGGGCAUUUUUUCUGACAUUGUUCAAGGAGAAUGAUUCUGCCUGCUCCUCAAUUAGAACCUCUAAGGGGUCGAAAUAGAUUGGAUUUGAGUAGGCUGAGAAGAGACAUACAUCAUUGUGUGAUGAACAUUUUCUUUCUGACUCCAAUAUAAACUGUUGAACAUACCAAGGCUUGAAAAUUUUCCACUAAAUAACCGAGACUUUGAUUUUUCGAUUCAACACCUAAACACUAGUUGAUGUGGGGUAAGGUUUGGGGUAAUGACCUCAUGAUCUUCAAAGGUGACAAGGCUUUUUAUCUUAAAAUGUUAAAUCUCUUAUUUUUAAAUAUUUUUUUCGAAAAUCCUAUUAGAGCUUUGCUUGGAAUGGGGCCAUCUACUUUAUUUAGAUCAAAAGAACUCUAUGCUUUGUGAUGGUCCUUCCCAUUCUACUAAUCAAUUGAUUAAUUUUACAAUGUUUGCCGUUAGACUUCAUAUAUGACAUUUUAUUAAAGGUGAGUAACUAGACCGGUUCAAUAUGGGAAAUGAAUGCAACACGACUAAUUUUGAAGCUGUUCACAUGGGGGCCAGUAUAGUUCCAAAUAAAAAUUCUUUGAAUCGGCCUUCAUCGGUUCACUUCUUGGUUUCAUAAUAUGAACUGGUUGUAACACCCAUGAGUCGGCCUUGCAAAGGUAGUUCUCGGGGAAAACUGGUUUUGAGCCGGGUCAAAACCAAUCCUAAAUCUUGUCUAUUUAAGCGCUGCUUUCUUUUUUAAGUUCUCACUCUCAGAUUUGGCCCCUCUCUGUGUCUCUCUAGUCAUUCGACUUUCUCCAGUGGCACUCUCAAUUUUUCUCUUUUUUCUGUCCCGUGGGCGCCGUUGCAUCUCUUCUCUGUCUUGGUCUUGCCAACGCCAUCUCAUCUCCGUCUCUCGCCAUCUUGUGGGUUUUGGGCUUGCUUUUGUAGGUCGACUGUCAGUCAGCCUACUAUUAGCGAGGUGGGUUCUUUCUUCCAGCAACUUAGGGCUUGUUUGGUAAAAAAAUGUUUAUGUUCUCCGGAACAACUAUUUAUGUUCUUUUGUUCUAGGGAAUGGAAAAAGAAUAGAAACGCGUUUGGUAAAAUUUUUGUUCCCAGAAAUAGAUUUGGAACAAAAACAAGAAGUAGAAAAAAAUAGCUUCUUGUUCUCGAGAAUAAUUUUUUUUUCUCUUCUUUUUUCUUCUCUUUUCUCUUAUUCUCUUUCCUUUCCUUCUUCUUCCUUUUGGCUAGUUGCCGACCUUGGCCAUGGCCGGCAACCAGCCGAUGAGGGCCGGCAACCUCGCUGGAGCGUCGCUAGCCCCCGACGAUGCUGAGCCAUGGCGAUGCUCAGCCUCGCAAGAUUUGGGCGAGCUUGAGCUCGCCCAACCAAGGCAAGGCUGAGCCUCAUGAUGGCCAAGCAAGCUUGCCGGCCCUCGCCCUGGCUUGGCGAGGCUCCGGCGAGCUUGCCGAACCUCGCCUAGCCGGUCGCCGGCCACCAAUGACCGGCCACAAAGGAGGAAGAAUGAGAGAAAAGGAAAAAAAAGGAAAAAAAGGAAAAAUAUAAUAAAAAUAUUUAAAAAAUUAAAAGAAAUAACAAAAUUAUACAAUUCCACCAAACGCAUUUCUUUCCCGGGAAUAGAAAUUUGUGUAAUUACCAAGCGUGUUCUUAUACUCAGAAAUUGUUCAUGGGAACAGAAAAAAAAAAAAAAAACCAUUUCUGAUCAAAAAUUAUUCUCGGAAUCAAAAUCGUUAUCAAACGCGCCAUAAUUAGAGCAAGAAAUCUCGAGUUACCAAAAUAAGUAUAAAUAGCUUAGAAAUAAUCAUUUAAUUGUUAAAACUUGUCAAUACCUAACUUCUGCCCAAAAGUGGUUUUCAUGUAUUUUUGGAAAACUGGAACAGAUUUUCCUCCCAAAGAAGAAGUUUAUUGGAAUUAAAGCAUUUUAUAAGCAUAUACCAGAAUUUCGACAAAUAGGAUUAGGUUCUUUCGAAUUUAUUCCCCAAAUAAAAUAUAAAAAAAAAAGAAAAAGAAAAGAAAAGCAAAGAUAAAAUGGGAACCUCCGAGAGAAAAACACACACGGCAGAAUUCAUCUUGGUUCUCCUGCUCCUUUCUUUAAAACCACACCGCCUCACUUUUUCUUCAUCCACCACCACCACCACCACCGCCAUCAUUAAACUCACGCCCACAGACUUCACUCUCAUUCAAUUCAUUUCUUGCAUGCAUAUCGGUUGUCGCCAAUCACCACCAUCUCUAGGCGUCGCUCAAUCAAAACCAUCGUUCGUCGUUGCAAGCAGCGACCACGCAUUGCCGUAGCUGAAUACGCACGCGUACACAGUGAACUGCCAAACCUAGCGCUCGUGCUUGCUGGAUUGCUGUUGUGGAUCUUAUCCUGUUCGCCUGGUCGGCUCCAGGAAGUCUACUUGGAAUAGGUAAAAGACAUCUUUCUACUUGCUCUCUUUUUCCCUUGAACUGAUGCAGCAAGUUUAAUAACAAAAUUGGGAAAAGUUGAUGUCAUAUACUUGCUGGCCAGAUUAUUGUUGCAGCUUGACUGCAUAAUUCAUGGUGAUUUGUUGAUCUUAAUGUGGCUUAGUUGUUUUAAUGAGGUGAUACAUCUGCACGCAUAAUUGUUUAAGCCAAAAUUUGGACCUCUAUUUUAUGAUUUUUCAUUACAUAUUAGGAUAGAAUUCAUUAUAUCCGUAUCAGGACAAUUAUAUUAGAAAACUUAGAAUUUUCAUGGACAAGCAUUAUCAUGCACAUCUAGGCUUUUUGGAGUGCAUUAUUAUUAAUUCUCUUUUUUGCACGUUUCCUUUCAUAAAUCACAUGCUAUAAUUUGGGAAAUGUAGGAAAAUCAUAUCUUGCUUAUUAAUAAAUUUAGAUUGCAUCUUCAUAAAAAUGUGAAGUGGAACUCCCCGCGAGUCACGAAGAGUCUUAUCGCCCCAUUCCUGCAUUUUUUUUUCUUUAUCAGUUUUUUGCUGUUUUUCGUAUCUAGUUUUUCUUUUUGCUCUUUUUCCAUUUAUUAAAGUUAUAUUCUGAAAAGAUAAAUGGAAAUCUAGACACAAUUCCAAUAGACAAGUACAAUAGAGAUUAAUGAAUGACUAAUCACAAUGUGAUUAAAAAUGACAAAAGUUGGACUAAAAUUAUAGUUUGUUAAUUUGAGCAAGAGAAACAAUAAUCAGUGCCAAUUGUCAAUCACACAAAAAAAAAAAAAAAUCGGCACCCACGUAAUGCGUGGAAAGUCUACUAGUAAUGUAAAAGAGACAUUCGCAUGGGAACGGAAGAGGAGAGAUUUGAAAAGUGAAGCGAUAAAUCCAAUUUGCAUCUCCGUAAGUCUUGGUCUUUCUGGAUUUUAUUAAAUUUUCUUUCCAAACAGCUCUUUACCAAUUUUGCUUCACUUUCGCGACAAAAAAGUUCAUGAUACCCACUGAAGUUCUGGUCUUCUCGAGUUUAUGAUUUACUUACACGAACGAGUAUAUGAUCGUGGAAACUACAAAUGUGCGGGGAUAAUCUCUAAAUAUUACAGAACAACCACUUGUGAAAGAAAAAGUUGCAGCAAGAUGGGCGAAAAUAUCUGCUGAAAGGUGUUGAGUUAGUAACCGAUGAUGGGGAAUCGCCUAGAAAGAGAAUCACGGUCCAUUGAACUCGAUUUUCCUGUUCAUUGGUGUGAUGAACAAAGUAUAAUUUUUAGUAGAUUAUACAUUGUCAUUUGGUGAUUUGUGACUUGUUCACUAUUUGCAUAGUAAAAUAAAGCAAGUUGCUUAAUGAAUUAGUUGGUGUGCUUGACCCUUUUUCUUAUUAAGCCCAAAGCACGUGUUUCCAUUCUUCUUAAUGGACAGACAAAGUUAAUUGUCUUUGAUGACAUGUAUAUGUAUAACAGGAAAUAAGAUGCAAUUAUUGGGUGAAUCCUCAAUAUGUUAUGUUUCAAAGGCAUUUAUUUUACUAAGUUGCACAAAUAUGUUUAUUUGCCGAUCCUAUUAAUUUGGUCAACUUCAUUCAUCACUAAACAAGAAAAAAGGGAUAAGCACACUGACUAAUCCAUCAAGCAAGUUGCUUUCUCUCACUCUACCCAUUACACUAAUGAACUUGAUAAUCGUGUUCAAAGAACCGCAAUUCUCCUAUCAAGGCGAUUCUCGAUUAUUGACCACUACCUUAGCACCCUUCAACAAAUCAUUGUCACCCAUCUUGAUGUGAAUCUUUAGCAUAGUAACUGCCAUGUAAAAGAAUUCAUCAAUCUCACAUUCACCAAUAAAGCAAACAAAUACAUUGAAAUCAUAAGGUUACUAAGAAUAUACAGAUGCUAAAAAAGCCAACAAAACACUCAUGAGGGAUAACACUUAUAAUGAAAAUAUGCAAACACUCUAAGUUGGUCAUAUUAAGACUCUGUUUUGGAUGGCCAAAAGUAAAGGUCCGAUAGUAAAAAAGUCUUGAUCUGAAGAAUAAGGAGAGCAAACAUAACAAGCGCUUGUGGACAAAUAGUAUUUUAUUUUGUUUGAUUUGUCUAACCUUUGAUGUGCAUCCCUUGAAAGUUUGGGUCUUUUUUUAAAUAUUUUUCCUAGGUCAUCGUCUUGGUCUUCCUAGACUUCAUAGUUUUUUCUCUCCAUUAGCUCAUUUUCACUUUGUUUCACCAUAACACCUUUAUUGUUCUUUACAGUAACUGAUUCACCUAUGGCCAUUGGAGAGAUCGUUUUGGGUUCCUUUUUGGCUUCGUUCUUUCAGGUCCUAUUCGACAAGUUGACUUCGUUCGCAUUAAGUUGUGCACAACGAGAUGGAAUCAACACCGUCUCGCUUGAGGAGUGGAAGGAUAUGUUGGUAACAAUCAAUGCGGUGUUGGUUGAUGCAGAGAACAAGCAACUUAGUGGUAACCAUCAAGUGAAGCUAUGGCUAGAUAGGGUUAAGGACUUGGCCUAUGACAUGGAAGACUUGCUCAAUGAGUUUGCGAUAAAAGCUGCUCAGAUUGAGUUACAUGUAGAAUCUAGCACAAGUAGAAGUCUGCAAAAAUGGAAGUCCUUUUUCUUUGGCCAACCACACUCGCUCGUGUCUAAAACCAAGAUACAAGAGAUCAAUGGUAGGUUGGUAACAAUUGUCACCAGAAAGGCUAAUCUAAGCUUGAGGGAGAAUGUUACGAACAUAUCCAACUUCACCAGUAAAAUGGAUCCAACCACUUCUCUACCUGAGUCACAGUUUUUUGGUAGGGAGGAGGAAGAAGCACAAAUACUUGAACUAUUGAUAAAUGAUGUGCAAAAUUCCGAUGCCAUGCUGAGAAUAAUCCCCAUAGUUGGGAUGGGCGGUAUUGGAAAGACAGCCUUGGCUCAACGGCUGUAUAAUGAUGCCAAAGUGAAUAGAUGUUUCAAUAGGAAAGCAUGGGUUUGUGUUUCGGAUGUUUUUGAUGUUUUCGACAUAACCAAGAAUAUUUUCCACUCGAUCACUGGGUUGUCAUGGCAGGACAAAGAUCUUAACAGGCUUCAAGUUAAGUUGAGGGACAGUCUAUCUAGGAAGAAGUUUCUUGUGGUUUUAGACGAUAUCUGGAAUGACAAGUAUGAAAGGUGGACUGCCAUCUUGAAGCCAUUUGAAGCGGGGGCUAGGGGAAGCAUCAUUAUCACGACUCGCAACCGUGUUGUUGCUUCCAUAACAAAAACGUUGCCACAUUGUUUGAUAGGAUUGUCCCUUGAAAAUUGCACAAACUUAUUAGCCUUUCAUGCUCUUGGAGAAAUAAACUUUGAGAGCCACCCGAAAUUUGAAAAAAUAUGCAAGAAAAUAGCUAAAAGAUGUCAAGGUUUACCUUUGGCAGCAAAGAUGUUGGGCGGUGCCCUACGUAGUAUAACGAAUCCCAAUGAAUGGGAAGAUACCUUAAACAACAUAAUAAGGGAUCUUGCAAUGGUAGAGAAUGAUGAGGUUCUCCCUAUUUUGACAUUAAGCUAUGUCCAUCUUCCUUCCUAUUUGAAGAGAUGUUUUUCUUAUUGUGCAAUAUUUCCUAAGGAUUAUGAAAUUGAGAGGGAUGAGCUCGUACUCUUAUGGAUAGUAGAGGGAUUUUUAGAUGGACAAAAGAAAAAUAAAAAUAAGUUGAAAUUAGGACGGAGUUACUUCAAUGAGUUAUUAUAUCUAGAUCAUUUCUUCAACAAUUAAGUGUUGACACAAUCUAAGUUUUCAAUGCAUGACCUUUUGAAUGAUCUAGCAAAGUCAAUUGAGGGUGCAAUAUGCUUUAGCUCUGGGGAGUCUCAGGUGGUAGUUAAUGAAGAUGACGCAUCUCUUGGGAGAGCUCAUUAUGCAUCAUUCGUCUCAUCAUGGUUUGUUACAUCAAAAUGCUUAAGAGCAUAUCAUGGACUGAAGGUAUUAAGAAGUUUAAUUCUAGUGCGUGUUGGAUCUAGUCGGGGCCCAAAUAAAUUCUCUAUUUCCAACAAGGUGUUGCACGACUUGCUAUCAAACUUGAAGUACUUGAGGGUGCUCUCAUUAUGUCAUUGUGACAUCGUAGAGGUACCGAAUUGUGUUGGUGGAUUAAAACAUCUUCGAUAUCUCAAUUUCUCGUACACUUAUAUCAGGAGGCUACCUGAGUCAAUUGUGGGCUUGUGCAAAUUACAAGCUUUGAUCUUAAGAGGUUGUCAUGAACUUUCAAUGCUGCCUCAAGGUAUCACAAAGUUGGUCAGCUUACAAUUUCUUGAUAUUAGAGAUACAAAAAAUCUAAAAGAGAUGCCAUUGGGUAUUGGUAAUUUGAAGAAUCUUACUAUCUUGUCCAAGUUUGUGGUAGGAACAGAGAAAGGGCUACAAUUAAAGGAGUUAGAGAACUUGUUGCAUCUUCAAGGAGAAUUAUUCAUAUCAAAACUGCAAAAUGUGAAAGACGUCAAAGAUUGUGUUGAUGCUAAGUUGUCAAGAAAGGAAGGCCUAAGCAACUUAUUCUUGCAAUGGGAUAAAAAAUUUAGAAAUCUCUGGAAUGAUAAACACUAUUUCCAGGUGCUUGAUUAUUUGCAACCUCACUCAAAUCUUGAAAAUUUCACUAUCUCUUACUAUGGUGGUGCAGAAUUCCCACCAUGGUUAAAUUGUCCCUCCCAAAGAUAGUUUCUUUGUGCUUCCUGAGUUGUCCUACUGUCAUCUCAUUGCCCUCACUUGGACAGCUACCUUCACUGAGAGAAUUAUCUUUUGAAGGUCUCGAUGCAGUAACAAUAAUAGGUUCUGAAUUUUAUGGAGGUAAAAAGCCUUUUUCGUCCUUAAUCACUUUGAAGUUCAAAGAGAUGUUGACAUGGAAGGAUUGGUCUCCUUAUGCCAGGGCCCCAAAAGAAGAAGUCCCAUUCUGUUGUCUUCAGCAUCUUGUUGUCCGAAACAGUCCUUCGUUGGUUGGGACAUCGCCUUGUCAACUUGAUCGUCUUAUAAAGCUUGAAAUUCAUUCAUGCCAACAAUUGAAUAACUCAACCAGUGAGUUAUGUCUUCCAUCUCUCGAUGAGUUAUACCCUGAGGGUUGUAGUAAGGAGAUCUUAAAGAGCUUGUUCAAGCUAACUUCUUUGACAGUUCUCAAAAUUAACAAACUCAUAGAGCUUGUUUCCUUUGAUCAUCGGUUUAUGAGUUGCUUGGGCAAGCUAAGGAAGCUUCAUAUAGGACUGUGUGACAAGCUAACAUGCUUGUGGCAAGAUGAAAAUGAAACGCAAAAUCUCACUUGCCUCCAGGAAUUAACCAUUAAAAGUUGUGCUCAAUUCACAUCUUUUGUGGCAGGAGACGGAGAGAUAGAGCUACCCUGUAAUCUUGAAAGGAUGGAAUUGGUGGAUUGCACAAGUUUAGAAAAGCUUCCAAGCAAGAUGCACGCACUUAACCAUUUGGUGAUUGAGAAUUGUCCAAAAAUCAUGGCUCUAAACAUUCCUCAAGGUGAUUCCAACAGCAUUAAUUCGAUUUCUCAACUUGAAUCUCUUAAGAUACAUCACUAUGAUUCUUCGAUAUCUUUUUCAUUUGCUAGGGGUAGACUUGCUCCUCUAAAGGCACUUCAUAUAGACAAUUGUAAGGGAGUGGAGUCGUUGGAAGGGAUUGCCAUAGAAUCACUUGAAACAAUGACAAUUAACGAUUGUCAAAAUUUGGGAAGCUUACCACAGUGCCUUCACACGCUCUCCCAUCUCACUCAAUUGCUUAUUUAUAAUUGUCCAGCAUUGGAGAUAGAGGACUUCCCUCCCCUUCCCGUAACCCUCUCGAGUCUUGUUCUUAAUCAUUGUUCUAAGAUAAAGUCUAUUGCCAACUGUAACAUUGCCAACUAUAACAAUCUCACUGAAUUGCCCAUAUGGCAGUGUCCGGCAUUGGUGAUAGAGGACUUCCCACCCCUUCCCAUCACCUUGCGGAGUCUUACACUUUGGGUAUGUCCGAUGAUAAAGUCCCUACCAAAUCUGUCACGCCCCGAUCCUCGGGGACGCGCCCAUCCUUCUACUUGGUCGAUUAGUGCGAUAUCCCAGGACUAAGUAUCGCCGACCCUUUCUUUUUAUUAUGCAUGCGGAAGCAGUUUUAAAUCCCCAGAUAAUAAAACAAUGGGAUAGAAAAGCAAGCCAUAUUUUUCUUAUUGAAAUUCACAACCACGCUUUUACUAACAGCACAACUCAUAGUAUAUUUACAAUACUAUUCACAACAUACUUGUCUCACAUCUAUCUACACUAAGAUAGGGUUCACAAAAGGGAUGAAAUCUCAAUCCACACCCGGGUUAUACUCAAGCUCCCUCUCUGGAUCAUCUUCUUCUUCAAAAGUCUUUCUCCCUUUCAGGUUCCUCCUCUUCAGCUUCUCCUCAGGGUCCUGAAAUGGUUAUUCAAUAACCAAUGAGACCACGUCUCAGCGAGUCCUACCCCCUAAGACCCGAUUAAUAAACUAAUACGCCAAACGGUUGCCUAAGCACAACAUGAGUCAGAGGACUUACCUUGGCCUCAGUUCCAACCUGCAAUUCAAGGUUAAACACAGAUAUUCAAACAAUUCACGACAUCCGAUCAAGCACUGGUCAAUCGACUUAGUCGAUUACAUGUCAGCCAGACCCUCUCUAGGUCAUUCCCACUCAUACCAUGAUUUCCCAGUGGUGUACUCAUUCACCAAAUCACAUGUGUUUCUCGGGCGUCGUUUUCGCCAAUGACAUACCCAUCACCGACACUGUGCAUUCUUUAAGACGCCGUUUUCACCAGUGAUAUCCUCGAUCACCGAACCACGUCUCCUUUCUAGGGCGCCGUUUUCGCCAAGGUGACAUCGGCAAUAGACAACAUCGUGAGUUCUUUAAGGCGUCGUUUUCACCAGUGAUAUUUCCUUAAUCACCGAACCACGUUUGUCUAUAAGUCAUUCAUGUGCGUUCUUUAAGACGCCGUUUUCGCCAGUGAUACUUCCAAUCACCGAACCACGUAUGUCCAAUAAUAUCGUACCUGAUUGGUCUCAAUCAAUAAUGUUCUCAGUUAGUUCUCACCAUUCUCCCUACUAUAUAGCCCAUCAACGUACUGGCGCUAUAUAUCCAUGCUCGGCCAUUACCAAUCAAAUACUCAAUAACAAACAAUUUAGGACAAUUCCUCAAAUUUCACAAUUUAAAUCAAUUCCAUAAAAAUUGAAGCUCAAUUAAAUAAACGGACUGCACCACGACAAUUGGCACGAAAUUCCGGUCACCGGCCAUCCCGGUUGAAUUUCCGGAAAAAUAAUUAAUUAAAUAAUUAAUUUCGAAAAUAAAAUAAAUAAAUAAUAAAAAUCCAAAUUUAGGCCUGUAUUGCCUGAUUGGAGCCCGAAACGGGUCAGGAAAAAUCCCGAGAUGCAUUCAAUAAAUAAUAGAGGCUCUCUACUUGCUAAUGACUAAAUCUAACCACCUAACAUGCAUCAUUAAGUCACUAAUUUAAUUGUUCUAACCUAAUCUAACCACCUUAGUGCACUUAAUUAAAUCUAACCAACCCUAAGCGUAAUUAGCAAACUAAUAAAGCAUUAGUGAGUAAAACUCACUUGGUUAAAAGCGGGGACCGAAUCACCGCAACGGCGACGCGAUGGCGGCCGAAAUCGGACUUUCGACAACACCGGCGGACGUGGACCGGGCCUCAACCUUGGCUCAACAAAUCUCAGCCCAAAUGAGAUUUGUUCUUGCGCUAGACUAGGCUUCCUUUAGGCUGGGCUGAACUCAACUAGACUUGCGGCUUGCUGGACUUGAAAUUGAACUGAAAAUGGGCUGCUCUCUUUGGGCUGAAAACUGCUGGCUUUGUUGGGCUUCGGAGCUGAAUUUGUUGGGCCUGACUUCUUUAAUCACUUGGGCUUGAAAAUACUGAAUUGUGGGCUGUUUGCUAGGCCAGAAUUAAACUGAAAAUGGGCUCUCUCUUUGGGCUGAAAUAAGCCAAAUUGCUAGGCUUCAAUUCUAAUUGAUGAUGGGCUGAGUUUCCUUGGGCUGAUGGGCCAACCAAGAGGCAACAAAAGCUGCCGAUGGGCCUCUGGACUGCAAGGCCAAUGUUGCUGAAAUCUACGGCAGCUGGACUCCACGAGCUGAGUUGGGCCGAAUGUUGGACUGGGGAAGCUCGAGCGUGAAGAUGGAAGAAACAGAGGCAGCUUGCGUCUCUGUGGUGUCUCGGACGUGUGGAGGGAGAGAUCUCUCGAUGGAGCUGGCCACGUGGAUGAAGAGGGAACAGCUUCAGUCUUCAAUUCGGUGGAGAAGCAAAAUCAAGAUGGAGCAGCUUCGGCAUCGUUGGCAGCUUGCGAGAAGACACGGAGUAGCAGUCCGUUGGACGGGUGGCGAGCUGGGAAUUUCGGUGUUGCAGCUGGCGGAACACCGAAAUUACAGUGGUCCAAGACGAGGGGAGGGCUUCAAUCGAGUGUUGACCGAGUGGGGUUGAAGGCGCACAAACCGGUGAAGCUGAAAUCAAAUUGCUGCCGACAAAACCUAGUGGAGGAUGCGGCUUUGAUCUUCGAUGCAGCUGUUCUUCGGUCCAACCUUCAAUGGACUCCUCUGGGUGUGCAAGGAUGUGAAGAUGGCCGUGUGGAUGAAGGACAACACAUCAAUGAGUCAACAACUCAACUUUGUUGGACUCUUUUGUGGACCGAAUUUGGCAGAGAAAUGGAGCUCCGAGGAUGAAGAUGGAGUCCUCGCUGGGUUGUUUCGAAGGAUCUCCAGGGAGUUGAAAAACAAAAUGGAGACGUGCGCAGGAGGGGAUAGGGACGGCAAGCAAUUGGAGGGCAGCUGGAAAUUCUUGUUCAAGAAGCUAAGAAUGGGGCCAAAAGUCAAGGACUUAGCCAAUCCAUUUAAUGCUUGUCCCCUCUCAUUACUUUCCAACUAAAAUUCCACUAAAACAAUCCAAUUUUGAUGUCAAAAAUGCUGUCCAAGCAUAAUUCCGAAUUUCACAACUUAGUCUUUAAUUUCUUUACUAAAUUCCCAAAUUGAGGUCCAAUUUUGAUGUAGAAAAAUCUCAAAUGAUUUUCUAUAAAUCCCCGACACUCAAAGGCUCAGUCUGGAAGUCCAAUUUUCUAUCAAUUUAGCCCGUCUGAAUUUCCGCCAAAUUUCCACGACGUCCGAAACGGUUUUCCGUAAAAAUUCCUGAAUCUCCGAAAAUCUUCUGAGACUGAGUUGACGUUCCUAAGAUAGCUCGUGACACCACAGAACUUUCAAUUUCUGAAAUCGAACUCGUAUUGGCGGUUAAUUUUAAUUCGGCGCGCUUUUAGCGUGACCUAGACUACCGGGUAGUUUUCAGAACUUUUCAGGGCAAUUGACUCGUGGUCGAUUUUCUUCGAGCCACUAUGAACCCACUCGACUCAUUGGCGACUCUCGCUUGUCGUGAAAAUCUCGAGGAUCCAAAUACGGACACAGGGUACCAAAACAAUAAGAAAAUCAGUCUAGAGCUAGUCGACAAGAAUUUUCCAAUUUAGUGGAGUCACCCACGAUCGGCCACACAUCUCAGUCGAACAGACCUAUCUCUGAUCUCAAAUCGAUUUUUAACUGUGCCGUAAUGGCCUCUAAAGAUGGACACGGUCGAGAAGCCGAUUCUUGAUCGAGUUCUCAAGUCUAUUGCCUUAAAAUUCCUUAAUAAUUUCCCAUGAUAGUCUAGUUAUCUCGAGAGUGAUCAGCUCUGAGAAUAACCCUAUAGGCGCGUCAAUGAAAUGCCCGAUUUAUUCAGUAGAAAACAAUACUGAAAAUUCUGGAUGUCACAACUCUUCCCCUCUUAUAAAAAUUUCGUCCUCGAAAUUUAAACCUUACAAUACUUGAUCAAAAAGGUGGGGGGUACAACUCUCUCAUUGACUGCUCAGUCUCCCAUGUCGCUCUUUCUGUACCGAGGUGGUUCCAGACCACUUUGACCAACGGGAUGGUCUUUGUACGCAAAACUUGCUCUUUGCGAUCGACAAUCUGGACCGGUCUUUCGACGUAUGACACACUGUCAUCCAUGUCCAAUUCUUCAAAAUUGAGCACAUGGGUCGGGUCAGGCUCGUACUUCCUUAACAUCGACACGUGAAAGACGUCAUGCACUUGCGCCAAUUUUGGCGGCAACGCAAGACGAUAUGCUAAAGUCUCAAUUCUCUCAAGAAUCUCAAACGGACCUACGUACCUCGGACUCAAUUUGCCCUUCUUACCAAAGUGCGAAAUUCCCCUCAUUGGCGACACCUUCAGAAAAAUGUGAUCACCAACUUGGAAUUCCAAAGACCUUCGACGCUUAUCUGCGUAACUUUUCUGUCUGCUCUGCGCUGUCUUUAAUCUGUCUCUGAUCACUGCCACGGCAUCUACUGACUGCUGAACCAACUCUGGGCCUGUUAUCUUUCUUUCCCCAACUUCAUCCCAACACACUGGUGUUCUGCAUGCUUUGCCGUACAACGCUUCGAAUGAAGCCAUCUGAAUACUCUGCUGAUAACUGUUGUUGUAGGCGAAUUCUACCAGAUGAAGCUGAUCUUCCCAACUUCCCUUGAAGUCUAUUACACAAGCUCUCAGCAUGUCUUCGAGAGUCUGAAUUGUCCUCUCAGACUGGCCAUCCGUCUGAGGAUGAUACGCCGUACUGUACUGAAGCUUUGUUCCAAGAGUACUCUGCAAGCUCUUCCAAAAAGCAGCAGUAAAUCUCGAGUCUCUAUCAGAUGUUAUCGUAACCGGCACUCCAUGCAUUCGAACUACCUGACGCACAUACAGGUCUGAGUGCCUAUCUAGACUGAGGUCCUUUCGAACUGCAAUGAAGUGAGCCGACUUUGUCAGUCUGUCGACUACUACCCAAAUCGAAUCAUUCCCUCUUUGACUUCUUCGUAGUCCAGUCACGAAGUCCAUCGUGAUAUGUUCCCAUUUCCAAUCUGGGAUCGCGAGAGGUUGCAGAAGUCCUCCCGGUUUGCAAUGUUAAGCUUUUACUUGCUGACACGUCAAACACUUGGCCACAUGUUUGGCGAUAUCCGCCUUCAUACCUGACUACCAAUAGUGUUGACGCAGAUUCUGAUACAUCUUAGUGCUUCUAGGAUGAAUGCUGUAACUGCUACGAUGUGCCUCAGAUAAAAUUUCUUCUCUACGCUCUACAUCGUCAGGUACAACCAAUCGUCCUUGGAAUCUUAGUGUCCCAUCAUCAGCGAUCUGAAAAUCAGCCUUUCUUUUGUCUGUGUCUUCCUGAAGAAUUCUCUGUACAUCUGGGUCUGUCAAUUGGAGUUGUUUGAUUCUAACCUGGACAUCCAGUUCAAUUCUGAGGGUUGCCAUAAAACUCGAGAGGUGGCCUACCUCAAAUUUGAAUUCCGAAUCCCGAGCUCUCUCGAUUAAGUUCCUCUCCUUAAUCAGUAUUUGAGCCAUUGAAGACUUUCGACUUAAAGCAUCGACGACAUUGUUCGCCUUCCCUGGGUGAUAUAAAAUAUCACAGUCGUAGUCUUUCAGCAAUUCCAUCCAUCGACGUUGUCUCAUGUUCAACUCCUUCUGAGAGAACAAAUACUUUUGACUUUGAUGGUCCGUGAAGAUGUGAAAUUUACCCGCACAAGUAGUGCCUCCAAAUCUUCAAUGCGAAUAUGAUGGCUGCAAGCUCUAAGUCAUGCGUUGGAUAGUCCAAUUCAUGAGGUCUCAACUGACGGGAAGCGUAUGCAACCACUCUGCCAUGUUGCAUCAACACGCAACCCAAUCCUCUGAAAGACGCAUCACUAUAGAUCUCGAAUCCUCCAGGACCAAAUGGAAUCGUCAGUACCGGUGCGGUAGUCAGCUUUUCUUUCAGCUCUUGAAAACUACGCUCGCACUUGUCUGUCCAUAUGAACUUCUCUCCUUUCUUCAGGAGUCAAGUCAAUGACAACACUGAUGUUAAGGCUUUUUCCACAAACUUUCUUAAGUGACUUGUACAACCCAUAUGGCUUCUGAUCUCUGAUACUAUCGUCAGUCUCGGCCCACUGAUAAUUGACUCAGUCUUGAUCGAGUCCAUGGAAAUUCUUUCACCAAUUUCAGGUGUCUCUCGGGCUCCUUAGCAUUUCUCGAAUACACUAGAAUAUCAUUGAAAGAUAUGAUCACAAACUGAACUCAAUAUUCCUUGAACACUCGGGUUGUCAAAUCCAUGACAGUUACUAGAGUGCUCGCCAGGCCAAAUAGCAUUACAUUAUACUCACCAAAGCCAUAUCAAGUACAACACAUCGUCUUCGGUAUAACCUCUUUCUUGGUUCUCAACUGAUGAAAACCUAUCUUCAAGUCAACCUUUAAAACAUCUACGCUCUUUAUAACUAGUCACACCAUUCAUUGAUCUUCGGCAAUGAACACUUGUUCUUGCUUGUCACCUAAUUGAGUUGACGAUGGUUGAUGCAUACUGGCAACAAACCAUCUUUCUUUUUCUCACAAACAAAACGUAUGUUUCCCUAAAGUGAUGCACUGAUAUGCAUGAAUUCCUCAUUCAUCAAUCUUCACAUCUCCAUCUUCAGUUCUACCAAUUCAGAUCACAACAGCUGGUAAGAUGCCUUCGAGAGUGGCUCUAUCUGUGACAUCUAGAUUUUCGGGAUUUAAUUUCGACUGGAUAAAUAGGGCCGUUUUAAUCAGAAUUUUGUAGAGGACCGUUUUUAUUGAGAAAUCGGGAUGCAAGAUGGGUUAUUGGAUGAGGAGAAUAUUCAAUUGAAGCAUUGAGGCAUCACUUGGAUUUAUUGAGGCCUUACAAGGUUAAAUUGAGAAGAAAUGAGUGAUCAAUUGGAGGAGGUAUCAAGCAAUUUCGUGUGCCCCCAUCCCACUAGCCAUUUUGGACCAAUUCACAUGUCCAAGAAGGAGCUUGGGUGGUUCAAUGGCAGCCAAGGAGUAAAUACUUGGCCUAGAGUGAAUAUGGGAGAUUUUUGUGGAAAGAUCAAGCUAAGGGGGACCCUCAAUUCUCUCUCUCUCUCUGUCGAGGACUGACGCGAACACACCCCCCUUCAGCCGAUGUCCCCUCCAUUUCACACACGUUUCCUCUGCAGAGUUCAAUUCUCAUUUGCCUUUGAUCGGUCUCCCCUUAUCUUUUCCCUUUUUGCCGUUUUCCUUUUUGGUUUUGACUGGGCGGUCGAGGACACCGCUUCUCUCUCCCCUCAUCUCUUCGCGGACGCCCCCUUGCAGCCAUCCCACUCCACCGAAACACCCUGCGGCAAACCGAAGUUCCUCUCCCCUACCACUCGUCCAGCAUCGAGCAGCCCAUCCCACGAAGCAGCCGUAGCCACGCACGUCCACCAGCGUCAACUCUUCUUCUCUGCCAGCGAAGUCCACCAAAAGAAUUCCUCCGCUGACUCCAUCUUACCGACCGAAGCAACUCCAGCUUCUGCCUCGCGUCUUGUUCGUCCACGCACCGUCCACCUCAGCGAGUCAAGCAGCACCGAAGCCUGCUCCACUUUCGUUUGUCCAGCCGAGUCAAUGAAAUCAGCAAGCUUCCCUUCGUUGACUCCUCCUGCCAUCUACCGCACGUCACCCGCAACUAAGACGAAGCUGCUUCUUCGUCCGUGUCUUCAGCUCAUGGAUUUCGGCCAGCUCGAAGAAGCCAGCGAAUCCAGCUUCGAUCUUCUCCAGUCAACGUUCGGCUUCAGCGUCUUCGUCCAUUAAGCCACGCGAACAGCAGCCAUCACCACCGGUUCCUUUAUGCUUCCACCUUGCCGCUUGAAAGUCCACCAAAGCUGCUGCCGUUCGUCCAGCAGAACCAGCUGAUUUUCAGCUGCUGCCAUCUCGCUGAAGACCGAAGCUCACGGAUCCAGCUGCCAGCAAGGCUGAAACCCAGCGUCGUGUCCUUCGUUGCUGCUUCAAUUUGCUACAGCUCAGCCCACGCUGCAACCUACCGAGCAGUCCAGCGAAAAUUCUCCACGGGCCCAAGCGAAUUCAACUCAGCCGCAGCAGGCCCAGUUCAGUUUUCAGUGGCCCAAGUUUGCAAGCUUCGGUCCAGCUUUGAAGCCCAUGUUCAGUUGUGCUUCAGCCCAGUUUGAAGCUGCAGUUCAGCCCAUUAAUUUCAGUCAGGCCCAAUCCAACAGUCUUCAGCCUAUUUGAAGCCCGGCCCAAUUCAGUGAAGUCCAGCAAGCCUAUUUAAAGCCCGCGACCUUGAAGCCCGUGUAGUUUAGUCCAUUUUCAGCAGGUCCAAGCCCAAGUUUAAGUCCAGAAUUUUCUGUGGGCUUGUAAAGUUCUUGGCCCAACCCGAGUAUCUGCCGAUGCCGCCGAAAAUUUGGAUUUCGGCCGCCGUCGCGUCGCCGCCGCGGUGCUCCGGUCUUCGCUUUGCGCAAGUGAGUUUUACUCACUAAUGCCUUCUUAGUUUGCUAAUUAAACUUAAAGGUUGAUUAGUGUUAAUUAAGUGUAAUUAGGUUGUUAGAUUAGAAUGGAUUAGGGAUUAUUAGUUAAUUGCUUUGUAUAUUAGUGAUGUAAUUAGUGUAAUUAGAUAGAGAAUUGCAUGUAGUAUUUAUUGGAUGCUUCUUGGGAUUUUUCCCGUCCCUUAUCGGGUGUUAAUUAGGCAAUUCGGGCAUAAGUGAGAUUUUCGGUAUUUUAAAUAUUAAUUUUCGAAAUUAAAUUCAGUAAUUAUUUAUUUUCCGAAAAUUCAACGGAGAUGGCCCGGGACCAGAAUAUUGUGCUGAUGAUCGUGGUGUAGUCCGUUUAUUUAAUUGAGCUUUAUAUUAUGCUAAAUCAAAUUUAUUGUCUGUAUUUAUUUAAUUUUCGAAAUUAAUUGUUAAAUUAUUUAUUUUCCGAAAAUUCAACUGGGAUGGCCAGCGACCGGAAUUUGGUGCUGAUUGUCGUGGUGCAGUUCAUUUAUUUAAUUGAGCUUUAUUUUGUGCUGAAUUGAAUUAUUUGUGAAAUUGGGAAUUAUUCUUUCAUGGAAUAAUCUUUGAUUAAUAAUUGGAAAAUAACCGGGUGUCAGUUGACAGCACUAAAAGUGUUUUGGUGGACUACAGAAAAUGUGGGAGUUGUGGAAAGGAAAAUAUUAUAUUUUGGCUAAGGCCGACUGUGUCCCCACACACGGCUAUUUUAUCGAGAAGGAUAACAGAUGAAUGGAUCAAAAGGUCGGAUAGUAUACUAUAUCAUCCUACGGGCUCUGAUAUGUCAGCUUAGCGAGAGCAGUAUACUGGUGUACUAUAUCAGCCUACGGGCGAUAUGUCAGCUUAGCGCGAGCAGUACACUUUAUCAGCUCAGUGGGAGCAUCGGGGGUAUACUAUAUCAGCCUGUGGGCGAUAUGUCAGCUUAGCGAGAGCAGUAUACCGGUAUACUAUAUCAGCCUACGGGCGAUAUGUCAGCUUAGCGAGAGCAGUAUACCUUAACCCUAUCAGCUUAGUGCGAGCUAUACUAUCUAUAUAUCAGCUUAGAGUGAGCAGUCCGGGACUAUGAUCGGACUUAUAGAUAGUAUUGAAUGUGCCGACCAAGCAUGGGUCGUGAUGACAGGUAAUCGACUAGGUCGAUUGAUCAUUGCUUGAUCUGAUGUUGUGAAUGGACCGAUUGAUUGGAAAUGACCAUGAGAUGGUCUGACCGGCUUGUAAUCGACUAGGUCGAUUGAUCGAGGAUUCGAUCUGAGUGUGACUUGAUGUGAUUGAUUGCCUUGGUUUGAUGUUGUGAAGUGAAUGAUUGAAGGGAGAUGAUCGUGAGUGGUCUUCCUGAUGUGAAAUCGACUAAGUCGAUUUGAUCGAUGCUUCGAUCUGUGAUGUGAUUGCUUGUGUGCCUAUUCGAUCUGUACUAAUAUGCAGGUGGAAUCUGAGGCUAAGGUAAGUCUUCUGACUCAUGUUGUGCAUAGGCAACCCUAAGGUGUAUUAGUUUACUAAUCGGGUCUUAGGAAGUAGAACUUGCUGAGACGUGGUCUCAGUGGUUAUUGAAUAACCAUUUCAGGACCUGGAUGAGGAGCCUAAGGAGCAUGAAUCUGAUGAGGAGAUCCCUGUUGAGGAACCCAAAGAGAAGUACGUGGAGGAGGACCCCGAGUAUGACAUCGAGUACGACCCGGAUGAGGACCGAAAUCCUAUCCUGUCUUGUCAGACCUUGUUUGCAUGUAAAAAGAUGUAGUUGUGAAUUUUCAGUAAGAAAAAUGUAUGGCCUGCUUUUCUAUCCCAUUGCUUUAUUGUCUGGGGAAUUAUAACCGCUUCCGCAUGUGCAUAUAUAAAUGAAAGGGUCGGCGAUACAUAGUCCUGGGAUAUCGCAUUUUUAAAUCGACCAAAAGUAAGGGAUGUGUGCGUGCCUGAGGGUCGGGGCGUGACACUAUCCUGGUGCUAGCUUGAUCGCACUUUCUAUCUCUUUCUCUGACGACGGUCUGACAGUUCUUGUGACAACACAUCUAGAAAUUCUUAGACCACUGAGACGUCCUCCAUCUCUAGUUCUCCAAUCCGUCCUACCCAAGACAAUCGCCAAGCAACCUUGGCAACCUCCGUCUAACAAACAAGUUGCCUUCAGCAACGAGAUUAAUGAAAUCGAAUAUUCUUUUCGACUCCCAAUAACCUCGAUACUUUCACAUGCUAAUGGAUUAAACUGGAUUACUCCAAGACCAUGGUUCAUUCUCACAAGAUGCUCCAUGAACCCACACUAUUCACUUGACAUCAAAUUCACACCUUAGCAACUAGUCAAGCACAACUAUUGCUAGUGAUUCCCCUCUCUUUCAUUUUUACUUCAAUAAUUUAAGUUCUACCAACUCAACACCAAACUCUGCUGCACUGCUCUGAUAAAAUCACCUCCAACACAUUCUUUCUCUGAUCGAUGCAAGGUCAAUUCUACUCCCAUUCCUUUCGCCAUCCUAGUGGCGUUCUAGCUGCAAUAGCGAUGUCUAUGUUACCUCAGACUUCCACUGACAGUCCUUCACCUGAUGGCCAUGCUGGUCAUCAUCACAGCAUGUUCUAAUCAUACUCGAACACUAGAUUUAUCCAUGCUUCCUUCUACAAUUCUGACACCUAUCUGGUGCGUCUUCUAUCUCCUAUCAAGUGCUAGCGUGCACUAUUUCUUGCAUGGGAGACCUAUCCCAAAAUUCCACAGUGCAUUCUAUGAAGCACUUCUUCUGACCUGUCCUAUCGACGGUGACAGCAGUAACCGUUGUCGAGCUUUCAUCUACUUAUGCGGACAACCCAUAACUUGCUAUCCAUGCUGGCAACACUUACCACAAAUUCCCGUCCUCAGAAUACACGGGACCAAUCCAUACCAUCUUCCAUGGAACAACAAGUUCCAUUUGUCUCAAUGCUGACCUGACUAUUCCACCCUUCCUAUUGAGUGAAAUAGAAUACUCUUCUCUCAACAUUAGUCUUUUCCCUGACCAAAUUCCAAGUUUGCCUGCACUGAAUCUUGACUCAGAUGUCGAAAUCUAUUCCCUGAUCAUCCUUCCAGGUUGAACCUCAGCAAAGGUGGCAACAAUAAUAACUUGAUCCUGAUCUUACUGGCUCAUUUAGAACCCAAGGAACACUUGCAUCAGAAUGAUCUUAUCGAACUUAGGAUCAUUCAACGCUGCUACACUAGUACCAACCUACAGUGGCACUCUUACACUCGAGCUGGCCAAAGCCGACACUCUGCCACAACCACCUCGGGUACCGACCUUUGUCAGUGCUUUAUCCCGAGUCACAGAGGACAUUGUCCUCUUACUAGGAGUUCUCAGCUCCUGCUCGCUCAUGGUUCAGUCUUUAUACUGAAACCCGUCUUCCAAAUCCACACCAGAUUAGAAGGUGAGCGAUCCACACACAACAAACAAUUCUAGCAUUCAGCUAACAUAGACAUGCACCGGCAUGAAUUUAAAGGCCUUUCCUACAAACUAUCCCAUGGUCAACGCUCCUUAUCACUCCAAUCUUGAACUUCGCUCUGAUACCACAAAAAGGGGAUGUCACGCCCCGAUCCUCGGGGACGCGCCCAUCCUUCUACUUGGUCAAUUUUAAAGUGCGAUAUCCCAGGACUAAGUAUCGCCGACCCUUUCUUUUUACUACGCAUGCGGAAGCAGUUUUAAAUCCCUAGACAAUAAAACAAUGGGAUAGAAAAGCAUGCCAUAUUUUUCUUAUUGAAAUUCACAACCACACUUUUACUAACAGCACAACUCAUAGUAUAUUUACAAUACUAUUCACAACAUACUUGUCUCACAUCUAUCUACACUAAGAUAGGGUUCACAAAAGGGAUGAAAUCUCAAUCCACACCCGGGUUAUACUCAAGAUCCCCUCUCUGGAUCAUCUUCUUCUUCAAAAGUCUUUCUCCCUUUCAGGUUCCUCCUCUUCAGCUUCUCCUCAGGGUCCUGAAAUGGUUAUUCAAUAACCAAUGAGACCACAUCUCAGCGAGUCCUACCCCCUAAGACCCAAUUAGUAAACUAAUACGCCAAACGGUUGCCUAAGCACAACACGAGUCAGAGGACUUACCUUGGCCUCAGUUCCAACCUGCAAUUCAAGGUUAAACACAGAUAUUCAAACAAUUCACGACAUCUGAUCAAGCACUGGUCAAUCGACUUAGUCGAUUACAUGUCAGCCAGACCCUCUCUAGGUCAUUCCCACUCAUACCAUGAUUUCCCAGUGGUGUACUCAUUCACCAAAUCACAUGUGUUUCUCGGGCGUUCUUUUCGCCAAUGACAUACCGAUCACCGACACCGUGCGUUCUUUAAGGCGCCGUUUUCACCAGUGAUAUCCUCGAUCACCGAACCAUGUGUCAUUUCUAGGGCGUCGUUUUCGCCAAGGUGACAUCGGCAAUAGACAACAUCGUGAGUUCUUUAAGGCGUCGUUUUCACCAGUGAUAUUUCCUUAAUCACCGAACCACGUUUGUCUAUAAGUCAUUCACGUGCGUUCUUUAAGACGCCGUUUUCGCCAGUGAUACUUCCAAUCACCGAACCACGUAUGUCCAAUAAUAUCGUACCUGAUUGGUCUCAAUCAAUAAUGUUCUCAGUUAGUUCUCACCAUUCUCCCUACUAUAUAGCCCAUCAAUGUACUAGCGCUAUAUAUCCAUGCUCGGCCAUUACCAAUCAAAUACUCAAUAACAAACAAUUUAGGACAAUUCCUCAAAUUUCACAAUUUAAAUCAAUUCCAUAAAAAUUGAAGCUCAAUUAAAUAAACGGACUGCACCACGACAAUUGGCACGAAAUUCCGGUCACCGGCCAUCCCGGUUGAAUUUCCGGAAAAAUAAUUAAUUAAAUAAUUAAUUUCGAAAAUAAAAUAAAUAAAUAAUAAAAAUCCAAUUUAGGCCUGUAUUGCCUGAUUGGAGCCCGAAACGGGUCGGGAAAAAUCCCGAGAUGCAUUCAAUAAAUAAUAGAGGCUCUCUACUUGCUAAUGACUAAAUCUAACCACCUAACAUGCAUCAUUAAGUCACUAAUUUAAUUGUUCUAAUCUAAUCUAACCACCUUAGUGCACUUAAUUAAAUCUAACCAACCCUAAGCGUAAUUAGCAAACUAAUAAAGCAUUAGUGAGUAAAACUCACUUGGUUAAAAGCGGGGACCGAAUCACCGCAAAGGCGACGCGACGGUGGCCGAAAUCGGACUUUCGACAACACUGGCGGACUUGGACUAGGCCUCGACCUUGGCUCAACAAAUCUCAGCCCAAAUGAGAUUUGUUCUUGCGCUAGACUAGGCUUCCUUUAGGCUGGGCUGAACUCAACUAGACUUGCGGCUUGCUGGACUUGAAAUUGAACUGAAAAUGGGCUGCUCUCUUUGGGCUGAAAACUGCUGGCUUUGUUGGGCUUCGGAGCUGAAUUUGCUAGGCCUGACUUCUUUAAUCACUUGGGCUUGAAAAUACUGAAUUGUGGGCUGCUUGCUAGGCCAGAAUUAAACUGAAAAUGGGCUCUCUCUUUAGGCUGAAAUAAGCCAAAUUGCUAGGCUUCAAUUCUAAUUGAUGAUGGGCUAAGUUUCCUUGGGCUGAUGGGCCAACCAAGAGGCAACAAAAGCUGCCGAUGGGCCUCUGGACUGCAAGGCCAAUGUUGCUGAAAUCUACGGCAGCUGGACUCCACGAGCUGAGUUGGGCCGAAUGUUGGACUAGGGAAGCCCGAGCGUGAAGAUGGAAGAAACGAAAGCAGCUUGCGUCUCUGUGGUGUCUCGGACGUGUGGAGGGAGAGAUCUCUCGGUGGAGCUGGCCACGUGGAUGAAGAGGGAACAGCUUCAGUCUUCAAUUCGGUGGAGAAGCAAAAUCAAGAUGGAGCAGCUUUGGCGUCGUUGGCAGCUUGCGAGAAGACACGGAGUAGCAGUCCGUUGGACGGGUGGCGAGCUGGGAAUUUCAGUGUUGCAGCUGGCGGAACACCGAAAUUGCAGUGGUCCAAGACGAGGGGAGGGCUUCAAUCGAGUGUUGACCGAGUGGGGUUGAAGGCGCGCAAACCGGUGAAGCUGAAAUCAAAUUGCUGCCGACAAAACCUAGUGGAGGACGCGGCUUUUGUCAUGCCCCGAUCCUCGAGCACGCUCACAUCCUUCUCUUGGUCGAUUUUAUAAUGCGAUAUCCCAAGACUAUGUAUCACCGACCAUUUCCUUUAUUAAGCACAUGCGGAAGCAGUUAUAAAUCCCCAGACAAUAAAACAAUGGGAUAGAAAAGCAGGGUCAUAUUUUUCAUAUUGAAACUUAUAACCAAACUUUUAUACAUGACAUAAACCAGGGUACUUCACAACUAUUCACUUCAAAAUGGAACUCUCAAAAGAAGAUAAGACUCUCAGUCCAUCCCGGCCGUACUCAAGGCCUCUCUCGGGAUUAUCUUCUUCUUCCAAAAUUCUUCUCCUCAGGUUUUACCUCUGAGUUCUCCUUCCCAGACUUCUCCUCCUCAGCUUUUCAUCGGGGUCCUGAAAGGUUUCCCCCAAACUGGGAUGAGAUUAUGUCUCAGCAAGUUCUACCCCACUAAGCCCAAUUAGUAAACCAUUAUACUAUAGGCUGCCUAAACACGCACAGGACAGAGGACUUACCUUGGCCUCAGAUCCCACCUGCAAGUCAGUACAAUUCACAAUAGGCACCCAAGUAAUUACAUCACAGAUCGAAGCAUCGAUCAAAUCGAGCUAAUCGAUCACACGCCAACAACACCACUCACGGCCAUUCCCAUUCAAUCAACCACUUCACAACAUCAGAUCAAAACAAUGAUCAAUCGACCUAGUCGAUUACAUGUCAUUCGGACCACCUCUCGGUCACAUCAACACCAUACUUUAUAAUCUCCAUUCGGGUACUCAGUCACAGAGCCAGAUGAAUGCUCUCGGGCGUCUUUUUCGCCAAGGUGACGUACAAUAAACACUUUAUGUGCAUACUCUUAGGCAUUCCACUUUCUUUCAGCCACAUGGGCACGAUACUCGGCACACAGAAAUACGGCCACGCGGGCACGAUCUACGCCACACGGGCAUGAUCAAUUAUCGCCACACAGGCAUGAUCAACUAUCGCCACACAGGCAUGAUCAAUAUUCAACAAUUUAUGUGCAUUCUCUAAGGCAUCCUACAUGCCAAAGCGAUGUAAUAAUCGCCGAGCCACAUCACACAUCAUUUCUCCUCAUCUUUUAUCAUCAUUGAUAAAAUAUCGUGUGUAGGUACACGAUUGGCCUUAACCAAAAUAUAAUGAUUUCGAUUCCACAAAUCCCACCAUUAAUUGCUUCCACCAAAACACUUUUGGUGCUAUCAACCGACGCCCGGUUAUCUUCCAAUUAAUUAUCCAAAUUAAUUAAUUCAAGAAAAUAAUCUUAUAAUCAUAAUUAAUUCAUUUCAGCACAAAAUAAAACUCAAUUAAAUAAACAGACUGCGCCAUGAUGAUCAGUACGAGAUUUCGGUCGUUGGCCAUCAAAAUCUUAAUUUCCGAAAAAUAAAUAAUUAAUUAUUUAAUUUCGAAAAUUAAUUAAUAAAUAUUAAAAAUUCAAUUUAACACAAAAUAAAGCCCAAUUAAAUAAACAGACUUCACCAUGAUCACCAGCAUAAAAUUCUAGUUCCAGACCAUCGCAGUUGAAUUUUCGGAAAAUAAAUAAUUAUUUAAUUUAAUUCCGGAAUUAAUAUUUAAAUACUAAAAAUUCCACUUAGGCCCGAAAAGCCUAAUUGAAGCCCACGAAGGGUCGGGAAAAAUCCCGAGGCACUUCCAAUAAUUAGUAGACCACGUCUACUUGCUAAUUGCGCAAUCAAUUUAUCUAAAUCGCAUCACAAUUGACUAAUAAUUGCUAAUUUAUUCUAAUCUAACAACCUAAACAUAAUUAAUUAAAACUAAACCAACCUUAAGCAUAAUUAGCCAACUAAUCCGGGAUUAGUGAGAUUACUCACCAAAUCGCGCGCAAAUCGGAUCAAUCCGACGAGGGCGACGCGAGGAACGAUUCUUCCCAAAGCACGGCUCGGGUUCGGGGCCCGGAAACGGCCCAAAAGCGGGCCCGAACCAGCUGGAAACCCAUUUCGUGGGUUGCGGUUCAAGGCUUGCCGGAGCUAAUCCGGCGGCUAUGGCGGCGAGGGGAGGCCGGCGGAGGGCGAGGGGGACGCCGGGGAGGCCAGGCGGUGACCGGACGGGGCUGGGCGGCGAGCGGCGAGCUGCAGCUUCUGGUUCGAGCUUCUGCUUUUUGCUUCUCCUUUUCGUUCGAACAGGAGGAGAGAAAGAGAAGAGUGCCGAGUGAGAGAGAAGGAGAGAGGAGAGAGAAGGGUUUUGACUGGUCAAAAAAAUGAAAAAGAAAGAGAGAAGACAAAGUGGAGGACAGCAGGAGGGGCGAUCGGUGGGGGAAAAAUCCGCACGAGGGGAGGGGAGAGAAAAAGAGAGAGGGAGAGAGGGAAAAAUAAAAUAAAAAUAACACAACUAUUCUUAUUUUAUUUUCUUUUCUCUUUCCCUUUUUAUUUUCUUUCGGUCUUCAAUUUUUUCUCCGAUAAUUUCUUUAUUGAAAUUUCGGACUCGUUAACAAUUUGACGGACGAUGAGACAGAAUCCUAAAAAUAAGAAUUAUGAUGCACUUAAAAUUCGAUUCCCGAAAUCGAGUUCAAUUUCGUGGUUAAAAAUCGAUCAGACGUGGUUUUAGCUAAAUCCAACAAAUUGAGUAGUUUUUAGGGAUUUUACUACAGAUACAUCCCUUAACGACUUCACCCAAUAGGUUAGUUAACUCGUGAGUGAUCAGCUCAGAGAAAAAGGGCCAUAGGCACGUCGACGAAAUGCCCAUUUCACUUUAUCGAAACGGGGUCGAAUUUCAGGAUGUCACAGCUUUGAUCUUCGGUGCAGCUGUUCUUCGGUCCAACCUUCAAUGGACUCCUCUGGGCGUGCAAGGAUGUGAAGAUGGCCGUGUGGAUGAAGGACAACACAUCAAUGAGUCAACAACUCAGCUUUGUUGGACUCUUUUGUGGACCGAAUUUGGCAGAGAAAUGGAGCUCCGAGGAUGAAGAUGGAGUCCUCGCUGGGUUGUUUCGAAGGAUCUCCGGGGAGUUGAAAAACAAAAUGGAGACGUGCGCAGGAGGGGAUAGGGACGGCAAGCAAUUGGAGGGCAGCUGGAAAUUCUUGUUCAAGAAGCUAAGAAUGGGGCCAAAAGUCAAGGACUUAGCCAAUCCAUUUAAUGCUUGUCCCCUCUCAUUACUUUCCAACUAAAAUUCCACUAAAACAAUCCAAUUUUGAUGUCAAAAAUGCUGUCCAAGCAUAAUUCCGAAUUUCACAACUUAGUCUUUAAUUUCUUUACUAAAUUCCCAAAUUGAGGUCCAAUUUUGAUGUAGAAAAAUCUCAAAUGAUUUUCUAUAAAUCCCCGACACUCAAAGGCUCAGUCUGGAAGUCCAAUUUUCUAUCAAUUUAGCCCGGCUGAAUUUCCGCCAAAUUUCUGCGACGUCCGAAACAGUUUUCCGUAAAAAAUUUUGAAUCUCCGAAAAUCUUCUGAGACUGAGUUGACGUUCCUAAAAUAGCUCGUGACACCACAGAACUUUCAAUUUCUGAAAUCGAACUCGAAUUGGCAAUUAAUUUUCAUUCGGCGCGCUUUUAGCAUGACCUAGACUACCGGGUAGUUUUCAGAACUUUUCAGGGCAAUUGACUCAUGGUCGAUUUUCUUCGAGCCACUAUGAACCCACUCGACUCAUUGGCAACUCUCGCUUGUCGUGAAAAUCUUGAGGAUCCAAAUACGGACACAGGGUACCAAAACAAUAAGAAAAUCAGUCUAGAGCUAGUCGACGAGAAUUUUCCAAUUUAGUGGAGUUACCCACGAUCGGCCACACAUCUCAGUCGAACAGACCUAUCUCUGAUCUCAAAUCGAUUUUUAACUGUGCCGUAAUGGCCUCUAAAGAUGGACACGGUCGAGAAGCCGAUUCUUGAUCGAGUUCUCAAGUCUAUUACCUUAAAAUUCCUUAAUAAUUUCCCCAGAUAGUCUAGUUAUCUCGAGAGUGAUCGGCUCUGAGAAUAACCCUAUAGGCGCGUCAAUGAAAUGCCCGAUUUAUUCAGUAGAAAACAAUACUGAAAAUUCUGGAUGUCACAAAAUCAGUGGCAUCAUCUCACAUCCCUCCAAAAGCUAGAAAUUAUGCACUGCCAAAAUAUCAAAUGCUUCCCCAAGGGAGGUCUGCCUCCCAAAUUGCGAGACCUUAGAAUUUGGGGGCUCGUGAAUCUGAAGCAGCUAGUGAGAGAGUGGGGCCUACACCUGCUCACAUCUCUCGAGAGUUUGGACGUUGAGUUUAACAUGGGAGGGGAGGGAGAGAAGGAAUGGUUUCCUUCGGAGGAUGAGGAUGCCUGGAGUCUCUUUCCUUCCUCUCUAACCCGUCUUUCGAUAUAUGAUUUGAGAAAUGCGGAAAGACUAUCGAGCGGUCUCCGCAACCAUCUCUCCUCUCUCCAAUGGUUAGCGAUUGGAUAUUGCCCCAAGUUGAGGUACUUGCCAGAGGAUGGCUUCCCUCCCUCCCUCCAACGAUUGUAUAUACCUAGAUGCAAGAUUCUAAAAGAGCGAUGCGCAAAACUCACCGGCGACUAUUGGCCUCUCAUCCAAGAGAUCCCUGACAUUACCAUUGAUGACGAACGGAUCCAAUGAAUUGAUUCGUGCAUCUACACUACAGUCAAUUUUAUUAGGGUUCGGGUAAGUUAUUUUUGGUUUUGAAGGCAUCCUUUUCCAUUCUACUUUCUCAAUUUGAUGCUCAAUACGAAUUGAUGUUUGGGUGGGGGAUCUCGUUGGGUUGGAUUGGCUCUGUUUCAUUGGACGAUAAACUGUAGGAUGUAACGCUCGCAAUGCUGACUCUUGCUAUGUUGAUGACAUAUCCUCAUUUCUGCUUGAUGCCCAAACCAAUUGUGAAUGAAAUCGCACCAUCACGAAGAAUCGUAGCAUUCCACAAUCAUAGUCCUCUGCAUUUUCAGUGUCUAUUGUCUGUUCUCUUCCCAACAUCUUUUUUCUUGGGCCCUUAAGCUCAUUCACUUUGGUUGUUUUGCAGAUACCAUUGUGAUCUUGCAUUAGUAGAAUCUCUUGGAAGGAUCACGUGCGAACGCUACUAAGGUAGGGCUAAUGCUAUUCGUGUCAAUGUCUUGUUUCAUUUUUUCUUUUUUCUUUUUUUGGCAAUUUAUCAAAAAAGGAAGAAGCAAUUAAAUAUAUUUGUUGCACUGCUAUGUUCUGAACUUUCCCUUCUGGUGAAUAUGAUCUAAAUAACAAAUCUUUUUCAAAAUCUAAAAGGAUGAUUAGUUUUGUGGAAGCUAUGAUGUGAUUGUGAAAAAAGGGGAUGCGGUUUUUUCUUUUUAUGGUUUUCUUUAGAAUUGGGAACCUUCUUUUCUUUUAUGAUGAUUCUUCGUAGUAUUAAGCAGUCAAUCUAGGAUAAAAUUCUGAGGCAGCUCAUGGCUCCAAGCUUUUGCGUGAUAGCAUUGAUAUUCCAUAAAUCGCUUGCUGGUUGGGUCUUGAACUCUGGUGCUUUAGGAACUGUUGCUCACAGCUUGCUAGAAAUUUUUAGUAAAUAUACUUAUGCCUAUUUGGUUGAGAUUGUAAUGAUAGAUUGCCUACCUCUGGGUUUGCAUUAUCAGCAGUGACCUCUGGGUUGGCAUUUCCAUUUACUUGACUGCGGAAUAUGAUUUCAUCAUACAUUAUGCCAUUUUAUCUUAAAAUACCUUCUCAUGUGGCAUUCUUCCUGUGGGGGAGUUCCAGAACAAAAUGUUCGAGCUGACAUGGGCUCCUUUGGAGUAACUGGAAAUCAUACAAUUCAACCAAUUUGUAUCUUGCCUGGUAUAUCUCCUUUCUCAAUGCUAGUGUAGCAUGUAUAAAUUUUUUGUUCAAGCAAUGUUCUUAUGACAUUGUGAAGCUCUAUUAGAGGUUAGAUAAUUUGUAAUCUGAAUUGUAGUUCAUUGUGCACUUUCUCCCAGGCUUUUUGGAUGUUAUUGCACAUAUAACAUGGUGCUUUGACCAUAUAAAUAGGUGGUUAGAAAAAGCAGAGCUGCAUUUGCCAGGAUAACUUUCCAGCAACCUCGCAUAGUUUUGCUUGACGAGCCAUCCAAUCAUCUGGUAAGUUCUACUCAUAUUUCUCCAUUUGUUUACUUUGAUUACUUUUCUAGUUAGCUUGUUAUUGUUCUUGCACUAAUUGAACUUGUCAAAAUCUUGUCUCUACAUUAAAAAUAUAGUAGAACCAAUUAGUGGUCACAGCUGCCGGUAGCCCUUGUCAUCAUACAUCUAGCAAAUAAUGGAACAGGAACCAAUCUAAUUGUUCCAAUGUGGAAAAUAUUCAAAAUAGAGUAAUCUAGCACACCAAAUGGUACUGAUCUUUGUGCCUAUAGGCAGUAUUGGGCUUUACAUACAAAUAUGUGGACCCCUUUUUGUUUAUAAUUUAGUCUUUAAGUUUUGCUUUAAUGACCAGUGACAAAAGAAUUAUCUUUGUAAAGUGUUAUUUUCUUGUCUGAUGAUUAGUGUUUCUGUUUUUUUGCCAAUCCACAACUGUAGGAUUUGGAUGUAGCUGAGGCGCUCGUUCAAGGUCUGGUCUUCUUCCAAGGAGUAAUUCUGAUGGUGAGAUUGAUUUUCCUGUCAAAAUACUUCAAUUUGACCAAUGAUGGAUCAUUUCAUAAUCAAGGACCCUCUUUUCACCUUGAUUUGUAGGUUAGUUACGAUGAGCAUCUAAUAGCUAGAAGCUUGGAUGAGGUCUGGGUGGUUUCACAAGGCAAGGUGGCACCUCUCCAUGGGAAUUUCCAGGACUAUAGGAAUGUGCUCCAGUUUUUGUUGAAUCAGGUAAAUCUAGUUAUUGCCAUCAAUUAAGAGUGGUUCACUGGGCAUUACCUCACAAAACAGAAAAUGAGGCUUAGCUACAUAUAAAAAGCGAAAAAAGGAUGAAGAGAGGAUUGCUGCUGAUAUACAGGAUGGACUCACAGUUACACCAGCCCUCAUUUGUCAUUUGUACUUGAUAAGGGCUCUUGGAAUGAUGAGUCUAAGUUUUUGACAUCGAGCAUGCAAUAUCAUUUACACUAACUUAAGAACUGAGUUGGGAUUGCAAUCCUGGUAUAAUUUAUGAUUCUUUGCACAUUUUGUUCUAGCAAUAGGUUCAUUUGUUGCGCCCCUAGAAAUUUGAUACUCUGUUGCCGCCAAAGUCAACUUUCCCAUGCACACCAAAAUGAUUUAAUCAUUUGUAAACGAAUAUUUUAGCACGGUAAAUUAUUUUGUAAAAAAUCUACUUUGUGAGAAAGCUGUAUUAAUAUAUUUUCCCCAUUUUCACUCUUUGCACUGUUUCGGAGAAUUAAUUAUGAAAAUAUUAUCACGGUCAACAAAACUUUAUAUUCAACACUAAGUAUAGAAUUGCUUUUACUAACUAUAAUGUAGGCCUUCCUCAGCUUGGUCAAAGAUUAUAGUUCCUCCUUCUAUUCAAAUACAUGAGAGUCACAAAGAAUCAAUGGCGUUCCACGAUCAUAUUCCUUUGUAUUUUCAGCAUCUGUUGUAUGCACUCUUCCCAACAUUUUCUUUCUCGUGCCCUAGCUCAUCCACUUUGAUUGUUUUGCAGAUGCAGGAUCACUUGCGAAAACUAUUGAGGUAGGGCUAAUGUUGUCGAUGUUAUGUGUGAUUUUUUACAAUUUACAAGAAAGGAAGAAGCAUUUAAAUUUAUUUGGUGCAUUGAUAUGUUCUAAUUAUUCUUCUAGCGAUCAUUAUCUAAAUAAGAAUAAUCUCUUUCAAAAUCUAAAAACAGGAUUAGUUAUGCGGAAGCUGUGAUAUGAUUGUGACAAAAGGGGAUGCAAAUUUUAUUUUUUUUAAUUAUGGUUUUCUUUAGAAUCAAGAACCUUCUUUUUGUUGAUGAUGAUCCUUCAUAGUAUUAAGCAGUCUAUUUGGGGCGCUCAUGGCUCUAAGCUUUCGGUCUUGAUCUCUGUUGAGUUAGGAACUAUUACCUACAGCUUGCUAGAAAUUUUUUAGCCAAUAUAUUCAUGCUUAUUGGGUACAGCUUGCUAGAAAUUUUUUAGCCAAUAUAUUCAUGCUUAUUGGGUUGAGAUGGUAACGACAUCCUGCCUACCUCUGGGUUUGCAUUGUCAGUGGUGACCUCUGGGGCAAAUCUUGUCAGUUCCUUAAAUUCAUCAUACAUCAUUUCAUUGCAUCUGAAAUUACCUUCUUAUGUGGCAUCCUUCCUGAACUCACUUGGGUUCCUUUGGUCUAACUGGAAAUCCCACACUUCAAUCAAUGUAUACCUUGUCUAGAAGCAAUUUUUGUGUUACAUCGUGAAGCUCUAUUGGGGGUUAGUUAAUAUGUAACCUCAAUUGUUGUUCACUGUGUAUUUGCUCCAAGGCUUUUUGGAUGUUAUUGCACAUAUGACAUGAUGCUUUGACCAUGUAAAUAGGUGGUCAGAUAAGCAGAGUUACAUAUGCCAAGAUAACUUUCAAGAAACCUCACAUAGUUUUGCUUGACAAGCCAUCCAAUCAUUUGGUAAGUUUACUCAUUUUUCUUUGUUCAGUUAGCUUGUGAUUGUUCUUGCACUAAUUGAACUUAUCGGAAUCUAGUCUUUACAUCGAAAAUACAGUAAAACCAAUAAGUGAUCAUAGCUAUAGGGAGCCUCUGUCAUUAUGCUUCUAACUUAUAAUGGAAUAGAGACCAAUCUAGUUUUUCCAACUUGCAAAAUGUUGGGAAUAGAAUGGUUCUGCUAGCCUGAUCAGUGUUUUUGUAUUACAGUAAUCUAUGAUACCAGGUAGUUCUUAUGCUUGUGCUUAUAGGCAGUGUUGGGCUUUGCGCAUAAUGAAUGUGGACCUUUUUCUUGUUUUUCUCUUAGUUUUGCUUUAAUGAGCAGUGAUUACUAAAGUGUCAUCUUUGUAAAUCGUUAGUUUCUUGUCUAGAAAUACAUAUGAUUCUGCCUUUUCCACUAUACCCAAUUGUAGGAUUUGGAUGAGGCGCUCAUUCAAGGUCUGGUCUUGUUUCUAAGAUGGAUCAUUUCGCAGCUGACAGCCUCUUUUUGCCUUGAUUUGCAGGUUAGUCACGAUGAGCAUCUAAUAUCUGGAAGCGCAAACAAGCUAUUGGUGGUUUCUCAAGGCAAGGUGGCGGCAUUCCAUGGGAAUUUCCAGGAUUAUAAGAGUUUGGAUGUCCUGAGGGUAUCUCUGGGGUUAUUGCGUUCAUCAUCUACACUAACUGUGGAGGGCAAACAUCCUGAAAUGAAGUAGAAAUUGGUUGAGUGCGCACAAUCUCUGAAUGCAGCAUGUGUGGAUUAAUUUGAUUAAAUUGUUCUGGGACCCAACUUUGGACACAUCGAUCCGGAUUCAAAAUUCUUUAAUUCCAAUUAAAAGCAAACUAGGUUAUGUGGCAUUGAUCUGGUCUGUAUUAACUGUAGCACUUCCAGCUAUAUUUAAAUUCGCAUCCUGUGAUGCAGUAGCGACUGAUUUGUCAAAUAAGCUACGGUUAUGGCUUAAACCGAGUAAUUCAUAGCGAGUAUGGAAUGUCAGCCCAUAACAUUAAGUCACCAUCACCGGCGAUUAGGGGUCUCCCAUAUUUAUGGAUUAACUUGAUAAUAAGAGUUAUUCAGUUAAAAAGAAAAAAAAAUCACCGAAAGGUUCACUGGUUAGUAGGAAAGUGAAUUGUCCCGUUCUUGUCUCGUUUGUUCAUUUUUGGUUGCUGUCGCGUGGGUAUGAUAUUAUUUUGUUUGUUUGAUCACUCUUGCUAUUGUUUAUUGUGCAUGCAGGAUAAUUUGUCGCUAUUGUCUAUUGUGCAUGCAAGAUAAUUUUUAUAUAAAAUUAAUUGAUCGUCCCGUUCCAGAUUUAUUAAUAUUUUUAUGUUCAUCUCAUGCCAAUUGUUAUUCGACGAGUUGAAGAGUGUCCGAUACAAAUGACGGCAUGAUUGAAAUUGUAUUGGUGUAUGAUGGGAGCUAGCGAAAGUCAAGGAAUUAAAGGAAAAAUAUGGGGCUUUUACUCUGUUUUUCAAUCCAUAUUUUUUAUUAUUUUCACAUAAUCGUUUUGGAGUGGGCAAUACUUUCAACGUACACAUGAAGUAUUACUUGAAGCAAGAAAUUCUCAAAUAGCACCUAGAUGAAAAAAAAAAAAAAUUCCCAACUUUCUCACGUUCUGAAUGAUAACAUAAAGCUUAUUUUCCAUUACUUAUUAGUCUCUUUAAUAAAUUUACUACUUGAAGUUUCUUUUGUGUCUUUACAUUGUAAACAUUAUAACAUGCAUCGAUUUGUCCAAAGUCCUUUAAGAUAGUGCCUUUAUAGAUAAGACUAUUAUAUGGUACGAUAGGAAGAUGACAACGACAUAAGAAUUAGAUCAGAAGAACGUAUUAUAUCUCCAACACAUACAAAGUAGUAGCUAAAAACAAUGUGCAGUCAAUCAAGGGUUGACCCAGUUUUACUCAUGCCCGUUCCCAAAAAUGACACUUUCGUUCAGUCGUGAUUCUUAUGGUUGGCAUUGGUUUCAGCUUUGCACUGGCUCUCACGUGGCAAGUGAAUUAAUUCUCAGGGGGGCACAUGCUCAGGACACCUACGAUUCGUGCUAUAAUCCAUCCAAGCCUAGUUAAAACAUAAAAAGAUAACCCAAGGCCUUCUCACCGUUCAUCACAAUUUUUCUCCUUUCUAGAUACUGAAAUCCAGUGGUGAAAUUAUUUCUAAAACAGAACUUGCAGUUUGCCUUUUAGAUUUUUUCGCUACUUCUUUUUUAAAGUUGAAAAUCCAAUUUGACAUCCGCGGACAUAUGUAAUGUUUUAUUGCCUACAGUGACAUAUCAAUUUGAUAUACAUAAAAAACUAUAAAUAGUCAGUAAUGCGAGUUAUGUAACCAAAAUUCCACUUAUUGGUAUCUACAACAACAUUAAUAUGGAUAGCUGCAAGUAACUAAUUAACUUCUCAUAUCUAUUGGUAUCAAAGAAAAUCUACAAAUAUGCAUAACCAGCUUGGCAGAUAGUUGUUAAUGAUCAGAGGGGGAAAGUGUUAAAAAAGUCCUAAACCUUUUGCAUUUAUGCCAAUUUAGUCUUAAAAAUUUUUUUGGUGCCAAUUAAGUCCUAAACUUUUUUACGUUGUGCCAAUUUAGUACUUAUUAGCCGGAUUUUGUUGACUGGAUGCCGGCCAGCUGACGUGGCCUGACCGGUGCUGAUGUGGACAACUUUUAAUAAUAUUUUUGAAUUUUUUUUCUUUUUCUUUUUUCCUUCUCCUCCUUCUUUCUCUAGCCAGCCAGUAGCCAAACCUCGGCGACUGGUUAGAGGCGACGGCUAAAGAGGUUGAGGUCGAUCUUGCCGGCCACCUCACCAGUGGCCGCGAGGGCGGCCUCGCGCUAAGCAGUGAGGCUCGCCCUCGUCGGAUCUAGUGAGGGUUGAGCCUUGCUGGCGAGGGCGGCCUCGCGCCGGGCGGGUGAGGUCAAGCCUCGCUAGCCAUGGGCAAGGUCAACCUCGCCAGAUCCGGUGAGAGCGAGCCUCUCUGCCCUGUGCGAGGCUGCCCUCGCGGCCAUUGGCGAGGUGGUCGGGGAGGUUGACCUCAACCUCGCCGGCCGUCGCCUCUGGCUAGUUGCUGAGGUCUGGUGACCGGCUGGAAGAGAAAGGGGAAAAGAACCAAGAAAGAUAAUAUAGAGAAAAAAGAUACAGAUGAAAUAUUAUUAAACGUUGUCCAGGUAGGGCCAGUCGAGCCAUGUCAGCAAGCCAGCGUCCAGUCAGCAAAAUCCGGCCAAAAUUGGCCGGAAAUGACUGAAUUGGCACAACGUAAAAAGAUGUAGGACUUAAUUGGCGUCAAAAAAAUGUUUAAGACAAAAUUGGCCAGAAAAGAGAGAAUCUCCCAGACAAAGAAUUUCUUCCAAAGAGCCACCAAUUCCACUGGUUCCUCACAAAAAUAACACUCGAGGAUAUAAUCGCGAACAAGGGAAAAACCCUAACCUGAGCUCGUUGGACGCAAACGACGAACUGGAGCCGCCGGUGGAGCUUCCAGAGGCGACGGCGGAGGUGGAGGUGGAGGCGGAGGUAGAGGCGGCGACGUGGUCGAGAAUGAAGAGAAAGACACCUUCGCUGUAAUGGGAGCGAAGCGCGCGCACGGAAGGUUCAAACUGGAGCUCGCUGGGCUCAGAUGGCGGAUCGGAGCCACCAAUGGGCUAUGGAACGCAACGGGCGGAGGCGGAGGUGGAGGCGGCGGCCCAGUUCGUCCGACAAAUGGAGAGAAGGCUGGGAUUGAGAAGGAAGAGAGCGAGGGAGAGGAGAGAGAGGGAAUUUUAAAAUUUCUUUUAGGUCCUACUGUACACGUGGCGAGACUUGAGUGGACCCAUCCUGUUGCCGAUUUUGCGAGUCUCUCCCACGCAACAUUUUCUAGCGGGUCUGGCUUUAUAAAAGGAUUCAACAAAACCGCUUGAGAAAAAGCCUGUCUUGCCCGGUGGAAAACGAGAAUGUUGUAACCUAUAAUUUAUCUAGUAGCAUUGGGAAUGAGCUGACGCGACGGAGAUCCGGGGCGCAUGGUACCCCGUCAAAAUGUUGGGGAAUGGAAAAUUGAAGGCCGGAUGCAAAAUGUUCUCCAUAAACAUCCGACCUGAAACUAACAAAAUAUGUGGUGAAAUUCAAAGAAUGUGAUACUUCUACCAAAUGUUGGCUACAUCAUUGAGAGUGAGAGAGCUGGAAAAACUCACUAGCAUUGAAUCCCAGGGUCGUUUAGCAGUGCUUCACGUGGAGGGCUUUCCCUCCUCUCUGUGCUAGAGAUAGCAAGGCCUUCGGUACUGUAGACCUAGAUUGAGAGGAAGAAGAUGGCUGGAAGGACCUCAAACAUGAGAAUGAGGACCGACAUGUGCAAAGCGUGAUGAUUGGAGUCGGGAGCUUGAGCCGACCAUUUGAUCGUCUUGAAAAACAACUCAGAAUGAAUAAGAUAUAGUAACCGACAGAACCGUUUGAAUAGUUGUUAGGUUGAUGGCUGGGCUAAAUGUCUCCAAUAAAUCAAUGCCAGCUUAAAAACCUUGUGCUUCCGAACAAGCUUUGUAAUGUUCUUCAUACCCAUCCGACUUCUGCUUGAUUUUGUAAAUCCUAUACGACAAAAAUCAUCUUUAGAGGGAUCAUGAGGCACGAGUCCCAUGUUUCAAUUUAAGCGCUUGAUGCAUGUAUCGCCCGCACGAAGACAAAGUCACCAUUGGGUUGGGAGAGUGGCGGAGACGAGUAAGAAAUUUGCUUCGAAGGCAGUUGGAUUGAUAGAUGGACUAGGAAAAUAUUCAUUUAAUUGAGAAAAUGAUUAAUUUUCAGUGAGUUUUGAUCGUCAACAUGACUCUUUUUUUAAAUACUCACUCAACAUCCGUCACAUACUUCACUUGAUAUAUUAAUCUAUUGAUCACAUUCUAGAAUGUCCGACGCGUGACUUUAAUAAUUUUCAGUCGAUACAAGCCAAACAUGGCCCCAUCUCCCCUCAUUGUGCGAUAGUUGAUAAUCUGAUGAGGUAUCCCAACUUUGAAAACAUUAAUUUCCAAAGUUUAGUUUGAUGGAGGGGUGAUGUGAUUCAAAGACAAAAUCUAUCGCAAUUAAGCCAAAUAUUUAACUAUUUUCAUCAUCCGUCAACUAUGCUUAAUGGCUCCAUGAUAAGUGUAAAUCACCAUGAAAAAAUCAUACAUGUAGCCGGUUGACAUAUGAAUAGCUUUCUUGUCAAUCGCAGGAGUGCGGAAAAUACUUCUAAUUUUUCAGUCAAUAAUGUUCGUGUGGGUCAAUCAUCCGCUAUGUUUGCCAAAGAGUGACCCUUGUUAACUCCCAAGAGCCUCAGCUAUUCAUUUUGAGUUGGACGAUCAAUAUCUUCACAAUAGGCAGAUUUAAAAUAUGGAACUUUGAGCAAUGAAAACUUUUUACACGAUUAGCCACCUUAAACAGCUCUAAGCUCACAAUACGCAGAGAUAGCCACGGUUUAAGACAAACCCUCCACUGGCCAAAUUUGUUGGACGCAAAACUGCAACCCCAAGAUCUCCAUAACCAGAACAAGAGCACAGAUGAUUGAAUAGAAAGAUCAACGCACCUGUUUUGAAAUCUAUCGUUCAAGCGGAAAAGCGAGAAUCCACACUCAAGUCAUUCUCUUAUUACCCUUUGUAUCACUGGCUCAAUGAGACGGCCCCCUUACCCUUUAGCGCUAGGUUAAUGCUCCUUAUGUGAGGAUACAUGUGAGAAUUCGGAUUAAAAGAGAGACUUAAGCACUAUUCAUAGAAUUUUCAACCAGACCCUCUCAUUAUGGGUCAGGCUCAACUCGGCCUAUACUAACCAGUCCCAUAUUAUACUAAUUAAGAAACCUUCUAUCUCAUCUUAGACCAAACCCCGUAAAAUGAUAAAUUAUAAUAUCAAUUAAUGUAGUCCACAUCAGAAAUUUUUUUACAGAAUUCAGAAGCAAAGCUCAAACUUUGAUCUCCACAGGAGCAACGUCAGGCGUGUCUCAAGGGCCAAGGCCCGGGGGCAAUAGACAUUGGCAACGAAUUCUAGUACUUUCAUCGCAAGAGAUGUAUUUUUCGCGAAGAAAAUAUUUUGUGACAAAACUGUAAAAGAUAGACGCUCAAUGGUGACGAAUUGUGUUCCGUGGCUAAAGGCCAACCGCUUGCAAUGAAAAUUUCGUUGGCUAUUGUCGCUUUGCAAUGCGAAAUGUCAUGGCUAAUCAUAUUGGGGCACGAAAAAGUUCGUGGCCAAUGCCUCAAAUUCAGCAAUAAUUAAGUCAGCUUCACCAAUGAAAUUUUCUUAGCUAAAAAUUUGCGAUGAUAAAACAUUACAUAGCGUGUUAUGAAAAUUGAAUUCCAUAAAAUAUUUAGCCAAACAUCAGGAAAUAUUAUCAUUUUCUCAAUUGACUCCUGAAUUUUCGCUGAUAAACCCAGCACACAUUUGGGUAGAAAAUAUAAUUGUAGUUAAGAACAAAAUAAAAUAAAUAAUUACAAAUGAAAAGAGAGAGAGAGAAAAUAAGAUGGUAAAACUCAAGCUCGCCAGAUGAAAGUAAUCAAUCUAGUCGAAUCCGUGCAACCACUUCGGCCCAAAACUCAUCAAAUAGGUAAAAGCCCGCUCACCAGACCCGUGAAGCUUCAGUCCACACUUCGCACAGGCCCAUAGUCGCAAGUCUGAGCUGAAGGAACCAAGCCCACAGAGGAUUUGCGUUUUCUCCCUCUCUCGCCCGAAGCUCCAUCUCCACCAUUCGAGUUUCACAAUGGCCGAUUCUAGUAUUCCGUCAUCUCCGCUGCCUCGCAUCGGCUUCUCCGGUCCUCAGACGUAACUCUUCCAGUUCCUCCCACGGGGAAAAGCUUUCUGAAUCGUGCCGAUAGCUCUGCGGUUCCAGCGUCGACUCGUCUUGAAUUUACUGCAUUCCCUUGAAGCUUCUCAAUCUCACUUGAACUGGAGCCAAUCGGAGCCAAGCGCCUCCCUCGGUCGACGACUUCGUUAUCGUUCGUUUUUGUCACUGCCUCCUCCUUCGGUUUCUAUCAUCUUCGUUCCCCGAUGGAGGAGAAUAGCCGUGACUGAAACUCGAUGAGAAUUGGAUUCUUCACUUCGAGCUCUUCAUCAUUCGGUUACUGCUACAAUUUUGAAGGUAAGUUCUCGCUCAUUCUCUGGAUUUCAUUUUUCAAUUCAGUCGGUAGCAUUCAUUCUCGGUCUUUUUCUGAAUUUCCAGAGAUUUCUUCAUCGAAAUUUCUUCUUUAUUGCCCUCCGGACACUGUCAGCCACUGCCAACCACAACCAAUCGUCACCGUUCCCAUUUCCACGGCCGCCGUUGGAAGCUCUGUUCGCCCCUGUUCUCGUUCACCAUUGCUGAAGUGCUCGGACCGCGGUCACCACCGUCUCUCGUGACGGUUCCAUUUCACGAAGCUGCUUCUGCGAUCACCUUACUAAGGUCCGAUCAUUAAUUGCCACAGGUAAUCAUCCUUUAUUCAAUCGAAUCCCAUGUGCUGCGUGUCCAGUUGCUCUACGUACAGACUAUUGCAUGGGUAAAAUCUACUAAUUGCUUUGUGAUCAUCUCGUUCACAUAACUGAACUGUAUUGAUAUACAUAUUUGAGGUUGAGGUGCUUUUCUGUAACUUCAUAUCAGAAUUGUGCAGUGCGGGCUUGAGCCGAGACAUUCAUCAGUAUAUUUGUCGACUUACUUUCGUCGAUUUGUUCAAUGCAUGCCCGACCGUUGCUCUCAACACGUUGUGCUGAUCAACGCUUUAUAGAAGUUGCGCUUGGAUUUGCUGGAACCAGCUUAUACUCGACUGUUCAAGUUGAGCACCAUACUUGCUAUUAGCAAAGGUGGUCACUGCAGCAACCAUCUAGUUCGUGAAUAAUUCCCCUAGAAAUGAAAAAAUAGGUGCAGUUCUUAAGAGAAACGGCCGCGGUCCGUGAAAACAAGAUGAGAAAAAGAGACAAUGUACCUGAUAAACCCGUGUAGAGGUUUAACGAGCCAUGGUAAAGCAGAAAAACCAGAUGUCACAGCUGUGUAGUCAAGUGCAAACAGAUUGUUAUGUUAAUCCUGAUAAGUAUCGGAGCAAACUGAAGCUGUUCAUGUCACGCCCCGACUCUCGGUCACGUGACCAUCCUCCAUGCUUAGUCGAUUUUAUUAUGCGAUAUCCCCAGGACUACAUAUCGCCGACCCUGUCCUUUUUAAUAGCACAUGCGGAAGCAGUUAUAAAAAUCCCCAUACAAUAAAACAAUGGGAUAUACAAGUAGGACUAGAAACCUGAACCUGAAAACCACAUCCUUAUGUACAUAUAUACACUUCAGGUCUAACAUCUAUUCACAUGCACACAAGAUUUGACAAGACAGGACGGGAUCUCAAUCCUCAUCCAGGUCGUACUCGGGGUUAUCCUCGGAGUCCUCCUCCACGUACUCCUCUUCAAGUUCCUCAACAGGGAUCUCCUCAUCAGAUUCAUGCUCCUUAGGCUCCUCAUCUAGGUCCUGAAAUGGUUAUUCAAUAACCACUGAGACAACGUCUCAGCAAGUUCUACCCCUUAAGACCCGAUUAGUAAACUAAUACAUCUUAGGGCUGCCUAUGCACAACAUGAGUCAGAGGACUUACCUUGGCCUCAGAUUCCACCUGCAUAUUAGCACAAAUCAAUAGGCACCCAAGCAAUCACAUCACAGAUCGAAGCAUCGAUCAAAUCGACCUAGUUAAUUACAUGUCAACAAGACCACUCAAGGUCAUUUCCAUCCAAUCGAUCAAUUCACAAUAUCAAAUCAAGGCAAUGAAUCACAUCAAAUCACACUCAGAUCGAAUCAUCGAUCAAUCGACUUAGUUGAUUACACACUAACAAGACCACUCACGGUCAUUCCCAUUCAAUCAACCAAUUCACAACAUCAGAUCAAAACAAUGAUCAAUCGACCUAGUCGAUUACAUGUCAUUCGGAUCACCUCUCGGUCACAUCAACACCAUACUUUAUAAUCCCCAUUCGAGUACUCAGUCACAGAGCCAGAUGAAUGCUCUCGGGCGUCUUUUUCGCCAAGGUGACGUACCAAUUACCGAUCACGAUAAUCUCCAGCAGUACACUUAGUCACAGAGCCUCAUUAAUGCUCUCGGGCGUCGUUUUCGCCAAGGUGACAUAAGUAACAGACGAUCUACAUGCGUUCUUUAAGGCGCCGUUUUCGCACAGUGAUAUUCCUCAUCACCGAACCACGCCCGUCAUAGGUCACAAAUCACUGACAGUCUACGUGCGUUCUUUAAGGCGCCGUUUUCGCACAAUGAUGUCUUUCAUCACCGAACCACACCUGUCAUGAUUUAUAGGUAGUCUACGUGCGUUCUUUAAGGCGCCGUUUUCGCACAGUGAUAUCCUUAAUCACCGAACCACGCCUACCAUAAGUCAUAGACAGUCUACGUGCGUUCUUUAAGGCGCCGUUUUCACACAGUGAUGUACUUUAUCACCGAACCACGCCUGUCUAUACUUCGUACUUGAUCGGUCUCAGCCAAUAGAAUUCUCAGUUAGCUCUCACCACUCUCUCCACUUACAACUCAACAAGGCAUUACAAUUGCUAACUAGCCAUACUUGGCCAUCUACCAAUCAAUAAUUCAAUUUCACUCAAUUUCAAUCAAUUAAGGAAUAAUUCCAUAAAUUGCACAAUCAAUUUAAUUAAGCACAACGUGGAGUUCAAAUAAUAAAUGGACUGUACCACGACAAUCAGCAUGAAAUUCUGGUCACCGGCCAUCCCAGUUGAAUUUCCGGAAAAUAAAUAAUUAAAUAAUUAAUUUCGAAACUUAAAUAAAUACAUACAAUAAAUACCAUUUAGCAUAAUAUAAAACUCAAUUAAAUAAACGGACUGCGCCACGAUCAUCAGCAUAAAGUCCCGGUGACUGGCCAUCCCAGUUGAAUUUUCGGAAAACUAAAUAAUUAAAUAAUUAAUUUCGAAAAUUAAUAUUUAAUUCUUAAAAAUACCAUUUAGGUCUGAAUUGCCUAAUUAACACCCGAUAAGGGUCGGGAAAAAUCCCACGAAGCAUCCAAUAAAUACUAUAAGCAAUUCUCUAUCCACGUACACUAAUUAUUUCACUAAUAUGCAAUGAAAUUAACUAAUAAUUGCUAAUCCAUUCUAAUCUAACAACCUAAUUACACUUAAUUAACACUAAUCAACCUUUAAGUAUAAUUAGCGCACUGAGAAGGCAUUAGUGAGUAAAACUCACUCAAAACGAUGGGCUCGACGCUAGGAUCGACUUUCCUCAAAGCGGGCCGAGCAUCCGGGCUCGGGAAGGUGGCCAAAACGGGCCAAAACCCACUGUCAUACCCAUUUUCUGCAACCCUCUGAUAGCUGCUGGUCGGGGCAGAUUCAGGGCUGGUUGAGGCGGCCAAGGGCGGCUGAGGGCGAGGCGGAGCUUCGGCUAGGCCGACGGUGGCCGGAGGAGGUCGGGCGGUGGCCGGAGGCGGCUGAACGGGACCGAACAGACGCGGCAAGAGCUAGAUAGCAGCUCUGGACGUCGGCCAAGCUAGGGACGACGCGGCUGAAGGCGGAGACGUGCGGGCGGCGCUCGACGACGACUUCAGCUCCGGUUGCUUGCUGCGGCGGCGAGGGAACUUACUGCUUCGGCUUGCUCUGAUCUUCACACGACAAGGGCACCGAACAGCAGAAAGAGGGCAGAGGAGAGAAGCGGAGGUGCGCGCGGGUGGGGCGAAGUAGCGACGACGGCGGCGCGGCAGCUCCGGUGGCUUGCAGGGGCGCGACGACGGCGGCGGCGGCAAGAGGCGGCGAUUGCAGCUUAGUCUUCGCUGGUCUUCGGCUCCCAUGGAGUUUUGAAGAAAAAGAAGAAGAUGGGGGAUGCGUUCGGUCGACGGAGGGGAGAGGGGAGGAAGAAAAAUUCAAUUUCCCCUCUUCCUCUCACACACUCUCUCUCUUAGGUCAUCACACAUGGGCCACCAUGACCUAAUAUGAUGUCAUCUUCCACUCACCAUUUCUUGACAAUUAUACCCCUUCUAGAAGCAUUUAGGUAGGCCAAAGUGUGGGGGUAGAGGUGGCAUACGAAUUUUGCUAGGGUUUCUUUCCAAAUUGAACCUUAAUCCCACUUGAAUCAAAUCAAUUUGACCCCUAUAAUUUCAUUCAAUAUUUCAUCGAUCAAAUUGGUACUUUUUCUUAUCAGUAUAGCCCACUUGUAUCCCGAAUUCACAAUCUCUGGCUUCAACUGAACAAAACAGCCCUAUUUAUCCAGUCAAAUUAAAACCCAAAAAUCUGGAUGUCGCAGUUCAGCUGCUUAGAAAGAUACUCCUUUGUAUUAAGAUGCCAAGAAAAAGAAAAAGAAAAAACACCAAGGCCACAACCAGACUUCUUAAGUACGCGCGUUUCUCUCUUCAUACUGCUGGAACAUACGAAUUAGAUGUUCUCGAAGGAGUCCUAACCAAGCCCACAACCUGACUCACUGAUUGAAUGUUCUCUAUUUUAUUUUGUGGGUUUUCGAUUGUUGAAUUGACUGAAUUGACAACCUCUUGUGAGAAUCUUCUUGGAUGGACUUCGGUUGUGAGGGUAAUCAGACUCGGUUUCCUUCAUUAAUCGAACGGCAGAUUUUUUAUUAGUUUGGCUUUUAGGUAGGGCUUCCGGGUGAAUUUGAAUUCAAUGCGUGUCACGCCCUAAACCUUGAGCGCGCCAACAUCCCGCCAUGGUCAUGCAAAUGCGACAUUCCCAGGUAGUGUCGCCGACCCCAUUUAUUUUAUUAUUGCGCAAGCGGAACGUAUUAUAAAACCCCUGACAAUAAAAUACGGGAUAGAAAAGCAGGAAGCAAAAUCACAAUCAAUCACUUUCAUGAUUCAACAGAAUUACAAAUAGAGUUCUACGGCCAACAGUCUACAAAAGACCGGCUCAAAAAAAGGAAUUGUCCUACGAUAUACAAGUCGGACACAUUCACCAAUCCUCAUGACUUCACCUCUGCAACUCCUCAAGGCCAACCAAAGCUAUCUAGCCGCUCCGUCCACUAGGGACCUGAAAUUUUAAUCCCCAAACCGGGAUGAGACAAUGUCUCAACAAGUUCAACCCCCUAAACCCCUAUUAGAAAGAAAAUACACCCCGGGUGACCUAGCCUCAUCACACAGAAGACUUACCUCGCAUUAGCCUCCAUCUGCAUGUUAGCACAAUUUAUAUAAUUCAAUCACGUACAAUUAUGAUAACCAAACAACCAUGGCACAAUCACAUCAUCAUAACAAUUCAACCACUUGGAUCGUCUCAGCGAUCAAUCGACUCGGCCGAUUACAUGUCAUUCUAGCAAAUUAAUCACUGCUCUCAAUCACAGCCCUAUAGGAAGGUUUAACAACCAGUGGCAAUCACGGCCCCACUCGGCAAGAUUAGAAUUAGUGGCAUCACGGCCCCACUGGGCACGACCUUUAUCAGGUGGCAAUUCACGGCCCCACUGGGCGCGACCUCUAAUAGAUGGCAUAUCACGGCCCCACUAGGCACGACCUCUAAUAGGUGGCAUAUCACGGCCCCACUGGGCGCGACCUCUAAUAGGUGGCAUAUCACGGCCAAUCGCCCAUCAAUUUCCACACUUAGGAUUUUAUAAAGAAGAUCCCUAUUUAUCACAAUCACACUCCAUUUACCACAAUCAAUCAUCAAAUUCAAAUUCUAAAUACACAGCAGCGAUUGGCACGAAAUUCUGAGAGUUUAGGAUCCUGACAAAAUUUUCGGAAAUUUAAUAAAUAAUUAAAUUUAUUCCGAAAAUAAUUAAAUAAUAAUAUCCAUAUUUUUUUCACGGUCCACACUCAAUUUAUAAUAUCCAAUCAUCAAUUUCAAAAUCUGACUACACAGCAGCGAUCAGCACGAAAUUCUGAGCAACCGGAGUCAAAAAUAAUUUUUCCGUUUUUUUUAAUAAAUAAUAAUAUUUUAAUAAUUUCGGAAUAUAAUAUAAUAUUAUAAAUUCCAGAAUUCGAAAUCAUUAAAUAAUUCAAAAAUAAAACCCUAUUAUGUCACAUCAAGGUUUAUUAUUAAAUAAACUCUCUUAGCCUUUAAUUAAGCAUACUUUAAAUUAAACCAACAUCUUAAUCUAAUUCACAAUUAAAUAAACUAAACUAAUCACCUAAGCUUACUUAACUUAGGCUAAGCACACUUAGGGCAUCAUUAACCGUUUAAUCGAGAUUUAGUGAGCUAAACUCACCGGAUUAGCGAGCCGAGCGGACCAAAACGACGAGGACAACGCGAGGAUCGACUUUCCUCAAGAUGGGCCGAGCAUCCGAGCUCGGGAAGGCGGCCGAAAUGGGCCAAGAGCGGGCUGCAAUAUCCAUUUUCUACAGCUGCUGCUUUAGGGCUGGAGGAGGCGGAUCCGGCACCGAAAUGGGCGGAGGAUUGGGGCAGCAGCUCGACGGUGGCUUGGACGGGCGAGGCGGCGGCCAGGCGAGGCCUCAUGGCGGCGGGGACGAGCUCCGGUAGCUCCUGGAAUGCGCGAACAGGGGCAGACAGAGGCGGCUGGGCGUCGGCCAAGCGCGGGCGAGCGCGGGCGAACGGGCAGCGACGGUGAGCUCCGGCGAACGGGCAAUGAGCGACGGCCAUGGCUGCAGCAUUCUUCGGCAAGCUUAGAUUUGAUGGGUCUUCGAGCAAGAACCCGAGAUGGAGGAGAGAGGGCGAUGGUGAGCGGACGCGCGGCUGUGCGCGCGAACGGUGGCGACAAUGAGGGCACCGGUGGCGAGCGACGAGCGGCGAAGGAGGCGGACAGCCAGUGACGAGUGGCUGGGUGGCGAAGGACUGCUUCGGCUUCUUCCUCUGCAAAUUUUCUGGUCUUUCCCACAAAGAAGAUGGAGGAGAAACCAACGGAAGGGAGAGAGGAAGGAGAGAAAAGGAGAGAGAAGGAGAGGGAUCACCUCCUUUUCUUUUUCUUUUUCUUUAAUCCACAAAAAUGGCCCACCAUGACCUCAUGCAUGACAUCACACUCCACUAUCUCCCACAACCUUAUUCCAAUGGGUCCAUUUUAUUUUUCCGCCGGGGUCCAAUUCUUGUAUGUCCAAUUUCUUCAAUUCCCAUCAAUUCUCUUCCAAUUGAGUCCAAUUGAAGUCCUUAAAAUUAAUCCAAUGUCACCACACUUCAAUUUACAUCUUCACUUGUCCAUAGAACCAACUUAAGUCCCAAAAGCACGACCAAAGAUGAGCCUACUAAUUUCUUGAGCCAAAUUAGCCAUUCUCUUAUUUAAUUGCUGAAAAACUCUGAUUGCAUGAAAAAUCUUCCAAAGAUGAUUCAAUGAUCCUGAAAUGAUUUGUGACACACCCAGACUUCCAAUUUCUGAAUUCGAUCUCAAUUCCACGGUUAAUUUCACUUUGGCACGAUACCAGCGCGGUCCAACCUACCGGGUAGCCUUUAGAAAUUUUCAUGCAUUUGACCUGUGGUUGAUCAUCUCAAGCCACAAUGUACAUCUUUGAAAAAUUGGCGAAUUUCGGUUGUCGGGGUAAUCUCAAGGUUUCAAAUACGGACACAGGGUACCCAAUCGACAGAGAAGUCGGUCCAAUGCCGAUCGACAAGAAUUGUGCGAUCUGUUGGAAUCACCCAUACUUGAUCACAUGCCUCUGUCGAGUCGACCUAUCUCCGAUCCCUAAUCGAUUUUUAAUUGUGCCGUAAUGACUCUUGCAGAUUAGCUCGGUCGAAAGAUCGCUUCCUGGUCAAAUUCUCGAGUCUAAUGCAUUAGAAUUUCUUAACGACUUCACCCGAUAGACUAGUUUUCACAUGAGUGGCCGACUCAAGGAAAAUAACUAUAUGCGUGCCAAUGAAAUGCCCGUCUCAAUUUAUUGAAAAUAGAAUUGGAAAAUUGGGAUGUCACAAUGCGACCAUGUGAACAUCAUGUUGAUGUAGCUAAUUUGAAAUUAAUAUGAUUUGACUCUUUUUUGAUACUUUUGGCAAAAAGCGCGAUUCCUCGUAAUAAUCAAAAUUAAAAUAUUUAUAUUGAAAAUUUCAUGAUAAGAGAAAAUAUUUUUCAUGAAAUUUUGAUUUGUUUAACUGUUUAAAAAAAGAGAGAGAUUUCCUUGUCAGAAGGAAAUGAGGUUUUUCCCCAAUUUAAACUUGUUGCUUUUCAGAAAACAUUUUUUAUAAAUUGAUUAAUUUUCCGUCAUCUAAACAUUAAAAAGUCAAAAAGCAAUUUCAUGAUAAAAAAAACUUUCCUUUGAACAAACAAACCCUAAGUUUAAGUAAGUUCAGCAAACUAUUUAAAAAGAAAGGAUCAUGUAACUCUGUUAGGAGACCUACUAAGAGAGGUUGGCAAGAGGCUUUUAAACAGGCCCGCUCUCUCUAUUAAUGAGCAAGAUCGGAGUCACUUGUAUCUAAGUUUAAUUCAGUUCAGAGAAGUGCUAAGAUGUUGGCAAGAGGCCCUUGAACAGGCCCUCUCUAUCUCUUUACGAGCAAAAUUAGUGUCACUGAAAUCUAAGCUUAGUUUGACGAGUAAGAAACUAUCAAAAUAUUCAGGAGUAAGACAUGUGCUUAAAAUAUCACUAGAAUUAGAAGAGAUUAUUACGUGAAAUGAUUCCCUAGGAUUCAGGAAUUGGACAUGCUCUUACAAUAUCACUAGAAUUAGAAGAAAUUAUUACGUGAAAUGAUUCCCUAGAAUUACUCCAUGUCACUAGCUAAUCUUUAUAAAUGAAGAUCUUGUCAUUUCAUUGUAAGUUGCAAAAUGUGAAAUUGGUGCGAUUCAGCCCGUCAAAUUAAAAAAAAAAAAAAAAUAGAGAUGUGCUUGUCAUUUUAUAUACAGUACAGGUAGUUACAAUCAAAUCCGUUGCAAAGUAGACAUGAACGCUGAAAAGCUUACAUAUCAGAAAUUGAAAACCACUGACCAGUAAAAUUACAUAACAAAACUUGUAAAUUGAAAUAUAAAUAACAAAACAUAUAUUAAAGAUACUCUGAUAAUAACCCUAAAUUUGAACCAGGUGCCACCACAAUGAGAUUGUCCUUCAAAAGAUUAAACCAAUCAUAAGAUAAUUUAUAAAAGUGUCAGCUAACUAAUUAGCAAUUGGAAUACAUAUUGAAAUAAUUUCACCAGAUGUGAUUUUGUCCUGAAUAUCAAUGUGCUUGGUGUGAGCAUGGAAAGCCAGAUUAGCAGCUAAAUAAGUGGCUCUAAUAUUAUCACAUAUGAGUUACAGCCGGUUUAGGUGAAAAUACAUGAAGAUCAUAUGACAUCUCUCAAAUCCAAUAAGUUUCCGCAACUGCAGAGGCGAAAACUCCAGUAUUCAGAUCCCGCAAUGUAAUAUUGUACCCAAUAAAAGCUAAGUAUCCAGAUGCUAAGUGAUGAGUAUCGGGACAACCGACCCAAGAGCAUGAGUUAAUGUUACCAAGGAGAUGUCGAAUGAUGGCUUCAAUAACAGUCCAUGAUCAAUGGAUCCAUUAAAAUAUAUAAAAAUGAGCUUAAUCGCUUGUAAGCGAGAUGUUUGAGGGCAAAUGCAUGAACUGAUCCUCCACACGGGCAGCAUAAGAAAUGUCGGUAGGAUCCAUCAGUAACACACCCUCAUGUAAAGAAGGUUGAGACUUAAAACUGUAGAAGAUUCCUAGUGUAAUGUGUUUGAGACAGCAAAAUUCCCGUACCUCUGGACUGGUCCUCAACGCCAAGGAAGAAAUGCAAUGGAAAAAAACUUUCGUGGUAAAAGCAAAAAGAAGUUUCCGAAUGAAACUAUGUAACUCUGUGGCACUACUACCUGUUAAAAGAUUAUCAUCAACGUGACGUAGUAGAAUCAAGAUUAUAGAGCCUGAAUUAUGCAAAAUAUGGAGUUAUAUGCCUUGCUGUAAAUAAAAGAGUUCGAAUGCUUAAGGGAGAACUCGCCUUUGACCCAAAAGAGGUCUAUGAACAUGCGAAAACUAGUGCCAAACACAAUAAUUCGAAUCUGGUUCCAACAUUGUGCAGUAAACUUCAAAAUUUCAUCCCGACCAUACCGUAAUCCCAAGUUGACUUCCAUAAAAUUCCAUAGUUUUAUGGCACACCAAAGUUUCAUUACAACAUGAUUUCAUAGUUCAACAACCUCUAGAAUCAGCCUAGUAACCUAUAACUAGAAUGGAAUUGAAAUUGCAGCUUAACCAAAAAAAAUUUCUUCAAUUGUGUGAAUUAAGUCUUUGAAUUCUUCUCAAGCACUUCGUGUACCACAUUAAUCCAACACAUUACGAUAUUCUGAUGAACUAGAACUUGAACCGAACCCUUUCUGUCUCUACCGCGCAGUUCACUUCUCUUUUCCAGUUUUCUUGAUUCUUCUUUCUCCCUCUUAACUAUUCCUCUUUUCUCUAAUAAGCCAACUACAACAAUUAUAACUAAGCUGAAGGAAGUUAGUCUGUUGGGCUUCAAAGAUGCAGCCUCAUGGGCGUAAUAAAUGAGAAUUGGUCUCUUGAGCCCAAGUCCCUUUUUUUUUUUUUCUUUUUUUAAGGGAAGACUCUAUUGUUAUGGUAGCAACUCUUGUUAAAGUCUUAGACAUGGGAUGGGAGAAAAUUUUUGAAUGAACCCAGAGCAUGUGAGUCUAACUCACAUCCACUAUUGAAUGAUGUGAGCUCCACAUUGAACCCAACUUUCACGGUGCAAUGUGAGAAAUUGUGAAUCCCGGAAUUCAUUCUUUUCAUUGUGAAUCUAUCUAUAGAUUAAGUUAGUUAAGUCAUUAGGUAAUUUAAGGUAAUUGGCUGUGAUGGUUAGUCCAUCUAGUAGCACCAACUGCUACUGUGACGAUGGAAUGAGUCAUCCUACGGAGCUGUUGACGACAGCAACAUGCCAUUGGCUGUUGGAUGGGUGGCGCUCUCUAUGUCCCCCCCAUUCUUUAUUUUUAUUUUUUCAUUUUCAGUUUCUUGCUCUUUUUUUUCUUGUUCGCUUUUCGUUUUGCCUUUUUUCUUUUAUCAUACUUGAACUUGUAAACAUACAGUAAAACCUAGAAAAAAUUCUAAUGGACAAGUAUAAUAGAGAUUAAUAUAAUGAAAAACUCUAUAUGAUUAAACAUGAAAAUAGUACAACAAAAAUUAUAGUAUUGUUAAUUUCACACGUAACACAUGGAAAUUUUACUAGCAAUGGAAAAAAAAAAUGACAUUCACAUUGUGAUGAACAAGAGAUGUGAAAAGUGGAGGAACAAAGUCAAUUUGCAUCCUGCAAAGUCUUGGUCUUCUUGGAAAUGAUUUUUCUCCCAUUACCACUUUUUUUUUUUGAGCAAAGUCUAGGUCUUCAUGGUUGAUUAAAUUUUUUCUCCCAUUGUCACUUUUUUCGCAAAGUCUUGGUCUUUUUAGAAAUGGUUAAAGUUUUUCUCCCAUUAUCACUUUUAUUUUUUCGCAAAGUCUUGAUCUUCGUGCAAUUGAUUAAAGUUUCUCUCUCAUCAUCACUUUGUGUCUUGCAAAGUCUUAGUUUAUUUGGAAUUUAUUAAAAUUUCUCUCCCACCAUCACGAAUUUGUAUUAAAGUGCUUCACUUUUGCUUCACAUGUUUGUGUGGAAAUUAUGUAAUUUUGCUUCAACUUUCCCAAAAAAAAGGCACAUGAUAUCUAGCAAAAUCUUUGGGCAUAUUCUCUAAAUAUUGUGAAAAAAACACUUGUGGAUAAAAAGUAUUUUAUAUCGAUUUCUCUAACCUCUACGUGCGUUUUUGAAAGUCUUGGUCUCCCUAUAGUUUGUAGUUUUCUCUUUCCAUUAGCUCAUUAUCACUCAACCCUUGUUUUUCUCUUUAGUGACUGAUUCACCCAUGACCAUUGGAGAGCUCUUUUUGAGUUCCUUCUUGGCUUCCUUCUUGUACUAAUUUCUAGUAUUGUUAAUUUUAAGCAAGACAUGUAGCAUGUGGAAAUUCUACUAGUAAUAGAAAAAGAGACAUCAACGAAGGGAUGGAAGAGGAGGGAUGUGAAAAGUGAAGCAACAAAGACAAUUUGCGUCCUGCAAAGUCUUGGUCUUCCUAGCAUUGAUUAAAGUUUCUUUCCCAUUACCGCUUUUUCCCUCUAGCUUCACAUUUUACACAAAAAACUUGAUGAGAUCUAGUAAAGUCUUGGUCUUCCUAAUACACCAAGUAGCUUGAGUUAGAUGGAAGAGUGUAUGUUUUGAUGCACAUUAUGUCCUUGAGUUAGAUUGUUCUCCUUUUUUUUCUUUUGGCCAAAGCUCGUGAUUUUAUCUUCCUUAUCAAACAAACAAACCUAACGGCCUUGGAGGACUUAUGGAUGCAUAACAGAAAAUAAGAUGCCAUUGUUGGCUUUAUCCUCAAUAAUUUAGGUUUCAAUUACAUCGACAAAGUGGGGAUCCUUUGAUGCGAUUUUGGCCCCAUGAUGCAUGAGGAACUGUCGGGGAGGCAUAUGUUGGCACGAGAUGGCUAGCUGCAGAGUUCUUGCAACAAGUACCAUGUCAUGAUGGAGUUUGACAUAAUUUUGAGCCUUCGGAUGUAGAUGUCUAGGUUCAAAUUCAUUAUAUGGUGUUAAUUCAAGUCUCAAAUUGUUUGUGUACGAGCUCCUGAUAGUGCAUGAUUGUAAAUUCUCUAGAAUCAUUAUAAUCAGCCUAUACACCAACACAUAAUACUAAUUUGCUUCAAGUAAUAUUAGAGGAAAUGCAUAAUACUAAUUUGUAUGCUCACUCCAAAUAAGUUGGUUGAAUCGCUCUUAAAAUUCUAAAAUCAUAGAUAAUCUAGAUCCAUUGUCUAGAAAAUAUUCCAUAUGAAAUGGUUUGUUCUCCCCAUUGAAAAAAGAAAAACCAAUCUUGCUUUAAGAAAGCAAAAUUCAUGCAAGACAUGCUAGACUCCAACUUGACGUGAUUCGAUGGCUCUCUCUCUCUAUCUCUCUCUCUCUCUCUCUCUCUCUCUCUCUCUCUCUCUCUAAUUGGUUAAUUGGUUAAACCCCUUGAGUCGUUCCAUAUCCACACACAUUACAUGUUCCAUUCAUGCAUAUUUAGAUUCUCGACUUUUGUUAAUUCUUAAAACCUACAAUAUCUAAAACAUGAUUGAGGAAAGCAUUCAAAAUAGUAUGGACUAAAUUUAUGAUAACAACCAGGGCCAAACACAAUAGUUCGAACAUGGUUCCGACAAUACACAAUAAGCUACAAAAUUUCAUCCCAACCAACCAUAAUUCUAAGUUGACUUCCAUAAAAUCUCAUAGUUUCGUGAUACACCAAAGUUUCAUUACUACAUGAUUUCAUAGCUCAACAACCUUUAUGAUCAACCUAGCCACCUACACCUAAAACCAAAAGGAAUUGAUAUUACAGCUUAAUCUAGAAUAAUUUCUUCAAUUAGGUGAAUUAAGUUUUUGAAUUCUUAUCAAGCACUUCUUGUACGACAUUAAUCCAACGCAUUAAGAUGUCCCCAGCGAGCUUGAACCGAACCCUUUCUCUCUCUAGUGUGCGGUUCACUUCCCUUUUCCAGCUUCUUGAUUCUUCUUUCUCCCUCUUAACUAUUCCUCUUUUCUCUGAUUAGCCAACUACUACAAUUAUAAUUAAGCUAAAGGAAGUUAGUCCGUUGGGCUUCAAAGAUGCAGCUUCAUUGGGUGUAAUAAAUAAGAAUUGGGCCUCUUGAGCCUAAGUCCUUUUUAUUUUUUUAAAAGAAGGGAAUGAUUAUUUUGUUGGGGUAGCAACUCUUGUUAAAUCUUAGACACAGAAUGGUGGAAAUUUUUUUAAUGAUCCCAGAGCAUGUGAGCCCAACUCACAUCCACUAUUGAAUGAUGCGAGCUCCACGUUGAACUCAACUUUUGUUUUACUAUUUUCAUGUUUAAUCAUAUUGGGGUCUUUCAUUAUAUUAAUCUUUGUCGUACUUGUCCAUUAGAAUUAUCUCUAGGUUUUCCUUUAUGUUUACAAGUUUAAGUUUGAUAAAAGAAAAAGGGCAAAAAGAAAAGCGAACAAGAAAAAAACAGCAAAAAACUGAAAAAAAAAAAAUUUAAAAAAGGAAUGGGGCCACAUAGAGAGCACCACCCAUCCAACGGCCAAUGGCAUGCCGCUGUCGUCAGCACCUCCAUAGGAUAACUCAUUCCAUCGUCACUGUUGCAAACUUGUAGUUGGCACUACUAGCCGGAUGUAGAUGUCCAGCUUCAAAUUUAUUAUAUGGUCUAAAUUCAAGUCUCAAAUUGUUUGUGUACGGAUUUCUGAUGGUGCAUGAAUGUGAAUUCUCUGGAAUCAUUAUAAUCAGCCUAUACACCAACGCAAAAUACUAAUUCGCUUAAGGUAAUAUUAGAGGAGAGGCAUAAUACUAAUUUGUGCGCUUACUUAGAAUAAGUAGAUUGAAGCGCUCUCAAAAUUCUAAAAUUAUAGAUUAUACAGAUCCAUUGUCUAGAAAAUAUUCCAUACCAAUUGGUUUGUUCUUCCCAUUGAAAAAAGAAAAACGAAUCUGCCUUAAGAAAGCAAAAUUCAUGCAAGACAUGCUAGAACCCAACUUGACGUAAUUCGAUGGCCCUCUUUCUGUCUCUCUAGUUGGUUACCCCUCAAGUCAUUCCAUGUCCACACGCAUCACAUGUUCCAUUCGUGCAUAUUUAGAUACUCGACUUUCAUUAAUUCUUAGAACCUACAAUAUCUAAAACAUGAUUGACGAAAGCAUUCAAAAUAGUAUGGACUAAAUUUAUAAUAAACAACUAGUGCCAAACACAAUAGUUCGAAUAUGGUUCCGACAAUGUGCAAUAAACUUCAAAAUUUCACCUCAACCAAACUGUAAUCCUAAGUUGACUUCCAUAAAAUCCCAUAGUUUCAUGACACACCAAAAUUUCAUUACCACAUGAUUUCAUAGCUCAACAACCUCUAUAAUCAACCUAGCAACUUCAAACCCAAAUGGAAUUGAAAUUACAGCUUAAUCUAGAAAAAUUUCUUCCAUUAGGUGUAUUAAGUCUUUGGAUUCUUAUCAAGCGCUUCUUGUACGACAUUAAUCCAACGCAUUAAGAUGUCCCCAGCGAACUUGAACCGAACCCUUUCUCUCUAGCGUGCGGUUCACUUCACUUUUCCAGCUUUUUUUAUUCUUCUUUCUCUCUCUUAACUAUUCCUCUUUUCUCUGAUAUGCCAACUACAACAAUUAUAACUAAGCUGAAGGAAGUUAGUCUGUCGGACUUCAAAGGUGCAGCUCCACAGGCGUAAUAAAUGAGAAUUAGGUCUCUUGAGCCUAAGUCCUUUUUUUUAUAAAAAGAAAAAAGAAAAAAGAAAAAAGAAAAAAAAAAAAGAAAAAAAGAAAGACUCUUUCGUUGCGGUAGCAACUAUUGUUAAAGUCCUAGAUACAGGAUGAGGGAAAAAUUUUGAAUGAACCUAGAGCAUGUGAGCCUAGCUCACAUCCACUAUUAAAUGAUGUGAGCUUUACAUUGAACCCAACUUUUCAUGGUGCUAGUGAGAAAUUGUAAAUCCUAGAAUUCAUUCUUUCCAUUGUGAAUAUAUCUAUAAAUUAAGUUAGUUUAGUCAUUAGGUAAUUUAAGGUGAUUGGUUUGUGAUGGUUAGUCCGGCUAGCAGCGCCAACUGCAACGGUGGCGAUAGGGUUGGAAUGAGUCAUCCUAUGGAGGUGCUGACAACAAUAGCAUGCCAAUGGCCGUUGGAUGGGUGGCGCUCUCUAUGUGGCCCUAAUCCUUUUUUUUUCGUUUUUCUUUUUGCCUUUUUUCUUUUAUCAAAUUUCCAUGGAUGAAAAGCUAGAGAUAAUUCUGAUGGACAAGUACAAUAGAGAUUAAUGAAUGAAAAACCCCAAUAUGAUUAAACAUGAAAAUAAUUAACUGAAAAUUAUAGUAUUGUUAAUUUUACAUGUAACACGUGGAAAUUUCACUAGCGAUGGAAGAAGAGACAUUCACAUGGCAAUGAAUGAGAAAUGUGAAAUGUGAAGGAACAAAGCCAAUUUGAGUCCUGCAAAUUCUUGGUCUUCCUGGAAAUGAUUAAAGUUUCUCUCCCAUCAUCACUUAUUUUCGCAAAGUCUUGGUCUUUGUGGAAUCGAUCAAAGUUUCUCUCCCAUCUUCACCUUUUUUGGCAAAGUCUCGGUCUUUUUGAAAUUGGUUAAAGUUUCUCUCCCAUUGUUGCUUUUUCUUAAAGUACUUCACUGUUGCUUCCUAAGUAGCACCGACACGACACGAUACGUCGACACGUCAUUUCUCAAAAAAUAAAGAAUUCUGACACAUUGAGACACGUUAUAUAUUAAAUAAAUAUUUUUAUAUAUACAUAAUAAAUCAUUAUUUUUAUGAUAAAUUUAUAAAUAAAUAAAUAAUAAAAAAAAAGCCUAAAACGAGCUUACGAGCCCUCUAUCCCGCCUUGACUACCGUGCCUUUUUGGCAAUUCAUUGAAACACACGUUCUCAGAACAAGAUAGGAAUCCUUUUACAUUUUCUUUUGAAAUAAUUGAUAUAAUAAUAUAUUAAUCUAAUGAUUAAUAAAAAAAAUUAAAAAUCUACUCUGACCAUCUCUCUGGCCCUCUUCUUGGGGUUAGACCAAGAAGCUUGCCCUCAACAAAUAACCGUGGACUUUAACCGUCAAGGAACGCGACUGCCGCCCCAAGUGAAAGUAGGGGAUGCCGUUCGUGGAAGCUAACCAUGGUUGCGAUGGGCAAGGUCGAGAUUCCGACGACGGACUUCUAGAUUUGGAGGAUCCUGGCCACAACCGGCUCGUCCAUGGCCCAAGUAGGCGAGAUCGAGAUACGAUUGUGAUUGGGCUCCAUCUUCCCCGUUGUUGCCAUGGUUGUUGCAAAUCUAACUGUUCAGAUCGAAUUUGCAGUGGUGGAGGCGUUGGGUGGGGACUCACUGUUGGGCGUGGCGGCCAUGCUAGUCCUCCACCUCCCGCUUCUCUGCCUCCCUUGAGAACACCAACCCCCACCUCCCCUACGGCGGCACAUGGCGGAAACCCUCAAAAUUCUUCGAAUGCCCCUAUGCAUGUCGAAAGCGUGUGUUGAAAUUUUGGACUCGUGUGUCGGAGCGUAUUGGGAAGAAUUGACAAUGUGUCAGAGCGUGUCAGGACAUGUCGGACACGACACGAAAACUUCUGGAGAGUGUCGAUGCUUUUUAGGUUGCUUCACAUAUAAUGUGUUAAAAUUAUCUACUUUUGCUUCACCUUUCCGUAAAAAAAGAAAAAAGCACAUGAUAUCCAGCAAAGUCUCUGGAAAUAUUCCUCAGAUAUUGGGAAACAAGCACUUGUAGACAAAAUGUAUCUUGUAUCAUUUUCUCUAACCUCUGAUGCGCACCUUUGAAAGUCUUGGUCUUGCUAAAGCUUAUAUUUUUCUCUCUCUACUAGCUCCUUAUCACUCAAACCUUGUUUUUUCUUCAGUGACUCAUUCACCCAUGACCAUUGUAGAGAUCUUUUUGGGUUCCUUCUUGGCUUCUUUCUUAUACUAAUUUCUAGUAUUGUUAAUUUUAAGAAAGACAUGUAACGUGUGGAAAUUCUAUUAGUAAUGGAAAAAGCGACAUUCACAUAGGGACGGAAGAGGAGGAAUGUGAAAAGUGAAGCAACAAAGCCAACUUGCAUCCAGCAAAGACUUGGCCUCCUUGGAAUUGACUAAAGUUUCUAUCCCAUUGUCACUUUUUCCUACUUGCCUCACUUUUUACACAAAAAAGUUGAUGAGUUCCAAUAAAGUCUUGGUCUUCCUAAGGUGCCAACAAGUUUUGAGUCACACCGGAGAGCGUAUGUUUUGUCGCUUUGGCCAAAGCACAUGAUUUCGUUUUCUUUGUCAGACAUAUAAACUUACCCAUCUUUGGUGACUUGUAGAUGUAUACAAAAAAAAUAAGAUGCCAUUGUUGGUUGUAUCCUCAAUAAUUUAGAUUUCAAAAACAUUGACUAAGUCAAACUAACUUGAUUUCUACUCUUUACCUUGUAUAAUGCAGGAACAAUAAACUUCAAAUAAUUAAAAUAUAUUUAUUUAAUUGAAAACUCAAGAUUUAGAAAAUAUUUUCAAAAAAUUGACUUAGUUUUUUGAUUUAUUGCUCACAAAAAUGAACAAAUCAAUUUUUUUCACCAUUUACCGAAAUAGGUAGGUAUAAAUUGAUGUUGGCAAUGAAAGAUAUCUUGUGUAAAAAAAAAAAAUGAAAGAUAUCUUGUGUUGGUCAUUUUUUUAAAUGAUGUAACUAAUUACUUUUUGGAAAAUGUUAUCCAAAUCUUAAGUUUUUUCACACUCUUAGAGUGCAUUUGGUAAUGCUCCCAGGAACACUUGUUAAUAUUUUUUUGUUCUCGGGAAUAGAAAUGGAAUGAAAAUGUAUUUUGUAGUAUUUUAUUUUUGAGAAUAAAUGUGUUGUCAAAAUAGAUUUGGAAUAGAAAUAGGAAAAGGAAAAGAAGUUACUAUUGUUCCGAGAACAAAAAUAAAAAACGGAGUUGAUUCUCAUCCUUUUUAAAACUUCUUGGCAGACGUCUUUUUGUCUCUCACCUUUCUCUCUCGUGAAGUUUGUUUCUCCUCCUCCUCCUCUUCGCAUCGUUCGCCGGAGAAGACAGAGUCGCGACACCUUUCCUCCUCCUUUGCUGCAGCAGCUAGUCUUGAGAAACGGUAGGCGUCUCUCUCCUUUUGGCAAUUCUUGCUCUCUCUCUCUCUCUUUGGCGAUUCUCGCUUUGUUUUUCAUUGCUCCCCUUUGCCUUUUUUAAUAGGGUUUGACUUGUCGCUCGAUUGAGCGAGAGGGUUAGUCGUAGAUCGUUUGCGUUUUGCUGUUCGUUCGAUUUCUUCCUGUCGUAGCUCGUCUCGUGUCGUUUUUGGAGGUGCUCUUACUUUCGCCAUUGACGUACGGACCGCUCGUGCUCUCGCUUCCCGUUCUUCUUAACAAUAAAUCUGCAAUUUGGGGUUCCCUGCAAUUCUUCUUUCCUCGUGGGUUUCUCCCCCUUUGCGGAAUCGAAGUAGUGGGUAAAAGGAAAAAUGAGAUUUUGGGAUCGAUGGUUCGUGUGUUUCACAAGUGUGGUAGAAGCGGUUGCUUGAGUAGAUUACCAGUGUCGCAAAGCGGUGGGUUCUCAAAUAGUGCCGUCAAAUCCUCGAACAUUCUCGAACUCGCUCGAAAUGCUCCCCUUACCUUAUUUAUGCUUUUAUACCUGUCUGUCCCCAGCAGAGUUUUGGCUGGGUUUUUCUCGAAUAUACGUUUGCCAGCAUCCAUUCUUGAAUUUUCAUGCCUUUCUAUUCUCUUGUACGAGGUUCUUUGAAUUGAAAGAUUUGAAGCAACGUAUUUUUGUUCACGGUUAUCUGGGUUCUAGCAAUUUCAUGAUAAGCUCUUCAUGUUUUGAUUGUUUUAAAUUUGCUUUGAGAUUUAUUAUGUGAUGAAUAAAAGUUGGGUUUUUUUUUUGGUGUUUUGCUUCUUUUUAUUGGGUGGUUGUGUUUCAGAAGCGCACCUGAAGUUCGGAUUUUGGAGUCGAAAGACCAGGAGAUGAAGUAGCAUUUUUUGACUCAAAGCAGGUAUGAUCAUGAAAACUUUCACCCGCAAUUAGACAUGCAAAGUUUUAAUUUUUGGAACUGUGUUGGUGGCUUAUGUGGAAAUGAGCAUGUAUAUGCGUGGAGUGGCCUCUUUUGACAACCAUUUUUAAUUUCUGUCUGUUUCGCUGGCUCGAGGAGGUCAGGAGGUCGGUGGUUUCGAAAUGAUGGAUGCGCUGAAAAUGCAUGACGAAUGUGGGAGGGGAGAAGCAGAUGGUUAUGAGAGGGGUAGAACUUGCGGGGUGUUGUGGUUCAUCCGAGUUAUAGAUUACUCUGGUACUGCAUUGAGUGAGGUUUUACUAUCGUGUCAUUGUCCAUAAAUUGGUUACAAUGUGAUUUCUUUUGAUUGAAUAAUGACAAUGAGGACUUAUUUGAAGUAUAGAAAAGAGAAUAAUGAGAAUAUUUCUAUACAGUUUUUCCUUGUUAAGGCUCCAUGUGCAUUUAGCCUAAUCUCUGCCGAUUGGCUUUAGUUCAAAACAGAAUUAUCAAUGGCAAUAGUUUUCUAGCAUAUUAGGCCUCAUUCGAGUUUAUGAUUCCAAUUAGCCAAUGACGGCAUUUUUUUUUUUAAAUUUAAAAAACACGAGUUUAUGAUUCCAAUUCCACCUCCCUCUUUCAAGAACUUUAUAUAAUCAACUAUAAUUGACAUUUUAUAAAUUAAAUGAAAAAAAUUGGGAAUAAAAAUUUUUUGGGAAUAGAUUUUUAUUCUCGUACCAAACGUGUUUCUGUUCUUUUUUUGUUCCAGGAAUAGAAAUUUUGUGCAGUUACCAAACGUGUUUUUUUGCUCAGAAACUAUUCCCGAGAAUAGAAAUAGAAAAAAUUGUUUCUAAACAGAAAUUGUUCCUGGGAACAGAAACGCUAUUAAAUGCACCCUUAAACUACUUUAUGGAGCAAAACAAGAGGAAUCGACUUGGUUUGAUCCAAAAGAGGAACGUAAUGGAAAAUCUGAAAUGGAGCAGAAGUCAGGUACAAAUGCUUGUGUCUGAACCUCCAAAACCAUUCCUCUACAAAGAGAGGCGAAACGUGAGCAAUAAGCAGGCGGUUACAGCCACACCUGGAAAGGAUCAUCUGACAGCUCCACACAUCCAAAAAUUAAGAAAUCUCGAGUUACCAAAAUAAGUAUAAAUAGCUUAAAAAUAAUCAUUUAAUUGUUAAAACUUGUCAAUACCUGACUUCUGCUUAAAAGUGGCUUUCAUAUAUUUUUGGAAAACUGGAACAGAUUUUCCUCCCAAAGAAGAAGUCUAUUGGAAUUAAAGCAUUUUAUAAGCAUAUACCAGAAUUUUGACAAAUAGGAUUAGGUUCUUUCGAAUUUAUUCCCCAGAUUAAAAAAAGAAAAAGAAGAAGAAGAAAAGAAAAGAAAAGAUAAAAUGGGAUCCUCCGAGAGAAAAACAGACGCCACAGAAUGCAUCUUGGUUCUCCUGCUCCUUUCCUUAAAACCACACCGCCUCACUUUUUCUUCAUCCACCACCACCACCACCAUCAUCAUCAUACUCACGCCCACAGAGUCCACUCAUUCAAUUCACUUCUUGCAUGCAUAUCGAUUGUUGCCAAUCACCACCAUCUCUAGUCGUCGCUCAAUCAAUACCAUCGUUCGUCGUUGCAAGCAGCGACCACGCAUUGCCGUAGCUGAAUACGCACGUGUACAGUGAACUGCCAAACCUAGCGCUCGUGCUUGCUGGAUUGCUGUUGUGGAUCUUAUCCCAUUCGCCUGGUUAGCUCCAGGAAGUCUACUUGGAAUAGGUAAAAGACAUCUUUCUACUUGCUCUCUUUUUCCCUUGAACUGAUGCAGCAAGUUUAAUGGCAAAAUUGGGGAAAGUUGAUGCCAUAUACUUGCUGGCCAGGUUAAAGUUGCAGCUUGAUUGCAUAAUUCAUGGUGAUUUGUUAAUUUUGUUUUAAUCAAGUGAUACAUCUGCACGCAUAAUUGUUUGAGCCAAAACUCAGACCUUUAUUUUAUGAUUUUUUGUUACAUAUUAGCAUAGAAUUGCAUUAUGUCCGUAUCAAGACAAUUAUAUUAGAAAACUUAGAAUUUUCAUGGAUAAGCAUUAUCAUGCGCAUCUAGGCUUCUUGGAGUGCAUUAUUGUUACUUCUCUUUUUUGCACGUUUCCUUUGAUAAAUCACAUGCUAUAACUUGGGAAAUCUAGGAAAAUCAUAUCUUGCAUAUUAAUAAAUUUAGAUUGCAUCUUCAUAAAAAAACAAAACAAAACAAAAAUGUGAAGUGGAACUCUCCACGAGUCACGAAGAGUAUUAUCGCCCCAUUCCUGCCUUUUUUUUUUCUUCAUCAGUUUUUUGCUGUUUUUCUUAUUUAGUUUUUCUUCNNNNNNNNNNNNNNNNNNNNNNNNNNNNNNNNNNNNNNNNNNNNNNNNNNNNNNNNNNNNNNNNNNNNNNNNNNNNNNNNNNNNNNNNNNNNNNNNNNNNUUAUAGUUUUGUCAAUUUGAGCAAGAGAACAAUAAUGACUGCUAAUUGUCAAUCACACACAUAAAAAAAUAAAAAUAAAAAUUGGUAUCCGUGUAACGCGUGGAAAACUACUAGUAAUGUAAAAAAGACAUUCACAUGGGAACGGAAGAGGAGGGAUUUGAAAAGUGAAGCGACAAAUCCAAUUUGCAUCCCUGUAAGUCUUAGUCUUCUUCGAUUUUAUCAAAUUUUCUUUCCCAUAAGCUCUUUAUCAAUUAUACUUCACUUUCACAACAAAAAAGUUCAUGAUAUACCCAGUGAAGUUUUGGUCUUCCCGAGUUUAUGAUUUUUUUAUAUGAACAAGUAUAUGAUCGUGGAUACUACAUUUGUAUGGGGAUAAUCUCUAAAUAUUACAGAACAAGCACUUGUGAAAAAAAGAAAAAAGAAGAAAAAGUUGCAGCAAGAUGGGCGGCAAUAUCUGCUGAAAGGUGAUGGGUUAGUAGUUGAUGAUGGGGAAUCGCUUGAAGCGAGAAUCAUGGUCCUUUGAACUCAAUUUUCCUGUUCAUUGGUGUGAUUGGUAAGAGUAUAAUUUUCAGUAGAUUAUACAUUGUUGUUUGGUGAUUUCUGACUUAUUUACUAUUUGCAGAGUAAAAUAAAGCAAGUUGCUUAAUGAAUUAGUCGGUGUGCUUGACCCUUUUCCUUAUUUAGCCCAAAGCACGUGUUUCUGUUCUCCUUAGUGGACAUACAAAGUUAAUUGUCUUUGAUAACAUGUAUAUGUAUAACAGAAAAUAAGAUGCCAUUAUUGGGCGAAUCCUCAGUAUGUUAUGUUUCAAAAGCAUUUAUUUUACUAAGUUGCACAAAUAUGCUUAUUUGCUGAUCCUAUUAACUUGGUCAACUUCAUACAUCGCUAAAUAAGAAAAAAGGGAUAAGCACACAACCUAAUCCAUCAAGCAAGUUGCUUUCUCUCACUCUGGAAAUGGUAAACGAGUCCAGUAUUGACAACAUAUAAUCCUCACACUUUACCCAUUACACUAAUGAACUUGAUAAUAUUCUCCUAUCAAGGUGAUUCUCGAUUAUCAACCACUACCUCAGCACCCUUCAACAAAUCAUUAUCGCCCAUCUUGUUGUGAAUCUUUAGCACAAAAAAUCCCAUGUAAAAGACUUCAUUAAUCUCACAUUCACCAAUAAAGUAGAAAACAAAGACAUUGAAAUCAUGAGGUUGAUAUCGCUAGUAUAAACACCUAGAGGGGGGGUGAAUAGGCGCAUAAACAAUUUGUCGAUAUACGGAAGCAAUUCUUAACAAAUUGAAAUACGAUUAAGGUAGGAAGAGAGAAAUUGGAACACAGGAUUUAUAGUGGUUCAGCUUUUCCAAGCCUACGUCCACUCUUCCGCACUGACAGCCCACCGGCUGGAUUUCACUAUGAUCAAAAGAGUAGUUACAGCACAGCUUUGCCUUAAUUCCACAGUGUAGAUGUUUUUCCCACACCUCCUCAAGGUCUCUCACAAAUAUAGACUCUCUUUUGUAUACAAAUAUUCGCUCAAAAGAUUUAUCUAAACAAAUAAGAGCUUCAGACUUUGGAAUUCUUCUAUCGCGCACACCUCGAACAACUAAGAACGUCUUCCUUAUAUACUCCUUUAUGCCAUCAUACCCGUUGGCACUUACCAAAGGAAUUCCUCCAAUCUACCCGUUAGACGGAAUCAAUUAGGAAGAUUGUUCGAGCUAUUAAAGGAACGUGUUGAUAGCCCAUCAAUCCUGUUCGCCCAUACAAUCAGGAUCUCGGUUUCCAUAAGUAGAACCUUCCCAUAAUAUUUAGAUAAUCAUCGAAUCUUCAGUCAUUGAAUCAAUCUUGAUCAAUCAAAGGAUUCUGAUACGUCUUCUCCAACCACGAGAUCUUCUCCAGAUGAUAAGGUUAAAUCCUGAACAAAACAUUCAGUUCGGGAUAACUUUUCUUCAACGGAUAAGUGACUGUCAAUGAGGAUAGACUUUGAGUCUUGAGUCUGGCUGUCCGGAAGUCUUCAGACUUUAACCAACAGAGUCUGCUGACCUUCAGACUAGACUGAUGGAAACGUUUUGUCAACUUCAAAACUCUUCACGAGGAUUUCUCCAACAAUCUCCCCCUUUUUGAUGGUGACAAAACAUUCCUGCAGAUUUGGAUAACUUUGACCUGCAAAACAUUUCUCAACCACAUAUGCAUAUCUUAUAGAAAUAAAUGGCUAAUAAAAUAACACUAGAAUCUGCAACCACAGAAAAUAGGUUAGUCCAGUAUAUGAUUUAAGCCAUUCAUAAGAUAUCAAUAUUGAUUAAUAAAAGCAGUAAAGUCAAGUCCAAGUCUAGGCAAUUCUUAUCCAGACACAAAACAAAGUCAAAGUCUGUCAAACACAAUCCAACAAACAGUUAAAAAAGAUUGAAAGUUUUCAAAUCAUGCAUCUCUCCCCCUUUUUGUCAUCAUUUAAAAAGGAUGAGAUGAAAUCAAGAUUGCUUGGGAACGCGGACAAGCUGGAAAUCUUCCAUAGACUGAACAAUGCCUUCCAGCCUUUUAAAGUCUUCCUUCAGCUGUACAACCUCCUCACUCUUGGCAUUGGCCUGAUUCUGAAUAGAGAGAGCUUGCAUCUUUUCAUUUAAUGAACAGGAAGAAGCUUGACUUUCAGUCUUCAAACUUUGAACUUCGCAUCCCAAGGCAUAAAUCUGACCUUUCAUCUCCAAGAGAAUAUCCAUGAUUCUGCGAAAAUCUGCUCCAUUAUCAGUCUGAGUACUUGCUUCAGCUCGAUCUGGAGUAUAAGCAGACGAUGGUGGAUCAGCAUAAUCUCGCAGGUUUGGCGAUGAAGCUUCAUGACCUUCUUCUGGAAAUUGAGAUGCAUAAACAUCUUCUGGGUCUGCCGGCGAGCGACUGACUCCUUCACUUGCAUCAGGAUAUGAAGAUGUCAUUCCUUUCUCCUGAUCUCCCCCUGUUUCCAUGCCUACAGGUGGAGAAGAGAUUUCCUCAGGUUCUCCUUCUUCUCUUGUUUCUUCUUCAGGUCUUUCUUCCUCUGCUUCUUGCUCUGCUUCUUUUUCUUCUUCUUCCUUCUCCUCUGCUUCUUUCGUCUUUUGUUCCGAUUCUUUCUGUGGAACAGGACGACCUAAAUUCUUCAAGGCCAAUGCAGAGAUGGUGAUGUCUUCGUCAUCAUCUUCAUCCUCAACGAGGAGAGCUCUUCUUUUCUUUGAUGAAGCAGCCAUGGGCUCUUUCCCUUUUCUCUUAGCAAUAGAAGAGAGUUGAUGAGAUUUGGCAGGAGUCUUCUCCUUAAAUUUCUCCAAUUCCUUGCUCAGUUCCUUCAGACGCAUUUUGGUCACCAUUUUCAGUCCUACCACCAUAUGAUCGCAUGAUCGAACACAAAAGAUUUGCGGAGGCUGAAUAUUCAGAUGUCUGAAUAACUUUGUAACAAGGCUUGGGUAAGGGAGUUGACCUCUGUCCUUCAUCACUGCUCUAUACAUGUGAAACAUAACAGUAUGAGGGAGAGAAAACUUCUUACCACAGAGGAUGGCAUACAUCAACUUUGCCUCAGAGCUUGAAACAUCAGUUUUGGAAGUUGAUUUCGGCCGAAGGCAAUUGAUCACAAUCUUGUGAAGCAAGAUGUUGAAUGCAUUCAUCCGUGAGUAGGUGAUCUUCUCAUCUGUUCUCCUGUCCUUGACCAGUUCAAGUGUGGCCCCAGCAAUGGAAACUUUGAUUGGUUGAUAUCUGCCUCUCUCAACUUCUAACACAUCUGCCAGCAUGUCCAUAUCCACAACAUAGUCUUGAUCUUUAACGCUGAAAGAGAAUCUAUUCGCAUCCAAAAAGCUAAGAUUUGAAUAGAAAUAUGCAGUCAAUUCAGCAUAGGCCUCGGUUGAGUCAGAGCAAAACUUUUCAAGUUGAAGAUAACUGAACUUUUCCCUCAAGUUCACUUUCACAGCAUCCAGAAAUCAAAGUCCACACUUCUAGGGUUUAUUACCCCACGUUUCAGCAAUUUAGAGUACAGAUCCUUUUGUUCCUUUGAUCUGAACAAAUCUCUCAUUUUUCCUUGAAUUUCAGCCGCAAUACCCAUUUUCGAUUGAAAUAGACUGAACAGAUUGUCAUCGUCAUUCCCAUCUACAGGAUUCGGUCCCCAGUCACGAGGAUCACUUGGGAUAUUUGCAAGGGUUUCCUCAGCCACCCCUUUACGAGCGAUUCCCAAACUUUCCAUUUUUCGCAGAAAGAUAUAUUCGUUCCUAUAUCCUUUGUCUCUAAGAAACUCAUCAACAUAGUUCAAAGGAGUAUGAAUUCCUUUUAAGGCACGAUAUAGCUUGUAAAUAAAAGCGGGCUUUUGAAUUCUUACGGGGUCUGCAUCCUCGAUGAUUUCUUCUUGAUGCUGAUGAAUACCGCCUUGAGGACUAGAUGUAGGAGACUGACGCUGCUGAGAAUGUUGUGGGCUCGAUUGCUGAUCUGGAGUAACUUCAUCUUCAGUAAGAUCGAAGUGCGUAGGCCCCUCACUCAUUCUCUGUGGUCCCCUGCUUGCGAUUCUUGAGGACUUUCGCGAAGAUGACAUCUUUCUCAGUGUUUGGAAGAUUCCUUGCUUGACUUUUCCAGAAAAGAUGACAACUUUUUGAAGAUUGAGCGAAGAAGACAAACGGGAAUUGAGGAUCGAUGCUUUCUAGGGUUUUUGAGAGAAAAGUGAAUAAAAAUGUGAAGAGAAAUCGACAGUGCUCGUUCGGUUAAAAAGAAGGGUAAGCGAACCGUCACAAAGGAAAUAAAAAUAUGCCUUUUCAAAAUAACUGACUUUUUCCGCAAAAAUAGCCAUUUCAAAAAUAACUACCUUUUUGAAAAUGAAUCGAUGCAAUAUUUACGUUAACUAAAUAUAGCAACAAUUUAAACACAGUCUGAUGAUCGUACCUUUUCAAAUUAAGAUUUGAGAGAGAAAGACUUACAGUCUGAAGGUCGAGCCAAGACAGUAGAUAAAGUCUUGUAAGCCUGAGUCUGAGAGUCUUUAGACUUUGAUAUCCUCAUACCUCAAAAUGUUGAGUCUGGACCGUAUAGACUCAAAUUGAUUUUUCUCCAAAGGCUUUGUGAAUAUAUCCGCCAGUUGAUUCUUUGAGUCAAUAAAUUGAAUUGAAACAUUUCCAUUUUGAACAUGGUCUCUUAUAAAGUGAUGUCGAAUCUCUAUAUGCUUUGCUCUUGAGUGGAGAAUUGGAUUUUUGGUGAGGUUGAUAGCGCUGGUGUUGUCGCAAUUAAUCUCCGUGCAUGAGUCUUCAAUUUCAAAGUCUCUUAGCUGUUGUUUUAUCCAUAGAAUUUGCGAACAGCAGCUUCCAAGAGUUACAUACUCUGCUUCUGUUGUUGAAAGAGACACAGUGCUUUGUUUCCUUGAAAACCAAGACACUGUCCUACUUCCAAGCAACUGGCAAGUUCCUGAAGUGCUCUUUCUAUCAACUCUGCAACCGGCCAGAUCUGCGUCUGAAUAUCCCAGAAGAAAAAAGUCUCCCUUCUUAGGAUACCAAAGACCGAUGCUUGAUGAUGAAGCGACGUAUUUAAUGAUGCGUUUCGCAGCACUGAGAUGAGAUUCUCUAGGAUCUGAUUGAAACCUAGCACAGAUGCAAACACUCAACAAAAUAUCAGGUCUAGAGGCAGUAAGAUAAAGAAGUGAUCCAAUAAUGCUCCUGUACAGCUUUUGAUCAACUUUCUUCCCUUCUUCAUCUUUGUCUAUCUUUAAAGAACUUGACAUUGGUAUGUCGGUCUUUUUGCACUUUUCCAGUCCAAAUCUUUUGACAAGAUCAUUAACAUAUUUUUCUUGAUAAAUAAAAGUUCCUUCCUUCAAUUGUUUUACUUGAAGACCAAGAAAGAAUGUUAAUUCUCCCAUCAUACUCAUUUCAAAUUCAUCCUGCAUAGACUUAGAAAAUUUCUUGCACAUAUUUUCAUUAGAAGAUCCGAAAAUAAUGUCAUCCACAUAUAUUUGAACAAGUAAGAAACUUUUGUUUUCCUUCUUGAUAAAUAAGGUUGUAUCCACUUUACCUUUGACAAAACCAUUUUGAAUUAAAAACUUACUCAAUCUGUCGUACCAAGCUCGAGGUGCUUGCUUUAAACCAUACAAAGCCUUUUUCAGUCUUCAGACUGAGUCUGGCUUCUUUGGGUCUUCAAACCCUGGUGGUUGUUCCACAUAUACUUCCUCAUGGAUAAAUCCAUUUAGGAAUGCGCUUUUUACGUCCAUUUGGAAUAACCUGAAAUUCUUAUAACAAGCAAACGCAAGUAAUAGUCGAAUAGCUUCUAACCUUGCCAUUGGAGCGUAAGUCUCAUCAUAGUCUAUUCCUUCUUCUUGCGUAUAUCCCUUGGCCACGAGUCUUGCUUUAUUUCGUACGACUUUUCCUUUCUCGUUCAUCUUGUUUCUGAAAACCCAUUUAGCUCCAAUAACAGUUUUACCUUUUGGUUUGGAUAUCAAUUCCCAGACAUCAUUUAUGCUGAACUGUCUGAGCUCUUCUUGCAUAGCUUCAAUCCAGCUUUCAUCAAAUAAAGCUUCUUCUAUGCUCUUUGGUUCAAUUUCAGAAACGAGUGCCACAGCACUAGACUCUUCUCGCCUUUUGGAUCUGGUGCGAAUUCCUUCAUUAAUUUCGCCGAUUAUAAGAUCUUUGGGAUGACUGGACUUAUGCUUCCAGUUACUCGUUGAUUUGUCUGGUUGAUGAUCUCUUUCUUUGUUUUGAUCUUCACGAACAUCUUGAAGCUGGUUUUCCAGAGUCUGAGAUGAUUGUGCCAUCAGACAUAGAUUGGCAUAUUCAUUAUCACUUUCUUCACACUCAGUAUCACUCCAGGUUUCAGCUUUGAGAGCUUUUCGAAAUUUUUCAGCUUUUCCUUUCUUCUUCUUUAAAAGAGGACAGUUGGGUCUGAUGUGUCCCUUUUUCUUGCAUUCAAAGCAGACUACAUCUUUAUUUGGUUCCUCAUCAUCAACAGACUUGGUCUGCUGUCUUUGAAAGCCUUGUUUCUUUGAGUUGAACCUUCUUCCUUUUCUGUUUAGUUUUCUGAAUCUUAUCAUGAGAGCAAGCUCCUCAUCGUCCAUAUCAUCUUCAGAAUCUGUAUCAUCAGAAUCAUCAUUUGAUUUUAAUGCAAUGGAUUUCUUACCUUUUGGAUCUUCAUCUUCAUUGAUCCUUUCCACUUCAUAGGACUGAAGAGUUCCAAUCAGCUCAUCGACAGAUAGUGGCAUGAUUCUUUGCGUUUCUCUUAUCGAAGUCUUUAUGUGAUUCCAAUCCCUGGAGAAUCCACGCAGUAGCUUGUUUACCUUCAUGGGAUCAGAAGUUGGUUGACCUUGAUUUUCAAGACCAUUCACAAUAUCUGUAAAACGACUAAACAUGUCAGAUAUUGAUUCUCCUGGUUUCAUUCUGAAGGCUUCAUAUUGACCGAGAAGAAUGUUGAUUCUUGUUUCCUUCACUCGAUCUGUUCCUUCAUAGGUGAUAUGCAAUCUGUCCCAAACUUCUUUUGCUGUACCACAAGAAGAUAUUCUAUUAUAUUCAGUUGGUGAUAAAGCACAAUAUAAGGAGUAAAUUGCUUUUGCAUCGAGUGUCUGUCUCUUGGUUAUUUCUUCCUAAGACAUUCCGCUGGAUUCUUCAGUUUCUUUUCCUCUUUCAGAGACUGAUGCAGUGGUAGGAGUAAUUCCUUUUUCUACAACGUCCCAUUCCAGAGGAUCCUUUGAUCGUAGGAAAGCUUUCAUCUUGUUCUUCCAGAUGUUGUAAUCCUUUCCAUCAAAGUAGGGUGGUCUGGUAUUGCUUUGCCCUUCCAUCAGCCCUGGUGCUAACAUACUAGCCAUGGAUCUUUAACUCUGAAGUAAAACACUUCAAACAAAGUGAGUACACGAGCUCUGAUACCAAUUGAUAUCGCUAGUAUAAACACCUAGAGGGGGGGUGAAUAGGCGCAUAAACAAUUUGUCGAUAUACGGAAGCAAUUCUUAACAAAUUGAAAUACGAUUAAGGUAGGAAGAGAGAAAUUGGAACACAGGAUUUAUAGUGGUUCAGCUUUUCCAAGCCUACGUCCACUCUUCCGCACUGACAGCCCACCGGCUGGAUUUCACUAUGAUCAAAAGAGUAGUUACAGCACAGCUUUGCUUUGAUUCCACAGUGUAGAUGUUUUUCCCACACCUCCUCAAGGUCUCUCACAAAUAUAGACUCUCUUUUGUAUACAAAUAUUCGCUCAAAAGAUUUAUCUAAACAAAUAGGAGCUUCAGACUUUGGAAUUCUUCUAUCGCGCACACCUCGAACAACUAAGAACGUCUUCCUUAUAUACUCCUUUAUGCCAUCAUACCCGUUGGCACUUACCAAAGGAAUUCCUCCAAUCUACCCGUUGGACGGAAUCAAUUAGGAAGAUUGUUCGAGCUAUUAAAGGAACGUGUUGAUAGCCCAUCAAUCAUGUUCGCCCAUACAAUCAGGAUCUCGGUUUCCAUAAGUAGAACCUUCCCAUAAUAUUUAGAUAAUCAUCGAAUCUUCAGUCAUUGAAUCAAUCUUGAUCAAUCAAAGGAUUCUGAUACGUCUUCUCCAACCACGAGAUCUUCUCCAGAUGAUAAGGUUAAAUCCUGAACAAAACAUUCAGUUCGGGAUAACCUUUCUUCAACGGAUAAGUGACUGUCAAUGAGGAUAGACUUUGAGUCUUGAGUCUAGCUGUCCGGAAGUCUUCAGACUUUAACCAACAGAGUCUGCUGACCUUCAGACUAGACUGAUGGAAACGUUUUGUCAACUUCAAAACUCUUCACGAGGAUUUCUCCAACAGAGGUUACUAAGAAUAUACAAACGCUAAAAAAGCCAACGAAACACUCGUGAGUGAUAACACUUAUGGCGAAAAUAUGCAUACACUCUAAGCUGGUCAUAUUAAGACUCUGUUUUGGAUGGCCAAAAGUAAAGGUCCAAUAGCCAAAAAGUCUUGAUCUGAAGAAUAAGGAGAGCAAUUGAUGUAACUAGCACUUGUGGACAAAUAAUAUUUUAUUUUGAUUUGUCUAACCUUUGAUGUGCAUCCCUUGAAAGUCUUGGUUUUUUUUUUUUAAUCUUUUUCCUAGGUCAUUAUCUUGGUCUUCCUAGGACUUCAUAGUUUUCUCUCUCCAUUAGUUCAUUUUCACUUUGCUUCACCUUAACACCUUUGUUGUUCAUUACAGUGACUGAUUCACCUAUGGACAUUGGAGGGAUCGUGUUGGGUUCCUUUUUGGCUUUAUCCUUUCAGGUCUUGUUUGACAAGUUGGCUUCUCCCACAUUAGUUUAUGCACAACGUAAAGGAAUCAGCACUGCCUUGCCUAAGGAGUGGAAGGAGAAGCUAGUCAUAAUCAAUGCAGUGUUGGCUGAUGCAGAGGACAAGGCACUUAGCAGUAACCAUCAAGUGAAGUUGUGGUUGGACAAGGUUAAGGACUUGGCCUAUGACAUGGAAGACUUUCUCGAUGAGUUUGAGAUCAAAGUUGCUCAAGUUGAGUUAGAGGCAAAAUCUAGCACAAGCAAAGGAUGGAAUUUCUUUGUAUCUGGCCGACCACCCUCGCUUAUGUUUGAAACCAAGGUACAAGAGAUCAAUAGCUGGUUGGAAGCGAUUGUCACCGGAAAGGCUUAUCUAAACUUGAGAGAGAAUGUUGUGCACAAAUCCAACUACACUAGCGAAAGGAUAACCACUUCUCUAUCAGAGCCUCACUUUUUUGGUAGGGAGGAGGAAGUAGAACAAAUACUCGAACUACUGAUCAAUGAGGUCGAAAAUUCUAAUGCCACGCUAAGCAUAGUCCUCAUAGUUGGGAUGGGCGGUAUUGGAAAGACUACCUUGGCUCAACAACUGUAUAAUGAUGCUAGAGUGAAUAGAUGUUUUGAGAUGAGAGUAUGGGUUUGUGUUUCUGAUGUUUUUGAUGUUCUCGACAUAACUAAGACUAUUUUGCAGUCAAUCAUUAGGUUGCCCUGCGAGGGCAAAGAUCUAAACGAGUUUCAAGGUACAUUGAGGGACAAUCUAUCCGGGAAGAAGUUUCUUGUGGUUUUAGAUGAUAUCUGGAAUGACAACUACGAAAGAUGGACUACCCUCUUAAGGCUAUUUGAAGCGGGGGCUAGGGGAAGCAAGAUCAUUGUCACAACUCGCAACCUUCCUACCGUUUUCAGAAACGGAGAUUCGCCGUAUUUUUUAAAGGAGUUGUCCCCCAAUAAUUGUGCAAGCUUAUUAGCCUUUCAUGCUUUUAACGAAGCAAACUUUGAGAACCACCCGGAAUUGGAAACAAUAGGCAAGAAAAUAGCUGAAAAAUGUGAAGGUUUACCUUUGGUAGCGAAGAUGUUGGGUGGUACCCUACGUAAUAAAAAGCAACUCGAUGAAUGGGAAGAUGCCUUAACAAAAAUAACAGGGGGUCUUUCGAUGAUAGAGAAUGACGUUCUCCCUAUUUUGAAAUUGAGCUACAUCCAUCUUCCUCCCUAUUUGAAGAGAUGCUUUCUUAUUGUGCGGUAUUUCCUAAGGAUUACGAAAUUGAGAUGGAUGAGCUGGUGCUCUUAUGGAUAGUGGAGGGAUUUUUAGAUCAACAUAAAACUAAGAAUAAAUUGAGAUUAGGACGGAAUUAUUUCAAUGAGUUAGUAUCUAGAUCAUUUCUUCAACAAUCAAGUGUUGAUGCAUCUAAGUUUUCAAUGCAUGAUCUUUUGAAUGAUCUAGCAAAGUCAAUUGAAGGUGGGACAUGCUUUAACUCUGAAGAGUCUCAGCCGGCAGUUAGUGAAUAUGAUCUUGAAAAAGCUCGUCAUGCAUCAUUCUUCUCGUCACAAUUUGUUACAUCGAAGUGCUUGACAGCAUAUCACAAAAUGAAGGUAUUGAGAAGCUUAAUUUUAGCGCGUGUUGGAUCUAGUAAGAAAUCUCUCUCUAUUCCCAACAAGGUGUUGCACGACUUGCUAUCAAACUUGAAGUACUUGAGGGUGCUCUCAAUAUGUCAUUGUGACAUCGUAGAGAUACCGAAUUGUGUUGGUGAACUAAAACAUCUUCGAUAUCUCAAUUUCUCGUACACUUAUAUCAAGAGGCUACCUGAGUCAAUUGUGGGCUUGUGCAAAUUACAAGCUUUGAUCUUAAGAGGUUGUCAUGAACUUUCAAUGUUGCCUCAAGGUAUCACAAAGUUGGUCAACUUACAGUUUCUUGAUAUUAGAGAUACAAAAAGUCUAAAAGAAAUGCCAUUGGGUAUCAGUAAUUUGAAGAAUCUUACUAUCUUGUCCAAGUUUGUGGUAGGAACAAAGAAGGGGCUACAGUUAAAGGAAUUAAACAACUUGUCACAUCUUCAAGGAGAAUUAUUCAUAUCGGAAUUGCAAAAUGUGAAAGACGUUAAAGAUUGUGUUGAUGCUAAGUUGUCAAGAAAGGAAGGCCUAAGCAACUUAUUCUUGCAAUGGGAUACAAAUUUUAGAAAUCUCUGGAAUGAUAAACACUAUUUCCAGGUGCUUGAUUAUUUGCAGCCUCACACAAAUCUUGAAAAUCUCACUAUCUCGUACUAUGGUGGUGCAAAAUUCCCGUCAUGGUUAAAUCGUCCAUCCUAUUCAAAGAUUAAGACUUUGUGCUUGUAGAGCUGUCCUAAUGUCACAUCGUUGCCCUCAUUUGGACAGCUACCUUCGCUGAGAGAAUUAUCUUUUGAAGGUCUCGAUGCAGUAAGAGUAAUAGGUUCUGAAUCUUAUGGAGGUAAGAAGCCUUUUUCAUCCUUAACCACUUUGAAGUUCAAAAAGAUGUUGGCAUGGAAGGAUUGGUCUUCUUAUGCAGGGGGCCCAAAAGAAGUCCCAUUCUCCUGUCUUGAGCAUCUUGUUGUCCGGAGCUGUCCUUCGUUGGUCGGGACAUUGCCUUGUCAACUUAAUUGUCUUAUCAAGCUUGAAAUUCAUAAAUGCCAACAAUUGAAUAACUCAACCAGUGAGUUAUGUCUUCCAUCUCUCAAUGAGUUAUACCUUGAGGAUUGUAGUAAGGAGAUCUUGAAGAGCUUGUUCUAUCUAACUUCUUUGACAGUUCUCAAAAUUAACAAACUCAUAGAGCUUGUUUCCUUUGAUCAUCGGUUUAUGAGUUGCUUGGGCAAGCUAAGGAAGCUUCAUAUAGGAUUGUGUGACAAGCUAACAUGCUUGUGGCAAGAUGGAAAUGAAACACAAAAUCUCACUUGCCUCCAGGAAUUAACCAUUAAAAGUUGUGCUCGAUUCACAUCUUUUGUGGUAGGAGACGGAGAGAUAGAACUACCAUGUAAUCUUGAAAGGAUGGAAUUGGUGGAUUGCACAAGUUUAGAAAAGCUUCCAAUCAAGAAGCACACACUUAGACAUUUGGUGAUUGAGAAUUGUCCAAAAAUUAUGGCUCUAAACAUUCUUCAAGGUGACUCAAGCAACAAUAAUUCGAUUUCUCAACUUGAAUCUCUUAAGAUACGUUGCUGUGAUUCUUCGAUAUCCUUUUCAUUUGCCAAGGGUAGACUUGCUUCUCUGAAGGCACUUGAUAUAUACGACUACAAGGGAGUGGAGUUGUUGGAAGGGAUUGCCGUAGAAUCGCUUGAAACAAUGACAAUUAAUAUUUGUCAAAAUAUGGGAAGCUUACCAUAGUGCCUUCAUAUGCUCUCCCAACUCACUCAAUUGUCUAUUUGGAAUUGUCGAGCAUCGGAGAUAGAGGACUUCCCUCCCCUUCCCAUCACCCUCUCGAGUCUUGAUCUUAAUAUUAUGUCACCUAGAUUGAAAAAGUAUCCGCUAGACGUCCCUACACUUCUGCAGUUGGCUUCUCUUUCUUAUCUGGAAAAGCUUGGUUUGAGACCCCUAAACCCUAAACCCCUCGUGCAGCUUUUGUCCUCGUACUAUAGUUGGAUAAAUUUGUUGACUUUAGAGUUCUUUCAAUGUGAAGUGGGAGCCAUUCCACUCGAAAGACUUCCACAACUGAAGAAAUUAAUUGUUGACGGCUGUAAACAGCUUGAGAGAUUAUCCAUUCCUUUGGAAUUAAGGAGGCUAUGCCAGGCAUGGGUGUCACGUUGUCCAGAAUUAGUUGAGAUACAAGUUGUGGGUAGUUCGAAAUCAUUGGAAUCCUUGAGGGUUUCUAGGUGCAAAUCUCUGAUAAGAAUAGGUGGUUUAUCAGACUUGAAGAACCUAGAGGAAUUGGUAAUCCAACGGUGCAUUGUACUUGCUAAUGUUGAGGGCCUUCAUGAGUUGAAGUCUCUCAAAUCCUUGGUUGUCAAAAAGUGCACGUCAUUGAGGUGGUUGAUUGAUGCAUCUUGCACAAAUAUACCAGCUAAUUGCCUCGUUGAAAUAUGGGGGUGUGGAGACUUCAUCAAACGGGAUGUAACGUUUUUGAAGCAUUACAGAGAGGAGAUUCUUUUGGAUACAACAAACAAGGUGCGACAUCUUCUUCAUCAAUAUACAGUAGAUGUACGUGAAUGCACGUGUUUGAAAAUUGAUCGGUUCUAAUUUCAGUUUGAUGCUAUACUUAGGUAAAACUACACAAAUUGUAAAUAGUUUCAGACACACUAGUGUUCCUUUGGCAUGUUCUUUUUAAUUAGAAAUGUUCCUUAAUAUAAAUUAAAGAUAUACAUAAAUAAAAGUUCCAUCAUUUUAAUUUUUAAAUUUAUUUCAUUGUUUUAUAAAUGAGUGUUGGAUAUAAUGUAAUACGGAAUGUGUUUUUAUUUUUAUUUUUUAUGUCAUAAUAUUUGACAAUACUUGCGCUUUGUUUUGAUGUCAUAAUAUUUGACAAUACUUGCGCUCUUGAGCUUUGGCACUAUUGUGCAUUAGCCUGUAAACUUCCAGAAGUUAUUGAUUACCCCCACCUUUGCCCCAUCCAAAAAGACUUUGAUUUAUGUUGCAACAAUUAGUUUUCCAGCAUGCGUAGCCAUUAAGCAAUAACUGUGUCAUCCAUUUAUUUGCCGUUUUGCCGAUGCAUGCAUAUUGCAUAUAUAGUGGUCUUGACAAGUUGAGCAUGCGAUUUUAGUACUACAACAGAUUGCCACCACGGGGGUUCAUGUAUUUUCAUAAUGCACGACUAUUCAAAGUAAAUUAAAGCACAGCUGGUGGAAAAAAUAAUCAUCAAUUAUAUCAGGAUGUAACUUUUAUACGCUUGAAAAUAUCAUUUCACUAAAAAGUGCAACUUAUGACAAAAGAGACACUAGUUAAUUUAAAGGCAUAUUACUUUAGAUUAAAAAAGAACACAAUAACAUCCAGACUUCCAUAAAAUGAUUUGAAACAAUGUAUCCCUUAAUUAUGGAUUCAUUUGAACAGUAGAAAAUAGAACUCUUUUUUAGUUCCAAAUACAAAACAAUUGAAUCUAUAUUAGUACUAUUAUUGAAAUAAACACUUACCAUUAAGAGAUAGUAGACCAUGAAGUAGGACAAAACUAUCUGAAAUAAUAGAUUGAUGUAAUUAAAGUGAAAAUGAGAUGAAUUAUUAAAGUUCACUAAUAUAACAACGUGAAAUAUAGAAUAAGAAACGGAACCGGAAACGAAGUUAGAAUAGCAAGACUCUUAAUUAUUUUUCCCCUUUGCUUUACUUGGAGGAGGUGCGUGUUCGUUUCACGUUUUGUUCCACGCACCUUACUCUCUUCAUCUUAGUCUUUCAACAUGUAAUUCUUUUUUCACUUCGAUUUCGUCCUCUGGUGACUUCCUUAUGUAAAUGUGCUCGAUAAACAAAUGAUUGGCUGACAUGCAGACGCCAUGUAGACUAUGGUGUGGUUCAUAUCCAGCAGGUUUUGCAUCAGAAAGUCAACGAAGGGAUGAUUUCAACCACCCCCCCAAAAAAAAAGAAAAAAAAAACAGGGCUAAAAUGUGUGAAAGAAAUGGGAUCACGAAAAGAAUGAGGAUCAAAAUUUCCCCUAAGAGAUUCCAACCCUAGCAGCAUGUGUUACCUCAUUCCCUAGUCCUCUUCUCUCCGUCUACGAUAAUACUUUGGUGAAAAAUUCUGUUUUUCUUGCAGAGCAUGGAAAGAAUGAAAGAUGAAGCUAGACCCGGAGCAGCAGACAUGGAAACCUCAGAUAGGAAUUAUGCAAUGGCAGCUGUUCAAAAACUAGUAGGAAUUGAUGAUCGUGUAAAACAAAUCACCAAACUGCUGGAGAUGGAAGUCAUUGAUGAGGUGCGCAUCAUUGGAAUCUAUGGAACUGAUGGAAUUGGCAAGACAACUCUUGCCAAGGCUGUAUACGACCGCACCUCUUCUUGUUUCGACAGUUGUAGCUUUCUUGCAGAGGUCAACGAAACCACACAAAAUUCUUGCGAUAUUCGGUAUUUGCAAACUAAGUUGAUACGUGAUAUCCUUGCACUAGAUCGUGAAGAUCCUUCUUGUGAGAAAGAAUGGAAAUUUUUGUGGAUAUAUUUCGCAAAAUGAAAGUUCUAUAGUUGUUGAUGGCGUGGAAAAUCAAUCUUAUCUUCAUGCUAUCGUAGGAGACCAGCUUCAUUGGUUUGGUCUAGGUAGUCGAAUUAUUGUGACUUCUCAAAAUGAAGAAAUUCUCAAAGAGUAUGAUCCUGAGAAGACUCGUACCUACAUGGUUAGUGAGUUGGAUGAUGGUCAAGCUUUUGAACUUUUCUGCAAGCAUGCAUUCACGAUGAGUUCUCAAUAUGAUGGACUCGCAGACUGCAUUGUCAAUGCUACAGAGAAACUACCAUUAGCAGUUGAAGUUGUCGGUUCAUUUUUGCGGGGUAGAUCAAUACAAGAAUGGGAAAAGAUGGAGAAGUUAAUGAAACUAUUUUCGUUGAGUUCUCAAAAGACUACGGUUGGCCUUGAAGAGAUACUGGAUAUAUGUUACAAAGAAUUAGAUCAACAGCAAAAAAACAUAUUUUUGGACAUAGCAUGUUUUAUCUCUGAUGCGGAUGCUCAAAUUGCUUCAUACAUGUGGCCUGACUGUUAUCUUCCGUCUGGUGGUUGCAUUCUAAUGCCCCUAGCAAAAAUUGGAGAAAACAAUGAACUGCAGAUGCACAGAUUGCUGAGAUGCCUAGGCAAAAGAAUUAUUGAGCAAGAGGGAUCUGGAGAUCCAAGUUCAAGAAGAUUUUGCACGCAAGAUAUGGUUCUACAGGCAAUGAACAGGGAGAAGGUAAAACCUUUUGGUUCAGUUUGUUUUAGGCAAACAAACAUCUUGACAUAUGGGCUACAUGUUUUUUUUUUUUUUUUUGUCAUAAUGUUGAGGGAAUAAUAUCAUGUGUGUACUCUUUAGCAUGUAGGGCAAGGACAGCAUCCCUUUUCUCUGAUUGGUAUUUUGUUUUACAGUUUCUGAUAAUUAUGUUACUUACUUGAUAUGUAGGGAAUCGAAAACAUUGAAGCUUGUGAUUCNNNNNNNNNNNNNNNNNNNNNNNNNNNNNNNNNNNNNNNNNNNNNNNNNNNNNNNNNNNNNNNNNNNNNNNNNNNNNNNNNNNNNNNNNNNNNNNNNNNNCAUAUUAACAGCCACAAAUCCAAUUGAGUAGCUUUUAGGGAUUUUACUGCAGAUACAUCCCUUAACAGCUUCACCCAAUAGGUUAGUUAACUCGUGAGUGAUCAGUUCAAAAAAAAAAGACAAUAGGGACGUUGACGAUAUGCCCAUUUCACUUUAUCGAAACGGGGUCGAAUUUCAGGAUGUCACAUUCUUGGAGCAAAGUCACGGAAGACUAGCGAGGGUGGAGUGAAAUUAAGGUGGUUUGGUAUUUGGUUGUUUUAUAGUUGCUUUGUUGAACUAAAUAUCUGCUAGUUGACCACGUGUGGGUUUCUGUUUUGACUUUACAGAUGGAGAAAUUGAAAGUCUUGAAUCUUACCGGGUGUUCUGACUUGCUGAUCACUCCCAACUUCUCUGAUUACAAAGAUUUGGAAAUCCUGAUUCUUGAACGAUGUUCUCGUUUGGUGAAGCUAGAUCCUUCAAUUGGCCAUUUGAAACGUUUAGUCUCCCUGAAUAUGAAGUUCUGCUCCCAAUUGAACGGGUUGCCAGUGGAACUGGGUUGUACAACAGCUCUGAAAGAGCUCUUUAUUGACGGGGACUUGUGUACGGCAGAUCCCCAUCUCCAUAGGCAAUUUGAAGCAACUCAAAAUUCUCAGUGGCUUCCAGUGCUUCCCAUUGACUUACCUACCCAGUUCGAUUUGUUAUCUGAUUUCUCUCUCCCAACUCUCAUUAGAUGGUGCCAAAAUUUCUGAGCUCCCGAGCUCACUGGAGAAGCUGCUUGAGUUAAGACGCUUGUCAUUGAGGGAUUGCCGUUAUUUGGAGAACCUUCCAUAUUCUAUCGGUGAAAUGGGGUCAUUAGAGGAGUUGGAUAUAUCGGCGACUAGCAUCUCUGAACUCCCGGAUUCAAUAAGAAAUCUGAAAAGCUUGAAAGUUCUGAGAAUGGACUCUUCUUUCAUUCGAGCAUUUCCUGGAGAGAUUGGGAAUCUAACCAAGCUCGAAGAGCUACAUGCUUCCUGGUGUCAGAGUUUGAAGGGGGCCAUUCCCCGUGAUAUUAAGAGACUAUGUCAUCUGAGAUCAUUGACGCUGGGGCAUACCAGUAUAUCUAGCAUACCCCCGGAAAUCUCUACCAUCUCUAGUCUUCAGACCCUUGAUUUACUUCAGUGCAAUGAAAUUGAAGUGUUGCCGGAGCUUCCCCCUUCUCUAAUUUGUCUGCAUGUGAGUUCUAAAAGGAUGAAGGACAUACCCCUUCUCAAGGAUUUGAAGGAAUUGGAGGAGCUGUACCUAAGUGAUGAGGACCCGGAGGAACGCCAACCUCCCUCAAAACAGCUGAAGCCAGAAUCCAAAGUGAAACAACUGUCUAUAUGGUUUUCAAGACUCUGGAACCUAGAGUUGCUCCAAACACAAAGUAUUGAAAAACAAUCCUUCUCAAUAGUGUUUCCUAAACUGAGGAAACUAGAAUUGUCUCUUUCGCGAAUUAUCAAGCUGGAAUUUUUGUAUGAGCCUACAGAUAUUCCUCAGCUCAAAACACUCACGCUUUCUGGUUUGAGCCUCGAAGAAGUAUCAGAGCUUCCCAAGACAUUGUCAGUCUUAUCAAUUCGAGGUUGUUCAUCAUUGAAAAGAUUGCCAAUUGUCCAGUCUUUAAUCAAUAUAUCAGCGUUCGAGCUCUACCACUCUGCCAUAGAAGAGAUUGAUGGGCUUGAAGGGCUUAAAUCCCUGAAGAGGCUACAAAUAUCAAACUGCAAAAUACAACAUCUCAAUGGGAUUUUCCAGUUAACCUCACUAAGGAGUUUGAUUGUAUCUGACUGCGAUUACCUCGAUAGUUUACCAGAUCUUUCAAACUUGAAGUUGCUGAAAGUUUUAGAGAUCAGACAAUGCAAAAUGAUCCAUCAAAUUGAAGGCCUAGAAGAAUUAAAAUAUUUGGAAAAGCUCAAGGUCAGUGAAUGUCCGGCUGAGAACUCAGCGCAAAUACAGAAUGUGUUGGAGCUUGUAAUGGCACGUUCAGUGGUUGCGUGAUACUGGAUGCUCCUCAAUCUUACCUGAUAUCUGUGCAACGCAUCUCCACUGUUAAGUGACAACAGAGGAGCUGCCCCCAAAAAAAGGAGGCGCGUUCAGUGGUUGCGUGAUACUGGAUUCUCCUCAAUCUUGCCUGAUAUCUGUGCAACGCAUCUGCACCGUUAAUGGAGAAAGAGGAAGAAACGAAGAAGGAAAAUUUAUUGGAGCCACUUUCAAGUUUGACUCUAUUGAAGUCCCUUUGCAGAAAAGUCAAGGCCAGAUCAACCGCCAUGAACAAAAUGCGGCCCCUCCAGGUGAUCACACCGGUCUCUUCCAAAAGGAAAGAUAUGCACAGGUUGAUUNNNNNNNNNNNNNNNNNNNNNNNNNNNNNNNNNNNNNNNNNNNNNNNNNNNNNNNNNNNNNNNNNNNNNNNNNNNNNNNNNNNNNNNNNNNNNNNNNNNNUACUGACGUAUCAGUAGAGUUCUGAUAUUUUAUUUGCCUAUGGUUUUUAAACUUUAUACCUUUAGCGGAGUGGACAAUUUUUUAUUUAGCUCGUGCCUCAUCAAUUGUAGGUCAAAUUUUUGAAUUCCUUGUCAAAAUCGAGGCCGUCAUAGGUUCAUCUGGAGGAAAAGGAUAUUUUGCAUCCUCUGACAUGAUAGACACUGGUAAUUUUUCCAUUGAUCUUUCAUUACAUGCUAUGCAUCUUUUCUCGUUCUUCUUUCAAUUAAAAUCUAGGAGAAACUUCUAUCCAUGUCUCUCUUCUCCCCCAUAUUCCUUUCCUUCUGUCUGCUUCAAUUGCAUGAUCUAUCAUAUGAGUUGAUCUGGUGGGUUGUCCAUGGCAGCGGCACCAAUGAAUGGAUCGCUGUUUCUCCGCUUGAUGAUCCAUGCAAAUCAACCACAAGUGAAGCAACUUCUUCUUUCACAAUUCAUUCUCCAGGCCAUGGAAUCCUUUAAGUAACCCUGUGCGCAUGCAUUUGCAAGCCCUAAACCUUGGAUUGAAGCGACAACUCAAAACCGAAGCAAGUCAUAAAUCAGAAUGAGGGUAACUACUAUUCAGUAAGGUUCUCUCAUCCCCCUCUAUCUAUUGAUGCGCACGUACAUGCAUGGAAAGAAGAUUUCGAGGCAACAUUUUCUGUUUACAUUUGAGGAACAUCUGGUGGUUAAAGAAAGCGGUUGAUGAUGCCACUGUUUAUUCCCUGGGUUAGUAAAAGUAGUUUAUGAUAGCAUUAACUCGGGGUGGCUAUUCCACGACCUAAUCAUGAGGAAGAGAACAUAAUAUGAUGGGUUCACUUCUUCCAUAUAACGAGAGUGACAGAUAAUUACCAAGACGGGGCUGAGAGAUCGUCAUGCACUUUUCCUCCUGAAUGUUAUCGCUGACCACCUCUCUCUCUCUCUCUCUCUCUCUCUCUCUCUCUCGCCAGCCACCCCCAACCCAGACACUCGCAUUCAGAACAUUAUAAAUUCUAAAGCCCUUAGUAUGGAAGGCAAAUUGAAUAGAGAUUAGAAUUAUAAUGGUCAGAAUUUUAGCGAUUACUUCAUGUAUGAGUAUAGUUUCUAAUGGGGUUUCAUCCCUUUCCACUUUUUUUUCCUGUUUUUCUAAUCGUCACCUUCGACCAAAAAAAAUAAAAAUCGUCAUCUAUUAUUUCCAUAGCUCCUAUUUAUUUUAAUAGGUUCAUUUUUGUCAUUAGAAUGUAGAUGCCGGGGAAACCCACUAAAGUAGAAAGAUGUCCAUCUCGGCGGNNNNNNNNNNNNNNNNNNNNNNNNNNNNNNNNNNNNNNNNNNNNNNNNNNNNNNNNNNNNNNNNNNNNNNNNNNNNNNNNNNNNNNNNNNNNNNNNNNNNNNNNNNNNNNNNNNNNNNNNNNNNNNNNNNNNNNNNNNNNNNNNNNNNNNNNNNNNNNNNNNNNNNNNNNNNNNNNNNNNNNNNNNNNNNNNNNNNNNNNNNNNNNNNNNNNNNNNNNNNNNNNNNNNNNNNNNNNNNNNNNNNNUUGAAUUCCAGUUAGCCUAAUAAAGAAUCCUGACGUUCCAGUCCUAUCCAACGGUGUCCAUCGCUGAAGCUGUCAAUUGCGACUCUGUUUUGAGGUUCUUCCAGUCCCAAAGCAGCACUAGAAGUAGAUAAGGGCAAAGAAAUGAAGAAAUUAGGAAAUCUAGGGUGAUACAUAGUUGAACAGCAAUCCUAGAUGCAACCAACUUGAGUACUCUUUGCAGGCCAUUUCAUAAGUUUCUAGACCAGAGUUGUAAUUAUUAGCCAAUGAACUUGUCUUUCUUGAGGUUGCUAUGUCUUACAGCUUGUUUAAGUCUCAAGCUUGUCUUAGUUCAGUAGUUAUGAGAGAACAAGUGCAUAGACCGCUGGAGUGUGUUCUCCAUAAUUGUGUCUUCUAUUUUCAGAUUUAUUAUCGCAGUAUCCGGGAGCUGUCGGUUGAAUGUAGGGAACAUCUUUUGACAUUUGAAGUUUGGUAAAUGCCUGUCUGGUCAUUUGGUAUAUUGUGUGUUCAAGACAUAAUGGAAAGAAUCAUCUCCCCUGUGGCUCUUCUGCCUUAUUUUAAUUUUCAAUUCCCCAGUGGCUUUGCUGUUGCGAGCAUCUAGUGAGACUGCGUGAAAGAUUGUUCAAGACUUGGUGGAGAGGAAGAGAGAGAAGAUUCAGUUGGUCCCUCUGGUGGCUUUUUGGUUGGUACGGAGGGGCUAAGAAUCCUAGGAGUGCUAAAAUUUUCGUAUGCCGCUCACUUCAGUGCCCAAAUCUUUUUUUUUUUCACUUACUCAAGUGUUGCAAAAUUUAUUACUUUAGGGCUAAUUCUGAUUUGCCUCGCAGGAAAAUCUGAUGUGGACAUUGAUUAUCUAACGUGGCUUAAUCGGCAUUGAUAUGGACAAUUUUUAAUAUAUUUUUCAAUAUUUUAAAUAUAUUUAUGAAUUUUUUAUUUUUCUUUAAUUUUUGGCUUUUUUUAUUCUUUGGGGUCGAUGAGGGUCAUCGGCGACCCUCAGCGGCCGCGAAACCCUUGCUCAAAUUGGGCGAGGGCCCUCGGUCGCAAAGGCCCUGAGUGAGGUCGUGAUGCCCUUGUUGAGGGCCUUUGCAGCCAGAUUUGGGAAAGGAGGCCCUUGCCCUAGCUGUGAAAGUCCUAGGUGACGGCGUCCCGACCUCACCGCCUAUAGGUGAUGUCGCCCGAAGCUGGCGAGGGCCCUCAUUUCCUUGCACAAGGCCUUUGUGUCCAAGGGCGAGGGUUUCGCAGUGACCCUCAUCGACCCUAAAGAAAAAAGAAAAACAAAAAAUUCAAAAAAAUUUAAAAAUUUAAUAUAGGAUGAUACGUUGUAAUUGACAUUUAAAUGAUCGAUUUUGCUCUAAUGUGACACAUGAGCGAAAAAAAAAGUUUUUGCAUUCAAGUGAACGCGAUGUAAAAGUUUUGACACUCUCAGUGCUUUUACCUUGAGGAAUAGUGUAAAAUUAGAGUCAGUGUAAAAUUAGGGACUCUCGUCAUUUUUAAUUUAAAUUAGCAAGGUGCUUGUGGUCACUGCUCUAUUUCUUGCUGGUCAAGUAACUUCGUAACUUCCGUAAGCGUAUGAAUCCCGCAUUUGAUUGAAUGAAUUUUGAAUGGUUGUAUGAGAUCUCUUGAUUUUGUUUGGAUAUGAAUUGAUCUCUAUUGUUGGCUUGUAGAAAGAAGACAUGGACAUCAUAACUAAACAGAAGAUUAUUAGUAUGUGGUGACGAGUGCUUAUGAAUAAACGAAUAAAUAGUUGUUGAUACAUGAUUUUUAAUCGACGCGUCAUUAAAAGGUAAAAAAUCGAGAUUUGGGUUUUUGAUUGUAACGAAACCCCAUUUCUUGGCCGAAAGGUGUUAUUUUUCAUUUCUUUAUUUUGCAUUAUCGUUUUAAAGCAAUUUCUAGUUCAUUUUCAAGAAAAAUCCGAAAAGUCAAAUAGUUGACUUCUGAGAGUCAACUGUAGGUCAAAAACUGAUUUUUUACCCAAAAAGAUUCUAUUUAGCUUCAAUUUCACUUUUGUCAAAUCAAUAUCUCAAAAAUCCAAAGAUUUGACUUAAAAAUCAAUCUUUUAGGAAAACUUAAUUAAAUGGUUGACUUUUAUCAAAUUUUUGACCAAAAAAUUGGAAAAUGUAAAAAAUACACAAAAAACAUUUCUUUUAAUGUCAAUUUGAUUUUUGUGUUAAAAAUUUCAUAAAAUCUGAUUAAGAAAUUUGAUCUCUGAAUUUUUUAGUUUUAGGUUCUAAAUCGACCAAAAAUAAAAUUACCUUUAUUCUAGUUAUAAUUAAGUGUAGUUCUUUAUUCGACAUUUGGUUUAAGGGCUAUUUGAAAUUUACUUGCGCAUUCAAUUUUGCGAUUUAUCAAGUUAAAAUGUGAAUUGCUGUUUUGAGCCCUAAUUAAGGGACCAAAAUUGAUCCUUUAUAAUUUGCGAAUGGAUGGUUGUUUCUUACUCAUUUCCUUAAGAUAAAUCCAAAUUUAAAAUCAAUUUUGAUAAAUUCAUACAAAAACUUAUCAAUUUGAGGGAUUUUAUCCUCCCGAACAUGAGAAAGUCAAGCAAUUAAAUUUCAAUUGUCAAAAUUCGAAUUGAUCCAUUUAUGGCUAUGGUUUAAUUUCAUAAUUAUAGGUUCAAUUUUGACAUUAGGUCUAGAUUCAUUUUUAACAUAAGCCCGAGCGCUUCAAUUCAAGGUCAAUUUGAAUAUGAUAAGUGAUCUUACAUAUAUGUAAUUCAUUAGAUGGGGUAAUUGUGACACUUAUUAAAUUCAAUUUUAGUUGAUUUGCAAUUUUGCCCAUUGAAUUGCAAAUGUGAUCAUUUUAGCCAUUUAAGCUCAAUCUAAAGCACUAGCACCCAUGGUUUUGACCCGUUAUCUUUCAUAAUAAACAUUCAAUUAGGUCAAUAAAAGGAUCCCUAAAUCACAUUCAUAAGGUUUAAUUAGCUUAAUUGAGUCACGAUAGAUCAAUUUCUUCUUAAAAAGGAUAAAAUUCCUUUUCAACUUGGUUCUUUAGGGACCAAAUUACAUAAAUUUUGGACCCAUAGGGUCCAAAGUGGGCGAAAUGACAAGAAUUGGACCAAACCGGUCAAAAACGGCCGAACUGGUAUGACCGAUCUGACCGGUCGCCGGUGGGGACGGCCGAUUCCUAACCUCUAGCGAUUGGUUCUGAGAUCCUCUUAAUGUCAAUUUCACUUUUGCAUCUUCAAUUUCUCGAAAUUUACAGAUGGUCAUGAAUUUCAUCAAAUUGCAAAUUAAUCCUUUAAUUGGACAUUUCGAUGCAAUUCUCAACUUUGGCUCAAGUUUUCACAAAUCAAAUCCACUAGAUCAAUUACCCGACACCUCUAGAUUAUAUUAGAGCAUUUGAAAUUAAUUUUCGUCCGUUGGAUCAAAAUUUCGACCAUAGGUGCCGAAAUCGCUUAACUUGGGGUAGUAUAUAAAUCCAAUAUUCCCUCCAUUUUAGGAGGCUUCAUUUUGCCACAAAAUUGACUCUCUCUCAUAUGAAUUUUCUCUUUCCUCUGAUUUCCCGCCCAUUCCUCUCUCCUCUCCUCUCUCUCUUCAACCGACUAUAACCGGCCUUCUUACGGAUCGCCACUCACCGGCCUUGAGUCGGUGGCUUACUAGCCACCAUUAGUGCUCACGAUGAGCCUCAUCCUUUCCUCGUUCUGAUGGAAGCUUCGGCAGCAGACGGUUACUGAUUUCCCCCUAUUCGGCGGCUUGAUUUCCCUCGGAAACUUUAAAACCGAUCCAGGAGGGAAUGGUUCUAUUUCCAGUCAAGAUUGGUGACCACCAGAACUCAUCGGCACCUCUAACCACUAGCGAUCACUUGUUCUGGAGGUCCCUAACCUAGCUGCAGUGAAGAACUGGCCAAUCAACCAUCGAUCGGCUUCUAAUUGGCCCGAUCUCUUCUGGUGACAUCAAAAUUGGUCUAGUUUUUGAUCGAUUUUGCUUUCUCUUGCUGCAAGUGGUUCAACCGGUUUCGUGAGGGGGCGUGGCAAUUUGAUUGUGAUUCUGAAGUCGAGGAUCGAUCCGGAGGGUUUGAUCCAAUUGAUCGCGAUCAAAAUCGACAAAAACUUGUAAAAGGUAACGAUCUCAGUCUCAAACCCCAUGAAACAAACCCAAUGAAGCGAGAUCGGAUUAACUGGUUGGGACUAGGAUUCAAUUUUAGGAAAAUAUACUAUGUUUAGACGUUAGAUUGAAGGAUUUGGAUGUUGAUUUGCUGUGCUUAAGGGCCCGUUUGGUUCGGCUUUUAGGGAAUGUCUUUGUCCAAAUGCAAAUAUCUUUAGGAUAAAGGGGUUUUCGGGAAUGCUCGGCCGUUUGGCAAAUUAUGCAUUGAAAAGUUGCUUGUGCGAAAAUACCGUUUGGCAAAAUUUAUUCCAAAUGGGCUUUUGCUUUUAAUUUUCUUUUUUUAAAAAAUCUGAAAAUCAAAUCCGGUGACCGGCGAUGCCGGACGGCCAGAUCUGGCCGUCCGGCCGCCUGAGGUCGCGACCUCAGGCGACGCCGUCGCCGCGACCUCAGGUGCCUGGAGGCGCAGAGGCCAGAUCUGGCAGCCUGAGGUCGCGCGGACCCAAGCGGCGCGACCUCAGGCGACGUCGUCGCCGCCUGGAGGCGCGACCUUAGGUGCCUGAGGUCGUAGAGGCCAGAUCUGGCCGCCGGACGGCCAGAUCUGGCCUCCGGACCGCCAGAUCUGGCGGUCUGAGGUCGCGCGGAACCGAGCGACGAAAAAAUAACCUAGCGCGGUCCAAGGCCAACUUGGGCGUCGAGGACCUUAGCUUACUUUGUCCAAUCCCAUUUUCUUGCGGUGGGCUUUUCUUUUUUCGGUGGUUGAACCCAGGUUUGGGGAUUGUGGGCUAAAUGGCGAAAUUAAAAAUUUUGGAAUAGUUGANNNNNNNNNNNNNNNNNNNNNNNNNNNNNNNNNNNNNNNNNNNNNNNNNNNNNNNNNNNNNNNNNNNNNNNNNNNNNNNNNNNNNNNNNNNNNNNNNNNNNNNNNNNNNNNNNNNNNNNNNNNNNNNNNNNNNNNNNNNNNNNNNNNNNNNNNNNNNNNNNNNNNNNNNNNNNNNNNNNNNNNNNNNNNNNNNNNNNNNNNNNNNNNNNNNNNNNNNNNNNNNNNNNNNNNNNNNNNNNNNNNNNNNNNNNNNNNNNNNNNNNNNNNNNNNNNNNNNNNNNNNNNNNNNNNNNNNNNNNNNNNNNNNNNNNNNNNNNNNNNNNNNNNNNNNNNNNNNNNNNNNNNNNNNNNNNNNNNNNNNNNNNNNNNNNNNNNNNNNNNNNNNNNNNNNNNNNNNNNNNNNNNNNNNNNNNNNNNNNNNNNNNNNNNNNNNNNNNNNNNNNNNNNNNNNNNNNNNNNNNNNNNNNNNNNNNNNNNNNNNNNNNNNNNNNNNNNNNNNNNNNNNNNNNNNNNNNNNNNNNNNNNNNNNNNNNNNNNNNNNNNNNNNNNNNNNNNNNNNNNNNNNNNNNNNNNNNNNNNNNNNNNNNNNNNNNNNNNNNNNNNNNNNNNNNNNNNNNNNNNNNNNNNNNNNNNNNNNNNNNNNNNNNNNNNNNNNNNNNNNNNNNNNNNNNNNNNNNNNNNNNNNNNNNNNNNNNNNNNNNNNNNNNNNNNNNNNNNNNNNNNNNNNNNNNNNNNNNNNNNNNNNNNNNNNNNNNNNNNNNNNNNNNNNNNNNNNNNNNNNNNNNNNNNNNNNNNNNNNNNNNNNNNNNNNNNNNNNNNNNNNNNNNNNNNNNNNNNNNNNNNNNNNNNNNNNNNNNNNNNNNNNNNNNNNNNNNNNNNNNNNNNNNNNNNNNNNNNNNNNNNNNNNNNNNNNNNNNNNNNNNNNNNNNNNNNNNNNNNNNNNNNNNNNNNNNNNNNNNNNNNNNNNNNNNNNNNNNNNNNNNNNNNNNNNNNNNNNNNNNNNNNNNNNNNNNNNNNNNNNNNNNNNNNNNNNNNNNNNNNNNNNNNNNNNNNNNNNNNNNNNNNNNNNNNNNNNNNNNNNNNNNNNNNNNNNNNNNNNNNNNNNNNNNNNNNNNNNNNNNNNNNNNNNNNNNNNNNNNNNNNNNNNNNNNNNNNNNNNNNNNNNNNNNNNNNNNNNNNNNNNNNNNNNNNNNNNNNNNNNNNNNNNNNNNNNNNNNNNNNNNNNNNNNNNNNNNNNNNNNNNNNNNNNNNNNNNNNNNNNNNNNNNNNNNNNNNNNNNNNNNNNNNNNNNNNNNNNNNNNNNNNNNNNNNNNNNNNNNNNNNNNNNNNNNNNNNNNNNNNNNNNNNNNNNNNNNNNNNNNNNNNNNNNNNNNNNNNNNNNNNNNNNNNNNNNNNNNNNNNNNNNNNNNNNNNNNNNNNNNNNNNNNNNNNNNNNNNNNNNNNNNNNNNNNNNNNNNNNNNNNNNNNNNNNNNNNNNNNNNNNNNNNNNNNNNNNNNNNNNNNNNNNNNNNNNNNNNNNNNNNNNNNNNNNNNNNNNNNNNNNNNNNNNNNNNNNNNNNNNNNNNNNNNNNNNNNNNNNNNNNNNNNNNNNNNNNNNNNNNNNNNNNNNNNNNNNNNNNNNNNNNNNNNNNNNNNNNNNNNNNNNNNNNNNNNNNNNNNNNNNNNNNNNNNNNNNNNNNNNNNNNNNNNNNNNNNNNNNNNNNNNNNNNNNNNNNNNNNNNNNNNNNNNNNNNNNNNNNNNNNNNNNNNNNNNNNNNNNNNNNNNNNNNNNNNNNNNNNNNNNNNNNNNNNNNNNNNNNNNNNNNNNNNNNNNNNNNNNNNNNNNNNNNNNNNNNNNNNNNNNNNNNNNNNNNNNNNNNNNNNNNNNNNNNNNNNNNNNNNNNNNNNNNNNNNNNNNNNNNNNNNNNNNNNNNNNNNNNNNNNNNNNNNNNNNNNNNNNNNNNNNNNNNNNNNNNNNNNNNNNNNNNNNNNNNNNNNNNNNNNNNNNNNNNNNNNNNNNNNNNNNNNNNNNNNNNNNNNNNNNNNNNNNNNNNNNNNNNNNNNNNNNNNNNNNNNNNNNNNNNNNNNNNNNNNNNNNNNNNNNNNNNNNNNNNNNNNNNNNNNNNNNNNNNNNNNNNNNNNNNNNNNNNNNNNNNNNNNNNNNNNNNNNNNNNNNNNNNNNNNNNNNNNNNNNNNNNNNNNNNNNNNNNNNNNNNNNNNNNNNNNNNNNNNNNNNNNNNNNNNNNNNNNNNNNNNNNNNNNNNNNNNNNNNNNNNNNNNNNNNNNNNNNNNNNNNNNNNNNNNNNNNNNNNNNNNNNNNNNNNNNNNNNNNNNNNNNNNNNNNNNNNNNNNNNNNNNNNNNNNNNNNNNNNNNNNNNNNNNNNNNNNNNNNNNNNNNNNNNNNNNNNNNNNNNNNNNNNNNNNNNNNNNNNNNNNNNNNNNNNNNNNNNNNNNNNNNNNNNNNNNNNNNNNNNNNNNNNNNNNNNNNNNNNNNNNNNNNNNNNNNNNNNNNNNNNNNNNNNNNNNNNNNNNNNNNNNNNNNNNNNNNNNNNNNNNNNNNNNNNNNNNNNNNNNNNNNNNNNNNNNNNNNNNNNNNNNNNNNNNNNNNNNNNNNNNNNNNNNNNNNNNNNNNNNNNNNNNNNNNNNNNNNNNNNNNNNNNNNNNNNNNNNNNNNNNNNNNNNNNNNNNNNNNNNNNNNNNNNNNNNNNNNNNNNNNNNNNNNNNNNNNNNNNNNNNNNNNNNNNNNNNNNNNNNNNNNNNNNNNNNNNNNNNNNNNNNNNNNNNNNNNNNNNNNNNNNNNNNNNNNNNNNNNNNNNNNNNNNNNNNNNNNNNNNNNNNNNNNNNNNNNNNNNNNNNNNNNNNNNNNNNNNNNNNNNNNNNNNNNNNNNNNNNNNNNNNNNNNNNNNNNNNNNNNNNNNNNNNNNNNNNNNNNNNNNNNNNNNNNNNNNNNNNNNNNNNNNNNNNNNNNNNNNNNNNNNNNNNNNNNNNNNNNNNNNNNNNNNNNNNNNNNNNNNNNNNNNNNNNNNNNNNNNNNNNNNNNNNNNNNNNNNNNNNNNNUCCCCAGCAUUGAGCAUUGAGCAUUCCGAAUGCUCAUACUUGCCCAAAGAGCUCCAAAAAAUUGCCAAACACUCAAUUUUCCCCUAAGGGGCUUUGGGGGUCCAGGGGGCUUUGGGAAUGCCCAACCAAACGGGCCCUAAGUGUUCUUGAUUGAUCUUGAAUGAUUAACUUGAUUUGACCUUAAACUUGUAUUUUUGUCUCUUUGAACUAACUUACUGUUUUGAUCAAAAUGAGGUUCCAAAUGACCUUAUUUGUGUUUUGAGUUCUUCUAGACUUUGAUAAUACAUGUCGCAAGUUUCGAAUCGAUAGGUUGCACACUCCGAUUAAGCAUCGUUUGACCUUCGAAAUAUACCUCCAAAGAUGAGUGAUUUUGCAGUAGUUUAGGUUAGUUUUCAAUUCUAUUCUUGUUCCACCUUUUGUCCUUUUUAUUUUUGUGCAAUUUCCUGUGUUGAUUUCUGAAGGAACUUUCUUUCAUGAAAGUUGUUUGUUAUUUUCUUGAGAAUGUUUCGUAUUUUUUCGGAAUUUUUGGACAUAAUUAGCUAGGUUAAAACCAUUCAGAAUUUGAACCAAGGUUAGUCUGUUCCAUGUUGAUCUCUAAUUUUUUUAUUUUUGUAUUGAUCUCAAAAUUGAUUUCUGGAAGAACUUUCCUUCAUGAAAGUCAAAAACGCUUAGAUUCGAACAUAGGACAGUCUCCCAUGCAUUAGUCCGAAUUCUAUUUUGAUAAAACUAAGUCCACAAAUGAGCUUGUUUGGUCUCAAACCCUUUAGGAUAGUUGAAAUAUAUGAUGUAUAUAUUCAUUUGAUGCAUGCUUUGUGUUGCGACCUACCCUCGAGGGGAGGGAACGGGUUUAAGGGUAUUACCUAAAGGACGGGCUUAAGGCCCAUGAUUAGGCGGGGGCUCUCCCAAGCUCAAAUCUCGCGUGACAUUGAGAUAUUCUUAAAAAUUUCGCAAAAAGAAAGUCGCCACUAACCUAUUGAGGUUGGCUAAAAACCAAGUGAGACACGGAAGUAUGCCACACUUCCUACGCAACCAGAUAAUCUAGGGUCGGGGACUUGAUUACACUAAUUGACUAAUUAGUGCCCUUUCGGUACCUAAUCUUGUUCAUUUUAACAAAAUGAUUUUCGGUAGGCAGUUUGGAUUGAUUUUAUACCUAUCCACUAACAUGUGAGGUGAUCAUGUGAGUGCGCAAUCAUUAAAGUGACAAUCAUAGCUAUCAAGAUCAUAAUUGCAGUAAAAUUAAUACAUGCCACUAAGCAAUUGCGAACAUAGUUGAACAGGUAAAUUAAACAUGUAAUAUAAUCAAUAUACAAGCAAUUAAAAGCCUAAUUACCCUAUAAAAGAAAUACAGGGCCAUUCCUAAUCAAAAACUACAUUUUUUGGAUUUUCGAAAUUUUUUAAUUUUUAAUUAAUUUAUCUAUUUUUUUAAAUUUUUUUUUUAUUUUUUAUUAAAAUUUUAAAAAUAUUAUUUUAAUAUUAUAAUAAAUAUAAUAUAUUUAAAACAAACUAGGUCGAAUUCCCGAGUUGGGUUUGACCCAGUUCGGUGCAAAAGGCCCGAGAUCGGGCUGGGUCGCGCAGCCCAAGGCCGACGGAAACCUAGCUGGGCUGGGCCUGAUGUGCAGGCCCAGUCUGGUCUAAUUUUUAAAAGGAAGAAGCCCAUAAGCCUAUAAACCCAUGAACCGCAAGUCUAAAAGCCCACAAGCCCAAAAGUCUAAAGCCCAAAAGCCCAAAACCGGCCUAAUAGCUCAGAACCCUACCCGUUCGUGACCCGCGUCUGACCUGAUUUUUUGGCCGAAACUUUAGGGUUUCUGGGAGGUGCUGAGGGGAAACAGCGGGGAUGCCGGCGACUUGAUGGUGGCAGCGUGGUGGGCGGCGGAUGACGGCAGCAGUGGCAGGAACGGUGAUGUUGUGCCGGAGGUUAGUCAUGGCGGCGCGGCAAGGCGGUGCUUGCUGGCGACACUCGCGAAUUCUGCAGGUUGAGACACGGCGGGGCAGGGGCAGAGGCAGAGGCACGGCGGCAAGGGCCAGUACGGGGCUUGCUCGGCGGUGGAGCAACGACCGGCUUAGAUCUAUCGUCGUUGGGACUCAGCGGUGACUAGCGUCGGCGCUCGGAGGCAUGCGGUGGCUCGGCGAGACGAGGCACGGCGGUGACUGGCGAAGACGUGGCCAGAAGUGUGCGGUGGCUCGGCGUCCGAUUCUGGCGUCGCUGGAGGGUGCUCAUGUAGAGGUGUUGCUGCGGCGGCAGUCCGGCAGAGGGGAGUGGCGAACUGGCAGAGGGGCGAAGGUGCAGGCACGGGAGUCAGCGUUCAGAGGCAGCAGUGCGCGGGCGGCGGCUCGACCAGCAUCGGGCAGGAGGGCAUUAGCUUGGCUAAGGGCUGUAACGGCGACGGCGUCCCUGGUCUUGCCCGAUUUGACCUCCUCCACACGGCGCCUUUAGAUCUGGGUUUUGGGUUGAGCGGCGGCGGGGUCAGCGUCAGUCGAGCGCCGCCGUUGUUUUUUUUUUUUUUUCUCGAGCUUUCUCUCUCUCUCUCUCUCUCUCUCUCUCUCUCUCGGGUCUCUCCCUCUGUUGAACUCCAAUCCUCUCUCUCUCUCUGUUCUGGUCUUCCUUGAGCUCCCUGUCUCACGGUGCUUCUCUUCUCCCUUGUUUGUGCUGUCUUUUUUUUGUGUUCCUUUCUUGUUCCCUUAUUACACAAAGACAUAGAAGGAGGAAGAAGACCUAGUUGGCACGGGCCAGGCCGAAUAGAAGAGUGGGCCGGCCCAGCGCGAGGGAAAGAGAGGCAAGCGGCGAGCCGAGUUAAUGUCAGAUCCAGCCCGACCCGACCUCUAGGUGUUUUUUCUUUUUUCUUUCUUUCUAUUUUUUUGUUGUUGUUUUAUUGUUUCUUCUUUUUUCUUUUUUUUUAAGCAACUAAUUCCUAAUUUUGUACAUGAUUGAAUCCUAAGUAAAAUUGAUAAAAUUUAGGUGUCAACACUUUGCAAAGUCUUGAUGUUAGCAAGUGAGUCAAUUGCAUGAAUUAAAGUGAAAAUGUGUUGCAGAAUACAUAGUUUAGAUAUGCAUCUCUAUUUUGUUAUUUUUGCUAUGACUCAUGCGAUCACAUUUAUGUUUCGAACUCUUAAUGAUAAAUGUUCAUCAUUGCAUGCUCUGUAUGUAAGAUUUUUUGUAAGAUUUUUGUAUGUCUUGGGAUGGCUGAAAUCAUGCUCGUUCUGUGAGGUCAAUGCUAAAAUGAAAUCUUGCUAUAUAUGCAUCUUGCCAUGCUUGUUUAAGAGACCAAUUUUUGCGAUUAUGCCUUCUUGACCAUUAAACUGCAUGUUACAAUAUUCGCAUACAUGUUUAGGUCAUAUCCUUUGAAUAUUUUUUUGCAUGUUAAAUUUGUGUCACAAAAGUGUUCAUCACACUUAGGAUUUCCAAGCAUACCAUUAGGAAUCUUCAAUCAUUUUAUAAUAUCAUUUAAAUUGUAUGAUAUUUUGCAUGCCAACCUAAGAUUAGACGGUUAUCCAAAUUUUCCGUUGCAUCCGAUCCUAAGUCCCAUGUGAUUUAUUCAUGCCGUUUGUGCAUUAUUUGAAUGACUUUGAGGUUUUCUAAUGCAUGCUUGAGUUCUGUUUUUUGUAGUUACUAAUACUCGCACUCUUAGAGAUCUCGAUCUUAGAGUAUCUAAUUGAUCUAAUUUGGACUCGAGCCCUUCUACGAAGUUGUAAGGCACACUUAGAGAUUUCCAGUGCCACUGAUUUCAUGCAAAUCACUUAUCGUUUGGACUACUUUCCAUUUUUUUUUAAAUUAGAUUAGAAUCUAGACAUGAGAUCAAAUUCAGAUCCUUGUUCUAAUCCCUAUUUGGAUAGACCUUUGACAUUUUUGUUCUUUUUUUUUUUUUUUGGUAAGGAUUUUGCCCUUGACCUCUUAGCAAAACUUGCCUGCCAGCAUGUUGGCCAUGUUGUGUGUAAAUUUGGUGAUUUUUAAACUUGUUUUGAUAGGAUAAAUCCUUGUGAUAUUGGCUGAGUGUCCCACUAUUUUGACAAUUUUUUGAUAUGCUAUUGCUUGUUGUUUGAUUUUUGUAAAAUCAUGCGUAGCUCAUUUAGGAAAACUUUCUUUAAGAAAGUUGUUUGUUUUCAUGUCGUGCAAAUUAAGAAUUUUUUUAUCACCAAAUUGUCAUUAGACAUUGCCCAAUUUCACUGAUUUUACAUGUUUGUUCUGAAAUUUUCUAACAUGAGCUUAAUUGUGAUUGUUUAGAUAAACUUCUUAGAUUAGUUUGUGCAUAAACCUAGGUCAUUUUAUCUUCACAAAAGUUGCUUUAAAUUCAUUAAUAUUCAUUGUUAAAUGGUUUUGGACGAUUCUUUUUUUCAAAUCAAAUUUAAAAAUGCUUGAUACAUGUGAUAUUUCUCAAAAAUAAUUUGUUAAAAAAUUCUUCUCCAAAGCUCGAUUUGACUUAAGGGAGAGUCGCGGCUUGGAUCAUAUUCAAAAUGCCUGUGACACUUGUGAGUGCAUUUAUGCGAGUCUCGAGAUAGCAUUGGCAAUUGAAUGUGUUCCAUAGUUUAGAUAUUCCUUAAUCCGAAAUAUUUUCAAAUUUGUUCUUAAAUCCUAAUUUGACAUCGUAAAAGUCAUGGUUUGAAUUAUAUUCAAAAUGCCUGCAACACUUGUGAGUACAUUUAUGCGAGCUCCGGGCUAACUUUUGUAAUUAAAUGCAUUUCAUAGCUAAGAUAUUCAAAACUUUUGGUGGAUAAUUUUCAAAAGAUGUCUUUAAAAUAUCACAUAUAUUCCCCAUGCAUACAAUCACAUCAUUCAUCUAUAAGUGUCUGUGUUUGUGAUUAGCACAUGCCUUAGUAAUAAGUGAUCCAUCGAUAGCUCACUCAUUUGUUUGAUUGAUUGAGAAAUAAGGUUUCAAAGGCUUGCAUGCAUGUUUAAUUCCCGCAAAUGCAUGUGAUUUCUAGUGGUAGGGUCAAUGCACAAUAUCGAUGGAAAUCUUAGGAUCACAUAGAGCACCUCUUUAGGGACUUACAAGUGUUUUUGGCUAUGCAAAAAUACAAUUGAUCAAUAAUGACCGUAAGUUAUAAAAUGAAUUGGGUAGGUAUCUUAGAGGGACAUGUGCAUAAAUUACAAAAGGCCGACCCCGAGGCAAAUUUGAUUUAUGAAAUUGAAUUCUUUUUUAGAAUUGACCUUGACUUGAUGUCGUGUUUUCGAUUGUGUUGAUGUGUAUGCUUAUUUCUUUUCACUGUAUGUAUCUAGUUAUAUAAUUCUUAGACUAGGUUUAGAUUAGGAUCUUGAAGAUGGAGAAGACAUGAAGACGGUGGAGGUCGAUGUUCAUUUCGACCAUAAUCAUGUACUAUUCAUUUCUGCAACAUAUGUCUCAAGUUCCUUUUAUUGUAUGAAACACGACGAGCUGCGGGUCCUCUCUUCCUCUUAUCUUUUUCAAUUGUGUUUCUUUUUUUUAUAUUUUCUAGGAUUGUAUGAUAGAUUUACAGCUUUCCUUGAUUGUUUACUUACUGUUUUACAAUUUUCAAUUCAAUUGGGCAUUUCUUUUUCAUUUUCUUUAGAAACAGAUUAGCAUGAAAAUGACCAAUCACGCAUGAUCGCUUAGUUUAGGACUAACAAUCCUCAAAAUGUAAAGAAAUACAUGGACACGUUAGGUAAAUACAACAUACUAUUUAGGUACCGAAAUGGUGCUAAUAGAAAUAUUGGCGUAACCGAAGUCUCCAGACCUAGAGAUCUUAUUGCAAGGGAACACUCCUGACCCUUGAUUGGGUUUCUAGCUGACCCCAAAAAUGAGGCUAGUGGCGACUCCUAUCUUAUUUUUAGAUUGUCAUAAACAAUUAGACUGUAUAAAUGAACCUGUUACACGGGGUACGAGUCAUGAUAUGACUCACCAUGGUUUAUCAUACCCACAUGUGGAAAAUUUCUAAUAGAUUGAAGUGACGCCAUCGUUAGGAAGGAGUUCUAGAGGGAUGGCUAUCAUGGUAAAUAUACUCUUAAAUUCGAUAUUCACACCUGACCUCCUCUCUCGAGGUAUGUCGCCUGUGAGCACGGGUCGUGACACUCCGCUGUCAUGCGAGGUACGAGUUUGGAAGAACUUGCAACCUUGUAAAGGGAACUCACAAGAGAGUCAUUCGGGGGAUGAGGUAAUGACAUCCUUGUGGUUGAGAACCGUGAGGAAACUUUCAUGGUCAAGUACUCCUAAAUCCGACCUUUCCUCCCUUUUCCUCUCCUCUUGAGAGGGAUCGAGGGCGACGAGAUUGGGUCGUGGCAAGAGUUAAGUGGAAUUGAGUGAGGAAACGAAGUAGAGAAAGAAAGUAGUCUUGCUGAGUUUAAUAGAAAAGAAAAGACACGACAAAAUGGAAAGGUUGAAGAUGAAGAAGGUGAUGGCUGGUCUUAAAUGGCUAAGAUGUCUUCGUUUGUUUUGAUGUUGUCUAAAUUCAUCCAAGCAUUCACUAAAGAUGCAAAGGAAAGCACAAAAAAAGGUGACAGACUCAUGCAAUAAGGUUAGGGACCGAGCAAAAAAAUGCCGAUAAGAAAAAGAAAUAAAAUAGAAAAAUAUAAUAACAACAAAAAAGAAAAAAGAAAAAAGAAAAAAGAAAAAAGAAAAACAACAACAAUAAUAAAAAAUUGAAAACAUAAAAAAAUUAGAAAAAUAGUUAGAAAAAUAUAGUUGGUUAGAUCUUAGUAUUAGAUUUAGUUUAAUAUUAUUUGUUUAGAAUGCAUUAGUUUAGGGACUUUAAUGGUAAUCUUUGGUUUAGUACUUUAGUUUUAGAUAGUUUAGUCUCUUAGAAAAAAAUUAGAUCCUAUUUGAAAUUAGGUCAUGGGGGUUGCUGUCUUAGGAGUUUAAUAACAAAGCCAUGUCAUAUUUUUACGCAACUCAUAUUAGGUUACUUUAUUGCACUUUAUCUUUCACUCGUUAUUCUAUUAUUAUCUUUAAUGAAUUGGUUGUGAUUCUUUUAUAUUGUUUUGUGUUGUGAUUGUUUGUUUUAGUUGAAUGAUUAGGUUGUAUUUUAGGAUCAUAAUAAACACAAAGACAUUACUUGAACACUUAGUGGACUCAUAAUUGGAUAAAAGGAUUGUGUGUGACACUGAGUUGAUAAUAAAUCAAGUUGAAGUACUAAAAUGGCAUUAGUUACCAUCGACCGCGGUGGCUCCGCUGGUAGGCUCCUAGACUUCCACGCAGGAGGUCUGGAGUUCGAAGCCCCUGCAACGCAAGUUGCAAGGAGGCAGGUGGGCCACUUGGUGACUUACCCAUGGUGCGUGGGUGGUGGUUUCCUACGUGCCUCCCUAGGGGUUUACUCCCAGCUGUCGGCUGUACGGGGUUCCCCUGGGUUACCAAAAAAAAAAAUGGCAUUAGUUUAAAUAAUUAGUGUAAUCAAGUCUCUAACCUUAAGCCUCUGACUGCGUAAAAAGUGAGGUAUUGAAUGAAAUAUCUAUAAAAAAAAUAUUAGAAACUAAUUAAAUUCUUCUUUUUGGUCGAAUGUCAAAAUUUUCAAUUUAACCAAAAAAUCCACCUUUGGCCAAUUUUAUGAAAAUUUGAAAUCUAAAGGCCUAAUUUCACACGUCUGUGCUAAAUCAACAUCAUAUGUAAUUGAGAUACUAAGGAUACUUAGCUAAUUUAUUUAUUUAUAUAUUUAUUUAUCAAGAAACGAGACUCGUUGCGAUUGGGGAUCUCGAAUCUUGAAUUUUCUAACUUUGACUGUCGGGAAAAUUUAGUGCCGAUAUGGCCUCUAAUAUUUUCUCCUCAGCACCUCACUACGGCAUGAGAAUGGGUCACUCAUAUUCAUCUUUGCUCCUAUGUACAUGGACCAUUAUCUCCAGAGAGGUGAAGCCUUAGUCGCCUUCAUAAUAUACCUAUCUAGUACUUGGGAGCUGUCUAGCCUCUCCGUCUCUUCCCCUCCUCCUUCAAAAACUCACCAAAGGACCAUAGAAGCUUAAAGCUUAAGUGGCCAUAGUCAUAGUUGUUUGGAGAAUGAAGAAGAAGAUGAAUAGGAAAAAAAGAAGAAGAAAGAAAACAAAUGAUUUUAGACAUAUUAGAAUGCACAUGUAAGUUAUGUUAGAGAAGUCUUGCAUUAAGAAUUGGUGUAUUGUGAAGCAAUUAAUAUAUCCUUAUUGACUCAUAAUUAAUUGGCUUAAUCUUUUGGGUAAAGGUGGAUCCGGUGGAUAUGUUGAUGGGUUCAGACUUGAACUCUCUCUUAGCCAUCUCCUCAGAAGAAAGCAUUUGACUUCUGCUACGCGUUUUCAACAAAUUAGUAUUAGAGCUUAUGGUCAAUGAAGUUGGGCGUAAUUUCCAUGUGGUGGGCAUUGUGGUGUAACAAUAUAGGUCCAGUGAUAGACUUCAUAUCUUGAUGCAGAAAGAUACCUAGAUUAAGGGGGAAUGAAGCUAACACAGAGCUCAUUUCUUAGGUACAUUACUACUUAGUAGUGCAUGUACAAUAGUAAAGUGCAAUUUUUAUUUGGUGUAAUAUGAAAUGAACAGCUAGAAUCCAAAAUCCAUAUGUGAAAUGAUGAAUCCUUAGUGACAAAUAAGAUAUAAUCAUCACUAUCUAAAUUACUAUCAGCUAUAGCUACAAUACCAUCUAUGGAUUCAACUCUAAUUCUCUUAUCCUGGUUAUUCCUUAGCUUAAAACAAUUCAUUCUAAGAUGCCCCCUCUUGCCACAGCUCUAACAGACACCACUAUUAAUCAUAGAAUGUCUACGUGUGUUCAAGUUUAUAUUACUCUUGUUAACAUGUGUACUAGCUCUUUUGCUACUUUUACCUACUAAAGUAGUAAAUACAAAUUUACCAUAUUAUUUUUUAUAGAUGUCCUCACUAAGAACUAAAUUGUAGACCUCAUCAAAUGUUAAGCUUGUUAACCAAGAGGAAUUAUUAACAGCAGUAACAGUAGUAUUUUAAAUAGCAAGUAAUAAGAAUAAUAUAAUAAAAGCACGUAACUUAUAGUCAAUCUCAAUUGACUAAUGAUUACAUUGAAUUCAUUGAUAUAAUUGGCAACUAACGUACCUUCGUCUAUCUUCAAGUUAAAUAGACAUCGUAUCAGGCAUACCUUAUUGAUCACAAAAGGCUUAUCAUAUAUGUUUGAUAGGGCUUUCGUCAAACCUGUAGUGGUAUUCUCUUUCAUUAUGUUAAACACAACAUUACAAGCUAACGUUAGCUGAAUAACACCCAACGUUUGUCUAUUAGUAAAUUCCCGUUCAGCUCGCUUCAUUGACUCUGGCUUCUCCUUAGACACAAGUAAGCACAAUUUCUUUUGGUAUUAGAACCGAUGGUUGAUAGGUGGCCCACUCCUAAUGUGUAUUUGCAUUUGUUGAAUAUCUUUGGAAUUGAAUCCGGUGACCAACGCGAUUUCCAUGCGGUGGGUGUUGUGUUGUAGCAACGUGAGCUUAGUGGCAAACUCAAUGGUUCGAUCUAAAGAAAGAUGCCGAGGAUGAAGUAGGCAUUGAUGGAGAUUCAAGCUGAGAUAUCAAAAUCCAAAAGGAUACUUGGAUUAAAGGGGAGGGACCUAUCACUAAGUUCAUAUGUUAGUGAGACAUUGUUAGGAUGCACGUGUGAAUUAUGCCAAAGAAGUCUCACGUUGAAGAAUUUGUAUAGUAUGGAGUAGUUGAUAUAUUCUAGUUGGCACAUAACUCAUUGGCUUAAGUUUUUGAGUAAAUGUGAGUCCAACUAGAUAUGUUGACUGAUCAAACUUGAGCUCUUCCUUGGUGAUCUUCUCAUAUAAGGUAUUGGGUUUUUGCGGCGCGCUCCCAACAAGAUGAAAAUGCCUUUGACCAUGACUUUAGAAAGUGACAUGUGAGAGACACAUGUGAGCUCAGGCCUUUUUCCCUCCGUUGACGAUCAAGUGAUGUCUACAAACUUGAAGUGUGGAAUUGGAGAAGAAGAACAAAGGUUUGCGAGCGCUCUUCGUUCUUUAGUGGUACUAGGAGCUAAAAAUAUCUAGUUUAGUUUUAAUAAUUAAAUUGAAGAUUCUUGAUAUAUAUUAUAAUUCUGCUUACACUGGACCUUGGGCAAAAUUUGAAGGUUGAGAAUUAAUUUGCUUUUAUUAAAUGGAUCUACUAGUCACAUUUGAUUUGUCUCAUCAUUUUCAAGAUACAUCAAAGGAAUGUCAACUCGCUUUCUCUCCAUCGCAUGUAUAUAAGGCAUUUUCAAUCGUAUGAAAGUACUAUAUGAUGUUUUGAACUGAAUUUUAGGCUCUAUUCAUUUCACAAAAGAUAUUACGUUUCCAAAAUAUGUUUUCCACGAACUCAUUUUCCAAGAAAAUGACAAUAUUUUCCCGUAUUUGGUCGAAACCUGAAAAUGAAGUGGAAAAUAUUUUCUACUAUUCGGUAUCUCAUUUGAUUUUUUGAGAAAAAUUACCAAAAAAAUUGAAUUUUAAUUUUUUUAAUCGACAAAAAAUUUAAAUGUAAAAUUUAUAUAUAUUUUAAAAUUAUAUAUAUUUUUUAUUUUUUUCUUUAUUUUUCUCCUCCUUCCUCCUCCUUCCUCCUCCGCUGUGUGCCUCGAAGAUGGUUGGUUGCCUAGUGAUCGACCAAAAUGCAUAUCAACAGGCUCGAGGCUCAGCCGAUCUAGGUGAGCCCAAUCUCCAUUGAGGCUUGACAAACUUCAUUAGGAAUUGUAUUAAUAAAAUUAUCCCGAACUUCACAAGCUUAGUCUGUGGUGUAGAGGACUUCACAAUUAUCUGUAUAGGUUAAGAUAAAGACACAAAUAUCUCCAUUAUACUAUUAUCUUUAAUAGUCUAAGAAUAGCUAUCCUCUGUAAUCUUAUCAAAUUCCAAAAACUCUGCUGUAUGUGAUUCCAUAAUUCUUGUACUUCCAUUGAGACAUAAAUUGUUCUCCCUUCAAAUGACCUAGGUAAGAUAUGAAAUAACACCGAGUGGUUCUGCAGUCCAACUUACUUAAUGUUGGAUCAUAUAACCUCACUUCUGUAGGACACUCCAAACUCUAAGAUGGUUCAAAUUAGGUUUACAGCUCACAACUCAAAACGAGUCAACAUAAUAUCUUUGGUAGAAAUUCGAUAGAAUGCACAUUGGGUUGUUUCGCCCCAACAAAAACCUGAUAAAUUAGUUUUAGUAAUCAUAUUCACUAUCAUGCCCAUUAUGGUGCAAUUAUGCCUUUUGAUCACACUAAUUUGUUUAGGAUUUUCGGGUAUAGUAAACUAAAUUACCAUCCCAAAAUCUUUCAAGUAUUUGACAAAUGGCCCUUUAAGCUAUCUAGCAUUACUAUACUUAUCAAAAUACUCACCACUAUAAUCAUAUUUGACAAUCUUUAAGACUUAUCCUAACUGUUUCUUGACUUUAGUCCAAAAGAACUUGAAUCUAUCCAAAGAUUCAAACUUUUCUUUUAUCAAAUAUGAAAGAAGUAGUUGUCAAUGAUUAUGUUGAAAUGAAAAAUUCUAUAUAAUGUUACCAUAUAAAUAGUUCACUAAUAUCAAUGUGAAUGACCUCCAACAGGUUAGGACUUCAUACUGCAGUUUUCUUAUUUAUCUUAAUCAUCUUACUUCUACGACAGUCUACACAAGUCUUUAGGUGACUUUUAAGAGUAGACCAAAUGUCAACGUUAUCAAUAUUUCUACUCUUUCUGUAAACAUAUGAUCAAGACAUUUAUGCUACAAUGCAUAAAACUAUUUCUUAAGUAAAGAUCUAUUGAAAACAAUCUUUUCAAAUAUAUAAGCGACGUACAUAUCGUUGGGAGAUCAGCACAAUUGAUACAAUCUUUUCAACAUAUUACAGCACCCAACUUUAUUUGAAUUGGAAAACAUAAAAAUAACAUUAUUCUUUACUUCAAAAGAGUAGCUACACACUUCUAGACAUUAUAUGGAAAUUAUUAUUUUUAUUUAUUUAUUUUUUGUGGAUGAUAUUUUAUUAAGCUUAACUAAAAUGUACAAGCAAGCGGCACCAAAACUUACACUCAAAAUGAACAAGGCAUAAUGAGUGGAAGGGUGCCGAAGGAAGAAAACAAAAGCCAACAAGGCAGCGAAACUAAAGGGGACAGUUAACCAACAACGGCCACAUCCAAAGCAGGACCAAACAAAAGAAGGCAACCGGGCAGCCAAACAGUGGCAAACAAAAAACAAAAGACAGACACAUCGAAAAGCGGCUAGCAAGAGACGUAGUCACUGCCAGCAAGGAGGCGCAUCCAUCAAAAGACCAACCAAUAGAAACUAUGGAGCCACCUGAUCAGAGCAGAAGAUGCAUGGGUCAAAACUCCAACUACGCUGAAGUCUCCUGUUUCGUGGAAUGUCCUCAACAUUAGUGAAAGUCAAAGCCAUAUCCUUCACCACUCUAAGGAGGUGCUUUUUCACCGCCAAGAUCAUCAAAAUAUGGAAUUUAAGUUUCGUCUAAAGGAAAGUACAUAAAAGUGUUUUUCAAUAUCAAAUGUAAACCAGAAUCCAAAAUAAAAACAUCUCCCACUAAAUUGACAUUAAAUGCUAUUUCCCAUAAUGAGUUAUGAUUCAUCCCAAUUUGGCUUUCUUAGAUUUAUGAAUCUCUUUAUGAUAAAUAAUAUAAUUUUUUGCACCGCUAUCCAGCCACCAAGAACUAAAUGAGGCUUUUGAUAGGAAUUUGAUUCGUAAAUGAAUGCCAAGAAUCAUUAACUCCAAAGUCACGCUUGGACAACCAAGUUUUAUAUUACAGUAUUCCUUAUGUGUCAUUUCUUUCCACAAAAGUAGUAAAUGACACCAUUUCUUCAAAAAGUGCUAUCAUGAGAUCAGAUUGUCAAAAUAACCGUGGUUUCAUGAAUUCAUUUAUGAGUAUGAUUUUGAACUUCAAAUCUACCAUCCUUAGGAUGUAACUCUUAACUUCAUCAAAACCAUCACAUUUUAUGUUGAAGAGUCCUUACAUUUAUCAUAAUCUCGGUAUUAGACAAGACACAAUUUCAAGCCAUCAAGGCUUCCAUCAUCCCUUUAACAAUGUAGCCAGCUAGUAAAUCAUUUUCAAGUAUUCCUAAUGGAACGCCUCAUAGAUAACGAACAAAUUUAGUUGCCCUUUUCCCAAGCAGCAAAAAUAACUUUCUAGUUCUAUAUCACUAAGAGUGACAUUGCCAGUUUAUUUCUAGUAAGAGCAAUAAGGACAUCUAUCGGCUUCAUUCCAAAUAGAAAAUCCUCCAUUCACUACUCAAAAUUUGACCCAAUAAGGACUUCAAUCACAACGGAGUUGCCAUUACAAAGAGUGUGACUUAAUAAUAAGCAGCAUAUGCAAUUGGCAUCAUGUGAGUACUGUGUAACUUGAAAACCUUAUAAAUACACAUCCCAAGAGUUACACGCAUCAUCAUAUAAACACCUUUGGGCAGAAUACAUGAUAUGCAAUCGUACAUUCUCCAAAUGAUAGAGGCCAUGAGAAUAUGUUCUAACUUUUCGCAAAUUCACCACUUUUGGAUGUAUGAAACACUAGGGUCAGUUACUCCUCAACUAUAUGCUGUAAAUGCAUCCCUCCAUGACUAACACACAAUCACAUCUUUUGGGAAUAUGACCACGCAUUAGAACAUGAGACAUCCCAUCACAAUAUGAGAUCGAUAUUUCUCAAAUCGAACCAAGUGUGUCACUUUGAUGAUCACAACCCAAUUGAAUCAUUGAAACUCUUUUAUACCAAGGAUAUAAAUUUUAUGACUCACAUUUAUUUUAUCAAUGUGAUUUUAGAUUUGAUGACAUAGGCAAUUUGUUACCAACAUCACACAUCAUGCCAAUCACAUUGCUCCAUUCAUUAACACAUGUUGAACCUUAUACAUGCCAUUAAUGAAUCAAUACUCUCCACAAUAUUUAUGUGAUAAUAUAUAUUAGUUUACAAUGUUUUUUUUAAACCAUUGAAAAAUACAUGAAAAUUACGCAAAAAAUAUCCCAAAAAUCACAUACCUUAGGGUUCCACAUGCAUUUUCAUAUCCAUAAAAUCAUCAAACAUAUAAAAUAAACACAUCACAGUGUAGAGAACUUCCAUACGAGUACGACCAUGCAAACCACACGCCAAAUGAAUGUCAUAUGCUCCCUCACGCGCUCGCCCUCAUCAGCCGGCCUGAAAUCGAUUCAACCGGGUCAAACUAGUCCAACCGUCCGGCAAUCCGACUAGUCAACGGCCAACCCGAGUCGGGUCUACUCGGGUUGGAUCAACCCGGUCAACGCUAGUCAACCCAGGUCGAGUCAACCCAGUCAAACCGAAGCGGGUCGACCCCCGGGGAGUGAUGUCAUCAACCCAUGGCGGUGGCCCAAGUCGGUAGGUGAUGUCAUCAAUGACGUCACCCUAUUGCCUUAAGCGGUCACACGGGUGCGUGAGCUUGCUUGCUGAUGUGUGGCGCCACUCACUGGCACCGUGGCGGUGCUUCCGGCCUCAUCUGGAGACGUACAACCUACCCAAAUGCUCAUCUCGACAAGUAAAAGCCAAAUAUGUGAUCAAAAUCCAUUUUCAUCGAACGAAAAUUCACAUUAACGGGCAAAACGAUCCAAAGAUAGGUCAAAUCCGAAAUACUCAUCAUCAGUGCAUUUGGCCUCCGCCAGAGGUGUACCACCCACAAAACGCUCGAUUCGACAAGACGAAUCCAAAUAUGUUUUGAAAAUCAAGUUUCAAUCGACAAAAUUUUUGAAAAUGGGCCAAAUGCAACGGUUCGAGUUUUAGGCUAUGAGGCUCUAAUACCAAAUGUUAACCGUCGAAGUAGUAUGCCAAGAUUAACGUAGCUAGAAACUCGAACAUAUUAUAGAAGUAAACAAAGAUUUGCGUACUUGAUUUGGAAUCCAUCGUUCUUUAUGCAAAAUGGCGAUGAUUCGACACUCAGGUUCUUCUCCUCUAUGGCUCACGGAUUCUAGUGUGAUGAGGUCGCCCCUCAUGACUUCCUAUGCGAGGUGAGAGAAUGUUUGUGGAAGAAUGAGGGUUAGAGAAAGGACCUUAGCAUUAUUUAUAAAGUUUUGAACGGACCAUCUCAUCACGGGUCGAGCCCAACUCAACCCACACAAGCUAGGCCCAUUUUCGAUUAUUAAAAAAAUCUUAUGCCUUACCUUAUUAGACCAACCCCGUAAAACGGUAAAUUACAAUCUCAUUUAAUGUAGCCCACAUUAGGAAAAUUCUUACAGUCCCAAGGCCCCGACAAAGAUGCAACGAAGUUUGAAGAUUGGAUUUUUCCUUUCCAUCUUUUGGGUUGGUGAGCUUUGAGGUGGAAGAGAACAAAGGAGAGUAAGAGAGCGGCUUACGGUCCACUGACCAUGAUGGCGGCAAACAUGGCGGACACGCCACAAGGCGUUCAAUGGUAACCAAUUGAUGGUGGCUAGCAAGACAAGCACUGCGCGAAGGAAGAGCCGCAUGUCGUCGCCAAACAACAUGGCACGUGCAGGAUGAACUUGAACCCCAUUGCCAUCACGGGUCAGCUCGGUCUUCGCUUCGGAUCGAAUGUAGAAGACGAUCAUCCAAAGACUGAUGUGUAGUAAUCUUGGGUUGGGUCUGGUCAAAUAGUUGACUUUGGGACUGUCGAUGUGCAUUGGGACAAAGGCAUCUGUGCAGCAUGAGGGAGGGGGAAUUUCUUCCUGGACUGAUUGAAUCUCGCCCGUUGAUCUUGUCGGGCGCUGGUGGGGCUCGCUUGAUCCAUGCGCGCGGAAAUUAAAGAAGCAACUCGCAUUUUAUGCAAAAGUCAAUAGUUUUCAUCAUUUGGAUGAGGAUCAUUCCAAAUGGACUCCAUCAGAUUUCACAGUUUAAAUUUAGUUAUAUAAUCUAUAUCUAACUAAAUUUAUUUGAAUUCUUUUUCUCUAUUAAAAAUUUACUAUCCACGUUGAAAUUCAAUCUAAUUUAAAAGAAAAAAAUCAUCAUUUGGAGUUAAUAGUAUUGGUGAAUCAAAAUAGCUGAAAAUUUGUUACUCUUUUUUGCAUUAAAAAUGAUCGAGUAUUAAAAGCAAUCUAAGAUGCAUAGUUUUUUAUAUAAUUUUAUAUUAACCACAUUGUAAUUCAUCAACAAAACCACAACAAAAAUUAUUAAGUGUUCUGGAUAAUUACACUAUUAUUUUCGUCCUAAAUUAUAUCCCAUUUCGAUAGUCGUUGGAUUGGUGCUGUAUAAAUAACUGAAAAUAUUGUGUUUUUCCCUUUGCCAUAUGAUGCAUCUGCUUAUAUGUUUGUAAGAGAUCUCUUACCUUCUUUCCUCCUAAAAUGCUAUCAAUAACUUAAUUUCUGGACACAGCUUUGUUCGUGUAGCAUUGCCUUCUUUAAUGAACAAAUUUGCAAUGAUGCCUUAAAAUGAUGUUUUCUUCUUUUGAAGUUUCUCAAGUACACGUAGGACCCACCUUGAAUCUUCUUUCUGAAGUAUAUCGGAAUCCAAAAUCUCAAUCAUUUAUCCCAACUAGAAAAAGUGUCUUUUCAUAUACCAAAGCACAAAAACAACGUUGUGUUUAAUAUGGGAUGCGCUAAAACAAACAAUCAAGUGAAUCAAAUCAAGAUUGUGAUACAAUAAUGCUAUGGAGAGAGCAUACCCUAGUACCAAUUAAUUUUUUCUUCCACCUUUGACCCAUUUUGAUGCCUUUAUAUUGCUCAUAUAACCAUGCCACCCGUCAGCUAAGCAACAAUUUUCACCGGGAGGCUAAGUAUUACUGCAAGGGAGCUUUAUGUAUAGCUAAAGGAGCACAACAGGGAUACAACCAAUAGGCCUUUUAGCCAAACCACUGGCGCUUGCGUAAGUCCAUAAUUUUUCCUUCCUAAAUCAUUUCACAUGAUGAAUGCGUUUGUCUUUUUCAUAUCAUCUCAAACAUUGUUAAAAAUAAAUUUUCACAAGUCGAGAGAUCUUAAUCUUUGUUCGCAUUCGAGUUCCGGGCAUAUGAUUGGCUGGCUGUUUCGAAAAUUACCUUAAAGAAUGGUCUCACUUGUGACAUCCCAGAUUUUCACUUCUGUUUUCUAUUGAAUAAAUCGGGCUAUUCAUCGACGCGCCUAUAAGACUGUUCUCAGAGCUGAUCACUCUCGAGAUAACUAGACUAUUCAGGAAAGCUAUUAAGGAAUUUUAAUGCAAUAGACUUGAGAAUUCGACUAGGAAUCAACUUCUUGACCGUGCUCAUCUUUAGAGACCAUUACGGCACAGUUAAAAAUCGAUUUGAGAUCAGAGAUAAGUAUGUUCGACUGAGAUGUGUGGCUAAUCGUGGGUGAUACCACUAAAUUGGAAAAUUCUCGUUGGCCGGCCCAAAACUGAUUUUUCUAUCGUUUUAGUACUCUGUGUCCGUAUUUGAAUCCUCGAUAUUGUCAUGACAACCGAGAGUCGCCAAUGGGUCGAGUGGGUUCAUAGUGGCUCAAAAAAAUCAACCACAGGUCAUUUGCACUAAAAGUAUCUGAAAACUAUCCGGUAGCUUAGAUCACGCUAAAAACGUGCCGAAUGGAAAUUAACCGCGAAUUCGAGUCCAAUUUCAGAAAUUGAAGAUUCUGUCAUGUCACAAUAAAUUCUAGGAACGUCGAUUUAGUCUCAAAAGAUUUUUCUACAACCCGAGACAUUUUGGGAAAAUGUCGGCAUAUGACCGUUUUUGUUCAAAAAAAGCCGAGAAUCGUUUUUUAUCGCAAAUUUGAGAUGCAAGAUGGAGCCAUUGGUGAGGUAAAUUAUCAAUUUGAUAAUUAAAGUACUAAUUGAAUUUAUUGAGGCUAAAUAGGAUUGAAUUAAAUGAGAUUAAGUGUCCAAAUUGAGGCCAAAGCUUCAAAAUUCAUAGCUCCCCCAUGGCCUAACCAAAAUGGACCAAUUCAAGAGUCAUUGGGAGUGCAUGUGUGGCCUAAGGACAGCCAAGUAUCAAUGCUUGGCCAUGGUGGGUCAAAGGGGACAAUUGAAUGGAAAAUCAAGGCUUGUGGUCCCCCUUUUAUCCAAGCUUGUCCCCCAUCCUCUCCCUCCAUCCCUAGCCGAUCGACCAAGCUGCUUCUUCACCUCUAUUGCUGUCACUUGAAGGCCAAAAGACCAGUAGAAGAAGCUGUAGCCCGUCGCACGUCGGAGCACCACCGCUAGCUGCCGUUUGCUACCUCCGACCCCGUCUGCGGGCCGCUCGAGCCACCACCUAGCCGUGCGCAUCCCAGCCUCUGCCGUGCGUCCCCAGGGCUGUCCCAUGCAACUCAAGCCACUGCCGGAGCUCCCUCCGCCUCCACUAGAACAAAGGAUAUUUUCAAUGGGUUUCCAACCACCUUGGUAGCCCGUUUUGAGGUGUUCCCGGGCCUCGAAACCUAGGCCUGCUUUGGAGAAAAGCGACCCCCGCCACGUUCCCGUCGGUUUGAUCCGACCCGUUCGUUAAACAAGUGAGUUUUGCUCAUUAAACCUUGCUUAGUAUGCUAAUGAUGCUUAGGAGUUGAUUAGAUUUAAUUAAGUGCAAUUAGAUUGAUAUAUUAGAUUAGAGAUAUUAAAUUAGAAACUUAUCAAUGCAUGUUAGGCAAAUGAAUAGUGUACUUAGUAAGGAAAUAUGUCAUAAUAUUUAUUGAACGAACCUUGAAAUUUUUCCAGAUUCGUCUCGGCUUCCAAUUAGGCAUUACAGGCCUAAAUUGGAUUUAUUAUAUUUAUUUAAUAUUUUCUGUAAUUUUUUAAUUAAUUAAUUAAUUUCUGGAAAUUAGGAUGGUAUAGUCGACGACUGGAAUUUUAUGCUGAUUAUUGUGGUGCUGUCCGUUUAUUUAAUUCAACAUUAAAUCGUGUUGAAUUGAUUUAAAUAUGAUUUUAGGGUUUUAUUCCUAAAUAUUUAAUCUCAGCAAUUGAUUGGCAAAUAACUGAGCAUUAGUCUAUAGCGCCAUCAAUAUUUUAGUGGGCUAUAUAAAGUGGUGAGAAAGAAAGUUCUAUUACGUGGCUCGAAGACCAAAAGUGUCGUCCUGUAGAAUUCACGUGACUUGUGAAUUAUAUACAUCACCUUCGAAAGGCACGUGGCUCAGUGAUUAGUACGUCACCUUAGAGAAUGCACGUGACUUGGUAAUUUGGUAUAUCGUCUUAGAGAAUGCACAUGGCUCGGUGAUUAGUACGUCACCUUAGAGAAUGCACGGGGUUUGGUGAUUAGACAUGUCGCCUUAGAAAAUGCACGUGACUCGGUAACUAAGUAUGUCACCUUAAAGAAUGCACGUGGCUCAGUGACUAGAUAUAUACUGUCUUGGAAAAUGAAUAGUAUGGAUUAAAAUGACCGCGAAAUGGUCAGAUUGACAUGUAAUCGAUUAGAUCGAUUGAUCAGGGAUUUGAUUGGAUUGGAUUGGGUGCUAUGUCUGUCAAUAUUUAUUAAUCGAACUGACUUGCAGGAAUGGAACUAAGGCCAAGGUAAGUCCUCUCACUCGUGUUGUUCUUAGGCAGCCCUAGGGUAGGGUGUAUUGGCUUCCUAAUCGAGUCUUAGGGCGUAGAACUUGCUGAGACGUAGUCUCAUCCCGAUUGUGGGACAACAUUUCAAGUCCCUAGAUGGUAGCACCUCCGCCUUCUCGUCCUCCCAUGCACUUUGGUAUAUGCGCGAGGAGAUCACUAAGAUAGGGUACCACUUCUCGAUACAUCCUCACCCGGAAGGACUAGAGUAUGUUUUAGUAAAAUCCAAUGUCUGGGUUGACGUGGGCAAAGACGCCUUGGUGCCCCACGAGUAUAGGUCGUGGUAUCGUCACUACCAUGAUAGGCGAGGAGAGGUUCCUGUACCAGAAGGUGAUGUGCCUCUAUUCGUUUUAGAGGCAGCAUCCGAAGAAGGGACUACAGAUCCCAAGGACGGAGCGGUGAAUGAUGCCAAAGACCCUAAACUCGAGAGUGACCCCAACUCUCCUAAGCCAUCAGCAGUAGACUCCAGCUGGAGCGUGGAAGAAUGAGAGAUCAAAUAAGAAGAUGUGUACCCAGAAGAGAACCUAGAGAAGGAACCUAUGGAGGAAAAACUCAAAGAGGAGGACCCUGAUGAGGAAUCAAAGGAAGAGUCUGAGGAGGAUCCCAAGGAUGAACUGGAGUAUGACCCAGAUAAGGAUUGAAACCCCCACCCUAUUUUGCAAACCCUGUAUGUGAACUAAUAUGUGAUAGAUCAGACUUUUGUGAAUAGUAUUAUAAUAUGUACUAUGAGAUUUGCUUGUAUAAAAGUGUGGUUGUGAUUUUUCAGUUGUGAAAAAUAUAGCUCUACUUUUCUAUCAUAAUGUUUUAUUGUCUAGGGAUUAUUUUAUUUGCUUCCACAUGCGUAUAUUAAAACCAAUGGGUCAGCGAUGCGUCUUGGGAUAUUACUAUUAAUCGACCAGUUGAGGGAUGGGUGUGUGUCCGAGGAUCGGGGAGUAACAUCCCCGUUUAAGUGGUAUCAGAGCAAUGGUUAGGAAUUGGAAUGAUAAGGUGUGAUGGACCAUAGGAUAGUGGUAGGAAAGACAUUUAAAUUCAUGUCUAGUGCAUGUCGAUGGUAGAUGAUUGAUAAAAUUGUUUGUCGCGUGUGUAUCACUCAUCUUCUAAUCUAGUGUGGAUCUGGAAGACAGGUUUCAGUAGACAAAAAAAAAAACUAAACCAUGAGCAAGCCGGAGAAAAGAAUUUUGAGUAAGAGAACAGUUAAGCCUACAGCUCACGUAGAAUGCUGACCAGGGUCGGUACCCGAGGAAGCAUGAGCUAGGGCACCGACACAGGCCAGUGCCAGUGGUGUAGCACCACUACUAGUUGAUGCCAGGAUAGCAGCCCCUGGUGAUCUUAGAAUUGAAAGGAUCAUGCGGGUGCUAGAAGUUAUAGGUAACAGAAUGGAUUAGUGGGCACUAAACCAAGCCAUCGUUGUUGAAGCCGCCGCUUAGGCCGCUGCUACUGCUGCUGUUGUUGCUGCUGAAACCGCCCUUACUGCUGCACCUACCGCUGCACCUGUUGAAGGUCCGCCAGGAAUUGUGGUCGCUAAAAAACCAAUUCACAAGCUGGUGGAGCAAUUCUUAAAAUUGAACCCACCUCAGUUCACUAGGAUAGGAGACCUCGGAGCUGCUGCUUCAUGGAUUCAAAAAUUGGAGAAAACUUUUGCACUACUGAUGUGCAAUGAAACUGAGAAACUAGUCCUUGCAACUUACCAACUGGAGGGAGUUGCCAAUACUUGGUGGAGGACUACCCAAAGAGCAAUAUUUCAAGAAGGUGUUGUCCCAUAAUGGAACGCCUUCCUAGAGGCCUUUAAUGACAAAUACUUCUCAGAGACUGCCAGAGAAGUAAAGAUGGCAGAAUUUCAACGUCUUUGCCAAGGUUCCUUUGUCGACCAAUAUGAGGCGAAAUUCGCUAAACUUUCGCAAUAUGCUCCUGAACUGAUUGAGAAUCCGGCAAACCGAGCGAGAAGGUUUAGGGACGGAUUCAGACUGAACUUGAGAAGCAUACUCGUCUCUCUAGAUUUGAGAACUUACAAUGACCUUUAUGGGAAAGCCCAGAAGAUCGAGAAAGAUCAGAACGAAAGAGCUGAAUUGUCUAGGCCAAGGUUUAACUUCCAUAGAGAAGCAAUCCGACAGGGAAAGAGGCCCAUGCCUGGAGGUAGAUCUCAUGUUCUGCCCAACAAAAAAAAGUGGAUUUAGUAGACCAAUGUCUAGUAGGAGUGAAGCAUGUCGCUUUUGUGGGAGACGACACGGGUCAGCCCCAUGCCCAGUUAGGUCGAGAGCAUGUUUUGAAUGUGGCCAGCAGGGCCGCCUAGCCAAAAAUUGUCCUAGAAAGCCAAGAGGACAACCGCAAUUGCCACCACCGCCGCCAAUGGGACAGAUGAGAGGGUAUGCCCCUCAGAAUGUGCCACAGGGAGGACAGCUGAAACCUCCAGUUCAGGGCACAAUUUAUGCUAUCACACAGGGUCAAGCAGAAGCUACACCUGACAUGAUCACAAAUAUGGUUUCGCCGAAUGACCAUCCUAUUUACGCUUUAUUCGACUCAGAAGACUCAGGAGCAACUCAUUCCUUUAUUACCGAGCAAUAUGUUAAGUUGUUAGGAUUAAGUCCUAUAUUAUUGGAGUCGGCAGUUUGCAUAUCUACACCAUUGAAGGAUAAAGUGAUUGCUGCUUUGGGUUGUUCUGGUUGCAAGUUAGCGAUUACUGAGCGAGUGGGGAAAAUAGACUUAUUAGUCCUAGCCAUGUAUGAUUUUGAUUUAAUUAUUAGCAUGGAUUGGCUCACCAAGCAACGAGCUAAGAUGGAUUGCUAUCGCAAAGCGAUUCAGUUUGACCCAUUAGAGAGUGGAAGCUUCGAGUUUGUUAGGAAUCGAGGAGGACCCGCGAUUGUCCUGAUCUCAUCGCUAGAGACAACUCGUCUGUUAGACGAGGGUUGUCAAGGUUACUUGGCAACUGUUGUGGAUACGACAGUUGUGGAACUGAAAAUGGAAGACAUUGCUGUGGUGCAAGAAUUUCCAAAUGUCUUUCCAAAAGAAUUGACAGGACUACUGCCAGAAAAAGAGAGAAUUUGUGAUUGAGUUAGCUCCCGGGACAGAGCCAAUCUCUAAGGCUCCUUACCAAAUGGCGUUAUCUGAGUUGAAAGAACUGAAUGUGCAAAUGCAAGAACUAUUGGAUAAGGGAUUUAUUCGUCCUAGUGCAUCACCUUGGGGAGCACCAGUUUUGUUUGUUAAGAAGAAAGAUGGUUCGCUGCGCCUGUACAUCAACUAUCGACAACUCAAUUUAGUAACAAUCAAUAACAAGUAUCCACUCCCGAGAAUCGAUGAUUUGUUCGAUCAGUUGCAAGGAGCGUCGAUAUUUUCAAAGAUCGACUUGAGGACGGGAUAUCAUCAGCUGAGGAUCAGGAAGGACGUUCCUAAGUUAGUAUUUCAUACUUGGUAUGGUCAUUACGAGUUCACAGUGAUGCCAUUCGGGUUGACGAAUGCUCCUGCUGCCUUCAUGGAUUUGAUGAACUGAAUAUUCAAAGAAUUUCUAAAUCAGUUUGUGAUCAUGUUCAUUGAUGAUAUUCUGAUGUAUUCGAGGAGUGAUGAAGAGCACGAGAGUCAUUUAAGACUAGUUUUGCAGAUGCUAAGAGUCCACCAGUUGUACGCCAAGUUCAACAAGUGCGAGUUUUGGUUGACUCGUGUUGCUUUCUUAGGUCACAUGAUUUCAGGCGAAGGAAUCUCCGUGGACCCGAGUAAGAUUGAAGCAGUGAUCAACUGGCCAAGACCGACUACCGUGAUAGAAAUCAGAAGUUUUCUGGGUUUGGCAAGGUAUUACAGACGGUUUGUGAAAGGGUUCUCAUCGUUAGCGUCGCCUUUGACAAGACUUUUGAAGAAAGAGGAGAAAUUUGUGUGGACAAACAAGUGCGAGAGUAGUUUCCAAGAACUGAAGGAAAAGCUUACUACCGCACUUGUACUGACGAUUCUAUCUGGUUCCGGAGGAUUCAAAAUCUAUAGUGAUGCAUCAUUUAGAUGAUUGGGUUGUGUGCUGAUGCAAUAUGGCCGAGUUGUUGCAUACGCCUCCUGUCAGUUGCCACCUCAUGAGCAGAACUAUCCGACUCAUGACUUAGAACUUGCGGCGAUUAUUUUUGCCCUAAAAAUUUGGAGACAUUAUUUUUUUGGUAAAGGUAAGAAUAUAUUGAUAGCUUAGGACAAAAGAACAAAGAAACGGCACCAAAAGCUUACACUCUAGAUGCAAGAGCACAAGAGUGGAAGGGAGCCGCGUAAAAGCCAUAAAAGGCAAAAGCACUAACUAUAACAAACUCUGCCCAGCCAAAAACUUGGCCACGUAACCACCAAGGACGCCAGGGAAGUGAAGGGGAAGAGCGCAAGGCAGGACACGUAGAACUACCCAUCCACCAGCUUCAACCAUAAACCUCCAAGGACGGCCGUGAAGCAAUUGUGCAAGGCAGGAACACAAAGGCCAGAAGCGACCGAGACAGGGAUCAAAAGGAAGCAAAACGGAAGAACAAAAGAAUUGCAGUCUUACACAAAGAUGGCUGGGUCGAAUCCCCAACCUCUCUGAAGGCGCCGAUUCCUUGGAGUAUCAGGCACAUCUCUAUAAGUAAGGGUCUUUUCCUUAACCAUCCUAAUCAAACAGUUCUUGAAAGUGGGAAUAUCCAACGAAUCCCCUCGGAAAAUCAUGGCAUUUCUUUUCUUCCAAAUAAGAUAGCACAGAGCACCAAAGGAAUACCGAGAGAGACUAUGAAAGAAGUCCUUACCAGCAAGGAACCUCCGGGCCCAAUCAAGGUUUUCUUCCCAGGUGCCAUUUCUCCACGGUAAAUUGCAUCUGGUAGCCCAGAAGUAAACUAAAGUUGCUGGAAAAUUGCAGCCAAAGUACAAGUGGUCAAUUGAGUCCGGCUGAGAAUUGCAAAAGGUGCACACCGAAUAGUCAAUUCUUCCAUGAGAGAGCAAAAAAGCCUGGGUAGGCAAACGUCUCUUAGUGGUGAGCCAUAAAAGAAACUGAAACCGAGGGGCUAAGUCCUUGUCCCACACAAAGGAGGUCCACAGAAUUCUUGCUUUAGAAAUUCUAAUAAAAUUCCAAGCUGAGGCCACUGAGAAAGAACCCGAAGCAUGUUGAUGCCACACAAAGCGAUCAUUACUAGCCGAGAGAGAUGGAAAAGAAAACCCAAGAUCCUCCAGACACCGUUUGCAAGACCCGCCAGUGUGCGAAUAGAGAAACGCCACAGUCGCCUUAGUAGGAACGUCGGAAUCAGAGACAAAGUGCUCAGGAACCUGUAGAUGGAGAGGGCCACUGGGCAACCAAUUAUCAAACCACAAGGAAAUAGAGUGGCCAUUACCGACCUCCCACCCGAAGGACUGCCUGAACGGGCCCCUUAAUUGAAGAAUUUUUUUCCAGCUCCAAGCACACAUUGAAGGCUGCUGGGCAACCCAGAAGUUAUGCUUUUUUAAGAAGUUGGAGUGAAUCCAGCGGCACCACAACGAUUCCUUAUCAGUGAACAAAAUCCAAAUAUAUUUCAGCAUUGAGGCCUUGUUGCAAUCCUUAAUAGAUCGAAUACCCAGCCCCCCUUCCUCCCUAGGCAAACAAAUAUCCGCCCAAGCAACUUUCACACCUCCCGUGGCCAAAGAAGUACCUUUCCACAGGAAUCUACGUAGAAUAUUCUCAAUCCCCAGGAUUACCGAAGCCGGCAAAGUGAAAACACUAGUCCAAAACAAUUGAAUUGCAUGAAGCACUGACCUUAUAAGCUGGAGCCUCCCCGCAAAGGAGAGAAAUCUGUGAGACCAGGAGCGAACCCGCAAGGCAAUGCGGUCAAUUAGCUGAACACAAUCUCCCUUGCUCAACCUUUUAGAAAUGAUCGGCACUCCAAGGUACCGAACCGGGAGUUUUCCUUCCUGGAAUCCGAAGGCCAGGAGGAUUCUGCUACGUAGAGAAGGAUCACCUCCCGAAAGGAAAAUGUCGCUCUUUACUUUGUUAGGAAGAAGUCCACUCCAAGAAGAGAAAAUGUCGAGGCUUCUUUUCAGGAUCGUAGCCGACUUCCAAUCCGCUUGACAAAAAAGAAAGACAUCGUCUGCAAAAAACAGAUGCGUGAGUUUGGAAGAUUUACAUCUCCAGAAGUAUUUGAACUCCUUGGCCGAGGACCUUCGGUUCAAAAUGCCUGAGAAGAUCUCCAUGAUUAAAGUAAACAGAUACGGUGACAUUGGGUCACCCUGCCUAAGACCUCUGCCUCCCGGGAAGAAGCCAUGAAGCUCCCCAUUAAUAGAGAUAGAGAACCUGGGUGUACGAACACAAGCCAUAAUCCGAGUGAUGAUCCACUGAGGAAACCGAAAAGCUGUAAGUGUGAGCUCUAGGAAAUCCCAAUCAAUGGUAUCAUAUGCCUUACGGAAAUCCACCUUUACCGCACAUCUUGGAAGAUAUGGGUCAAGGUGAAAACCUGCAAACAACUCUUGGGCCAAUAAGAUAUUAUCCCUAAUUCUUCUUCCUUUAACGAAUGCAUUCUGGGUAGGACUGAUAAGAUCCUGAAGUACAGGUGCUAUUCAAUUGGCCAAUAUUUUAGUGAUAAGCUUGUAGACAGUAUUGCAGCAUGCAAUUGGUCUAAAGUCAUUCACUUCACAAGCAUUCGGCACCUUAGGGAUAAGGGCUAGGAUAGUCGCAUUGACUUCCUUUAGAAGAAAACCUGAGGAGAAGAAAUCUUGCACCGCCUCAGUAACUAAGGAUCCCACAAUAUUCCAGUUAUUCUUGAAGAAUUCUACUGUAAAACCAUCUGGACCAGGGGCCUUUCCUUUGGCUAGCGAGAACAAAGUAUUCUUAAUUUCCAAAUCAGACACCGGUGAGGCUAGAGAACAUACCUGGCCCUCCGUCAGUGGCCUCGGAAUAAAAGAAGUCAGCUCUUGAAGAUCUGGUUUAGCCAAAUUGACCCGAGGGGCAAGGAGAUCCGUAAAGAAGGAAAGGAAAACUUUAGGCACCAAAACAGGAUCCGAAACAACCACACCUGCAGAGUCCUUAACCGAGAGAAUUCGGUUGUUGAGGCAUCUAGCUUUAACAUAGUUGUGAAAGAAUGUUGUAUUACGCUCACCUUCCUUCAACCAUCUAAUUCUGGAUUUUUGUUUGUAAAAUGAUUCUUCUUGACGACGAAGGUCAAUAAACGCACUCCGCUGACCUCUUUCAAGUUCAGCAAGCGGGAUAUUUUCAGGAUCCGACUGAAGGAGCAUCUGAGUAGAACGCAAUUUUUCCCUCGCUUGAAGGGUUCUCUGUGAGAUAUCCGAGAAGGCUUCCAUAUUAAGAUCCUUUAAGCGGGCUUUCACCACCUUUAGCUUAGAAACAAGUCUAAACAUCGGAACACCCCAAACCUGACUAUUCCAUGCAUGAGAGAUUGUAGACCGGAAAUCCGGAUGAUCAACCAAGAAAUCAAAAAACUUAAAAGGCUUUCUCUUUGGCUGCGGAUCAACAACCCUAACAACCAUAGGGGUGUGAUCUGAAAUUCCAGGGUUGAGAAAGGACGCCUCCGAAUAAGAAAAGUCCAUCCUCCACUUAGAGUUCACAAGAACUCUGUCGAUCUUUCGCAUCUUUCUGGCUAAUUUGGAGACAUUAUUUGUGCGAAGAAAAAUUUCAAAUCUUCACGGACCAUCAAAGUCUCAAGUACUUAUUCUCUCAGAAAGAGUUGAACAUGAGACAACGCCGAUAGAUGGAAUUGCUGAAGAACUACGACUGUGAUAUCCUAUAUCACCCGGGAAAGGCAAACAAAAUUGCCGAUCCUGAGUCGAAAGUCUUCAAUUAUUCAUAUAUUGAUUAAAGAGUGGAAAUUAAUCAAGAGAGCUCGAGAUUCGGUAUUCAAGUUUGAGGUAGGCCACCUUUUAAGUCUUAUGGCCACCCUCAGAAUUGAACCGGAUGUCCAGAUCAGAAUCAAGCUACUCCAACCAACAAAUCCAGAUGUACAGAAAAUUCUACAAUAGGACACUGAGAAAAGAAAGGCUGACUUUCAGGUUUCCGAUUAAGGAAUACUGAGGUUCUGAGGACGUUUAGUUGUACCUGACAAUGUGGAGCUUAGAGAGGAUAUCUUAUCAGAAGCACAUCGUAGUAGUUACAACAUUCAUCCUAGUAGCACCAAGAUGUAUCAGAAUCUGCGUCAACACUAUUGGUGGUUUGGGAUGAAAGCGGACAUCGCCAAGCAUGUAGUCAAGUGUUUGACGUGUCAGCAAGUUAAAGCUUAGCAUUACAAGCCGAGAGGACUUCGUGACUGGACUACCGAGGAGUCAAAGAGAAAAUGAUUUGAUUUGGGUAGUAGUCGACAGACUAACAAAGUCAGCCCACUUCAUUGUAGUUCGAAAGGACCUCAAUUUAGAUAAACACGCAGAUUUGUAGGUGCGUUAGGUGGUUUGUAUGCAUGGAGUGCCGGUUACGAUAACUUCAGAUAGAGACCCAAGAUUUACUGCCGCUUUUUGGAAGAGCUUAUAGAGUGCCUUGGGUACCAAGCUUCAGUAUAGUAUGAGAUAUCAUCCUCAGACGGAUGGCCAGUCUAAGAAGACCAUUCAGACCCUUGAGGACAUGCUGAGAGCUUGUGUACUAGACUUCAAAGGAAGUUGGGAACAUCAGCUACACCUGGUAGAGUUUGCCUACAACAAUAGCUAUUACCAGAGCAUCAAUAUGGCUCCUUUUGAAGCAUUGUAUGGCAGAGUGUGCAGAACACUAGUGUGUUGGGAUGAAGUUGGGGAAAGAAAGAUUACAGGCCCAGAGUUGGUCCAGUAGUAAGUGGAUGCCGUGGUAGUGAUCAGAAACAGAUUAAAGACCGCUUAGAGUCGUCAAAAAAGCUAUGCAGAUAAGCGUCGAAGGUUUUUGGAAUUCCAAAUUGGUGAUCACGUUUUUCUAAAGGUGUCACCAAUGAGGGGAACUUUACGCUUUGGAAAGAAAGGAAAACUGAAUCCGAGGUACAUAGAUCCACUUGAGAUUCUUGAGAGAAUCGGGACCUUAGUGUAUCGUUUUGCGUUGCCGCCAAAAUUGGAGCAAGUGCAUGACGUCUUUCAUGUGUCGAUGUUAAGGAAGUAUGAGCCUGACCCGACCCAUGUGCUCAAUUUCGAGGAAUUAGAUGUGGAUAAUCGUGUGUCAUACGUUGAAAGCUCGGUUUAAAUAGUGGACAGAAAAGAGCAAGUCCUACAUACAAAGACCAUUCCGUUGGUCAAAGCAGUUUGGCAACACCAUAAUACUGAAGGAGCGACAUGGAAGACUGAAGAGUCGAUGAGACAAUUGUACCCCCACAUUUUUUAAGAAAUUUUGUAAUGGUUUAAAUUUCGAGGACAUAAUUUUUAUAAUAUGGGAAGAGUUGUGACAUCGCAGAUUUUCACCUCUGUUUUCUAUUGAAUAAAUCGGGCAUUUCAUCGACGCGCCUAUAAGGCUGUUCUCAAAGCUGAUCACUCUUAAGAUAACUAGACUACCCAAGAAAGCUAUUAAGGAAUUUUAAUGCAAUAGACUUGAGAAUUUGACUAUGAAUCGACUUCUUCAUCGUACUCAUCUUUAGAGGCCAUUACGGCACAAUUAAAAAUCGAUUUGAGAUCAGAGAUAUGUCUGUUCAACUGAGAUAUGUGGCUAAUCAUGGGUGACACCACUAAAUUGGAAAAUUCUCGUCAGCCGGCCCUAAAUUGAUUCUUCUGUCGUUUUGGUACCGUGUCCGUAUUUGAAUAAUUGAUAUUGUCACAACAACCGAGAGUUGCCAAUGGGUCAAGUGAAUUCGUAGUGGCUCAAAGAAAAUUGACCACGGGUCAUUUGCACUAAAAAUCUUUGAAAACUACCCAGUAGCCUAGGUUACGCUAAAAACGCGCCAAAUGGACAUUAACCAUGAAUUCGAGUCCAAUUUCAAAUUCUGUCAUGUCACAAUAAAUUUUAGGAACGUUAACUCGGUCUCAGAAGAUUUUUCUGCAACCUGAGACUUUUUGGGAAAAAGUCGGCAUAGGACCAUUUUUGUUUAGAAAAAGCCGAUGAUCGUUUUUUAUCGCAAAUUUGGGAUGCAAGAUGGAGCCAUUGGUGAGAUAAAUUAUUAAUUUGAUAAUUGAAGUACUAAUUGAAUUUAUUGAGGCAAAAUAUGAUUGAAUUAAAUGAGAUUAAGUGUCCAAAUUGAGGCCAAAGCUUCAAAAUUCGUAGCUCCCCCAUGGCCUAACCAAAAUGGACCAAUUCAAGAGUCAUUGGGGAGUGCAUGGGUGGCCUAAGGAUAGCCAAUGAUCAAUGCUUGGCCAUGGUGGGUCAAAAGGGACUAUUUAAUGGAAAAUCAAGACUUGUAGUCCCCCUCUUAUCCAAACUUGUCCCCCAUCCUCUCCCUCCAUCCCUAGCCGGUCGACCAAGCUGCUUCUUCACCUCCAUUGCCACCACUUGAAGGCCAGAAGACUAGGAAAAGAAGUUGCAGCCCGUCGCACGUCGGAGCGCCACCGCCAGCUGCCGUUUGCUGCCUCCGCCCCCAUCCGCAUGCCGUGCGAGCCACCGCCCAGCCGUGCAUGUCCCAGCCUCUACAGUGUGUCCCCAAGGCUGUCCCGUGCAGCUCAACCCGCUGCCGGAGCUCCCUCCGCCUCCGCUAGAAUAGAGGGUAUUUUCAAUGGGUUUCCAUCCACCUUGGUGGCCCAUUUUGAGGUGUUUCCGAAUCUCAAAAUCUAGGCCCGCUUUGGAGAAAAGCAACCCCCGCCACGUUCCUGUCGAUUUGAUCCGACCCAUUCGUUAAACAAAUGAGUUUUGCUCACUAAACCUUGCUUAGUAUGCUAAUGAUGCUUAGGGGUUGAUCAGAUUUAAUUAAGUGCAAUUAGGUGAAUAGAUUAUAUUAGAGUAAUUAAAUUAGAGACUUCUCAAUACAUGUUAGGCAAAUAGAUAGUGUAGUUAGCAAGGAAAUAUGUCCUAGUAUUUAUUGAACGAACCUUGAAAUUUUUCUAAGUCCGUCUCGGCUUCCAAUUAGGCAUUACGGGCCUAAAUUGGAUUUAUUGCAUAUAUUUAAUAUUUUUCGUAUUUUAUUUAUUUAUUAAUUAAUUUCCGGAAAUUAUGCUGGAAUAGCUGACGACCGGAAUUUUGUGCUGAUUAUUGUGGUGCAGUCCGUUUAUUUAUUUUAGCAUUAAAUCGUGUUGAAUUGAUAUAAAUAUGAUUUUAGGGUUUUAUUCCUAAAUUAUUUAAUCUCAGCAAUUGAUUGGUAAAUAACUAAACGUCAGUCUAUAGCGCAAUUAAUAUUUUAGUGGUCUAUAUAAAGUGGUAAAAAAGAAAGUUGUAUUACGUGACUCGAAGACCAAAAGUGUCGUCUUGGAGAAUGCACGUGACUUGUGAAUUAUAUACAUCACCUUCGAAAGGCACGUGACUCGGUGAUUAGUACGUUUCUUUAGAGAAUGCACAGGGCUUGGUGAUUAGACAUGUCGCCUUAAAGAAUACACGUGACUCGGUGACUAGAUAUAUACCGUCUUGGAAAUGAAUAGUAUGGAUUAAAAUAACUAGGAAAUGUAAUCGACUAGGUCGAUUGAUCGGGGAUUUGAUCUGAUUGGAUUGGGUGCUAUGUCUGUCAGUAUUUAUUAAUCGAACUGACUUGCAGGAAUGGAACUGAGACUAAGAUAAAUCCUCUGACUUGUGUAGUGCUUAGGCAGCCCUAAGUUGUAUUGGCUUCCUAAUCAAGUCGUAGGGAGUAGAACUUGCUGAAACGUAGUCUCAUCCCGGUUGUGGAACAAUAGUUCAGGUCCCUAGAUGGCAGCACCUCCACCUCGUCCUCCUAUGCAUUUUGGUAUACCCGAGGAGAUCACCAAGAUAGGGUACCACUUCCUGAUACACCCUCACCCAGAAGGACUAGAGUAUGUUUUAGUAAAAUCCAGUGUCUGGGUUGACGUGGGCAAAGACGCCUUGGUGCCUCACAAAUAUAGGUCAUGAUAUCGUCACUAUCAUGAUGGGCGAAGAGAGGGUCCCGUACCAGAGGGUGAUGUGCCUCUGUUCAUUUUAAAGGCAGCAUUCGAAGAAGGGACUGUAGAUCCCAAGGACGGAGCGGUGAUCGAUGCCAAAGACCCUAAGCUCGAGAGUGACCUCGACUCUCCCAAGCCAUCAGCAGUAGACUCCAGCUGGAGCGUGGAAGAAGGAGAGAUCAAACAAGAAGAGGUGUACCCAUAAGAGAACCUGAAGGAGGAAUCUGAGGAGGAAGAACUCAAAGGUGAGGACCCUGAUGAAGAAUCGGAGGAGGAGUCCGAGGAAGAUUCCAAGAAUGAUUCGGAGAUGACCCGGAUGAGGAUUGAAACCCCCACCCUGUUUUGCAAACCCUGUGUAUGAACUGAUAUGUGAUAAAUCAGACUUUUGUGAAUAGUAUUGUAAUAUAUACUAUGAGGUUUGCUUAUAUUAAAGUGUGGUUGUGGUUUUUCAAUUAUGAAAAUAUAGCUCUACUUUUCUAUCCCAAUAUUUUAUUGUCUGGGGAUCAUUUUAUUUGCUUCCGCAUGCGUGUAUUAAAACCAUAAGUCGGCGAUGCAUCCUAGGACAUCGCUAUUAAUCAACCAGUUGAGAGAUAGGUGCGUGCCCGAGGAUCGAGGCGUGACAUCACUUAUUCUUGUGAUUUUUCCAAUUUUUUUCUUCCUUGAGAAGGAGAGGCUUUGAUAGCAAUUGCAGAGAAUGAAUACGAAAUAAACUGGGCAUCUUUUAGCUUGUUAAAUCGAACAUUAUGUCUAUCAUAGAAGUUAAAAUUCAUGUGUAAUAAAUUGAAAAAAAGAAAACAAAAAUCUCCUGUCAUGGUGAAACUUUCGUCAUUCCAUGUUUUUUUUUUUUUUUAAUUUUAAUUUUAAGUCAUGUGAAGAGAACAUGGAUGUCACACCCCAAAACCAUAAAAAAUAGGAAAUGACAACCAUUCUAUCAUUCAAAGGACACACCCUCACCAUCAAAAUCCAACUCCGAAAGUCUCCUUAUCGAUAUUGCUCUCGCAUUACUCAUCGCUAGCCCAAAAACCUUUAAAAAAAAAUGAAAAGUAAAAAGGUAAGCAACCACAACUCAAUAAGCAGUGCAUCUCUUCUAAAUAGAUCAAAUAUUCACCAUGCACAUUUAUAAACACAAUAUCACCAUUUAUCAAAUUCAAAACUAGAGUACUAUAUAUCAAAAAUAUCAAAAGUAGAUAUCUUUCGAAUAAAUCUUUUUACGUAUAAGGUCAAUAGCAAUAUCAAUUCACAAUAACAAAUUAUUUAUCAAUGGUUUAUUCCAUUAAUUAAUCUCAUAAUCCAUUCCAUCUACUAAUUUCAAAUCACAUGAUGCUCAAGUAUCUAGCUAUAGUCACGCAUAAUGCCUGCGACAAGACAAUUAAUAUUCCCCCAUUUAGUUAAGUCUUCACUAUUAUCAGUCAGUGACUCGAUCCAUAAGAAUAUCCCGACUAGUAUGUGCAUAUCCACACACCAAUUCACAUAAAGCAUAAUCCAUCAAUCUCAAUCUCCAAUAAUCCACCAAUCUCAAUCAAAUUCAGAAUUAUCUCACAACACUGGUUUGGUAACCAAAUUACUACUUUUCACCAUUCAAUAUAUAUGGCAUUCCAUAAACCAAACUCCAAGUUGCGUUUUUUGUAAAAAUGUUCCGCAAACCCAAAAUAUAUAAUAUUUCUCAAUUUUCUUCAUCAAACAAAAUAUCUAUUUUCUCCAAACAGUUCUCACAUUAUUCACAAAUAUCAAAACGUAGUAAAUGUUCGAUUCAAAUUUUAUAUAACAAACAUAUUAUUCAUAACUCAUAAUAUAUCAAAAAUGUUUAAAAGAGAUAACACCACUCAUUUAGAAAAGUCGAAAUUAGCCUAUAGUGGUUAUUCGAACUAACACACUCGUAUUCCUAUCAGUUCAUUAAAAAUGAAAUCAAAACCAAAUAAUAUGCUACUCUAAUUGGCGAUUCGACUAAACUAUGCUUAUUUGUCGAUAAAACGAAACUUACAUGCUAUGAAAGAAACUCAUUCAUAGCAAAUGUCCAUCUUUCUCCGUAAUGCAAAUUUUGUGCCACAUGUAACUCAAACGCGGAACUUCAGAAAUUCGUUCUAAUCAAAUUGUACUUUGAAAUCGAAUUUUGUCAUACCCAAAACUCCACGACACCUUAGCCUACCAUUUCCACAAAAAAUCAUAGUUCAAAAACUCCUCAUUCGAGCCUCAUAGUUUAAGAUUUACAUAAGUCAAAGUUUGUGCCCUAAUUUCCAAAAUUACUCCAAUUAAACAAAUAAUCGGCUUGAAUACUUACCAGGGAUUACAAUUUGCAAUUGAUUCGGCUAGUCGAGGUGUCCAAAUCGGCCAUACUUCACCCCACCCCCCCCCCCCCCCCCCUUUCUUUCUCUUUCUUCUUUUCCUCUUUCCCUCCUCGUUUUCUGCUUCAGCUUCUUCUUUUCUUUUUGUGCUUCAAAUGCACGAGCUCAAAUAAGAAGAGAAGAAAAAGAGGGUUGGGCUUCGGCUUGGCUUUUAAGAGACAUGGGCUGGCUGUGCUUUUAUUGGGCCUAUUUUUACAAUGGACGAACGCUUUCCUUCUCCAAGCAGACGACUCGAUUUACUCGAAUGAAGAAUGGCGACACUGAAGGUGGUGUUCCGGACGAUUUUCACCAGCAGAGCCGACGAAAGCACAGGCCCGUGAUGGUUGUGGAGUCCUUGCAAUGUCGGCCAUGGAUGCGGGAUCUUAUUUUUGCUUCUUCGCUUUCUCUUUCUCAUCGUGAUCAAAGAGCUGAACCGCAGUGGAUGGCUUUUGGAUGCAUCUUACUGCUUACAAAUAACAGUAAAUGGUAUUUUCGUGAAUCGCACCUUUGUAAAAACAGUACAAAUAGAACACCAGCAAAAUAUGCAGCAAUUCCAGUAUAGGCAUUACCAUCAGCAGUGGUUUUGAUGCGAGAUUCUUGAUGCCACUACCAAUCGCUGGACCCAAAGAAUUUGCCUGGGUUAUUUUGUGGCCCUGCACAGAUCCAAUGCAGUAUACACAUGGAAUUCAUGGAACCAAUAAAAUCCAACUAUGUUUCAGAUAAAAAGAAUUGUUAACAGAAUUGGAGCAUGUACCUUAGAGGCGUCGCUUUCCAGUUUCUUAGACUAAAAGGAGAUGUCCUGCCAAAGACUGGAAAGUACAACAGUAGUUCGUACAGGAUGGGGACUAUUAAGCCAUCUACUCAGAAGGAUCCCGAGGGAAUAUGUCCAACUCAACAGGAUGGGAGAAUUUUGGUAGACUGGGUCGAGCAGAAAAGGUACCUUCCACCUUCCUGAGACGUGGUAAAUCUUUGAGCCCAUUAAGGUUUGUUAUACUCCUGCAAUGAGAAAUUUUCAGGACUUCCAAAAGCUUUAAUUCUUCAAGACCAUCAAUCUCUGCUAAAUCGCAUUCUUUUAGUUCUAGUUCUGACAGCCGACCACAUAUUUUGGGCUUUCGAAUCUUGCAGUGUUUGAGACGCAGAGACGAUAAGCUUGAGGAGGGAAGUUGGGAUAGGUCUAGCUCCUUCAUGUAGGAUAAAGUGAGUUCCCGGAGCUGAGUAAGGGCACUAAAAUUCUGAGGGAGAUAGGUGACCUUUGAAAUGGACAACUGCAAGGUCUCUAGAAUUUGUAAUCUCGUUAUCCACCCAAUAUUUGGGGUCAUUAGAUUCAAUAACAUCGUCAGCCAUCCGGCUUUUGGCUGCUCACCAUCUGUCAAGAGUAGCACUUUCAGAUUUGUCAGAUAUGACAAGUUGGGGACUGUCACGUUUGUGGAUCCCCAGCGGAGAUGGAGUAAACUAGAGGGCAACUUUGGUAGUGUGUGAAGUUGGUUGCACUCGAUUAUGUCUAGGGUUUGGAGGCGAGAGAGACGGGAAAUGCUCCUAGGCAGCUCGGCAACAUCGGAUGAUGAUAAUCUCAAAAUUCUCAAAGAGGAUAGUUUUGAAAUAUCACAGCGAACUCUGCCCUCCAAACUUCUGCAGAAAGAGAAAUCUAUCUCCUCCAGUUUAGCUAACUUCGCAACGCCUUCAGGAAACUUUUGUAGGAAAGUGUGUGCCAUCUUCAGCGUCUUCAAUUCCGUCAAUUUCUUGACUGACCGUGGCAAUACUUUGAUUCCAGUGCCUGAAAGGUCCAUUAGCUCCAGCACAUUCAGCUUCCCAAUGGAAGGUGGAAGUUUAACCAACUUGCGACAUUCCCUUAAAGAAAGUCUUUUAAGUUUCUGAGGAAAUUCAAAAGUAUCUGGAAGCCCAUCAAUAUUGGCACCAUCCAGAGCAAGACUUGAGAGAUGACUCAGGCAGCCAAUUUUGGAUAUGUCUUGCAAACAUGUACAGUUGCAAGCACUAAGUGUUUCCAGAUUCUUCAAAAUAUCACUCUGGCAAUGAAUUCCUAUACAUUGGAUGCCAGUUCCAUCAAUCACAAGUUCCCUCAUAGAUUCCAUGCAGUACAGUUCGUCAGGCAACUCCAUGACUCGGGUGCAGCCUUUCAAAUUUAAGGACCUCAAGUUCUUCAGAUUACUAAUGAAUGGCUUAAUUUGAGUUAACAGAGUACAACCUUCCAGUAUCAAUAUCUCCAAAUUGACCGGAGCUGAAAAAUCCAAUGAUGCACAUAACUGAACACAUCCUUGUAGGUUCAGGACUUUCAAUUUCUCCACCUUCUGCAAUGUGCAAAAGAAGAUAUAAACUUUGCUCAGCUAAUAUCUAUCAUUUUAACACGAGAUUUAAAAAGCAAAUAGUGGCCAUACCUUCAUGAUUUGUUCCCGGUCUGGUGAAUCUUUGGUGACUGGACUCCAAGACAGAUCGAGAAUGACUAACUCCUCCAAAUGCAGAAUACUUAGCUCGGAAAUCAAAUGGCACGCUCGCCAAUCAAGCCACCUCAAUUUUGGAAGAAGAAUCCCAGUGUCUCCCUGAAUGUUAGCCCGGUCCAGUCUGAGGUACCUCAAAUUUGAUAUUGGUUGGAAUUCUUCAAAUGUGAAACAGUCGGGACGACUCUCUUCGAAUGUGAGACAAAUGCCUUGGACACUUUCAGUACCCUGACAAGUCUCGUUGGGGAAAACCGUAUGAGAAAGUAGAGAACUUCGAUUUCUUAAUCCUUUUAAUGAAAUGAGACAAAUCGAAUUUACAAAAUCAGUGGGUAUCCACCACACGUUCUAAAUCGUGUUAACAACAGUUCCCUUUCUUUUCCCUCGGACAUCGAAUGAAGAAAAGUAAGUUUCUGUUAAUGGGAAUGGAAGGUUUAUCCUAACGCUUUCUUAACCCUCUAAAAGAAAUUUCUAGAGGUUUUGAAAACUUACCGUACGAUUUUUCAGGAGGGAAAGUGCAUCGCUGUGAUUCCAAAACCUGCAGCGCUCACAACGACCUUUCCUCUCGACAAUGUCCCUGCCAAAGUCUCGGAUCAGACCAUGCAUUCUCAAUUCGUUAUGUUCUCCAUCUUCCAACAAAUGCAAGUUGCAAAGGUGUUUUAUUCCCCUUGGAGGAUAGUAUUCACAAGCCUCCCACAUAUAAGAGGGAAUCCUCUUAUCCUUUCCGAUAAAAAAGCAGGCUAUAUCGAGGAAUAUCUGCUUUGUAUCAUCAUUUAAAGAUUCGAAACUUCUGUCCAAGAAAUGUUUAACACCAUCUGGUGGGUGUCUUCUUAGAAAUUCCAAGGUACUUCUCCAUAUAUCUAAAUCUUCCCCUUCAUUGCGUAAAUAUGAAGCCUGAAGUAUGAUAGCCAAAGGAAGCCCUCCAAUAGCUUUGACGAUGUCUAUGGACAAGGAAUCAUACUCAGAAACACCUUGGGGAGCACGCCCUUGAAAAGCAUGCUUACGAAAAGCAUGCUUACGAAAGAGUUGAAGAGCAUGGUGAUUUUCCAUUGCUCCAACCUUGUAUUUUUCAACUGCUCCAUCCUCGAAGUCAUUUAGAACAUUUGUUAUUUCGGUGGUCACAAUGAUUCUACUUCCAGGACCAAACCAAGUAAGCUUCUCAGCUAAUGCUUUAAUUUGUCCAUCAUUAUGCACAUCAUCAAGCACAAUGAGAACCUUCAUAUUACGAAAUAGAUUGUUCAUUUUCUUAAUACCAUCAUCAGAAGAAUUAAGUGCUUCAGGUUUUCUUUUUUGAAGGGAUGCAAUCAACAUUUCUUGUGAAAGUUCAAUUUUUCUCGAAUUGAUACCUUCCAGGAAGCUACAUUCUUCAAACAACAUAUGCAUCUUGUUGUAGACAACCUUUGCAAGUGUAGUCUUUCCCACACCCAGCAUACCACAUAUUCCGACGACACGUCUGUCUUGUCCACAUACUUGUAUGGCUUGUCCAUCGCUGUAGGCAACACCAAGCUUUCUCAUCACCUCUUGAACAUGAAGAUCAAUUCCAACUAGUUUGUCGGGUACAACUUGGUCAUCCUUCUUCAACACCUGACAGACACGACUAAACACUCCUUUUACAAGCUGGGACUCAUGCCUGCAAACAGAAGUGAUAAAGCACGAGAUGACAACAAAUUUGAAAAAUCAUGUGGGGAAUGGAACGAUAAAAAUUACAUCAACCAACAGGGGCAAGGGAAAUCUUCAAUUAAAAUGCAGAGCCAGUUUUAAUGUGCGGGCUAUUUCCAUUUCAUGCACAUAGAAAUUUUGACAUGGAUGUCAUGCAAUCUGCAAAACAAAAGUUCUCUCGAGUCAUUUUUCGAAGGCCAAAGGGGAAUGAACGGAGCGUGGGGGACUAGGUCGGCUGUUCUAACUCGCAGUUAUGUCAUAAGUCAAGCCAUUUUCAAAUGGCUACUCUAAUCGAGUCACUCGUCAUUCAAUAGGCAUCAACCUGUUAAAUUAAUGAUCCAUUUCAGAAGAAUAACUUUAAAGAUCUCUCAAGCAUGCAUCAUUAUCAAUAUGCUUACAUUUAAUAUUUGUUGCAAAAGGUUCGGGUUCAUUUUCACAUCAUCCUAUACUUUCUUUUUUCCAUUUAUCUGGGGAAAGAAAAUAGAAAGCAGAAGUUAAAGAAUUACCCCCCAUUCAGAUUAAAUCCGCUUAAUCCCCCAAUCUUUCGAAAAACCUCCCUCCAUUUUUUGACAUCUGCGUUGAGUCCGUCUUUCACAUGUUUCUCAAAGGACCUUCCAAAAUACCCAGCUUGGCGUUUUACAUCGUAGGGACUAAUGUCAUAGAAAAUCGGGAUAAUAAUCUGUCCAUUUGAUUUUCUGCACUCCCACAUCUGUACCACCUCCAUAAGGCAACUCUUACUGGAAGCAUAAUCCUUGGAGAAGACAGCUAUUGAGAUCUUCGACCCUUUGAUCGCAUCUAUUAGUUGUGGCUUGAUCUCUUCUCCAGCAUGGAGAUUUUCACUAUCUCUAAAAACGUCGAUCCCUGCAUCUACCAAUCUGCUGUAAAGGUGAUCCGUGAUAGUUUUGCGAGUAUCUUCACCUCUAAAACUCAAGAAUACUUCAUAAUUGAUUCCGGAUGAUGAGGACCAGGUUGAAGAUGAUUCCUGUCAAGUCAAGGAAACUAAACCGCUUCACAUGGGACACAUAGUGUUUGAGACCAAGUCUUAUGCUUCCGGCCAAACAGAAAAAAGAGGGGAAAAAGAAAAAAAAAAAGUUCCAUGGUUCCACCCAAGGCAAACCUAACAAAGCAAGAGGCCCCCGCAACUGAAAUUUGCGACUCAAACAUUUUGAUAUCUUUUAUAUCCAAAAUUCUCAGAACUUUCGUGACAAUCAAAAGUGAUAUACGAAUUCUAACGUAAUUUUUCGGAAUCUUCUGAAAUUUUGGAGGAAGGCAAGACACUUCACGGGCCAGGCGUACAAUAUCAAUAGGGUUUGACCUUCGAUGGGAACUCGUGAUUUUUUACAUACAGUGAUUCAAUCGUUCAUGUCAAAGAAGAUUUGUAAUAUUCCAGAGGAUUUUUACCAUUUGUUGGGUCGAACUGCAAGCAGAGGAUCGAUUCCACCGCAUUCAUGUCAAAGAAGUUCUAAACAAUAACACAAACCCCAAAGAUGCAGAGAAAACUAACCGGGUUUCUUCUCUUCUUCCCUCCAGCAAAUACUGCAAAACCAAUCAUUCCGAUAAAGAUUAGAAACGCCAUGGACCGAUUCAAAGCCAUUGCGAGAAACAGAUUCACCACACCCAGUAUUGUCGCCAUCGAAGCCAUCGCUCGCUCGUGCCCUCUGGCUCACUCUCAGAGGCAGUCUCAGUGGCAAAGGAGGUCUACAGACAUUAGACGACAAUAAACAGUACAAACUACAAAUGACCAAGACCGUGGACUCUGGGCACCCACUACGCGCUUGGGCAACGCGCUAAAAAAUUGUCGUGUGGUCCCGGUCCCACGUGAUUUAACAUCAUGCGGGGUCAUUAUUUAUUUUUAUUUUUUUUGGUCCGAAAGAUAAAAAACUUCAUUAAUAAGUAAUCACAGCAUUACGACCAGGAGUCGCAAAAUAGCGACAUUUCAGUGGUCGGGUAGCUAAAGAGGAUGCAAUAAACUGAUUGGCAGUCCUCCCAAGCCGUUCGAUUCAACUGGAUCCUCCAUUUACGCGAACGGAGGAUAUUAAAAGGCAAGUUUCAUGGGAAAAUUGACAACAAUGAAUCUUGGUGUAUUCCAGGAACUCCCAGAAAUUGCCUUCAGAUGUUGAGUACUUAAAACCUAAAUAAUGGCACUAUUAGGUAAAAGAACCUGCAAAGGUAAUUGCCUUCUUAUCGAGCUUCGUAGAAAGGCUUGCAUAAUCACAUGUUAAUUGCUUGCUUCUUCUUCUAAUAUCCAUCUUUUUUCUGUUCUCCAUGAAACUCUUUCUCUCGUUGGCAUCCACAAAUGCACGACACUGUCCAGGAAUUCAUCAUACUACUCAACACUUAAAUUCCAUCUCUCUUCUAAAUAACCCUAUUUUCUCUCCAACACUGGGAAAUGGCAUGAAGCUAUUUCUUCAUAUUAGUGUGAACACAACAACUAGAGCACAUGGUUUUCCCUUGGAGACAAACGCGUGAUCAAAAGCAAAUGUUAAUAAUGAGAGGACAUACGGGGCCCAUCUCGCAUUUCGACAGCAAUCAGUACCUAGACCUCCUUGCCAACUGCUGUUGUAUUUAGUUUCUCUAGGACAAACAGCAAUUAAGACAAAUUUACGGAAGUUUUGACCAAGUCGCCUUUUAUUGUUUAAAUAAGCUCAGUCAAUGUCCUCUAGUCGGGACCCAAAUUUGAAUUUGCACGGUCCGAAUCCGAGUAGAUUUUUCAAUUGUAAAUGUUGCUAGAGCACAUAUAUCUUAUUAAUAUUUCACACCCGAGAAUGUCCAGCUUUUAUUGGUAAUACCAUUGACCAAAGCUUCAAGCAAUCUUUAUGUUUGGGGUUUCAACACACACAACUGAUACACCAGUUGUGCACAUUAAAAUAAUCCAAUAAAAUCAUAAAUAUUGCUAGAUCUUUUUUAAGCGAAAUGCAGGGUUUGUUUUUUAUUUAUCAUGUGGUCAUUUAAUUUUGGUUCUUUUUGUUGGUGUUUGUUUUGAUAAAUAAAAAUACAUGUAUAGGUAAAUUAGAAUCAAAAUCUAAUUGAAGUGGAAGUAAAAACAUUCAUACACGUAUUUUCAAAGUAUUGUUCAUGCAUUUUUAGUAAAAGCAUAUCUUAGUGGUAAAGGAGCUAAUCACAUUACCCUUGUACCAUGCCUCAAAAUUUUGGUUUUAACAUUCUUUAGAUUUUGAGCACAAACAUGUAAUGUCUUCACAACGUUAAUUCUGACGUUUUUCAGAUCCUAACUAUAAACAUUUAAUCUUAUGAUAACUCCGAUUCUGACGUUUUUGGAAUUUUGACACGAAUAUUUGAUGUCUACUAAUAAUAUUGGUUCUGACAUUCUUCACAUCCAAAACGUCCGAUCUCUUUGUAACAUCGGUUCUGACGUUCUUCAAAUCAAGCCCCACAAUUGUCGCACAUUUAGUUCAAACACACCACCAAUCUCACGUUGAACAAAAAAGAGAAUUUGAGAGAUCUCAUAACUACAAUUAUGUUAGCAAUUGCUUUCGUAUGUGAAUGACUUGGUUGAUCACUACCAACACUCUCAAUUGUCGAUUAUCAAUCAUCCUUUAAUAUGCUCUCUCAGUUGUCUUUUAUAAUCAAUCCUAUAUCACAUUUAACUUUGCUCAUUAACUCUAAAACCGCUUCAGAGAAUUAAUUCGGCCGUAACGUCUAAUAGACAUAAGUUCUAAUAGCGUUUCAGACACUAAUUUCGGCAUUAACUUUAUAACCAUUAAAGAGCAUUAUUAUAGGUAUUAAUUUGUAACCGUUAUAAGUCUUUAUUCUAAGCACUAACUUUGUAAUUGUUACAACUAUUUAAUUUGGCCGUUACAUUUGAAACUGUUAGCAUUAAUUGGUCAUUUGAAUUUAAAAUUGUUUCAAAUCAUUAAACUACCCAUUAAUUCUAAAACCGUUUCAAAUCAUUAAUGUGAACGUUAAAUAUGAAAUUGUUUCAGAUCUUUAAUUUAGCCGUUAAGUCUGAAACUAUCUCAGAUCAUUAAUUUAGCUAUUAAUUCUAUAUUCACUUUAGAUUAUUAAUGAUGCCAUUGAUUUUGAAUUCACUUCAAAUCAUUAAUAUGGCUAUUAAUUCUAAACUCACUUCAGAUUAUUUAUUCCGUCAUUGAAUUUGAACCCGCUUCAGAUCUUUGAUUCAGCCAUUAAAUCUUGAAACCUGCUUCAAAAUUUGUAAAGUCAUGUUAACACUUUAUUUUUAGUCGAUGCAUCAUUAAAAGGUAAAAAAUCAAGAUUUUGAUUUCUAAUCACGACGGAGCCCCAUCUCUCGACCAAAAAGUGUCGUUUUUCAUUUCUUUCUUUUGCAUUGUCAUUUUAAAUAAGUUCUAGCUCAUUUUCAAGAAAAACCUGAAAAGUCAACAGUUGACUUUCGAGUUGACUUUUUGGUCAAUCCUUUGACCAAAAGUCAACCUUGGGUCAAAAUUUGACUUUUUACCCAAAAAGAUUACAUUUAGCUUUAAUUUCACUUUUAUCAAAUCAAUUUCUUAAAAAUUCAAAAAUUUGACCAAUAGGAAAAGUCAACUAAAUGGUUGACUUUUAGUUAGACCUUUGACAAUAAAAUAAAAUAAAAUAAAUGCACAAAUAUAUUUUUUUUAAUGCCAAUUUGACUUUUGUGUCGAAAAUUUCACAAAAUUCAAUUAAGGACCCUAAUUUCUGAACUUUUUAGUUUUACGUUCUAAAUCAACCAAAAAUAAAAUUACUUUUAUUCUAGUCAUAAUUAUGAGUAGUUUCUUCUUUGACAUUUGGUUUAGAGACUAUCUGAAAUCUGCUUGAGCAUUCAAUUUCACGAUUUAUCGAGUCAAAAUAUGAAUUGCCGUUUUGAGCCCUAAUUAAGGAACCAAAAUUGAUCAUUCAUAACUUGCGAAUGGAACGAUUAUUUCUCACUCAUUUUAUUAAGAUAAGUCCAAAUUAAAGAUUGAUUUUGUGAAAUUCACACCAAAACUCAUCAAUCUGAAGAAUUUUAUCCGCCCAAGUGUUAGAAAAUCAAGCAAUUAAGUUUCAAUCGACAAAAUUCGAAUUGAUCAAUUCAUUGCUAUAGUUUAAUUUCAUGAAUCUAGGUCCAAUUUUAAUAUUAGGCUUAGAUCCAUUUUUGACCUAAGCUCGAGCGCUUCAAUUCAAGGUCAAUUUGAAUAUGAUAAGUGAUCUUACAAAUGGGUAACUCAUUAGAUAGGGCAAUUGUGACACUAAUUGAGUUCAAUUUUAGUUAAUUUGCAAUUUUACUCAUUGAAUUGCAAAUUUUAUCAUUUUAGCCCUUUAGACCCAAUUCAAAGCAUCUAUGGUUUCGACUCAUUUUUUUUUCACAAUAACCAUUCAAUUAGGUCAAUAAAAGACCCCUAAAUUAUGUUCAUAAGGUUUGAUUAGCUUAAUUAUAUCUUAAUUGGUCAAUUUCUACUUAAAAAUGAUAAAAUUCCUUUUCAAUUUAGUCCUUUAGGGGUCAAAUUGCAUAAAUUUUAGAACCACAAGGGUUCCAAGUGAACAAAGUAGCCUGAACCCAGACCAAACCGGUCAAGAAUGUGUCAAAAUUCGGCCGAAUCGGACCAAACCGUUAUGACCGGUCUGACCGGCCGCUAGCGAGACUGGCCGGUUUAGUCCCUUACCGACCGGUUCUUGGCCUCUAGUGACCGGUUCUAGAACCCUCUCAAUGCCAAUUUCACUUAUACACCUUCAAUUUCCUAAAAUUUUACAAAUUGAUCCUCGAAUUUCGUCAAAUUGUAGAUUGACCCCUAAUUUGAUAUUUUGACGCAAUUCCUAAUUUUGACUUGGUUUUUUGCAAAUCAAAUCCGCAAUAUUAGUUACCUGACACCUCGAGAUCAUGAUGGAGCCUUCGAAAUUGAAUUUUGAUCGUUGGAUCGAAAUUUUGACCGUCGGAUCGAAUCGAUGGCCGAAAUCGCUUAAUGUAGGGAGUAUAUAAAUGAAAUGUUCCUCUAUUUUCAAGGGUUUUUUUCAUUGGGUACGAAAAUUCUUCUCUCUCCAGAUCUCUCUCUCUCCUCUCUCUGUUUUUUUUUUUUUUUGUGCCAAGACUCGUUUCUCUCUCUCUUCUUUGGUUUAGUUGGUUUCCUCUUCCGAUGAUCGAAUCGUCGCCGGUUCAACCUCCAUCGGCGACAAUCCAUCUUCGUCAGCAAUCAUCUCCUUUGUUGUCCAAAUCUAGUGCUUGCUGGUUCGUGGAGGUUGGAUUGAAGAUCCGGCUAAACCUUUGAUCGAUUUCGAUCAAAAUACGCAAAAAUCACGUCAAAUGUAACGAUUCGAAACUCGAAUCCGAUGAAGUGAGAUCGAGUUUGUCAAUCGGGACUAGGAUUCAAGAUUAGGAACUUUUACAUGCUUAAGAUCAAUGAUUAUGAAUGCUACAAUGAUUUAUUGAUGAUUUGAAUGAUAAUUGUGUUCUUGAGCCUAGUUUGUAAUUUUCAUAUGUCUGUACCUAGGUUACCGUUUUGACCGAAACGAGAUCUGAAACAAUCUUGUUUCAGCUAGAGUCCUCUUAGAUUUAGAUAAUAAACAUCACGAGUUUCGAAACGGUAGGUCGCACACCCCAAUCGAGCGUCGUUUAACCCUUGAAAAACACCUCCAAAGAUGAACAAUUAUGUAGUAGUUUAAGUCUUUUUCGAUUUUGUUUCUGUUCCGCCUUUUGGCUUUGCUAUUUUUGUGCCGACUUUUAUGAUCAUUUUUUGAAAAAUUUUCUUCAUGAUUUUUGUUCCAAAUUUUCUCAUGCAUCUUCUGUAAUUUUUUUCAGGAUUUUUGGAUAUGCUUAACUAGGUCAGAUCUACUCAGAUCCAAGCUUAGCUCAAUCUGUUCCAUAUUGAUCUUUGAUUUUUUUUAUUGAGUUCUGAAAUAACUUUUCUCAUGAACGUUGCUUGUAUAAGUGUUGUGCAUGUCAUUUAUUUUUUUCAAAAAUUUUAGACAUGUUUAGUUAGAUCAAAAUCGAUUAGAUCUGAACAUAGGACAAUUUGUCCUGCAUUGGUCUGAAAUUUGUUUUGAUGAAAUUGAGUCCAUAAAUGCACAUAUUUGGUCUCAAAUCCUUCAUGAGAGUUUAAAUACAUGAUACAUGUGUUCAAUUGAUGCAUGCUUUGCAAGGUUUUUACAUUGGCAAAGUGAGUCAAUUGCAUACAUUAAAGUAAAAGGUACUGCAGCAUGUGCUUAGUUUGUCAGUUUUGCCAUUUUUGUCACGACUCAAAUGAUCUUAAUUGAGUUUCAAACUCUUAACAAAAAAUCUUCAUCAUCGCAUGCUUUGUAUUUGAGAUUUUUGGUAGGAUUUAUGCAUGUCUUAAGGAUGGCUGAAAUCAUGCUCGUUUUGUAAAUUUAAUGCUAAAAUUAAACAUUGUUAUAUGUGCACAUUUACAUGCUUGUUUGAGCCAUCUAGAGAUCAAAUCUUACGAUCAUGCCUUCUUGACAAAUGAACCGCAUGUUGCAAGGUUUGCAUAUAUGUUUAGGUCAUGUCCUUUGAGUAUCACUUGCACAUUAAAUUUGUCUCACAAAAGUGUUCAUCACACUUAGGAUUCCCAAGCAUACCAUUAGAAAUCAUGUAUCAUUUCAUAAUGUCAUAAAUUGUAUGACAUUUUGCAUGCCGACUUAAGAUUAGAUGACUAUCCAAACUUUCAUUCACAUCCAAUCUUAAGUCCCAUGUGAUUUUUUCAUGCCGUAUGUGCAUUUUUUGAAUGAUUUUGAGGUUUUAUAAUGAAUGCUUGUGUUCUAUUCCUUAGUUACUAAUAUGUACACUUUUAGAGAUCUCGAUCUUAGAAUACCAAAUUGACCUAGUUUGGACUCGAGCUCUUCUAGGAAGACGUAAGGCACACUUAGAGGUUUCCAAUGCCGCUGAUUUCAUGUCAAUUGCUCAUCAUUUGGAUCACUUUUCCAUUUUUCAAAACUAGAUCAGAAUCUACACAAUGGAUCAAAUUCGGACCCAUGUCCUAACCCUUGUUUGGAUAGAUCUUUGAUAUUUUUAUUCCAUUUGGAAUCUGCACUCAGUCUCUUAAUGAAACUUGCUUCUCAUCAUAUUGGCUAUGUUAUGUGUAAAGUUGAUGAUUUUUAGAUAUGUUUUGAUAGGAUAAAUCCUUAUGACAUUAGCUAAAAGUCUUGUUGUUUUGGCAAAUUUCUAAUGUAGUAUUGGUUGUUGUCUGAUUUUUUGUAAAUCAUGUAUAGCUCAUUUAAGAAGACUUUAUUCAUGAAAGUUGUUCAUUAUCAUGUCAUACAUAUUAGGAAAUUUUUCCAUAGUUAGAUUGUUAAUGGGUAUUAAUCAAUUUUGUUGUCGUUACAUGCUUGUUCUGAAAUUUCCUAAUAUAAACAUAAUUGUAAUUGUUUAGUUAAACUUUUUUUUUAUGACCCAAGGAAGCCCCGUACGCCGCGGACGGCUGGAGUAAACCCUGGGGGCGAACUAGAGGACCCACCACCCCAACCACCGGGUAAGACGCAGGUGAUUCCGCGGUGAUUUGAACCCUCUCCCUUAAGCAAGGGGUCAGCAGCUCCCCCCACGGUGGGGAAGAACUACCAAUAGAGCCACCGAAGUGGGUGUUUGUUUAGUUAUAUUUUUUAGGAUAGUUUGUGCAUAAAAUUAGGCAAUGCCAUCUUCAUGGAAAUUGUUCUAAAUGCUUUGAUCUUUGUUGUUAAACAAUUGAUUUUUUCACCAUUGCAUCUUUCAAAAAAUACUUAGGUACAUGUGAUGUUUCCCAAAACAAUUUCUAAGAAGUUCUUCUCCAAAACUCGAUUUGACUUAAGGAAAAAUUGUGGUUUUGACCAUAUUCAAAAUGCCUACGACGCUUGUGAGUGUCUUUAAGCGAGCUCUGGCCUAGCUUUGGUAAUUGAAUGUAUUUCAUAACCUAGAUAUUCCUUAAUCCUAGAUAUUUUCAAACCUUUUCAAAAUCAUGAUUUAACAUCGUGACAGUCACGGUUUGAAUUGUAUUCAAACUGCUUGCGAUGCUUGUGAGUACAUAUAUGCGAGCCACAGGCUAGCCUUGACAAUUGAAUGCUUUUCAUAACUAAGACAUCACUUUGUCUCAAAACUUUUCAUGAAUAAUUUCGAAAUAUGUUCUUAAAAUAUCACAUGUAUCCCUCAUACAUAUAAUCUCAUCAUGCAUUAGAAAUUGCAUGUGUUUGUGAUUGGCACAUGCCCUUGGUAAUAAGUGACCCGCCGACGGUUCACUUUCUUGCUUGAUUGAUUGAGAAAUAAGAUUCAAAAGACCUACAUGCAUGUUCAAAUUUUUGCUUGAUUGAUUGAGAAAUAAGAUUCAAAAGACCUACAUGCAUGUUCAAAUUUUUGCAUUGCAUGUGACUUUUAGAUGAAUGGUAAGGUCGAUGCAUGAUAUCGAAGGAAAACCUUAGGAUCACAUAUAUCGCUUAAUUAGGAGACUUAUAAGCAUUAUUGGCCGUGCGAGAACACAAUUGGUCAACAAUUGUUAUAAGUCAUAAAAAAUGGAUUGGGUAAGUGUUUUAGUGGGGCCCUCGCAUGAAAAACAAAGGUCGACCCCGAGGCUCCAAAGUUUGAUUUUCAUAUUGAACUUUCUUUAAAUGAUUUAUCUUAACAUGAUGUCGUAUUUUUUUUUUAUUGUUUUGAUGUGUAUGUUUGUUUGUUUCUAUUGUAUGCACCUAGUUAUAGAUUUCUUAGACUCUAUUUAGAUUAGGAACCUGAAAAUGGAGAAAGCGCGAAGACGGUGGAGGUCGAUGUCCAUUCCGACUAUUAUCAUGUAUUAUUCAUUCCCCAACAUAUGUCUCGGGUUCCAUCUGUUGUAUAAAGCUUGACGAGUUGCAGGUUUUCUCUCUUCCUCUUAUCUUUUUUCAAUUGUGUUUCUCUUUUACAUUUUCUAAGAUUGUAAAAUAAAUUUACAACUUUCCUUGAUUGUUUGUUUACUGUCUUGUAAUUUCAAUUCCAUUGAUUACUUUCUUUUCUUCUUUUUCUAGAAAUAGAAUAGUAUGAAAAUGACCAACCACGCAUGAUCGCUUAGUUUAGUACUAAUGAUCCCGAAAAUAUAAGAAGAAAUGCAUAUACACGUUAGGAAAACACAACAUACUAUUUAGUUACCGAAAGGGCACUAAAAAAAAUAUUGGGAGAGAUGGGGGGUUCAAAUCCCCACCUUCUUAGGGGGGAUUGGGGUGGGGACAAUUUCAUUUCAGGAGUGGGUUUCGACUCCCAUGCUCUGCAAGGAGGAAGAACAAAAAUCUGAGAGAGAGUGUUAGAGUAGGAUUAGAGUAUGACCGACCAGAAAAAAAAAAAACCUAAGUCCCCGAACCUAAACAUUUGGUUGGCGUAAAAAUCGAGAAAACACUCUCGACCCUCAAUUGGGUUUUUUAGCCAACCCCCAAAACGAAGCUAGUGGCGAUUCCCGUCUUAUUUUGAAGUUGUCAUAAACAAGUAAACCGCAAAAAUAAACCCGUGCAGUAACGAUGAAGCCCGCCACUUACUAUGAUUUAGCAUACUCAUAUGGCAGUACCCCAAGGGAUGAAGUGAUGCCAUUCUUAUGGACGAAGGAUACUAUCAAGAGAGCUACCAUGCUAAAGGUACCCUUAAAUACGAUAUUCACAUCCGACCUCUUUGAGGCAUGUCAUCCAUGUGGGUACGAAUUGCGACACUAAACUGUCACAUAGGUACGAGUUUAGGAAAACUCGCGAUCUCAUGGAGGGAACUCACGAGAGGCUUGAUCCAAAAGACAAGGUGAUGACGUCUUUUAGAACGCAAGCCGUGAGGGAACUCUCGUGAUUAAGUGCCCAUAAACCCGACAUUUCCGCUAUUUUCUCUGCUUGUGAUUGAGCAAGGGUUUCGCGGCCGCCGAGGGUCACUGAUGACCCUCAUCGACCCCAAAGAAUAAAAAAAGCCAAAAAUUAAAGUAAAAAAUUCAAAAAUAUAUUAAAAAUAUUGAAAAAUUUAUUAAAAAUUAUCCAUGUCAAUGCCAAUUAAGCCACGCUAGAUAAUCAAUGUCCACAUCAGAUUUUCCCGCGAGGCAAAUCAGAAUUGGCCCUAAAGUGAUAAAUUUUGCAACACUUAAGUAAGCGAAAAAAAAAAAAAAAGACUUGAGCACUGAAGUGAACGGCAUACGAAAAUUUUAGCACUCCUAGGAUUCUUAGCCCCUCCGUACCAACCAAAAAGCCACCAGAGAGACCAACUGAAUCUUCUCUCUCUUCCUCUCCACCAAGUCUUGAACAAUCUUUCACGCAGUCUCACUAGAUGCUCGCAACAGCAAAGCCACUGGGGAAUUGAAAAUUAAAAUAAGGCAGAAGAGCAACAUGGGAGAUAAUUCUUUCCAUUAUGUCUUGAACACACAAUAUACCAAAUGACCAGACAGGCAUUUACCAAACUUCAAAUGUCAAAAGAUGUUCCCUACAUUCAACCGACAGCUCCCGGAUACUGCGAGAAUAAAUCUGAAAAUAGAAGACACAAUUAUGGAGAACACACUCCAGCAGUCUAUGCACUUAUUCUCUCAUAACUACUGAACUAAGACAAGCUUGAGACUUAAACAACCUGUAAGACAUAGCAACCUCAAGAAAGACAAGUUCAUUGCCUAAUAAUUACAACUCUGGUCUAGAAACUUAUGAAAUGGCCUGCAAAGAGUACUCAAGUUGGUUGCGUCUAGGAUUGCUGUUCAACUAUGUAUCACCCUAGAUUUCCUAAUUUCUUCAUUUCUUUGCCCUUAUCUACUUCUAGUGCUGCUUUGGGACUGGAAGAACCUCAAAACAGAGUCGCAAUUGACAGCUUCAGCGAUGGACACCUUUGGAUAGGACUGGAACGUCAGGAUUCUUUAUUAGGCUCCAGAACUCCUCAAGUAAGAAGCCGUGCUGCGAUACAACAAAAGCCUAUCUGUUGAUUUCAAUCCCAUGGGACUGAAGAUUUGACAAGGGAGAACAGAGGUAGACAUUUCUUAACGAUAUUAACUGAAAAGAGUGUUAAAAAUUGAAUAUUUUCCAUGUCCCAUUUAUUUUUCUUUUCUUCUGAAAGUCCUAAAAACAAAUUUAUACUUUCUUUUAAACGCCUAUAUCUAAGAUAGGCCUGAUUAGAAAAACGAAAACACCGCCGAGAUGGACAUCUUUCUACUUUAGUGGGUUUCCCCGGCAUCUACAUUCUAAUGACAAAAAUGAACCUAUUAAAAUAAAUAGGAGCUAUGGAAAUAAUAGAUGACGAUUUUUAUUUUAUUUUGGUCGAAGGUGACGAUUAGAAAAAACAGGAAAAAAAAAGUGGAAAUGGAUGAAACCCCAUUAGAAACUAUACUCAUACAUGAAGUAAUCGCUAAAAUUCUGACCAUUAUAAUUCUAAUCUCUAUUCAAUUUGCCUUCCAUACUAAGGGCUUUAGAAUUUAUAAUGUUCUGAAUGCGAGUGUCUGGGUUGGGGGUGGCUGGAGAGAGAGAGAGAGAGAGAGAGAGAGAGAGAGAGGUGGUCAGCGAUAACAUUCAGGAGGAAAAGUGCAUGACGAUCUCUCAGCCCCGUCUUGGUAAUUAUCUGUCACUCUCGUUAUAUGGAAGAAGUGAACCCAUCAUAUUAUGUUCUCUUCCUCAUGAUUAGGUCGUGGAAUAGCCACCCCGAGUUAAUGCUAUCAUAAACUACUUUUACUAACCCAGGGAAUAAACAGUGGCAUCAUCAACCGCUUUCUUUAACCACCAGAUGUUCCUCAAAUGUAAACAGAAAAUGUUGCCUCGAAAUCUUCUUUCCAUGCAUGUACGUGCGCAUCAAUAGAUAGAGGGGGAUGAGAGAACCUUACUGAAUAGUAGUUACCCUCAUUCUGAUUUAUGACUUGCUUCGGUUUUGAGUUGUCGCUUCAAUCCAAGGUUUAGGGCUUGCAAAUGCAUGCGCACAGGGUUACUUAAAGGAUUCCAUGGCCUGGAGAAUGAAUUGUGAAAGAAGAAGUUGCUUCACUUGUGGUUGAUUUGCAUGGAUCAUCAAGCGGAGAAACAGCGAUCCAUUCAUUGGUGCCGCUGCCAUGGACAACCCACCAGAUCAACUCAUAUGAUAGAUCAUGCAAUUGAAGCAGACAGAAGGAAAGGAAUAUGGGGGAGAAGAGAGACAUGGAUAGAAGUUUCUCCUAGAUUUUAAUUGAAAGAAGAACGAGAAAAGAUGCAUAGCAUGUAAUGAAAGAUCAAUGGAAAAAUUACCAGUGUCUAUCAUGUCAGAGGAUGCAAAAUAUCCUUUUCCUCCAGAUGAACCUAUGACGGCCUUGAUUUUGACAAGGAAUUCAAAAAUUUGACCUACAAUUGAUGAGGCACGAGCUAAAUAAAAAAUUGUCCACUCCGCUAAAGGUAUAAAGUUUAAAAACCAUAGGCAAAUAAAAUAUCAGAACUCUACUGAUACGUCAGUAGCCUCCCAUUUUCUUGUGUCCAGCCUGCCAGAAAGUAGCAUAUAACUCAGCCCUUAAAGAUUUUGCAAGCUGAACUUUGAAAAGAAAUCAACCUGUGCAUAUCUUUCCUUUUGGAAGAGACCGGUGUGAUCACCUGGAGGGGCCGCAUUUUGUUCAUGGCGGUUGAUCUGGCCUUGACUUUUCUGCAAAGGGACUUCAAUAGAGUCAAACUUGAAAGUGGCUCCAAUAAAUUUUCCUUCUUCACUUCUUCCUCUUUCUCCAUUAACGGUGCAGAUGCGUUGCACAGAUAUCAGGCAAGAUUGAGGAGAAUCCAGUAUCACGCAACCACUGAACACGCCUCCUUUUUUUGGGGGCAGCUCCUCUGUUGUCACUUAACAGUGGAGAUGCGUUGCACAGAUAUCAGGUAAGAUUGAGGAGCAUCCAGUAUCACGCAACCACUGAACGUGCCAUUACAAGCUCCAACACAUUCUGUAUUUGCGCUGAGUUCUCAGCCGGACAUUCACUGAUCUUGAGCUUUUCCAAAUAUUUUAAUUCUUCUAGGCCUUCAAUUUGAUGGAUCAUUUUGCAUUGUCUGAUCUCUAAAACUUUCAGCAACUUCAAGUUUGAAAGAUCCAGUAAACUAUCGAGGUAAUCGCAGUCAGAUACAAUCAAACUCCUUAGUGAGGUUAACUGGAAAAUCCCAUUGAGAUGUUGUAUUUUGCAGUUUGAUAUUUGUAGCCUCUUCAGGGAUUUAAGCCCUUCAAGCCCAUCAAUCUCUUCUAUGGCAGAGUGGUAGAGCUCGAACGCUGAUAUAUUGAUUAAAGACUGGACAAUUGGCAAUCUUUUCAAUGAUGAACAACCUCGAAUUGAUAAGACUGACAAUGUCUUGGGAAGCGCUGAUACUUCUUCGAGGCUCAAACCAGAAAGCGUAAGUGUUUUGAGCUGAGGAAUAUCUGUAGGCUCAUACAAAAAUUCCAGCUUGAUAAUUCGCGAAAGAGACAAUUCUAGUUUCCUCAGUUUAGGAAACACUAUUGAGAAGGAUUGUUUUUCAAUACUUUGUGUUUGGAGCAACUCUAGGUUCCAGAGUCUUGAAAACCAUAUAGACAGUUGUUUCACUUUGGAUUCUGGCUUCAGCUGUUUUGAGGGAGGUUGGCGUUCCUCCGGGUCCUCAUCACUUAGGUACAGCUCCUCCAAUUCCUUCAAAUCCUUGAGAAGGGGUAUGUCCUUCAUCCUUUUAGAACUCACAUGCAGACAAAUUAGAGAAGGGGGAAGCUCCGGCAACACUUCAAUUUCAUUGCACUGAAGUAAAUCAAGGGUCUGAAGACUAGAGAUGGUAGAGAUUUCCGGGGGUAUGCUAGAUAUACUGGUAUGCCCCAGCGUCAAUGAUCUCAGAUGACAUAGUCUCUUAAUAUCACGGGGAAUGGCCCCCUUCAAACUCUGACACCAGGAAGCAUGUAGCUCUUCAAGCUUGGUUAGAUUCCAAAUCUCCCCAGGAAAUGCUCGAAUGAAAGAAGAGUCCAUUCUCAGAACUUUCAAGCUUUUCAGAUUUCUUAUUGAAUCGGGGAGUUCAGAGAUGCUAGUCGCCGAUAUAUCCAACUCCUCUAAUGACCCCAUUUCACCAAUAGAAUAUGGAAGGUUCUCCAAAUAACGGCAAUCCCUCAAUGACAAGCGUCUUAACUCAAGCAGCUUCCCCAGUGAGCUCGGGAGCUCAGAAAUUUUGGCACCAUCUAAUGAGAGUUCGGAGAGAGAAAUCAGAUAACAAAUCGAACUGGGUAGGUAAGUCAAUGGGAAGCACCGGAAGUCACUGAGAAUUUUGAGUUGCUUCAAAUUGCCUAUGGAGAUGGGGAUCUGCCGUACACAAGUCCCGUCAAUAAAGAGCUCUUUCAGAGCUGUUGUACAACCCAGUUCCACUGGCAACCCGUUCAAUUGGGAGCAGAACUUCAUAUUCAGGGAGACUAAACGUUUCAAAUGGCCAAUUGAAGGAUCUAGCUUCACCAAACGAGAACAACGUUCAAGAAUCAGGAUUUCCAAAUCUUUGUAAUCAGAGAAGUUGGGAGUGAUCAGCAAGUCAGAACACCCGGUAAGAUUCAAGACUUUCAAUUUCUCCAUCUGUAAAGUCAAAACAGAAACCCACACGUGGUCAAUUAGCAGAUAUUUAGUUCAACAAAGCAACUAUAAAACAACCAAAUACCAAACCACCUUAAUUUCACUCCACCCUCGCCAGUCUUCCGUGACUUUGCUCCAAGACAGAUCAAGAAUGACCAACUCUCUUAAUACAAAAUUUAUUACAUCAAAUUCCAGAGGACACCUUUGCCAACAGAGCCACCUUAAACUUUGAAAUGCACCCGUAAAAUCUCCGGAAACUUUUGCAUCAUCCAACUUGAGAAAACUUAUGGCUGGCAUGCUCGCAAAAUUUGUGGCUGUUAAUAUGAAUGAAUCACAAGCUUCAAUGUUUUCGAUUCCCUACAUAUAAAGUAAGUAACAUAAUUAUCAGAAGCUGUAAAACAAAAUACCAAUCAGAAAAAAAGGAUGCUUUCCUUGCCCUACAUGCUAAAGAGUACACACAUGAUAUUAUUCCCUCAACAUUAUGACAAAAAAAAAACAUGUAGCCCAUAUGUCAAGAUGUUUGUUUGCCUAAAACAAACUGAACCAAAAGGUUUUACCUUCUCCUUGUUCAUUGCCUCUAGAACCAUAUCUUGCGUGCAAANNNNNNNNNNNNNNNNNNNNNNNNNNNNNNNNNNNNNNNNNNNNNNNNNNNNNNNNNNNNNNNNNNNNNNNNNNNNNNNNNNNNNNNNNNNNNNNNNNNNUUAACUUCUCCAUCUUUUCCCAUUCUUGUAUUGAUCUACCCCGCAAAAAUGAACCGACAACUUCAACUGCUAAUGGUAGUUUCUCUGUAGCAUUGACAAUGUGGUCUGCGAGUCCAUCAUAUUGAGAACUCAUCGUGAAUGCAUGCUUGCAGAAAAGUUCAAAAGCUUGACCAUCAUCCAACUCACUAACCAUGUAGGUACGAGUCUUCUCAGGAUCAUACUCUUUGAGAAUUUCUUCAUUUUGAGAAGUCACAAUAAUUCGACUACCUAGACCAAACCAAUGAAGCUGGUCUCCUACGAUAGCAUGAAGAUAAGAUUGAUUUUCCACACCAUCAACAACUAUUAGAACUUUCAUUUUGCGAAAUAUAUCCACAAAAAUUUCCAUUCUUUCAUCACAAGAAGGAUCUUCAUGAUCUAGUGCAAGGAUAUCACGUAUCAACUUAAUUUGCAAAUACCGAAUAUCGCAAGAAUUUUGCGUGGUUUCGUUGACCUCUGCAAGAAAGCUACAACUGUCGAAACAAGAAGAGGUGCGGUCGUAUACAGCCUUGGCAAGAGUUGUCUUGCCAAUUCCAUCAGUUCCAUAGAUUCCAAUGAUGCGCACCUCAUCAAUGACUUCCAUCUCCAGCAGUUUGGUGAUUUGUUUUACACGAUCAUCAAUUCCAACUAGUUUUUGAACAGCUGCCAUCGCAUAAUUCCUAUCUGAGGUUUCCAUGUCUGCUGCUCCGGGUCUAGCUUCAUCUUUCAUUCUCUCCAUGCUCUGCAAGAAAAACAGAAUUUUUCACCAAAGUAUUAUCGUAGACGGAGAGAAGAGGACUAGGGAAUGAGGUAACACAUGCUGCUAGGGUUGGAAUCUCUUAGGGGAAAUUUUGAUCCUCAUUCUUUUCGUGAUCCCAUUUCUUUCACACAUUUUAGCCCUGUUUUUUUUUUCUUUUUUUUUUGGGGGGGUGGUUGAAAUCAUCCCUUCGUUGACUUUCUGAUGCAAAACCUGCUGGAUAUGAACCACACCAUAGUCUACAUGGCGUCUGCAUGUCAGCCAAUCAUUUGUUUAUCGAGCACAUUUACAUAAGGAAGUCACCAGAGGACGAAAUCGAAGUGAAAAAAGAAUUACAUGUUGAAAGACUAAGAUGAAGCGAGUAAGGUGCGUGGAACAAAACGUGAAACGAACACGCACCUCCUCCAAGUAAAGCAAAGGGGAAAAAAAAAUUAAGAGUCUUGCUAUUCUAACUUCGUUUCCGGUUCCGUUUCUUAUUCUAUAUUUCACGUUGUUAUAUUAGUGAACUUUAAUUAUUCAUCUCAUUUUCACUUUAAUUACAUCAAUCUAUUAUUUCAGAUAGUUUUGUCCUACUUCAUGGUCUACUAUCUCUUAAUGGUAAGUGUUUAUUUCAAUAAUAGUACUAAUAUAGAUUCAAUUGUUUUGUAUUUUGGAACUAAAAAAGAGUUCUAUUUUCUACUGUUCAAAUGAAUCCAUAAUUAAGGGAUACAUUGUUUCAAAUCAUUUUAUGGAAGUCUGGAUGUUAUUGUGUUCUUUCUAAAUCUAAAGUAAUAUGCCUUUAAAUUAACUAGUGUCUCUUUUGUCAUAAGUUGUACUUUUUAGUGAAAUGAUAUUUUCAAGCGUAUAAAAGUUACAUCCUGAUAUAAUUGAUGAUUAUUUUUUCCACCAAGAUGUGCUUUAAUUUACUUUGAAAUAGUCGUGCAUUAUGAAAAUACAUGAACCCCCGUGGUGGCAAUCUGUUGUAGUACUAAAAUCGCAUGCUCAACUUGUCAAGACCACUAUAUAUGCAAUAUGCAUGCAUCGGCAAAACGGCAAAUAAAUGGAUGACACAGUUAUUGCUUAAUGGCUACGCAUGCUGGAAAACUAAUUGAUGCAACAUAAAUAAGUCUUUUUGGAUGGGGCAAAGGUGGGGGUAAUCAAUAACUUCUGGAAGUUUACAGGCUAAUGCACAAUAGUGCCAAAGCUCUAAGAGCGCAAGUAUUGUCAAAUAUUAUGACAUCAAAACAAAGCGCAAGUAUUGUCAAAUAUUAUGACAUAAAAAAUAAAUAAAUAAAAAACACAUUCCGUAUUACAUUAUAUCCAACACUCAUUUAUAAAACAAUGAAAUAAAUUUAAAAAUGAAAAUGAUGGAACUUUUAUUUAUGUGUAUCUUUAAUUUAUAUUAAGGAACAUUUCUAAUUAAAAAGAACAUGCCAAAGGAACACUAGUGUGUCUGAAAUUAUUUACAAUUUGUGUAGUUUUACCUAAGUAUAGCAUCAAACUGAAAUUAGAACCGAUCAAUUUUCAAACACGUGCAUUCACGUACAUCUACUGUAUAUUGAUGAAGAAGAUGUUGCACCUUGUUUGUUGUAUCCAAAAGAAUCUCCUCUCUGUAACGCUUCAAAAACAUUACAUCCCGUUUGAUGAAGUCUCCACACCCCCAUAUUUCAACGAGGCAAUUAGCUGGUAUAUUUGUGCAAGAUGCAUCAAUCAACCACCUCAAUGACGUGCACUUUUUGACAACCAAGGAUUUGAGAGACUUCAACUCAUGAAGGCCCUCAACAUUAGCAAGUACAAUGCACCGUUGGAUUACCAAUUCCUCUAGGUUCUUCAAGUCUGAUAAACCACCUAUUCUUAUCAGAGAUUUGCACCUAGAAACCCUCAAGGAUUCCAAUGAUUUCGAACUACCCACAACUUGUAUCUCAACUAGUUCUGGACAACGUGACACCCAUGCCUGGCAUAGCCUCCUUAAUUCCAAAGGAAUGGAUAAUCUCUCAAGCUGUUUACAGCCGUCAACAAUUAAUUUCUUCAGUUGUGGAAGUCUUUCGAGUGGAAUGGCUCCCACUUCACAUUGAAAGAACUCUAAAGUCGACAAAUUUAUCCAACUAUAGUACGAGGACAAAAGCUGCAUGAGGGGUUUAGGGUUUAGGGGUCUCAAAUCAAGCUCUUCCAGAUAAGAAAGAGAAGCCAACUGCAGAGGUGUAGGGACGUCUAGCGGAUACUUUUUCAAUCUAGGUGACAUAAUAUUAAGAUCAAGACUCGAGAGGGUGAUGGGAAGGGGAGGGAAGUCCUCUAUCUCCGAUGCUCGACAAUUCCAAAUAGACAAUUGAGUGAGAUGGGAGAGCAUGUGACGGCACUGUAGUAAGCUUCCCAUAUUUUCACAACCUUCAAUUCUCAUUCUUUCAAGUGAUUCUAUGGUAAUCCCUUCCAGCGACUCCACUCCCUUACAGUGUUUUAUAGAAAGUGCCUUCACAGGAGCAAGUCUACCCUUGGCAAAUGAAAAUGAUAUCGGAGAAUUAUGGUCACUUAUAUGAAGAGAUUCAAGUUGAGAAAUCGAAUUAUUGCUGCUGGGGUCACCUUGAGGAAUGUUUAGAGCCAUGAUUUUUGGACAAUUCUCAAUCACCAAAUGUUUGAGUAUGUGCAUCUUGCUUGGAAGCUUUUCUAAACUUGUGCAAUCCACCAAUUCCAUCCUUUCAAGAUUACAGGGUAGCUCUAUCUCUCCGUCUCCUGCCACAAAAGAUGUGAAUCGAGCACAGCUUUUAAUGGUUAAUUCCUUGAGGCAAGUGAGAUUUUGCAUUUCAUUUCCAUCUUGCCACAAGCAUGUUAGCUUGUCACACAGUCCUAUAUGAAGCUUCCUUAGCUUGCCCAAGCAACUCAUAAACCGAUGAUCGAAGGAGACAAGCUCUAUGAGUUCGUUAACUUUGAGAACUGUCAAAGAAGUUAAAUUGAACAAGCUCUUUAAGAUCUCCUUACUACAAUCCUCAAGGUAUAACUCAUUGAGAGAUGGAAGAUAUAACUCACUGGUUGAGUUAUUCAAUUGUAGGCAUGAAUAAAUUUCAAGCUUUAUAAGACGAUUAAGUUGACAAGGCAAUGACCCAACCAACGAAGGACAACUCCGGACAACAAGAUGCUUAAGACAGGAGAAUGAGACUUCUUCUUUUGGGCCCCCUACAUAAGGAGACCAAUCCUUCCAUGCCAACAUCUCUUCGAACUGCAAAGUAAUUAAGGACGAAAAAGGCCUAUCACCUCCAUAAAAAAUAGAGCCUAUUUUUCUUACUGCAUUNNNNNNNNNNNNNNNNNNNNNNNNNNNNNNNNNNNNNNNNNNNNNNNNNNNNNNNNNNNNNNNNNNNNNNNNNNNNNNNNNNNNNNNNNNNNNNNNNNNNNNNNNNNNNNNNNNNUCUAACCAUGACGGGAAUAUUGCACCACCAUAGUUCAAAUAGUGAGAUUUUCAAUAUCAAUGGGAGGUUGCAAAGACUCGAGCACCCGUGAUUCGCGCUUAUCAUUCCGAAGAAUUCCAAAAUCUUUAUCCCAAUGCAAGAAUAAUUUUCUUAGGCCUUGCUUUCCAAACAAAUUAGCAUCAACACCAUCUCUAACAUCUUCAACCUUUUGUAAUUUCAAUAUGAAUAAUUCUCCUUGAAGAUGCGACAAGUUCUUUAACUCCUUUAACUGUAGCCCUUUCUCUGUUCCUACCACAAACUUGGACAAGAUAGUAAGAUUCUUCAAGUUAUUGAUACCCAAUGGCAUCUCUUUUAGACUUUCUGUAUCUCUAACAUCAAGAAACUGUAAGCUAACCAACUUUGUGAUACCGUGAGGCAACUUUGAAAGCUGAUGACAACCUCUUAAGAUCAAAGCUUGUAAUUUGCACAAGUCACCAAUUGACUCAGGUAGCCUUCUGAUAGAAGUGUUUGAGAAAUUGAGAUAUCGAAGAUGUUUUAAUUCACCAACACAAUUCGGUACCUCUAGGAUCUUACAAUGACAUAAUGAAAACACCCUCAGAAACUUCAAGUUUGUCAGCAAGUCGUGCAACACCUUGUUGGGUAUAUGGUGAGUAUGCAGUAGAAUUAAACUUCUUAAUACCUUCAUAUCAUGAUAUGCUCUUAAGCAUUUUGAUGUAACAAACAACGGCGUGAUGAAUGAUGCAUAACGAGUUCUCUCAAGAGAUGCAUAAUCUUCAUUAAUUGCUAGCUGAGACUCCCUAGAGCUAAAGCAUAUCCCACCCUCAAUUGACUUUGCUAGAUCAUUCAAAAGAUCAUGCAUUGAAAACUUAGAUGUGUCAACACUUGAUUUUUGAAGAAAUGAUCUAGAUACUAACUCAUCGAAGUAAUUCCAUCCUAAUUCCAACUUAUUUUUCUUUGUCUUUUGUCCAUCUAAAAAUCCCUCCGCUAUCCAUAAGAGUACUAGCUCAUCCCUCUCAAAUUCGUAAUCCUUAGGAAAUACCGCACAAUAAGAAAAACAUCUCUUCAGAUAGGAAGGAAGAUGGACAUAGCUCAAUUUCAAAAUAGGGAGAACCUCAUCAUUCUUUGUCGUCGGAAGAUCCCAUAUUAUAUUAUUUAAGGUAUCUUCCCAUUCACUGGGAUUCAUUUUAUUAUGUAGGGCACCGCCAAACAUCUUCGCUGCCAAAGGUAAACCUUUACAUCUUUUAGCUAUUUUCUUGCCUAUUGUUUCAAAUUCCGGGUGGCUCUUAAAAUUUGUUGCUCCAAGAGCAUGAAAGGCUAAUAAGCUUGUACAAUCAUUGAGGGACAAUUCCUUCAAAGGAAUUGGCGGUGCUUUUGUUACUGAAACAACAAGAUGGUUGCGAGUCGUAAUAAUAAUCUUGCUUCCCCUAGCACCCACUACAAAUGGCUUUAAGAAGUCAGUCCAUUUUCUGUACUCCUCAUUCCAGAUAUCGUCUAGAACCACAAGAAACUUCUUUCCAAAAAGAUUGUCCCUCAACUUAACUUGAAACUCGUUUAGAUCUUUGCCCUCGCAGGGCAACCCAGUGAUUGACCGCAAAAUAGUCUUUGUUAUGUCGAGAACAUCAAAAACAUCUGAAACACAAACCCAUGCUCUCAUCUCAAAACAUCUAUUCACUCUGGCAUCAUUAUACAGCUGUUGAGCCAAGGCAGUCUUUCCAAUACCACCCAUCCCAACUAUGGGGACUAUGCUUAGUGUGGCAUUAGAAUUUUCGACCUCAUUGAUUAAUAGUUUGAGUAUUUGUUCUACUUCCUCCUCCCUGCCAAAAAACUGAGGCUCUGAUAAAGAAGUGGUUAUCCUUUUGCUGGUGUAGUUGGAUUUGUCCACAACAUUCUCUCUCAAGUUUAGAUGAACCUUUCCAGUGACAAUUGCGUCCAACCGGUGAUUGAUCUCUUGUACCUUGGUUUCAGACAUGAGCAAGGGUGGUCGGCCAAAUUCUAAGAACUUCAAUUUUCCCAAACCUUUGCUUGUGGUGGAUUCUGCCUCUAACUCAACUUGAGCAGCUUUGAUCUCAAACUCAUCGAGCAAGUCUUCCAUGUCAUAGGCCAAGUCCUUAACCUUGUCCAGCCAUGACUUCACUUGAUGGUUACCACUAAGUUCCUUGUCCUCUGCAUCAGCCAACACUGCAUUGAUUAUGACUAGCUUCUCCUUCCACUCCUUAGGCAAGGCAGUGCUGAUUCCUUUACGUUGUGCAUAACCUAAUGCGAGAGAAGCCAACUUGUCGAACAUGACCUGAAAGGAUGAAGCCAAAAAGGAACCCAACACAAUCCCUCCAAUUUCCAUAGGUGAAUCAGUCACUGUAAAAAACAACAAAGGUGUUAUGGUAAAGCAAAGUGAAAAUGAACUAAUGGAGAGAGAAAACUAUGAAGACCUAGGAAGACCAAGAUGAUGACAUUGGAAAAAGAUUAAAAAAAAAGACCAAGACUUUCAAGGGAUGCACAUCAAAGGUUAGACAAAUCAAAAUAAAAUACUAUUUGUCCACAAGUGCUAGUUACAUCAAUUGCUCUCCUUAUUCUUCGGAUCAAAACUUUUUGGCUAUUGGACCUUUACUUUUGGCCAUCCAAAAUAGUCUUAAUAUGACCAACUUAGAGUGUAUGCAUAUUUUCGCCAUAAGUGUUAUCACUCACGAGUGUUUUGUUGGCUUUUUUAGCGUUUGUAUAUUCUUAGUAAUCUCAUGAUUUCAAUGUCUUUGUUUUCUGCUUUAUUGGUGAAUGUGAGAUUAAUGAAGUCUUUUACAUGGGAGUUUAUGUGCUAAAGAUUCACAACAAGAUGGGUGAUAAUGAUUUGUUGAAGGGUGCUGAGGUAGUGGUUGAUAAUCGGGAAUCACCUUGAUAGGAGAAUCGCGAUCCUUUGAACACAAUUAUCAAGUUCAUUAGUGUAAUGGGUAGAGUGUGACAUCUAGUGGAUUAUAUGUCGUUAAUGUUGGACUCGUUUACCGUUUCCAGAGUGAGAGAAAGCAACUUGCUUGAUGAAUUAGUUGGUGUACUUAUCCCUUUUUUCUUAUUUAGGGAUGUAUGAAGUUGACCAAGUUAAUAGGAUCAACAAAUAAGCAUAUUUGUGCAACUUAGUAAAAUAAAUGCUUUUGAAACAUAACAUACUGAGGAUUUGCCCAAUAAUGGCAUCUUAUUUUCUGUUAUACAUGUACAUGUUAUCAUAGACAAUUAACUUUGUCUGUCCACCAAGGAGAAUAGAAACACGUGCUUUGGGCUAAAUAAGGAAAAUGGUCAAACACACCGACUAAUUCAUUAAGCAACUUGCUUUAUUUUACUCUGCAAAUAGUGAACAAGUCAGAAAUCACCAAAUGACAAUGUAUAAUCUACUGAAAAUUAUAC
rnacentral:lncRNA from 1 species